GAGAAGCCUGCUUGUUCGCAUAGAUUUUAACGACAUGAACAUUGUGGUAAGGUUAGAGAGUAAUGCGAAUGUAGGAGCUUAUAUUAGAAAUGACACAAACACGUAAAUAGAAGUAAUCUAUAUAUGAUAUUACUCAUGGACUACAAGCAAAGAAGUACAAUACAUGGAGUAAGUGAUGAAAUGAGCAUUCCUCACUACUACUGCUUGACUGAUGGAACAUGAUGCACGAGAUAGCAUAAGUAGUAGUAGGAAGCAGCUCUUAUUUGUGGCGUCGGUAUACAUCAUACUAGGUAGAUGGUUCAAUUGGCAUGGAUGGGUGGUGGAGCCUUGAAGUGCUUGUGAUGGGGAGCCCACGGCUUCUUCUCAGGAGUUGGUGGCUUCUUGUAUGGAGUUGAUGGAGGUGUUUCUACUGGAGGGUGGCCAGGGUAGUGACCCUGGGGUGGUGAAGGUUCUUUUGUCGGUGGUGGCCUCACUAUUAUUGGCGGUAGAGUUGGUGGCUUGGGCGUUGGCGGUGGUCUCACUACUCUUGGGGGUAGAGUUGGUGUCUUGUGUUUUGGUGGUGGAGGUGGCUUAACAGGAGUUGGUGGCUUGUAUUCUGGGGGUGGUUUCUCCACCGGAGGUGGCUUAUAAACUGGAGUUGGUGGCUUGUAUUCUGGGGGUGGCUUCUCCACUGGUGGUGGCCUGUAAACAGGGGUUGGUGGCUUAUAUUCUGGGGGAGGCUUCUCCACUGGAGGCGACUUAUAAACAGGGGUUGGUGGCUUGUAUUCCGGGGGUGGCUUCUCUACGGGAGGUGGCCUGUAAACAGGGGUUGGUGGCUUCUCCACCGGAGGUGGCUUAUAAACGGGGGUUGGUGGCUUGUAUUCUGGGGGUGGUUUCCCCAGUGGUGGAGACUUGUAAACAGGAAGAGGUGGUUUGUGCUCAUAUGGGGGUGGCUUGUGGUCAUUAGCAAGUGAGGGAGUGGUGAGGACCACCAAUCCAAGGAACAACACGAGUGAGCAAGCAGAAGACAUGUUUGGGCUCUGGUGAUGCACAAGUAGAAGAAAUGGGAACCAUUUAUAAUGCUUCGAGACCUUGGUUAGCACCAAAAUAUGUCAAAAUCUUGAUUACUUCAUUUCAUACAUAGAUUUAAAAUUAUUUCAAUCAACCAUGAUCCUUAAUUUUCUGGGUGGUCCAUAAAUGUAAUGGGGUCAAUUUGGGACCUAACAAGCUGAGAAGUUUGACAAUGCUGCAAGGCUUCAUCCGAAAGUCCGGGGAAGAAUAUUAGGAGUUACACUCCGUUUCCUUUUUUGGGUGCAUUUUUCUCCUUUAACAUUCUAUUCCCUUUUACAUUAGCAUUUGAUCUUAGCUCAUUUCAAGUACAAGUUUCUUGAACCCUAUACCAUUGUCAAAGUUGAGUAACCAUCUCUACUUUGCUCAAGAAACAUAAAAGACAAUGACAAUAAAGAAAAAGGAGAGAGACCAUACGUGACUUGGUUUAUAGGUGGCUUUGUGUUGACAUUUGAGUAUGGAAGCCGACAUGCAUCUUAGCUUCGAUUUUAAUUAAAUUUGUACAUUAGUGUCUGUGUCAUUCAUUUUGGUAUAAAAGGUCUCUUGAUUUCGUAAGUUUGGUAAGAACCGUUGAAAAUAGCAGUAGCAGCACAUGGUCCACUUUCUUUCACAAAAUAAUUUUAAAAGUUUAGAAGCAUAGGAGGUAACAUUAGUGGCCUUGUGGCUCAGCCACGAGUACUAUGUGGUGCUCGAGAAAUUGAGUUUAAUUUCCUUCCGAUAGUUCAUGAUAAGGUCCGUCACUGUCCUGAGACAGAUUGCGUUUUUUCUUUUUUCCUUUUUUAGUGUUUUAUUGACUAGCUAGGUGUGACUUUUCCUACUUUAAGGCACGAGGCAGAAAAGAAACUGGGAUUUAGUGCUUAAGAAGGCAAAUUUAAUUCGAUUUGGAUCUAAAAUUUGCCAGCAACAUGAGAUUUUCCAGCCUAUCGUUGCUCCACAUAUAGACAAGGCACUUGUAGAAGUGGCUUGUUUGUAGCCAUUCCCGAUAUUUGGACUCACUUGAUUCACCGGACACUUUGAUAAAAUUUAAUAUUUAUUAUUUAAUAAUUUAAAUUGAUUUAAAAUUAAAUUAUACCGAAGUUGUGAUUUAAAAAUUAUUAUUUAAUUCUUACUUUUAAAUAUGAAGAUUAUUUGAUAAAAAUAAUUUAAAAUUUAUUAUAAAUUAUCAAAUUAACAUAUUUAUCCUUAUAAAUUAUAAUUAAAACAGAAAAGGUCAAAUGAUUUGAGUAUCCAUAGAUGUGGUAAAAUAAUAAAAAAGAUUAUAAAAACAAUUAUGAUAAAUAAAGAUAAAAAGUAAAAUGAAUAUGUGAAUUUAAAGAAUAAAUUAAUUAUUUUUAUUUAUUACUUAAAAUUAUUUUUGACUUUAAAUUAUAUUAUUAAAUUAUUUUACCAAACAUACUUAAUUUAGUUAAUAAUUUAAAUUUAAUUUAAGUUAUUAAAUUGAUUCACCAAAUACCCACUUAAUCAAAGACUGAAGUAUACAUUAUUUGGCCAAAUGCAGCUAUUGAAAUUUAACUUUUUCCAAACUUAUUCAUUUUGUGGAAAUAUUUUUAGAAAUGAUUUUAAAAAUGCACUAUUCUGUGUGUUGAUUUUAUAUUUUGGCAUUAAUCCAACAUAGAAAACGGUUCUUAUUUUCGCUGUUAAAUAGGUACCAGAUCCUUAAUUAGUGCCGUGAAUCCGGCAGCUUCCAAUGAGUAAUUUGGACUUGGGUAUUGACAAUGUGUGGCCAUGCUUCUACUAUUUUAUUAUUCUUGAAACAUAUAUGAUAUAUUGGACUUUAUACAGGGAAAAAAAAAAAAAAAAGUCUUCACCAAAAAUGAUUCCUCCUAAAAAAUAGACUCCACAAACUAGGUUUAACAGGAAAAUGAUUCUAAUCUAGUAGUUUCCAGCCACAUGAGCAUUUACGUAACAAUAGUAUAGUUGAUAACGACUUUUAUUUUAUUUAUUUUUAAAUAGUUAAAGGGAUAAUUUUUGAGCUUAAAUUUUAUUUUUUUAUUUAGAAACAUUUUACUUUAUUUUUUAAUCAUAAUUCUAUUAUAUUAAUGUUUUAUUUUCUAUUUUUUAAUAUAUAAGGAGAUACUAAAUUUAUGUGAUUAUUUUUUAAAAAUUUAGUAUAUGAAAUUAAAUAAUUGGAUAUAUAUACAUAUAUCAUAUAAUGUUUUUUAAGUGUGAUUUUUGAACUUUUUAGUCAUUUUAUAAGUUUAAGCUUUUGAUUUUUUUUUUUAAACUUUGGUAUUUUUUAUUUUAUAUAAAACUAUUUUGAUUUAAUUUUAUUAAAAAAUAUUGGUAUUAUAAAUUAUUGUAUUAAUUAUUUUUUUAUAUUAUAAUGUAACUGGUAUAUACUAAAAAAUGUAUGCAAGUUCAAUUUAAGUUUCAAAUUAAAAAAUUUCAUUUAAAUAUUUAAUAACUUGUUCAUAAUAAAAAAUUAAACAACAUAAUACAAAUGAAAAGAAACAUAAAAGAAAAAGGAAAAAAUGGUCCUCUCUGUGUGUCACAUUACUAGGUCAUCCUCUUUUUCUAUGACCCUUACAAUAGAAUGGCAUAUUUGUCAAAUCUACUUAUGAAAGUUGGAAUGUUUCUACAUGUGUAGGGUCCAUUGGAACUAAUGGAGGAAAGGCUUAACGUCUAUGUAAAUCACAACGUUGCCUAGGUGGGCAUAGAUCUAGUUGUGUAACAUGAGAUGGUGUGAGAGUACAAUAUAUGCAUUGUAGUCUCUAUGGGAAGAGAGAUAGGUAAUGGUAGGGUGGUAGACGGUAGGGUGAUCUCUAAUAUAAUGACAUUUGAUGUGGUGGCUUCUAAGAGAGGAGAUAUAAGAGAUGGUAGAAUGACAUUUGGUGUAAUGGUCUCUAGUGCAAUGACAUGUGAUAUGGUGACCUAUAAAGAAGAGAUAUAGGUGAUGGUGAAGUGGUAUGUGGUGUAGUGACCUUUGAGAUAGAAAAUAGAGGUAAUGGUAGGUUGGCAGGUGGAGUGGUCUUUGGUGUAGUGACAUCAAUUAUAAAUGUCUCCAAGGGAGGAAAUAAAGGUGAUGGUAGGUAGUAAAUGUUGAGGUGGUCUUUGAUAUGUUAUGCUCUAAGAGAGAAGGUAUAGGUAAUGAUAAUAGGGAAUUUGACAUAGUGGUGUUGGAAAUAAAAAGUGAAAGUGACCGUAGAGGUGAAAGGGCAAGUGUAAAAGCCUCAAGUACGAAUGGAGUAAUUAAUGUGGAUGGUGCUAACAUAGUCUUAGGUGGAUACACAAAUAGUCAUAGUCAUCAACUAGCUUGCCCACCAUCUGUCUUUCUGCUAGUGAUAGGUUACAUCUUAAUAGUAAUGGCCAACAUAAGUGGUGUGGAUCCGAUUUUUUUACGUGUGUCCCCACUCAAUCGACAAGACUUAUUUUUUAUUAGUGAAAAAUUAAUUUUGGAAAAGUUGGAGUCACCACUUAUUUUAUUUUAUUUUAAAAAGGAAAGUAAAACAAGAAAGAGAACUCUAAAGAAGUGACUUCAUAGUUUUGGAAAAGUUAGUCUUAAAAAAUCCAAGUCUUGGUCCGGAGAUCAGGUUACUUAUUGGGAAGAUACCUCUAAGAGGUAAUACCCCUCUAAACCCUAAAGAAGUCUCUAAUGACUAAGUUGAGGAGAAUGUGGUAAUUAAUUAAUUGAUUGAGGGUACCUAGGUAGACUAAGGUGAUUUCAGAAUUAACAUACCAAGCUAGAAAGUCCAAUCAUGAUCAUAAAAGAGAGUCAAAGUAUGUACCUGAACUGCUUCUCAAACGCUAUCAUAAAACAUCAAAGUUAGUAUAGAAAUAUAACACAUAAUAUUUGUUUUAUCCAAGCAAAUAAAGCAUACAUCUAAGCACCCAAGAAUCACAUCAAGUAUGGAUAUAGUCAUCAAUAGCAUACGUGUCCAUAGAACUAUCGAAAGUAAAUGUGGAGGAGCGUAUCUGGACAACAUAGAUAACUUAUAAUGUGCUUCCACAAGACAUGGGGGUUAGAUAAAAGUUAUAAUAAUAAUUAGUAAAUGAAAGAAUUCUAGCAUGUUUGGUAUCUAAAUAACAUAGCAAAAAUGAACAAGAGUACACGAAAACAUCAAUUAUCACACGAGUCAUAUUGGCUAGUAUUUAAUCAAUAAACCAACAAUAAAUGACUAUAAACAUAUAAAAUGACAUAUUCAAAGAGACCCAAACAUAAAGAGCCUAGAACACAAGCUUACACUAAAUUUAGAAAACUAAAACAUGGAAUUUUAAAAGCAUAAAUUAGCAAACAAAUUGAUGGAAACUAAAUUUAGAUAACUUAAGAAUAUUUUUCUUAUCCUUCAAUUUAAAUCAGUAAGCCAACAAUAAAAAAUUAUAGAAACAUGGAAUAUCAAGAUCAAUGGGAUACCUAAACUAUAAUUUUUAAAAGAAAAUAAACUAAGCAUAAUAUCUACAAAGCAACUAAACUAACAUUUUUUUAAAAAUAAAUUAAACAUGACAUUAAUGGAGUAACCAAACUAAAUUAAAGUAAACUAAAAACAUUUAUGAAUUUUCAAACAUGGAAUCAGCUUUCUUAGUAAAUUAAAAUUAUUAAAAUAAAAUCUAAGCUUAAAAAUGAAUUAAAUACUAACUAAAGCAAAUCUAAAACCAAAUAUUUAACACAUAGGAUCAAUUAUAUUAACAAACUAAAAUUUUAUAAGAACACUUAAACCUAAAGUUGAAUUAAAAACUAACCAAUUUUUAAAACUAGAUCUUUAACCCAUAGGAUCAAUUAUAUUAACAAAUAAAUAAUAAAUAAUAAAUAAAUAAAACUCAAACCUAAAGAUGAACUAGAAAUGUACCAAAGUAAAUUCAAAACAAGAUCUUUAACACAUUAGAUCAAUUAUAUUGACUAACUAAAAAAAAAAAAAAAAAACACUCAAACCUGAAACGAUGUAUUAGAAACUAACCAAAGCAAAUUUAAAAUAGAGUCUUUAACACAUAGGAUCAAUUAUAAUCACUAACUUAAAUUACAAUUUUUGAAACAUGAACUAAUUAGUGUUGGAUUAAUUAAACUAAUUAACUAAAAAAAACUAUAAACUAGAAUACGGUGAAUCAAGAAUUCAAAUCAACAAACAUAAAAUAUGGGUACAAUGAAAUGAAAAUCUAUUAAACUAAUAAGACGGAAAUAUGACAAACUCAUGAACCCACAUUUUGAUCAACUAGGAAAUAGAAAUUAAUAGACCUGUAGCAUGGAUACAAUGAAAUGAGAUCAGUUAAAUUUAUUUGCCGAAAUUCUAAAAAACACAUACACUCAAAUAAGAUCUAAAUCUAAGACCAAGCAAAACUCAAACUUUCUCAAUCUAAUGCAAUGAAUCAAAACUAAAAUUAAAUAGAAAUCAAACCAUUUUUUUUUUAUCUAAUAUAAUAAAUCAAAGCUAAAACUAAACAAAAUCGAAUUUUCUUAAUUUAAUAUGAUGAGUCAAAGCUAAAAUUGAACAAAGUUCAAACCUUUAUAUAAUGGAUCAAAGUUAAAUCUAAAUGAAAUCCAUACUUCCACAAUUUGAUAUAACAAAUCAAAAAUAAAACUAGAUAAAAAAAAAGUCAAAGCCUUUCAACUUGACAUAGUGAAUCCAAACUGAAACGAAACAAAAUUUUAACUUUUCCAAUGAAACCCAAUAUAGAAAAAAUUAGCUUACCUUCUUUAGAAUAUAUGUAUGGGCCAUAAAGAAGUCACCUUGGUGCAUGUGUUCCUCACUUUGACGCCAAUGGACGACUUUCUAUGGUAGCAAAUGGAGAUCCUUUUUGGUGGUAACUUGCGUGUGGAAACCUAUGGUACAACCAAUGUCAUCUUUUAUUGUGCGUGUGGACCAAUUUCUUCUCGAGAACUCAUGUGUGUUGUGCUCAAAAUAUGUUGCCUGUGAGAAUCUAUUGGUAUACCCCACAUAUGGUUUCCUUGAGAGAAUCUGUGGUUGUGUGUGGGCGUUUUCUUCAUGACAGCAUGUGGAUGUUCCCAUCUAUGGUAGAUUGGUUGUGAUGCUUUAGUGCAUGGUCUCCAUAGGAAUAGUGUGUUAUGGAAAUUUGGUUUUUUUAUUGGUGCAUGUUGUCUAGACUUUCCCAUAUGCGUGGACUGUGUGUUCAUGCUUUUCUUUUCGGAUGGUCGCCUGUGUUAAUGUGUGGCGGUGUCUACAAUGAAAGAUACAACCCUUUCUCUCCUUCUGCGUGAUAGAAAAGUCAAUCCCCCAUGGUGCGACUAUGUUCCCUCGUCCUUUUUGAAAAAUUUUGGUGUUUUCCCCCCAAAAAAUCCCCUCCAAAAAUCUAAUUAUAAAUGUCUGCUUUGGCCUAAUGUGUGUGCUACUUUUUUUUUCCUUCUUUUUAUGGUUGUGCGUGCUUUUCUUGAUACGUGGCUUAUUUCUUAAGGAUAUGAUUCGCUCCCAAUUGGUGUCUCAGCUGAUUCAUGUCCUUUCAAUGGUCCCUGACAGUGGUGCCAUUUGAUUCGUGUCCAGCUGGUGUCCCUUGAUUGUGGUCCUCAGAAGGGAGUAAUCAAUAAAAUUUAUAACCUAUUACACCAUGUAUUAGGAUAGCCUUAGCUAGCAUAGCAUAGUGGCUCUAGGGUCGUUUAUUGGGAUGAGUUUUCACUUCACAAUUGAUAUUAAUUCAAGAGCUGAAUUGGUGCCUUUUCAUUUCAAGGUUAGCUUUAAAAGAAAACAUAAUCUUUGGUGGAAAAAGGUUUGGUUUUAAACUAACCAAAAAUAGUAACUGAUUUUACUUACAAAGAAAAGUGUUCUUUGGAGUUUAGAUCACUAGGCUCAGGUUCCUCAUACAAAAAGGAGAGUUCCGAUCAUUUGUUUCUUUUCCUCGCAUUAGAGAAUUAACAUAUAGUUAAUUCUCUAACCGGUGCGGUACAUAUGCUUCCCAUUAAUGGGUUCAAACACUAAAUACCUCUCACUGAUGCACCUUGCAAUGGCUCGUGCCUCUCACCUAGCAUUUAUCAUUCAAGGUGAUCUUUAACCUUGGAUUACCCAUCAAAAGCUCGCAAGAGAUAACUAAAGGAUGUCUCCUUAGAGUCCAAAAGCUUACCAAGUGUUGGUUAUUCUAGAAAAUCCUACCUUCAAACCACCUCCCAAAGGCUCGCAAGAGAUAAACAAGUGCAUCUCAAUGGAUGAAGAUCACUUGCCUUACCAAGUUUUGGCCCAGAUGAUUUAAUGACAUUUUAAGUUAACUAAAAAGAUAAAAACCAUUAACGGGUCACACUUUCUCUUCAUUAAAAACUAAAACAACAAAACUUCCAAUUUAUGCAUGAGGAAACUUACCUGGCUUUCUUCACUUCAAGAGAUGAAGAGCCUAGCCACUCAUCAUUUGAGGAAAAAUCCUCAGAGUUUGAUUUGCUAGAAAUAAAAAUAAUGAGAAAACAAAAAUAUAUAUAUGAAAAACAGAGCAAGUUCUCUGUAAUAUAUUUUUCUUCCUUAUACAAAAGGUUGUCUCUAAGAACAAGUUCCCGAGAUCUAUCUGAUUGUAAAUAAAAUUACAACUAUAUAUAAGAGGUUAUUCACCCCUUUGUUCUUUCUUAAAGACUAAGGAAUCCUAUGAUAGGUGGGUUACAAGGAGAGUUUGGGGAUUUAGACAUCAAAUAUCUAAAGCAAAAUAUCUCAAGAUGUUAGUCGGAAAUAUCAGGAAGCUUCAGGAGAACACCGCGACACUGUAUACUGAGAGAAAAACUCUCCGGGUAAGCUCUAUCAAAGGAUCCAGACAUGUCUGACUGGGAAAGUUGAAACGUCCUUCUCUCCCAUCCGGAUGUGAGAUAUCCGGAGAAAGUGAAAUGUCGGUCGGACAGAAUUCUUUCCCCGGGUGGAAUGAGUUGUGUUGCGCGUCGCAAGGGGGACCGUCUGCGUGUACAAGUUGUAGGGACCCCUCUCCCGGAUGACACCGAGCGCGUAAGGCUAUCCGGAUCAACUCCAUUCGGAUUCCCCAAGAGGACAUGUGGCGUGCUCCCCUAUCAGGACUCCCUUAGGGAGAAGCACACGACACUCGUGAACAUCAUACCCGGACGAUAGCAUGUCCUAUCCGGAUGUGUUGUCCGGAUCAUUGACUAAAGUGAGCAAGCCUUGCUACGUCAUUCGGACAGCUUGCCACAUACCAUGUUCCGUCGCCAUCUGAUGGUGUGUCCGAACGCCUUGUCCGGACAUCUUUUGCUCCUUGCAUUCCGGAUUUGCUUAUGACAAAGGACUUCAAAGCUUCGGUUCUUCAUGUUUCUGAGCUUUCCAUUGCUUUGCCAUGGAUUCCAAAGAACUCUCCUUAAUCACGGAUUGCUUUGGUGAUCAAAAAGUUAUCAAAACACAAAAACUUAACAUAGUUUGAUUAGAAUUGAUUGCAAGGGUUCUUAAUAUGUUAAUUGGGUUAAAAGGUGAUAACUACUACUCAAAAGUGUUUAUAAGAAUUAAUUACAAGCUAUGAAAUAACACUUUUUGAGUAGUAAUCAGGAUACAUCCUAGUUUUUCAUGGAAUUGAUAGUGGGUUGUUGUGCAUGAAUGCCACCAUUUCAACUAUGCUGUUGUUAUUUUUAAAAAAAAUAUGGAUUAUGCGCGAGUGGCAAUUCUCCACUAUGGAAAGUGGAUUGCUCCUUCAACCCAUGCAUGGCUACGUAUUCCUAUGUCUUUCUACUUGUGUUUGAUCCUCCAAAAAAAAUUUCGGUUUAGUGCUAGUAGAUUUUAAGUGGUGGAUCCCCAUUUUUUGAAAAUGAAGUGGCAGCCUCCCAUUUCAAGACAAAAUGGUAGCCUGCCUUUAAUCUUUGGAGAAAAAUCUGUGCAUGACCUUUUUUUUUCCCAAAAAAUCCGUGCAUGGUGUCCUUUAAUAUUUGGAGAAAAAUCUAUGUUGGAUCUUUUCUUUUCUAGAAACAUUUGUGUGGUCUUUUUUGUUAGCCCAAGGGUUCUUCUAAUCAAGUUUUGAUGAUAACAAACCAUGGUUAAGUGACUAAUUGGUUUAAUGAUUAAGAAUCUCAAACAUAAAAUCGAAAAUUCAUCAAAGGACCAAAUGGAUACAAGAUCGAGACGCUUGGAAGACUUGUAAUCAUAGGAAACUAAUGUAAGAUGAAUGCAUGAGUGCACUUAGGAUUUUCACACGUUUCAUGCAACUUAGAAAACCCAGUUUAUUCUUUAAAACUUCAUCCCAGUUUAUUCUUUUUAUGGUUGUGUGUGCUUUCCUUGAUACGUGGCUUAUUUAUUAAGGAUACAUCCCAGUUUUUCAUGGAAUUGACAGUGGGUUGUUGUGUGUGAAUGCCACCAUUUCAACUGUGCUGUUGUUAUUUAAAAAAAAAAAAAAUGGAUUGUGCGCGAGUGGCAAUUCUCCACUAUGGAAAGUGGAUUGCUCCUUCAACCCAUGCAUGGCUACGUAUUCCUAUGUCUUUCUGCUUGUGUGUGAUCCUCCAAAAAAAAUUUUGGUUUAGUGCUAGUAGAUUUUAAGUGGUGGAUCCCCUUUUUUUGAAAACUAAGUGGCAGCCUCCCAUUUCAAAACGAAGUGGUAGCCUGCCUUUAGUCUUUGGAGAAAAAUCUGUGCAUGACUUUUUUUUUCCCAAAAAAUCCAUGCAUGGUGUCCUUUAAUAUUUGGAGAAAAAUCUAUGUGGGAUCUUUUAUUUUCUAGAAAAAUUUGUGUGGUCUUUUUUGUUAGCCCAAGGGUUCUCCUAAUCAGGUUUUGAUGAUAACAAAUCAUGGUUAAGUGACUAAUUGGUUUAAUGAUUAAGAAUCUCAAACAUAAACUCGAAAAUUCAUCAAAUGACCAAAUGGAUACAAGAUCGAGACGCUUGGAAGACUUGUGAUCAUAGGAAACUAAUGUAAGAUGAAUGCAUGAGUGCACUUAGGAUUUUCACACGUUUCAUGCAAUUUAGAAAACCCAGUUUAUUCUUUAAAACUUCAAUUUCAUUAAAACCCGAGUUUUUAACUAAUGUACCUUAGGCAAAAUGUUUUAUAAUUGGCUUAAUAAUUCACCUAAAUACAUUUUCUAAGUGUUAGAAAAGAAAGGAAUUAAAAAAAGGUUUUCGGGGCAAAAAAGGCUCAACCGGUCGAGGCUAUGGUCAACCGGCUCAACCGGUUGAGGAACCAAUCGAUCGGUUGUGCUUGUCCGAUCGAAGACCAAUCGAGGGAUGCCAAAAAAUUUCUCUCUCUCCUAGUGGCCUUCUCUUCCCGGUCGAGGUUCGGUCUAGGCAACGGUAACAUGUCAAGCAUUAAAUGCUCCGACGACUAGUGAAUCGGUCGACCCCUAGCCCGAUCGGACGAGGUUGCCUUUUGCUGUUUUUGACUCCCGAGCUUAGAAACCUAUAAAUUGAGAGCUCCACUUCAUUUAUUGAUAAAAGAGAACACUUGCAUUCAAUAGUCUACCUACCUUUUCUUGAUCAAAAAGCUCUCAUUUCCUUCAUAGUGCAUUAAAUCAUCACUUGCAUAUCCUUUAGUGCACUAUUGUGUGUCAUCCUAGCUUUGUUUUGUAUUUGAGCUAUCCUUAAGCUAGGUUGAGGGAUUAUUUCUUAUAAAAAUCUGAGUGUUAAAGCCUUCAAGAGAUUUGAAUCUUGAAGAGAUUGUGUAAGAGCCCAUUGGAGCCGGAGUCCAAGUGUAAGAAGAUUGGAAGCUUGGUUGAAGCUUCAAGUUAGUGGAACCCUCACUCGGUUAGGAGGUUGAGGAGAGUGGACGUAGGUAAGGAAGUGUCGAACCAUUAUAAACCCGAGUUUGAAUUCUCUAACUCUAUCUCUUUAUUUUGCUUAUAUUGUGUUUGAAUUUGUUGUGAUUGAAAAGAUUUUAAAAACCUAAUUCACCCUCCCCCCUUUUGGGUUUUUUUUUCUUAAUUAAGCAUAACCUUUGUUUUCUAAUUUUCUUUUUAGGAAAAUCCAUGCGUGGUAUGUCCAAACUCUCCAAGUGGCAGUCUGCCUUCUUCUAAAAAAUUUGUUUCUAUUUCUUUAUUCGACUACCUUCCAUGUCUUCCUAAUGAGUGCUUGUGCUCAAUGGUCAAUCCCUGGUGGUUGCCUCCUUUUCCCAUAUAUACGUGUUGCAAAAUCAACAUCCCACUAUAUGUGGGUUGCCUCUAUGGCAAGUUCACAUUUCCCACAUGAAACCUAUGAGUUUCCACCAAAAAUUGCCAUGAAAAAGUCUUUAUAUGCAUCUCAUGCAAUAAAAAGUCAAGCCAAUACUCAUCUUAUCUCGAAAAAUAAGUAACCAAAAUCAAGAUCAUGCCUAAGUGAACUAUGCCAAAAGAAGUGUCCAAGUGACCUAUUAUGAAAAAAGUGCCUAAGUGACCUAAGGUGAAUGUGUGUAAGCUGGAAGGUGUCUAGGAUGUUUAGGACAAUGCCUAAGCCUAAAAUAGGGUUGCCAAGGGUCACAAUGGGGUUAGAUAAAUCUCUCAAUCAGAGUCUCCAAGGUGGCUCAUAAAAGAUAAGCUACACGAGUAAUGAUGGGCCACCAGGGAAUUAUUGUAAAGCACCAAACGAACACAUAAUAGGACAUGUGUUAGAAUGAAAAAAUGGAGGGUUUACAAGUGGUCUCAUGGAUGAGCUUGAUAAUUUAAAUGACUCACAUAAUGAACGUAUGUGAUGUUUCUCUCCAAUAACAAGCAAAACAUCACUAGCAAUAUGAUGAAUGUCUCCUAAAUCACUUGAAGUAGUCCUAGCAAAUCAAUUAGAAAAAUCACACAUAUUGCUCUAAUGUAAUAUUAUAUACAUCUGUCAAUGAAUGGGAGAACUAAUGACACAACCAUCAUGUUGAUAUCUCGAACCCUCUAAUCUCAUAUGUAGGUGGGAUCACACUUAGAAACUCAUAACACAGUAAUGACCAAUCUAAGUCAAAAUGUGUUGGUGAUCGGAGGCCCAUGAAUAUGAAGUUCUAGGAUGAUAAUGACAUCUUAUAAAGUAAUGAUCAUCUCCUUAAUAGAUAGGUGAAAUGUGUGUGUCUUAGGACACCAUCUCUCAACAAGACUUGUGAUCAAUCCCCAGUCUAGUGUAACAUGCCUAUUAUGACAUCCAUCGUAAAAUCUAGACUAGAUAAUAUAAGGACAAAUGUGAGGGUUCAUCUCCCUUUCCCACAUAAAUUUAAAAAAUUAUUAUUGACAAGUUAAGACCAAACUAAGUUGCAAAAUAUAAAUAAGUCCAUUAGAUAACAAAUUUAUGUUUUCUCAUUUUCUCAUUUUUAAAGAGAUAUUAUGUGCUUCCAUGUACAUACAUGCUAAAGUCAAUUAUACGAGACUUAUAUCCAUCUUGUAGAACCAAAUCGAACCUAUCUAAUAGAUCCAGAUUAGAAGUAUGUCCUCUAUACUCCAUAUUUAUAACACAUUUAUAAAGAUAAAUGCUAAAAAAAUGUUAAAGAUAUAAAUUUAAUGAACCAUACUUUAUGAUUUUAAUUCUCAAUUAUUGUUCAUAUUUAUAAGAGAAAAGUUAAAAAAAUUGAUAGAGUUUUCCCUCUAUCAUGGACAUUAUCCCAAAUAAAAAUAAAUUGAUUAUGCAAAUUACAUUAAUAUUUGUAACCAAAUGAUCAAUAACUAUCUUGUAUCAAUUUAGUAAAUAAAUUUAAGUAUAUCUUUUCAUUUAUGACUAACAAAUAACUCAUACUUGUCCAAUAAAAGCCACACCUAAUUUCUAAAAUUUUGUCUUCACCUCAAGUGAGUGUUACAUUGAGAAAGAAAAAAUAUGAAAGAAAAAAUGAACACCUUUUUCUUUUAAUAAAAAAAGGCCAUAACGAAACAUUAAAUCUCACUGUUACACCUAUCUUCAAUGGAAACAUGAGGAUGUGAAUGGUGGCGGUGAUAUUCUUUGCUUGAAGCUCAUAAACAAAUAUUCCUUACUAAGCCUAUGCCAUUUAGUAUUUCAAUAGUGGACCCCCCCCCCCCCCCCCCCCCCCUCCUUGCAUUUCAGAUUUAGCAAACUUAGAACCAAAUAACAAAGUGCAUUUGAACCCAUAAAGAAGUAAUGAGACUCUCCUAUAUUGGCAAUAGAAGAAAUUUUUGGAGGUAUAGGAGAUUCACGGAUGAAGAAGUUGGGCCCCAAUUGAGAUAAGACCCAAGAAAAGAUGGGGUAGAGAGGGAUGGUUGGAAAUUGUAAAGUAAGAUUUUCAAAAUGUAGUUGAUGACUAAGAUUUUGACAAUUUAAAAAAGGUUUAAAAAUGUAGUUAGCAAUCGGGGUUUUGUAACAUUUAAAAAAUAAAAUAAAAUCUCAGGCCACAUGGUAGCCCAUGUGAUUCAGAAGCUUGAGAAUUAUUUUAUAAGAAGACUUAAUUUGUGAUUUUUUUAUAACUAUAUUAUUUUUUUUCUUAACACACGAAAAAAAUUAUGAAAUAAGACAAUUUUCCUAAGAAAGCAUGUAAGUGACUCUUGGUUAUUUUAUUUAACUUCUUCUAGUUUGGAGAGGAUUAAUACCUUUGCUUUUACUCACUUGCUUGGAUAUGUACACGUUGUUCAUGUCACUUUUCAUUUAAUUUUCUGAUUAAGGGAAUUGGAACCGUACGUAACUGUCUUUAUUCCCUCUGAAACUUGGACUUGGAGUUGGACUUUCAAUCUCAUCAGUCGUGUUUCCAUAAAAAAGAAGAUGGAUUAACCAAUUUUCCUAUGCCUACUAAUCAUACACAAAACUCCACUUCCAAAUAAAAAGGAAUGGGAUAUCACUUGUUAAUAGUGGCUAAAGACUAUUAAUAACCAUGCAAAGAAAUGUCACAUUUUUUGUUCUACGCAAAUUUUAUUCAUCAACUACUAGAACCAUUUCAUACAAUAGUAGCUUUUCGAUCCUUUGAUAAAUGGACACUUGAUGUGAUAACACCAACUACACCUAUAUAUUCAAGCAAUCAUGCGUAUAUAAUAGUGGAUAUGGAUUACUUCUCUAAAUGGGCAAAAGUUUUGUCAUUCAAGGAAAGUGAACGAGGAAACACAAGUUUACUUUCAUCGGAACUAAUAUUAUAUAUUGAUAUGACUUCCCAUUAUUACUUACGAUGGAAUAUGCUUCCAUAAAAUGGCCUAGAUGAACAAACUAUCCAAGAAGUUUGGGAUCAAAUAAUAUAUAUAUAGUUCAUGUGUGAUUCUUUGGUUGACAACCUUGUUAAGGGGUGAGUGAAGCACUUUGGGCAUACCACAUACUACAUGCUAGACUUCCACCCAAGCUACCCUAUAUUCCUUAUGAACAAAGUAGAAGUUGUCAUCUCUCUUGAAUACCAAAUCCUUUCACCUAAUAAUGCUAUCUAAAAAGGUCUUAAAAAGGAUAAAAAUGCGCAUAUUUGAAUUUUUGAAUUAGGAGUGCUACUUAAAAAGAAGCUAGAUAUACAAUAAUAGAAUGUUAUCAAGCAUAUCUCUUCAAAGUUUUUGACCAAAAAAUAUAUGAUUUCUCAUUUUAGGUAGGAGACUUAGUACUCACUAUUCAAAAACCAAUUAUCAUUACUCAUAAAAACUAAUAGAAAGUUUGGGCCAAAGUAGGAUGGACCUUAUAUUAUGCAACAAUUAUGCCUAUAAAAUUGUUGCAAAAGAGGUUUUAGAAUCAAAUCAAUGAAUGAAAAAUUAUUAAAGCAUUACUAUGCUUGAAGGCUAGUCAUUUUCCCUUAAAGUGCAAUAUUAAGUUGCAUAGUACUAUGUGGAUCCGCAUUUUUCACAUGCGUUCCCACUCAUUGUCGAGACUCACUUUUUAGAAGUGAAAAAUUAGUUUUAUUAAAGUCGAAGUUGCCACUGGGGAUUUGAACCCUAACAAAAGGUUCAAUUUAAGGAUAAAAAUAUCGAUAAUCACAUAUAUAUAUAUUGGUACUUUGAUUUUAUGAAUAUAUUGAAGAAAUAUGGACAAAUAUUUUGACACAAAAUAUGUACAAAAUAAAAAUUAUAUAAAAAGUAAAAAUAAAUAUUUUAAAAUUAUUUUUUUAAAUAUAUAUAUAUAUAAUUUGACAUAUUUGAUAAUAAUAUAUAAGGGUCUCCAAAAAGCCCGUGGCCCGCUUUAGGCCCGGUCCGACCCGACAGGCUAAAGCCCGGCCCAAGCCCGCCGGGCCCAAGCUCGGCCCGAGCCCGUUUAUGGGUGGGCCGGGCCGCGAGCCCGUAGGCCUGCUCCUUUAAAAAAAAACUACAAAAAUAAAAAGUAUUAAAAAAAAUAUUCAUUUCAAAAUUUUAUUCAUUGAAUGUAUAAUUACAUUUGAAAAUGUGGGAAAAGUUUACAUCACUACAAAAUAAAUACAUCCCAACUAGGUUGGCACCUAUUUAUUUGUCAAUCAUCUGUAUUUUUCAACCACAAAAAAUAAAAAUAAAAAUAUAAUAUACAUUUAGUCAUUAUUUUCUGGCGGUGAUGGCGAACUAUCAUGCAUCCAUGAAGAUCUUGAUAAUUUUAAAGAUUCCAUAUCGGUAAGCAUCUUUGUUUCUCGAAUGGAAUCAUACAUCCUUUUAUCUGCUAUUUCCCAAUCUUUCACACAUAUCCCUGCUUUAAUAACAUCUGACGCUAAGUUGCAUCGUUUUUUACUAACUACUCUUCCACCUGCACUAAAAGCAGCUUCUGAUGCAACUGUACUCACAGGAACUGUUAGUACAUCACGAGCAAUUAUAGAAAGCACAGGAUAUUUGUGUUGAUGUGAUUUCCACCAUAUUAAAAUAUUAAAAUCUUCUUGAUCUUCAAAUGAAAUUAUAUCAGUAUUAAGAUAUUUAUCUAAAUCAGAUGUAUUAUUUGGAGAAUUAUUUGUUGUCUUUUUUCGACUUUUCAACAUUUCUAGAGCUCCUUUAUAAAAAGAUGAGGAGUUUGUAGAUGUAGGUGGUAAUUUAAUAGUAUUAAUAUCAUUACCAUAUUUUUCUUUAUAAUAGUUAUAUAAAUUAUAUAAUAAUGAAUUUAUUUCAUUUUUAAUUUCUUCAAUUUUUAUUUGGUCAUUAAAAUAAAUAAUUGUUAACCAUUCAUCCAAAGCUUCAAAUUUCAAUCUAGGGUCCACAAUUAAAGCAAUAUAAAAAAUUAAAGGUAUUUCUCCCCAAUAUUUUCUAAAUUUUUAUAUCAUUACAAAUAUUGUAUCAUUAAAUAUUUCAAAACUUAAAUAUUUUUGAAGUACAAUAAAAAUAUUAGUUAUUUGCGUAAUAACUCGAUUUGAAGUUGGAUAAUAUACACCACAAAAAAUGUUUGUUGAAGUAUCAAAAAUUUCAAAAAGAUCUCUUAAAACAUCCGCAAUAUGCCAAUCAUAAUCAUUUAAUGCAUAAAUAUCUGCUUCAUAAUCAUUGUUAAUUAAUUGUAUUUCAUAUAAUUCGACUACUUUUCUAUAUUUUGUAAUAUUUUCUAAAAGUUUAUAUGUGGAAUUCCAUCUAAUAGCCAUAUCCAAAUUUAUAUUUUUUCUUUUCAUAUUUAACAUUUUGCAACAAUCAAAAAAUAAUUCAUGUUUUGCUUGAAAACUAUUAAUACUAUAUGCAAUGCCUCUAAUUUUUUUCCAAUGUACUAUCAACAUUUUUUAAUCCAUCCUUUACAAUUAAAUUUAAAAUAUGUGCACAACAACGCACAUGAAAUAUUUUAGCAUGAUCUUCUUUUACUUGCCAAUAUCGUUUUAGUCUAUGUAUUGCUGCAUCAUUAUUAGCAGCAUUAUCUAAUGUUAUUGUCAAUAUUUUAUCACGAAUGCCUAAAUCUAUAAUUUCAUCAUUUAUUAAAGAUGCUAUAUUUUUACCACUAUGUGGAGUAUUUAUUAAUUUAAAUAAAAUUAUUCUUUUAUUUAAUUUCCAUUCAUUAUCAAUGUAGUGAACAAUUAUAUAUAAAAAACCAGUAUGAGUUAAAGAUGUCCAAAUGUCAGAUGUUAAACGAAUAUUUCCUUCAAAAUUUGCAAAAUUUUUUUUUAAAAUUUCUUUUUGUGUAUAAAUUUUUUUCAUAAUAUCUCUUUUAACUGUAUUUCCAGAUCAACCUUUAAAUUGAGGAUUAAUACCUCGUUGAAUUGUUCUUGCAAAAUCAUGAGUUUCCAUCAUGUUGAAAGGUUGUUCUGCUCUUAUUAUAUAAUCAAUCAUUUCUUCACAACAGUUAGAUUCAUCAUAAGAAAAUGUUUUUAAAUUUCCACUUUCAUUUUUACUUAAUUGCAUAUAAUUUCUAAUAUCUACAUUAUUUUUAGUUUUACAAUUUUCAUGAUGUCUUUUUAAAUGACUUGUAUCUGCAUUUGAGCCACCAGUAAGAAAUUUAUUACAAAUUUUACAUUUUGCUUUUAUUUUUUUUUUAUUAUUUUCUAAAAUUAUUUCUAUUCUAUCAAAAAAAUUCCAUAUAUUUAAAGUAAAUUUUUUGUUUGAUGAUAUUUCAUCACAUGGACUAGACGAAGAAGCACUUGUCAUAUUAUAAUUAUUGAUAAAAUAUUAUGCCAAAAAUAAUAAAGUAAUAAAUAUAAAAAAAAAUGUAACAAAAAAAAUAAAGUAGUAGGGGUGAAGUAUGUUACUCAAUUAGAGAACCUAUGCAGAAAUUCCUAGCAAAUUUGAACUCUUGGAGCCACCAAUGCUUGUUUUGCACCAUCAACAAUAUUGUAUAAUUUGAGGGAAAAAUAAAAGAAUUUAAAAUAUUGUAGAAUGUGAGAGAAAUAGAGAGAAUUUGAUGAAAAAAUGAAAAGGAAGAAAAUGUAUUUAUAGGAAGGUUAAAAAUAAUAAUAAUAAUAAUAAUAAUAAUAAUAAUAAUAAUAAUAAUAAUAAUAAUAAUAAUAAUUGGCCAUGUGACCGUUGGAGGCUUAGCUCCAACGGUCACAUGGGCUGGAGCUAGGCUCCAACAGUCACAUGACCGUUGGAGCCUUUAAUUUUUUUUUUUAAAAUAAUAUACUUUAUUUUUAUAUAUAUAUAACUAACUCAAUUAAUAAACAUAAAAAGAAUAUAGUUCAGUUGGUUAGAACCUUGAAGUUUAAACAUGAGGGGAGGGGUUUGAAUCCCUCCCUCUCCCUUAGGGGCUUUUUUAAAAGCCAUUUUGGCUUAUUUCAAAAAGCCUGUCGGCCCGACCCGCCCUGCAGCCCGCGGGCCUAGCAUUUUAGCAUGGCCUGGUCUGUUGACUAGUCAAAUGGCUCAUAGGCUCGGCCCGAACUGGGCCGCGGGCCUCUUAUUUACGGACCGGCCCGACCCGGCCCGCCCGUUGGAGACCCUUGAUAAUAUCUUCUAUAUUAAGUUACAUUAUAGUUUAUUUUACAAUAUUAUUAUGAUAAUAUGUCUAAUUUUAAAAUAUAUUUAAUAUUAAAAUUAUGAUCUAUUUUAAUUUAAAUGUAUUCAAUGAUAUCAAAUAAAUAAUAAUAUAUGUAUAAUUCUUUUAUUAUUUAUAUUUAUUAUUUUUAAUAAAUAUAUAGAUUAUAUAAAAAAGACCGGAUAUAUCUUUUCAAAUUUUGUAUCGCUCUCCAAGGAUAUUAGAUGUAUGGGAAUUUGUAUUGCUAUCUACGGAUACGUUGAUAUAUGGGUGAUUUAUCAGGAUAAUUAGAAAUUCUAAUUAUGUAAGCAGGUACGGAGUUCUGUGUCGGUGCGAUCUUGUCGACAACAGCUCCAAAUUGUGCAUCUUGCUCAUAGAGAGUAGCGGAAUGCACCAAUCGUAGGCUCAGAGUACCACUGAGUCGUCUGGCAGAGACCCAACUGAAGGUGCCUGUGUUGUUCCUGAUCUGAUCAGGCUUCAAACUACAAGGUGGAAUACUGGUUCCCCUAUAUCAGAAGCUGGAGAUACCCACCCCAUAUGCUCGUCUGGAUGUGCUCCUACCCUUUGAAGCCUUCUUCCGAGUCAAGUCCGAAUUGAUAAGGCUAGUGAGUUCCCAACCAACUGUACUCAGCAUGCUGCCAGGUGGAGACCCUCCAUAUUUGAUGGCUUCCUAAUAUUAAAAUGCUGACCACUGGUCUUCAUGUUCCACAGGCUUAAUUGUGUCCUUUGCUGAAAGAAUGGAUAGUGAUCCAUUUUAACACAUGAUUCACGCCGUCUUUGCCAUUCUUCAUGGUCUAGCCCUUUUAUAUAUAUGCUUCCUGAACUGUUGCUAUUAAUAAAAUGUGGUAUCUAUCCCGUACACCUUCCUGAUGGCCAGCGAAUGCAGAAGCUACAGAAACGGUUCCAUCUUUUGCUUCCGCCACUUUGGCAUCCUCCAUGAUGAGAUCGAAGGUGAAUAAUCAUAUUCUGGGGAUUUAUGUCCUGGAUAUUCUCAGUAAUGCCCAAUUUCCUGGUGCCGGCCUCAUUUCCAUGGGAACUGAUGGAUAACUUAAGGCUUCUACCAUCUGCGUGGUUCGCUUCUAACACAGGAAACUUCACGGCUAAAAGCAAGAUACCAAGAACAUCAAGGCUGUGACAAAAAUUAGUAUUUUUAACUUGUAGGAAUUUGAAAGGCAACCAACCAUCUAGCUCUGUUCUUAAAGCUCCCAUAGGAGGAUCAGAGGCUGGAUUGCUCAAGAUGAACUCAUCCAUUGUUGCACUUAAAAAGAAUUGGCAUGAAUUGUGGCCGCUCUAAUAGGUUCCCUAAACCAUCAUCCAAGUGGGCUUGCGGAAGGUAGCGAGUUUAAAACACCUAGGGCGAUGAACAGUGGACUGUGAUGCUCACAAAAGAGAAAAGGAAGAAUUCAAUAAUUCCUAAGAAUCCAUUUGCCUGUCAUCCAAAUUUUUAUAUUCUCUUCAGUCUGACGCGUUAUGCCAUAUAUUAAAAAUAGCGGCUUCUUCCAAGCCGAGACAGACUGUGCAAAGUUCGCAAGGCCAAUCAUCACCAUAAUCUGAAGUUGGCCUCCUCAAUCGCAGCUUGUAUCCGAAUGCUCACUUCACGGGAUGGAUUGUAAUGAAAACUAAUCUCAGUCCCAGCUAUGGCAGCAUCCUCACUUGACAGCAUUUUCUGCAUAUUCUAGAACAAAGCAAUAAACCCUCAAAGGCUCCUUCGGAUCAGAGUUAGAAGACUGUCCCUCAGGAACGUGAACACUAUGGUGGUUCUGAUAAGCAGUGAUAUUGCAUUAGAGCCUUUUGGAACAAGAGGAUCUUUUCAGGUGGAAACUGUAAACUGCUUCAUGUUGGGCUGCAACCUUUUCUUCAAGCAAUACUUUCUUUCUGUAUCACGACUUAUGUUGCUUCCGGAGCCAUCCCGUGUGGACUGCCCUUCAGUGAAAGAAUAUGUGUGUUGACAUGUUGGAUUGUAAUCUUUGUUCCACUCUAAUGGCUUUUGGUCCUCCUCUUUCUCUUUAUGACAGAGAACCAUUUAGUGAUCCAUCUCUAUAUUGUAGCAUUGCUGGUGCUUUGCAAUACUACACUCUCACCAAGCAUAACAUCUAUUUUUCCGUGACCAAAGUAUGUCGGUUUAUGCAUGCGCAAACUCUUAUUCAUUGGCAAGUUGUCAAGCGUAUCUCAUGAUUUCCCAAAGCCACAAGUUCUUAUGGUCUUUCUGUUCAAGCUUACAAUGAUCUAUCUUUUCUUGGUUAUACUGAUGUCGAUUGGGCUAGUUGCCCUGAUAACAAGCACAAUACUAGUGGGUACAACACUUUUCCUGGUCCUAAUCUCAUUUCAUGGGCAUUUUCAAAGCAGAAGGUUGUGUCUCACUCCAAUAACGAAUCUGAAUAUAGGGGACUCACUAAUUAAUGUUGUUGCCAAGGUCACUUGGAUUGAAUCUGUCUUACGUGAGUUGCGUGUUUCUCUACCCCAACCACCAAUUUUGUUGUGUGACAACAUUAGUGCUACACACUUGGACAAACCAUGUUGAAAUACACUAUCAUUUUAUCCAUGAAAGGCUUAUGCAUCACACACUCAAAAUUCAAUACACCUCUUCUAUAGACCAACUAGUCAAUGCUAUGACCAAAGCUCUUCCUUCAUCUCACUUGUACAAUCUUCAGUGCAAGCUGAUUGUUCUUCCCAAACCACUCAACUUGAGGGGAGAUGUUAAGCCAAUUUAAUAAAUUGAUUUCUUUUGGUUAAUUUGUUAGAAUCAUUUUUAUUAGAGGUUUGUUUGUACAAUUACAUCCAUUUAUCAGGAGAGUACACGUGUACAACUCCUCUUUUAAUCUCACCAUUGUAUAUAUAUGAUACACGACCUUACUCAGAAUUGCAUAACAUUUCCUCUGCUCAUUCCUUUUCUUCUUUGAAUUUUCCCUUACCUCACUGAUUUUGAUUUAUACCUGGUGUUUUCACCUUUGGUCUCUACCUUUCUAGCCAGUUUUCUAAUUAAUCCGUAUAUGGUAUACCUGUCAACUAAUGAGGAGAAAGAGAAAAGGGGAUUGCUGUUCCACCAGCUACAUAUAAUAAUUAAUUACAAUCAUGGUAAUGGAUCCUGAAAUCCAUCCUUUGUGGAUUUUGUACGGAAUAUUGUUGUUAUGUAUGUGGGCUCACUUAGAUGUAUAUUGCUAGCCUGUCUGGGAAAUGUGAUUGCAGGUCCAGAUUAUGAUGUUGAUAUUAGUGGGAUAAGCAAGAGAUGCAGUUAACACGUAUGUGAUGGACUUGAGUAACUUUUCCAUUUCAGUCCAUUUUUUAAGAUUAUGCUUAGUCUUAUUACAAGGAAAGACCAUAAGAAUCAUGAGUCAUUGGCAAGGUAAUAUCAUUCCCUCUUUACAGGCUUCUUCACCUUUUGGUUUUUUUAAUAUCCAUCAAGAUCUUUUAAUUGGAGGACAAUUACAAGUAUAUAUAUAUGUAUUAAAAGGGGAAAAUAUUAAAACAGGAAAUUUUAGGGAAAAUAUAAUAAUUAUUUCUUCCUUCUUUCCCAUAUAGAACUACACAAAAUAAAACUUUAAUAAUUUUUUCUUAUCUUUUUUAUUAUUAUUUUUUCUUAGAAACAUCCGUGGUCUCACAAGCUUGUAAUCCUAGAUUGUUAGGCUCCUUUAACAGUGCCCCAACAUCGUGGUCCAAUGACAAGCUUCCACGCCUUAAAAUCAGAAAAUGCCAUUAAACUUUAUCAGACAUUACAGUUCAAGACAAAGCUUUCAUUUGCUUAAUGUGAUAAUGAAAUUGUUAAUUUCAUUUCGUGGGCAUCUAAAUUUGGACGAGCAAGACCUCUGAAUUCCCUGUUUUUAUCACCAGCAGAGGAGAUAAAAUCUUAAUGGUGAGAAUCUCCACGUGAAAUUUAUGUGUACUGUCAACAUAUUUUUGUUUAUAUAGUCCAGUAGCUGCAGGAAGUCUAGAUUAUAUAGGUAGCAGUAGCACUAUUUAUAGCACUCGAUAUUCGCUGUAUGAAUACAUUAAACCUUGUUUUCAAUACGCAUCACAAGCAAGUACUAGAUACUACAAGGAGUGACAGUCGCAUCAACAUUUCUUGAUAAUAGCAGUGACUGAUUUAUACACAGAACAGUACUGUACACGUACCAGUCACCAGAGAUAGGAUCUUAUUCCUACAUACGACUCUUAUUGAUCGAAGUCACUCAGUUGGGGUAGCCUGGAGUUGGAGGUUUGUGUGGUGGCUUCUUCUUUGGAGGAGGCUUUAUCUUUGGAGGCAUCAUCUUUGGAGGCAUCUUGUGUGAGUCUUCUUCAGCAUUCUCUACAGGAGGAUGGCCAGGCUUAUGACCCUUAGGUGGUUUGCCAACUGGGAUUGGUGGCUUGUGUCCUGAGAGUGGCUCCUCUUCUUCGGGAGGUUUGCCAACUGACGUUGGUGGCCCGUGUCCUGGGGGUGGCUUGUGUUUUGGGGGUGGUUUCACUCCACCGGGAGGUUUACCAAUUGGUGUUGGUGGUUUGUGCUCAAUCGGUGGCCUCUCAACUGGGGGGCGCUUGGGGUAAUCAGCGAGUGAAGAAGUGGUGAGAACCACCACUCCAAGCAACAACACUAGCAAGUAUGUGGAAGACAUCUUUGAGUUUGGCUCAGAUGGUGUAGAACUAGAAUCCUGGGUGGCCUUUUAUAUUAGUUGGGCCCUAUGCCCGAACGACAAGUGUCAUGGUGACACAUAAAGUGAUGGGGUCGAUUUGGGCCUACCGGAUUUGAAAACUUGGACAAUUCGAGAAGCGUCUCCUGACUCCGGGUUGUAAAGUGAAAGAUUAGGUAUCGACCAUUGAAGUAUGAUCACAACUUUUGGCCUUUGGCUCUCUCUACUGCCGUAUAGCUUUUUUCCUUUGGAUAUUUUUCUUAGCUAGACACAAUUAUUGAGCAGUCUAAUCUCGAAAUGGGAUUAGUAUAGCUUUAAGCAAAUUUAUUAUAGUUAGUGGAGGACUUUUAAGAGUGCAGACGACAUUUAACACAUGCAUGCAGUAGUAUAGGGGACAUAACACUAUUCUUUUUCCAAAGAUUCACAUGAUUUUUAUAUUAUAGUAUUGGCACAUUGUAUGUAGCUGGUUUUGUGGUUAAAAUUCCAUAUGUAGACACUGGCGUUUCUCCAUUUCUCACAAUUGAUGUUUACCUCCACGAUUACUAGAUUAGAUAUACCAAACAAUAACACAUUGUAUAAUCUAUCCGCCCUUCAAAAUCUACUGUAUGAUGAAAUGUUUCAUGUGUGUGUGAAGUGUUAGAAAUGCACUAUAGGCAACAUCAUCUUCUUUUGUCUAGGCUUGGGCCUCAAAUUAUACUCCCAUGCCAUGAUAAAUUUUCAUGUGCAUUCUCUAAAGAAGAGUGUCUUGAAUGUGCCAAAUCAUUUUGAUUGAUUUUAUGAUGUUAAUUGCUCCGCAUAUGGAUGGGUAUGUGCUUUAUUUGCUUAUUCAAUCCACAAUUACCUUGAACUGAAGUCCUAUUGGAGCUCUAUUAUUUUAGCAACGUCCUGUCAAAUAGGCUGCUAACUUGGGGUGGUAUGGACCCAAUGAUCCAUCUUAAUCUUGGGUUGAUUUUGUCUGACUCUAUCUAUCUCAGAGAGAACCAGGAUCACCAGUGCUGGUCUGCUUAAAGAAGACUCAGUACUGGAUUAAUAUUGGUUUGGGUCAAUAGCUUAUAAUGCAUUGAAUGCAGAAUAAACAAGAUCAAUGAAACCCAAAACACACUGCCCACACAACUUCACUCUGGUGUCUGUUAUUCAUCAAUUCUAUUCCCACAUGAACUGGUUCAAGUUUAAGAAAAUGACAACGGAUCCACUGUAUUAACUUGGUUUUGCUUGGUUUUGAGCUAGUUGCCAAACCAGCCAUGAGUUUUACCUCUAAUGUCAAUGAACAAACCCCAAAUGAACAACUGCAACAGCUUAAAGAGAAGGAAUGGAGAUGAAAAUCCCUGUUUCUUCUCAUUCUGGGGACAAAUUAGAACAUAACUACAAAGGUUCUAUUAAUUGACUUACUCUACCAUGAAUUAUGGUUCUUUGGUUUUCCAAAUUUAAAUUGUACAUGAGAUUAUUUUUUUCCUUUAUAUAUAAACAUAUUAAGGUUUUCUUAUUUCGUGGGCAAAUGCGCUAAGGAUGAAAGUCAUUUCAUUUGGCUGCAACAGCAUCUUAUAAUCAACAUGCAUAAGCAGCAGUUUUAAUUGAUCGAUUGAACACCGACUCACAAGAAUAGAUAGAAUGGUACAAGACAGCUCUUAUUAAUUUAUACUCGUUACUCAUUUUAUGUAGCCCCAUUAAGAUGGCUGGCUGGACCACCGAGGUCUGGGGGUGGUGUUGCUUGUGUGAUGCAGCGGGCCGGGCAGACACUUCUCUAGUUGCUUCUAUUUGGAGUUAGAGGAUCAGUCUCUGCCAACCUUGAGGACUCUCUACCUCAGAGGGUCCAGGUGGUGGACUCUGGUGUCGGUAGCUUUGAACUCUCAGUAGACUAGUGUGUCUUAAUCAGUCACUGCCAGAGGCUGGCGUAGGCAGUGACGAUAAGGUGAGACAAAUUACCGAAUAGUCAAUAUCGACUGCACUUGACCAUUAUAGAUUUGUUCUGACAAAAGUGAGAAAAGGGAGAAAAUCGGAUGUUGACCUUUAUAGAAAAAGAUAAGAUUUACUGCAACACAGAGCACUGAUUUGUUACUUGGAAACCAAGUUAUGCUAUUAGCUAGCCUCCAUUAGCAGCAGGGUACCUUGCUGCCUGAUCCUAAUCUGAGUUCCCAAGGUUUCAAUCUUCGUUUGUUAACGCUUCAGGAUUUGGAUAUUUCAGCUUCGUUUCUCCAUUUAGCCAACGCUGCCUGGUUUGGAUUUCAAUCCUCAUCUGGAACAUUCUUUUUUCGGUCUGAUUCAGGAAGUGUUUGGUGAUAGUUGAUUAAAAUUAAACAGUACUAUCAUACAAAUAAAGCUGAUCUAAUUUUGGUGGGCAAUAUACCAACUCAUUUAUUCUUGAAAACACCAUGGGGAAUUGGAGGUCCAUCCGAAGUACUAUUUGAUGGGACUCACAAAAAGAACAGGUGCACAUUUAUGAGAUCCGUGGAAGAGAUAACUAUGACAGCUAUGCAUGUACAACAGAUUUAUGUCGAGUUCACCUCGUAGAUAUUUUGUUUUCAGUGUCGGUGGACCCCAAAAUGGAAAUCGGAAAUUAAGGUUAUAUUUAUUUUUUUAUUUAAUUUUAAAUAGAAUUUUAAUUUUUAAUAAUAUUAAGUAUUAAAUUAUUUUUUUAAGGGUAUUUUAUUUUUAUUAAGUAUUAAAAAGUAAAAAAAAUUAAUAUGUUGCUUUUUUAUUUUAAAAAAAUUAUAUAUUUUAAUUUUUUCUAUUUACUAAAAAGUUUAUAAUAAAUUAUAAAAAAAUAAAAAAAUAAAAAACUUAAAUUCUGAAAAUAAAUUAUUUUUAAUAAAAAAAUCCAAAAAAGCAAACACCACCUAAAUUUGAGAUGACUCAAAAUUUUAUAUUUUUUUUCACCUAAAUUAUAUUCAUAAAUUUAAAAUUAAAAAAUUAGGAAGUUGAAUUUUAUUUUGGAUAAUUGGAAACUACAAGAAAUCAAUAAAAAUAUUUGGAAAAAAAAGAAAAAGAAAAACUAUCUAUAUAUUCACCCCCUUCUAAGAAACAUAACUUUAGUUUUUAACUAUUUUUUAAAAUAAUUUUUGAAAAAUGUUAUAUAAUAUUUUAUAAAACAAAAAAUCUGUUUGACAAUUUGAUAUGUCUUUAACUUAUUUUUAAUAUUUAUAUAUAUAUAUUUUAAAAAUAAUUUUAUAUUUAGAACUUUAUCUUUAAUUAUUAUAUAUAUUUAUAUAAUUAUUUUUUUUAAAACAACUCUUAAAAAAUAAGUGAAAGUAAUUGAAAACAACUCAAAGAUAUUUGAUGAAAACACUCUAAUUUGUAUUUUUGAGAAUAAAAAAAUAAAUAAAUAAAUUUCUAGUUAUCAAAUGUAUUUUUUAAUUCUUUUAUUCUAAAAAAUAGAAAAUCGUUUUUGAAAAUAAUUAUUAAACAACAUUCUUAAAAAUUCACUCGUUACAAUCUAGAUUUAAUGCAAGAAUGAUUGAAGGAGUCCUCCAAUAGAACCCAAAGUUAUAAACAUGAACAAGAAGCCCUAGAAACACCAAAGAUCUCAUAUGGUAUAUAUAUGAGCUUGAUUGAGAACUGUUUUAAAUUCAGUUUUUUUUUUUUUUUUUUUUUUUUGUUUUCAAAGUCAAAACAAGUUUACUUUUAAUUUUUACUUCUUUUUUUUAAUUUUAUAAAUAACAGUUUUUUAAUAAUUUAUUUUGAAAACAUGAUUAUUUUUAAAACUUAUAAUGAAAAUAGGAAUUUUUUUUUUAAUAUCAUGGUUAUUUUCCCUUCUUUUAAGGAGGGCUAUUUUAAAAAUAAAUUUACAAAUAUGAAAAAUGAUUCAAACUAAAGCAGUACAAAUAAAAAACAUUUUUAAGAAAUAUUUAAAAAUAGAGAAAAUUAUUUGAGAACAUUUGAAGUCCUUAAAUAGACUUUUGUUUUAGAAAAGGCAAGAUAAUUAUUUUUGAAAAUUGUUUUCAUAAUGAUAUGCAAAAACCUACGUAAAAACCAUAAUUAUAAUCGGCCACAUAUCAAAUCUACUAAAUAUGAAAAGUAAGUACAUAAUUAUAUUUGACUUAGAUGCAAGGAGGAAAAUGUCGCGAUAUUAUCGCCGAAAUAUCGUGUGUCGAAGGGUAUCGACACGAUUUUUCUUGCAGAAAUAUCGGCCAGUCGAUUUUUCGGGAUAAAUCUCGAGAAAUCGGCAAUUUAUCGCGAUAUAUCGGCGAUUUUUCCUCGAUAUAUCUUCUGGUCAACGCGGGUCAACGGAGUCAACACGCUACAGUGAAAGUCAAAUGUGCUACAAUGUCCCCGCUACAAUCACCUCCCCAAACAAAUUGCCAAAUUGCUUCCGAGGGGAUUUGAACCAGCCUUCUUGCCAUUUGGGCUAACUCGCCCUUAUGAUAUAUAUUGCAUUAAACAUAUAUAUACUUAAAGUCCUUAUAUAAAGAAAAUGUUAAAAAAAUAUUUUAAAGAGCAAAUUAAUUAUAAUUAUUUUAUAAUUAAAAGCAAAAUUUUCUUUUAAUUAAUUACCAAAAAUAUAAAAAUUAUAUAAUUUUCUUCAUAAUGUUUUUAAUAUCAUUAAUAAUUAAUUAAAUAUUAAAAAAUUAUAUAUAUAUAUAUAUAUAUAUAUAUAUAUAUUAUAAUUUAUUUUAUAUUGUUUAAUACAAUUGAAUUAAAUGGAUCAUAUUUUAAUAUUAAUAUAUAUUUUAAAAUUAGACAUAUUGUAAUCAAAUAUCAUAAUAUUAUAUGUAAUUUAAUAAUAAAUGUACACUUAUAAAAUUCAUAUUUUUAUCGAUGCAUACAAUAUUAUUAUCAAAUAUGAUAAAUCAUGUUAUACAUAUAUCAAAAUUUUCAAUAAAAUAACUUUAAAAUGUCUAUUAUACUUCUAAUUAUAUUAUUAUGAGGUUUUCUUUACAUUUUCAUGAGUUUUAAACAAUUUUAAGCACCAAUAUUUUUUUCCAAAAUAUCCACCGAUAUAUCUCCGAUAUAUCCAAUAUAUCUCCGAUAUCUCCGAUAUAUCCGUAAAAUCGAAGUACCGAUAUAUCCGUGAUUACCGAUAUUUUCAUCAUUGCUUAGAUGCAACCUUCUUCCAAAUGACAUACUUUAGUCAAUACUUAUAUUUUUUCGUUUCACUUCUUUGAUACAACACCUCAUGGAUUUAUUGUUUAAUUUAUUUGUAAUUAUAAAACUAUUUUUCAUUUUUAAUAAGACUUGAAUUAAUUUAAUAAAUAUUAUAUAAUUUGAAUUUAUAAUUCUUUUUAUAAAAUCAAAGUAUAUUAAAAAAAAAACAAUUUAUCCGAAGAAAGUUUUUUAUUUUUUAUUUUUUAAAACCGAUUUUAAAAAUAACUAGCUAGACACCCUUAUUUUGAUAAAAUACGAAAUAAAAGUGUAAAAACAACAUGGCCAAAUAGGGGCUUAAAUUUUAUUUUUAAAACAUUUUUUUACACUAAAGUGCAUUUUAAAAACACCAUCAAAACCAACUACAAGUUAUGCUUCUUCCCGUAAUAGAAAUAUUUUAGGCCAAAAUAGAACCUCCCCAAAUAAAGACCCUAUACUAAACUCCUUUUCAUUUUAUUAAUACAAAAGUGGGGAAAAAAGGUCUAUGCUCACCUAAAAAACAUGAAUAUUGUGAAUUCACCAUUUCUAUAAGGAAGUUGAAAACUUCAAAAUUUUAUCAACAAAUUCUCUAAAAUCCUCAAAAUAUAUAGGGCCUGUUUCACAAAGUUUUUUAAAAUUUGUUUUUAUAAAUUGCUUUUAAAAUAUAGAAUAAAUAACAGUUUUUUAGAUUUUUUGAAAAAUAAGAGUGUUUGGUAAGAUGUUUUUUUUUUUUUUUUUUUUUUUAAGAAUUAAAUAAAAAAUAAAAAAAUUGUUUAGAUAAAAGAAUUUGUAUUGUUUUUAAAAACAAUGUCUUACUUUUAUGUUAUAAAAAUUUUAUUAAUUUAAUUUAUAAUAAUAUGAAAUGAAAUUCAAGUUAAGUCUUAUUAAAAAAUACAAAUUAAAUCUAUAAUUAUGCAUGAGUUAAAGAUAAAUAUAUAUUUUUUAAAACUAUAAAAUAAAUUUUCUAUUAUAGUGAAACAAAAAUUACUAUAAAAUAAAAAUAAUUUUAAUAUUCAUUUUUAAUACAAGUCAAAUAAGUACUUUAAUUAAUUUUUUUUAUCAUGAUUUCUUAUGUUUUUUUUUUUUUCUAGAAAUUAUUUUAAGUAAUAUAACUAAUUUUUUUUUUAAUGUUUUAUAAAAAUAAGGAUAUUUGGCAAGUUGUUUUUAUAAAAGGAUUUUAAAAAUAAAUGGAUUUUUUUUUUUUUUAAAAAAAGAACAAAAUGAUUUGUUUGAAUAAAUUGUUUUGAUUUUGUAAAAACAUUUUAAAUUCAAUUUAUAUAAUAUUAAUUAAUUAAAUUAAAUUGAAGUUUUAUUGAAAAUAAAAAUAAUUUUGUAAUUAAAAUUAGAUUAAAAAAUAUAUAGGUUUUAAUAAAUCGUAAAUAGUAAUAUUAUAAUAAAAUUAUAAAUUAUAUUUUUAACAUAAAAUAUACUAUUUAUUACAUAUUAAAAAAAAUAUUUUAUUAUAUUAAUAAUUUUAUGGUAUUAAUGAGUUUAUUAUUUAAGUUUUAAAUUAUUUUUAAAAAUUAAUAAAUUUGUUAACAAAUGCAAUGUACUAAAUGUGGUUUAAUUUGGAGUUAAUUUGUUUAGGGAAAAAAAUAAAAAAUAAAAAUCUUAUGUAAAAGAGAAAUAAUAGAGUGUGUGUGUUUUUUUUUAUUAUUUUUAAAAAUCAGUAAAAAGAACUUUUACUUAUUGCCUAAAAAUUAUUCUCUAUUUUAUUUUAUUUUUUAAAUCUAGAAAUAGAUAACAAUAAUAAAAAAAAUUAAAAAAGAAAAAUGUUUUUUAAAACUCAGACUUAUAAUUGCUUUUGUUUCUCAUUCGCACCCCUGGAUUCCUGGAUUCUAAACACAAAAUUAAGUUGAAUCGUCCAUCUAUCUUGUAAGCCAAGAAUUCACAUAGAAGAAAUAAUCGGAAUUUGAUUUGAUAUCAGAUUUAGAGUGGCUCACUACUCAUGCAUUGUCCCACAAUAGUAAUGCUUUGGGCCGAGAUAAACCCAUUUGUGGGCCCAAAUAAAACCCCUGGUUUGAAAACAUCGAUUUUACAGUGGCCCAAAAGAUUAUCUAUGAGGGGAAGAUAACUUGGAAGUCAAGCAAACACAUUUAUCGCUAACUUUUCUCUAAUUAUAAAAUUAUAACUUGGUCUUCUACACGUCUCACUUAAGAGGCGGAGCCACUUGGCACUACCUUUCCAUAUUGUAAAAGGAGAAGAAGCAGAAGGAGAAGAUUCUUAUGCCAUUCCACACACCAUGGCUAGUACUGCUAUGCUGCUUGGCCCGCCGGCUCUCCGCCAUCCUAAUUCUCCCGCCGGCACUGUCUUUGAAGAUGGGGUCAUUCUAACGGAUUCCCUGAUCGUCCGCACCAGUAAUCUGGAGCUUUCUGAAAAACCGCCACUGGAAUCCCUGGCGUAGUGCUCUGUCAGUGGGGAUAUUGCUAUGGAUUGUUUGGAUUCCCAAGCCCACAAUCUUCAUCUUCCCGGGAAACCGCCGAUGGGCUUAACGGAAAACAAGUCUCCGACCUUUUUGUCUUCCGGGAACCCGUGCUUGGACUUCUUCUUCCAUGUGGUUCCCGAUACGUCGUCUGAUGAUCUGAUCCGACGGUUUGAGUUGGCUUGGGAAUUCAAUCCGCUGACGACGUUAAAACUGAUAUGCAACUUGAGAGAGGUGAGAGGCACCGGAAAAUCUGACAAAGAGGGUUUCUACACGGCGGUUCUCUGGCUCCACGACCACCAUCCCAAAACCCUAGCCUGCAAUGCUAGGGUGUUGGCCAGCUUCGGUUAUUUCAAGGAUUUUCUCGAGAUUCUCUACCGGCUUCUGGAGGGCCCUAAAAUUCGAAGAAUCGAAAAGAAAGACUGGCUGGAUCGAAAAGGAAGGAAGAAAAAUUCCCGGAAAAGGAACUCAAUAUUCAAGCGAGAAAAUAGGCCUGGAGUUGAAUUUCCUGUAGAAGAGAAGGAUGUGGAGUAUAUGGUGGAAGAAUUUGUGGAUAAAGAAAAGGCUAGGGUACUGAGAAAGGAGAGAGAACUUGCUCUUGCCAAAAGAGCCCUGCACAAGUAUUCUACUGAUUCUAAUUAUCAGUUCUUACAUGAUCAGAUUUCAGAUUUAUUUGCUGAACUUCUGAAAUCUGAUAUUCAGUAUUUAAACUCCGGUGAGCUUUACAAGAUUAGUCUCGCAUCCAAAUGGUGUCCCACAAUUGAUUCUUCUUAUGAUAAAUCCACCUUGAUAUGUGAAAAUAUUGCUCGAAAGGUUUAUUCUCGCGAGGAAUAUAUAUCCAGAAUACCAAGGAAUUGAGGAGGCUCACUAUGUUAAUAGAGUCAGGGAUAGGUUGAGAAAACAAGUACUUGUUCCAUUACGUAAGGCCCUGGAGUUGCCAGAGGUUUUCAUGUGUUCGAACCAGUGGGGAUCACUUCCCUACAACCGUGUGGCUUCAGUGGCCAUGAAAUCAUACAAGAGCCUCUUCUCAAAACAUGAUACAGAGCGGUUUGGUGUGUAUCUUGAGAAAGUGCAAACUGGGAAGGCUAAGAUUGCAGCUGGUGCAUUACUUCCCCAUGAGAUUAUAGCUUCAUUGAAUGAGGAGGAUGGCGAGAAAGUUGCAGAGCUUCAGUGGGCGAGAAUGGUGGAAGAUUUAUCAAAGAAUGGGAGGCUCACAAAUUGCAGUGCGGUAUGUGACGUAUCAGGAAGUAUGAGUGGAACUCCAAUGAAGGUGUGUGUGGCUCUGGGGCUGUUAGUUUCAGAGCUCAGUGAAGAUCCAUGGAAAGGUAAUGUAAUUACUUUCAGUGCAAGUCCUGAGCUUCACAAGAUCCAAGGAGACAGCCUUGUAUCCAAGACUGAAUUUGUGAGGAUGAUGGAAUGGGGUGCGAACACUGAUUUUCAGAAAGUUUUUGACAGAAUCUUACAAGUAGCAGUGGAGGGAAAUCUGAGUGAAGAUCAAAUGAUAAAGAGGGUUUUCGUUUUCACUGAUAUGGAGUUUGAUGAAGCUUGUGGGAGGUAUAACUAUUGUGAAUAUGACUAUGAUAUGGAGGAAAUUGAUGAGAGUCAGAAGGCAUCUCAGAAGUGGGAGACAGAUUAUGAAGUGAUACAGCGGAAAUUCCAGGACAAAGGAUAUGGAAAAGUUCCGGAGAUAGUGUUUUGGAACCUUAGAAACUCAUCAGAGACUCCAGUGAUGGCCACAGAGAACGGGGUGGCCUUAGUAAGCGGGUUUUCGAAGAAUCUGUUAGACCUUGUUUUUGGAAGGAGGUGGAAUUCUGACCCCUCAGGAUGUGAUGGAAUUAGCCAUCUCUGGUGAAGAUUACAAGAAACUUGUUCUAUUUGAUUAAGAUAUCAAGAGAUUUAUCAAUAAUAAUAUGUUUUUUUUUUUCUAUGUGAAAUACAUGUAAUAUUAACUAUGGAGUUAUCAAAGUUCUGGAAAUUUAAUUAUUUCUUCUUUUCAAGUUUUGUUUGUCUUUGUUAGGAAUUCCCCUUGGGCGGACCCAGCUGGGGACUUGGAUUGAGGAAGUAAGGAGGCGAAAUUGUGUUCUUCUAUGGACAGAGAAAAAAGAUAAAAAUAAAAAAUAAAAAAGGAGGUUAUUUGCAUUUGGAUGUCAUGUGGUUUCAGGGUACAACUACAAGUUCGAAAUUGUACAUAAUGUGAAAAUUCCUGUGUGGAGAACAGCAUAAAUAUGUAUCUCAGUGUGUUUUGUUUGAGCUAAUUGGCAAAUUCGCUUUAAACAUGGUCACAUGGAUGCAUAUUUAUUUGUGAAAUGAUAGUAGUCGAUUACUUGGUCAGUAAGGUUUGUAUCUCUAACUCCAACAUCUUAUUGUAGUCUUUUAAAAUGUCAAAAGUUUAAUGCUAGCUUGAGAAAUUUUGGAAUGGAGACAUUCUAAACAAAGUUAAUAAUCCAUGAGACUUGGUAAAACCGAUCAGAUGAUGCUUACGUACAUGAAUGCCUUCUUUAAGCCGUAUCCUAUUUUCAUUGAAUGAGACGUGCCAUCUAGUUUUGUUCUUGUCUUGAUUGGAUCAUGAUCCCGGGAAUUGAUUACUGUUCUGAAUUUGCGAAUGUUCAAGGUAUUAGAGAAAGUUAAUAUUAUCGUUAAUUUACAUAUUAGUAUUUAUCUAGUUAUUAUAUAUUAGUUUGAAUUAUAAUAUAAUAUAGAAUUUGAAUCAAGUUUACUAUUAGUUUGAAUUACAAUAGGAAAUAAAGUUUGAAUUAUAGUAUAACUCAAAUAUAUUUGUAUAUAAAUAUCCAUCUUUAUCAAUGAGAAUAGUAAACCAUAUUUUUCUCUAUCUUCUUCUUUCUCUAUAUAUAUGGUAUCAAAGCCUCCAAAUCCUAAACCUAGUCUCAACUUAGAGCAAAUUUAGGGUGCAGGGUUUAGGCCCCGCCUCCCCCAACCCUUACCACAAAUGGUAGUGACCUUGUUAUGCCUAUGUAUUGUCAAUGCCUCAUUUUCUAUGGUCUUCAAUACAAUAUCUAGUUUCAAUGUCUCUUUCCUUACUAUCUCCAAUGCAAUAUAUUGAUUUCAAUAUCUCUUUACAACCAAGAGCUCCAAAUUUUCCUGGUUCAAAUCUACCAUAAUUUUUAUUCUCCUUUGCUUUUUACCAAUAUUAGUUCCCCUAAUUUAAUAUAUAUCUCUUUAUUACCUUCAACUCUACCUCUCUCUUUCUUUAAAAGCUUCCUCAAAGAUUUGAUUGCUUUCUUGCAUGUUUUGGGAAAACAAACAUGCUCAUAUUCUAUUACCUCUACUUGAGAUCUGCCUUAUACUCUACCUUCUUCUUUACCUCCUAUAUCAUCUACUACAUUAGCUUCAAAAACAUUAUUUAGUUUGAUGCUAAAUAAGGCUCCUAAUCCUACCCUUCCUUCAACUAACUUUCUUUUACAAGUCCCUCAAAGUUUUUUUUUUUUUUUUUUUGGAAAUUUGGCUUAGAAAGAUUUCAUUACUCUUACCUAAUCUUUCAACCAUCAAGUCGAAUCCACUUAUCUCUUGAAUCCAAGGAGACUACCCUCCACAAAAACAAGGAGAUUGACCCCCACAAUAACAAAGAGAUUGUCCUCCAUAGAAACAAAGAGAGCUUCCUUCAUGGAAGCCGAAUACAUCGCAAUCUAUUUUCUUUCUCUCAAGAUCAAAUCUCCAAUCGGAGCUCCAUCUUGUGGGGAUAUAUUAGAAAAAGUUAAUAUUAUCCUUAAUUUACAUAUUAGUAUUUAUCUAUAUUAUAUAUUGAAUUAGAAUAGAAUAUAGAAUUUGAAUUAAGUUUACUAUUAGUUUAAAUUACAAUAGGAAAUAGAGUUUGAAUUAUAGUAGAACUCAAAUAUAUUUAUAUAUAAAUAUCCAUCAUUAUCAAUGAGAAUAGUAUUCCAUAUUUUUCUCUUUCCCUGAGGCUUCAGAAUGUGAUCUUGAACAUUUGAUCUUUUGGAUUCUUCUUGUUUCGGUGGUUUAAUAUAAUGGAAUGUUUAAUUAUAGCCUACUUUAUCACCAUGGAUGUGCUCCUGCAGAUUUCUUGAGGGUGAUGGUUAUUUUGUCAUGUUUCUUGAAUGGUUUGCAUCAGCUGCCUGAGCUGUUGUUGCUGGUCACUUUUGCAACCAGGGAAAGAAUCAUGGCUUUGGAGAAGCCAGCUUCUGUUUUUGUUGCCCAGCUGUUAGUUCACUAAGAUUGGGGGUCCUAACAUGUAUGUAUAAUCAUAAGCAAGGAAAUUUUAUGUCUUACGCUAGAUAGGUACCAUGAUAUGAUGUUUGAUUGAUUUAUUAACUCUACCUGUUUCAAAAGGCAUCAACAUUAAUUUUACCCUUUUAACACAUUGGAUUGUUUGACCUUACGAGAUUUUCUAUUUCUGUACUAUUUGAACUGCAAUCGUUAUGGUCCUUAGGUCUCUAAACCUUCGUUUAAAAUAAAAGUAAGGAGCACACAUAGUAAAAGUUAAUUUUGGGUAACUUUUAAAACAAAGAGAAAAGUAAAAGUUGUUUUUGAGAAAAACAUAUAGAAAUUGAAAGAUUUUUUAUUUUGAGAAAAAAAAGUCAUAGAAAAGAAAUAAUAUCCCCAUAUAAGUAGAUAUGAUCUAUCCGAAGUGUAGCUACUCUCCUGGAUUUAUUCUAACAUUUUAAAAUUUUUCUCAAUGGGCAAAGGAAUAUCAAAUCAAGCUUGAGUAGGAUUAAUUUCUUAAUUUUUAAAAUAACUUAUAAUUAAAAUUUUUUGGUGUUUUCUUUUUUGGACAAUUUUUUAUGAAGACUCUGAAUCAUGCAAGAGAUAUGGUUAUUUUAAAAAAAAAAAUAAUUUAAAACUCAAAUACAUAAUCAAUGUCACAAAUUUAUAAACAAAAGGUUUUUAAAAAAUACUAUUAUUUCCCCUCUACACAUAAUUUUACUUUUCCGAUUUAUUUAUUUUUGUUGGAAAACAGUCUUCAAAUCAAGUAAAAUUAAUAUGUUAAAUUUGUUAAACAAAUAAAUUUUAAAAUACAAUUUGGAACUCAAAAAUCAAUUCAAGUAAUGCUAAAAUUCAAAAAAUCAAAUUUGGAAUAAAAUGACUUUGUAAAUUUUUUUACUAAACAAAUGAAUUUUAAAUCAAGUGAGAUUUAAUACAUUGGAUUUUUAUGAGAAUAGUAAUUUUAAAAAUUAAUUUGGAACUCAAAAAUAGACACAAUAAAUACCAAAAAUCAAUGAACCAAAAUUGGUUUGGAAUAACUCCAUAAUUUUUUAUUUAUUUAUAUAUUUAUUUUUUUGUGCACACGAAUUUCUUACUAAGCAUAUUGCUUCCAAAUUGAGAAAAAUUUACUAUUUAGAUUUUUUUAAUGAGUUUAAUGGUAUUUAAAAAUAAUUCAAAAAUUCGAAAAUUGACUAAUUUAAUAUUAUAAAUUCAUAAACCAAGACUAAUUCAAAAUGCAUUGGGGGCUAAGGGGGUUGAAAUUAAUGCUCCAUUUGGUUGUGGCCACCAAUUGGCAAUGGCCACCAAUCAACCAAUCAAGGUGGCUAAGGGGGUUGAAAAUAGGGACAAUGGGGUGGGUUUGGGACAGGACACUCAUAUCCCAUUCCCAUCCCAAUUACACAGUUAUUUCCCAUCCUUAUUCCAAACUUGUGUUGGGGCAAGUUGAUUUGUUCCCAUCUUUGUUAACGAAAUGACUAAUAACCUCAUCCUCUCCUUGUCUUAGAUGUACAUUUUCUCAAAUUUGGUCAGGUAUGAUUGAUUCAAGCCCUAACCUUAAUUGGUAAUGAGUGGAUACCACACCUAAUUGCAUUCUUCUUUCGUUGCAAAAUAAUGAGAUUAUAAUAAUCUAGCAAAUAAGAAAAAAUAGUAUGGAAGUUCAAAUUAACACCAUAACUAUCAAUAAUUUUAAGCUUAUAGAUGACUUAAAUGAUUGAAAACUAAUGCAAAAUACUAAAAAAAAAAAAAAUCAUCUAAAGAAUUCACAAGAGAAUAGAACGAACAAAACCAAAUAGGAACAUGGGUCAACAUUAGUUACAGAUUUUGAUCCCUUUCAAGGCCAAUCUUUGAACCAAGACUUCAUCAAAUCUACUACUUCAAAGGCUUUUGUGUUCUUCUUGAGUUGUACUCUGGAACAAAGACUUCGAGGUGAUGCUUUAGAUGAUUGCAUUACACAUAUUUAGGGUAGGGAGAUUGGAGAAGCUUGAAGAUGCCAACGAUGGGUACAAUUGAGUGGUCAAUAAGAACAAUGUGGCCUAUGACUAGUUUGAUGUCAUGGUAUAGGAGUUUUGGGCAUUGAGGUGAAAGCAAGAGCAACAUGGAAUUGAUUUCAAAGUCUUUCAAUUAGUGUAAAGGAGGAAGAAGAAGUGGUAUUGAUCCUAGAAAUAGUGUUUUAGGUGUUGCAUUAGAGGAAAAGAAAAAGAAAAAGAAGGAACCAUUGGAAUUAGUACGAGUGUGAAGAGAGAAGUGUAUACAUAAGGGGAAGUAAAAGCAAAGUUCUAAAAAUUUAUUUUUUUAUUGGUGGUGUAUGGUUGCAUGAUUAUCCCUAUAAAUAAUAGGAGUUUUUUGGUGUUCUACUAGUAGUUGAAGGAUAAUUUCAUAAGAUAAUAUUUAGAGCGGGGUGGGGUGAGUUGUGACAAAAUCCAUACCCGUCCCAAACAUUGGUUCAGGUUUUUAAAAUAUUUUCAAACUUAUCAUAUACCCAAUUUUAUAUUUCAUACUUGUCCUAAUAGAGACAGGUUAGUCAGGGUUACUUGAGUAGCCUACAAAACUAUCAUCCCUAGUUGAAAUGCUCUUUUUGGCAGUGGCAGCUAGAAGCUCGAUCGAUUGACCUACAAGACUAGUUGUCAUCAUUUUAAAAAGAGUUUUGGCUUUGGUUGUGAGUGCAAUUGAAUCUAAACUAACAUUUCCUUAAUGCAUCUACUUCAAUCCUAAACUUCUUACUUAAGCCUCAAUUGUUGUUAAGAUUUUGGAAAACCCAUUUCCUUAAAUUGUAAAUUUAAGAAAAAAAAAAUUAAAAGUGAGACAUUUCUUGAUUGAAUGUUGUUAAAGGUCCCUUGGAAUUAAGACUUGGUUGAAGCCUUGGAAGAUUAGCAGAACUCUCAACUUAUGUUUGAACCUUGAGGAGAGUGGACGUAGGCCAAAAUUUUGUCAAACCAUUAUACAAAUUGAGUUUGAAUUCUCAUUUCUUGAUUUCUUAUUUAUUUGCUUUUUCUUAUUAUUACUUGAAUUGUCAUUUGCAUUCAUUAAUGUUAAAAUUGGUUAUAAUUAGCCAACACUAAUUCUCUUUCCCCUUCCCUUAAUUUCUUGGGUGUAAACCUAGGUUGGAUUAACUAGAUUUUAUCAAAUCUAUUAAGAUGGUAAAAGAAUAAUUAUUCUUAACAUACAUAAGAUCAUCUUCAAUCAAAUGACUCAUUGGCUGAUAUGUUGAAUUUGCUUAUUACUUGCAACUCAAAAUUGUGUUCUAGUUGAUAUGUCAAGUCCUGAGUGUAUGGACAUUAAAUUUGUAGUACGUGAUGAGUAUUUAGAUGGUCCAAUUCCAAGAAAGUGAUUGAAAACUAGUUCAAGAAAGGUGCAAAAGGGAAUUGUUUUGGUAUUUUCGUUUUUAUUCUUGAAGGUGGCAGAGCUAAAAUUUGAGAAAUCAAGCAAAACAUACUGAAAUUACAUUGAAAGAAAGAAAAUGGGAGUUAAUGUCUUGCAGUACAUGAUAAGGACUUCAUGCAUGUAGUGUGACCCAUGUCUUGGACUGAUGCCACACUCACGGUUACACUUAUACCCUUAGUUCUCUCUUUACUACCUUAGCUAACCUAGAUCAGGUUAUGAGAUAGGCACCUCACCACACCAUUACUUGCCCAUUAAUUAGUGACAUUUUCAAGCAAUGAGGUAACAUGGUGACACCAAGAGGGUAUAUUCCUCACCCCCAACAAGCCUAGACCUGGUCUAAAAAAAAUGGAGAAAAAUGACGUGUUGUUAUGCAGAAAUAUAGCAACCAUGCCUUCCUCAUUACUUAGAUUCAGAAUGUGAAGGUGAAAUUGAGAAACAGAAACUCUUGAAACCAAAAUGAAAAUUGAUACUUUUACGAAGAAUUACAACAACAUUAGAGGAAGACUACAUUCUUCCUCUUUAUUCCUACAUUUCUACACUACUUCUACUCCACUCCAUAUUUCUACAUACAUCUUUAAUCAGUCUUCCCUCCUUUAUAUAGAGCCAUCUUCACACAAAUUCCGCAAGGUAGAAAAGAGGAAUGAAACUUGGAGCAAGGUUCGACUACUGGCUGUAGCUUGUCAAGGCUGAAAGUGAACUUUUUUUCUUGGCUUUUCUGGGCAUAGGUAGUAACUUGUAGGUUCCUUUUUGGAAUGAAAAUGGUACGGCUAGAACAUGUGGCACUCUCUUGUUGGAUGAUGUGUCAAGCAUGUGGCAGCCAUCUAGUGGAGAUUAUGUCAAUUUUGGGAUGGAGAGUUGGCAUCCAAUUGCAAAGAAAUAUGACAUCUACCAACAUGCAAUGUCAACCUAUGUAGAUCAUAUGAAGAUAGAGAGGAAAAAUAUAGAAAUGGAUAUAUAACUAGAACUAGCUUUUUAUUAAAUGAGACGGAGAGCCAACAAUGAAGGAAAAUCAAAAUUUUUGGCUCAUAUCAAAGAAUUCACAUUGUGUUACCCUAGGUUUUCUUAAAACUUACUUUUAUGAUAAUAAAAAAUCAUUAUUGUUUAAUCCUUUGUUUUAAACGCAUGUUUAGCAGGUUGUAAAAUGUAAAUAUCUUUCGAAAUUCAAAUAUGAAGAUAUGACAUCAUUUCAAGCAAUAUAGUCUCUAGGAAUUAAUGUAAAGCUAAAUUAAGGUGCAAUUAAGUUAGUUCAAUGCAUUAUUUUAAGAAACUUGACCUAUCAAAACCUUGUCUUACUUCAAAGCCUCUUUUUCUUUUCUUCCAACUAACAUUUUAAUAAGUGAUCGCAAAAGUACAAAAUUAGAUGAAAUCCAUUUCAAUGGUUAAAAUGAUCAAAUUCAAACUUUUUCUAAGUAUCUUUUAAAAGCAUCAAUAUUGAAAGACAAUUUUAUAUUUAGUCAAAGCUUGGACAGAGCCAAAAAGCACACAAAAAUUUAUAUUUUCUAGCUCUCUACCUUGGAUGGUCUCUUGAUCCUACUUGGAGAUGUGCAUAAAUAAAAGGAUUUGAAAAUGACAAUUGACUAAGUAUGUAGUCAAUCAAUUACUCAUUGAUUGACUAGUUGAUCAAUUAACUUUGCAACAUCAUAUGCAAUCCUAAUAGCUAGUCAUCUAAUCAACUAGGUAGUAAAUCAAUAGGCCAAAAAUAUGUUUAUAAUGACUAUUUUGUACAAAAACCACUUAUAUAGUUAAAUAUAAUGCAUUUCAUUUAUAAAUCUUCUAAUUCUUGAAUAACAAUCCUAUCAUCCUUUGAAAGUUUUUAUUACACCUUUUCUACAUUUGUUCUAAAACUUAUACAUCACCCUUAAUUGUACCAUGAGAACCUAGCAUUUUUUUUUUUUUUUUUGUAUUUCAUCAAAGUUAGCUCUUGUACUCAUUGUUGUAUUAUUUUUAUUGUAACUUAGAGAGCGAGUGUUUUCAAGUGAGUGAAAUUGACUUGUAAAUAUUGUAAAGAUUCAUUGAUAUGUAUCUCAAACUAGGUGUACAAGUUGAAACAUUUGCUAGUAGAUUUUCUCAAGAUUUAGAAUGAGCUUAAGGCUAUCGAAUUAGGUGGGGUUGCGCCAAACCAUAUCACAUCGUUGUUUGCACCUUUUUUUUCACUCUCUUUUACUUAGUUGCUCUAUAUAUAUUGUCUAGCAAUAUCCUAAAGGCUUGAUGGGCUAGGGAGCAUCCCUCUGAAUGAAAAAUUUUCAUUCAAUUCUUAGUUGUAUUACGCAUAUAUAAAAUGCCUCAUUGUUUUAAUGGUAUUCAGUCGUGGCACCACAGAUAUGGACAUCUAAAUUUUAAAAGUUUGAAACUUUUAGCUAAAGAAAAUAUGGUGCUUUGCCUUUUUGGAAAGCAUGUUGAUGAAAUCCAUGAGAAUUGUAUACUUGGAGAGCAACAUCGAGAUAACUUUUUUUUUUUCUUUUUUUAUAAUGCAUUGUUUGUCCAAAUUCCGUACAAAUUAGGCCACCACAUGUUCAUAAUUCUCCCUUCUUGAAUUUGAAAACUCGGACAAUUUGACAAUGCGACACCUAAGUCCGGUUUUUAAAUGCUAAAGUGAAAGGGCAGGUAUGGACCAUUGAAAUGUGAUAACAACUUUUGGCCUUUUCCUUUUCUCUGUAGCCAUGUUGUCUCUUUUUAAUUUCUUUUGCAUGAUUUUCUUACCUAAACAGAAUCAUAGACUUGUUUAAUCUCUAAGUGGGAUUUCAUCCACCUUAAGCUACUGUAUUAUAUCUCGGUGGAGGACAACCGACAUAGAGCACAUGCAAGUGGGUAUAUGGGACAUGAAAUAUCUUCUUAUAAAGCUUGUUUUGCAGUUAAAUUAAUUGGAUAAGUAGACACUGGCGUUUCUAAAUUUCCCACCUAAGAUAAUGACCUUAUCCUUGACUGCUAGAUACACAAACAAUUAUACCUUCAAAAUCUACUGUGAAGUGCUUCAUGUAUGUGUGAAGUAUUAGAAAUUUCUUUCUUGGCAACUUGUUUUUUUCUUUGCGGUCUACUGAUAGGUUUGACUAAAAUUAUAUUCCCUGUCCUGCUAAUUAAUUUUCACGUGCAUGCUCAAAAGAAGAGUAUGACCUUAGUGCACCAAAAUCACUUUCAAUAAUUUGUGAUAAGUUUUUUUGCAUGACAUUAACCUUAUUCAUUUAGAUAAUGUUUAGUUCUCAUAAAUAUUAAGAAAAUGAAAAUAAAUAUUAAGAAAAAUAUUCUUAUAUUUGAUUGUAUUAUGAAAAAUAUCAUAAAAAAUCAAAUAUAAUUAAAAUUAAUUAAUAAUUUAUAUAUUUUAAAAUUAUUUAAUUUUUAUAUUAAAGAUAUAAUAUAAAUGAAAUGAGUUUUAAGUAUUAUAUAAAAAUGAUUUAUUUAUUUAUUUAUAUAUAUAUAUAUAUAUAUAUUUAGUUUUUCUCUUUAUUUUAUUUUCCUUAUGUUUUCCUCACAUUUUCCGGAAUCAAAGAUAGGGAAAUCCACAAUUACCUUCAACUGAGUAGAUUCUAUUGUUUUAGCAAUGUUAGGCUGCUAACUUGUGGUGGUACGAACCAAAUGAUCCAUGUUAAUCUUGGCUUGAUUUAAUUUGGCUCUAUCUCAGAGAACUCAAGGAUCACGUCAACUCUGGUUUCUACUAUUCAGGUCCAUUCCCAGAUGAACUGGUUCAAAUUUGAGAAAAUGGUAACAGACCUUUAGUGAUAUUGGUUUGGAGCCAGUUGCCAAACCUGCCCUGAGCUUUACCACUAAUGUCAAGGGACAAAGCCAUUUGAACAAAAACAAUAGCUUCAAGAGACUGAAUCGUGGAUGAAAUCUGAUCCACAUUUCUUCUCAUUUUGGGAAAAAAUGAGGACUUAACCACAAAGAUUCUACUGCCUCAUAGUGCUUUUCCUGAUCUAAGGUUGGCUCGUUUCCCAAAUUGUGAGGUGCACGUGCCACUCUCACGCUCAGGAGUGUAUCCACGUGGUGGACAUAAGAUGGUGGCUUAAUAUCUGGUGUCGGUGGCUUUACUUUACUAGGAGAGUAGUGUGUCUUCAUCUCAUUCACUGCCAGAGGGUGGCGUAAGCAGUGACGCUAAGGUGGGGCACAGUCAAUAUCAUUUGCAUUUGACCAUUAUAAUUUUCUCCCGGCUUUAAAGUAACCUUAUCGUGAUAAUGGAUUACUAGCACUAGUUCAGAUGACAGUCAUGUUAAAUUCGGACCAUGUUUGUGUCACAUUAUCAGCAACCAUGUGCUUGUGGUUCAUGCUAUCUGCAACUAAACUUGAUAUAUAACCAGGUGAACUUCAAUCUAAAUUCUGGAAGUACUCAUGUGAUAGAUGGUGCCUGUCUGCAGUGAGUGUAUCUAUAAGAGGGAAGGCUUGGCAAAUGUUCAGUUUUCUGGGAAUUCAACAGGGAUCUAAAAUAGAUUGUUUUCUUUGCUGAUUUCAAUGGUUGAAAUUUGAGAAGAUUGUGUCCACAUAACACAACUAUUACUGGUCCUUCUGUUGCAAUUUAUCCUCUAAGGCUCUAACAUGUCUUCCAAUUCCCACUUCCCACUUCCCUGUUACUCCAGGAAAGCUGUUUCUGUCAUUGUGAAGAAGAAAAGAGACUGUACAUAUCGAUGCUUUUAAGUGGACUGGAGAAUUCAUAUCAGGUGGUCUGCAGCCAUACAUGCCACUUUGUGAAGGUUGGAACAGUCAAUCACUAGGCUAUAUUAGUGGGGCCCAGCCACUUCAAUCAAGGACAAGUCUUCAUACUUAAAGUCAAAUUCUGCCUUUAGUCUCAUUAUAAAUUGCUGUUUAAAUAUCAAGCAAACAUUUGUUUAAUGCGAUUAAGACAGCACUAACUCAAUACUUGUUCUAUUUUUGGAUGCAAAUGCUUGAUAGUUUCAUCAUUGGAGGGGAUAAAGGUGCAUUCAUGAUUAUGAAUACUUGUAGUUAUAUUUUCAUUCUCUUUUUUCUCAAUGGGACUUGUUGGCACAAUUUUGCUGUUCAGAAACCUACCUCUCCAUGGAAAAUCAGUUGUGAUUGAUAUUACUGGAUAUAUUCAAGAAAGCUAAAUGUAGAUAGCACAAAAUAUUAUCGACAUAAAUAGCAUUAACAGCGUACGUAUGUCUCAAUGCUCAUCAGCUAUAAGCAAGGGGCAAACACUUACUAUGAGCAACUUACGUCAAAAUUCCGGAAUAGGACAUAGAAGUGACAGGUCAGUAAAUAUAGAACACUGCAUAUGAGUCACAAGAAAGGAAAUUACGGGUACAUAGCAGCUCUUAUUUUACAUCCUACUCAUACUGAUCAAAGUCACUCAGUUGGGAUGGGUGGGAGUGGGAGGUUUGUGGGGUGGCUUGUGCGGAGGAGUUGGCAGCUUCUUUCCAGGACCUGGUUGCUUCUCUGCUGGAGUUGAAGGAGGCUUAAUCUUCCGAGGUGGCUUGUAUGAGUCUUCAGCAUUCUCAGCAGGAGGGUGACCAGGGUUGUGACCACAAUGUGGUGGCUUCUCUCCCUUAGGUGGUUUGCCAACUGGGGUUGGUGGCUUGUGUUCCGGAAGUGGCUUCUCUUUGUGUUCAGGAGGUGGCUUCUCCACUGGAGGCUUGUGUUCAGGAGGUGGCUUCUCCACCGGAGGCUUGUGUUCAGGAGGUGGCUUCUCCACCGGAGGCUUGUGUUCAGGAGGUGGCUUCUCCACCGGAGGCUUAUGCUCUGGUGGUGGCUUCUCCACCGGAGGCUUAUGCUCUGGUGGUGGCUUCUCCACCGGAGGCUUAUGCAAUGGUGGUGGCUUCUCCACCGGAGGCUUGUGUUCAGGAGGUGGCUUCUCUACCGGAGGCUUAUGCUCUGGUGGUGGCUUCUCCACCGGAGGCUUAUGCUCUGGUGGUGGCUUCUCCACCGGAGGCUUGUGUUCAGGAGGUGGCUUCUCCACCGGAGGCUUGUGUUCAGGAGGUGGCUUCUCCACCGGAGGCUUGUGCUCUGGUGGUGGCUUCUCCACCGGAGGCUUAUGCUCUGGUGGUGGCUUCUCCACCGGAGGCUUGUGUUCAGGAGGUGGCUUCUCCACCGGAGGCUUAUGCUCUGGUGGUGGCUUCUCCACCGGAGGCUUGUGUUCAGGAGGUGGCUUCUCCACCGGAGGCUUAUGCUCUGGUGGUGGCUUCUCCACAGGAGGCUUGUGUUCAGGAGGUGGCUUCUCCACCGGAGGCUUAUGCUCUGGUGGUGGCUUCUCGAAUGGGGGAUGCGUAGGGUAAUCAGCUAGUGAGGGGGCGGUGAGAACCACCAGGCCAAGCAACACUACUAGCAAGUAUGUAGGAGACAUCUUUGGGUUUGGGCUCAGAUGGUGCAAAACUAGGAGAAUUGGCUAGCCUUUUAUAGCGGAUCGUACCCAAUAAUGAAAUGACACGUGUCAUUAUGACCCAUGUGUCAUGUGGUCGAUUUGGGUCCUACAGUGUUGAAAACUUCGACAUCCACUUUUUUGGCCUUUUGCUUUCUCUACAGUCGCCUUGCUUUUUCCCUCUUUUCUUUUGUUUUCCUCCUGCCCCAUUCUAUCAACUAAUCACAAUUAUGUAGUUGUUUAAUUCUUAAAUGAGAUAUUAUCCGUCAAUCAUAUUAUCUUUUAUCAAGAGAGAACGGAGUGAAAAGUGGCAAUCCAAAGAAAGAAGAUCCAUAAUGCAGCUGUAAUUUUAUCGUUUACUUUUAUCUCUAGGACCACUGCAUUUUUGUUGAGAGGUGCAAUAAUACACGUCUUUAUCUGCCAUUCAAUGUUUACAGUAAAGAGAGGGCACAAAACUCUUCACUGCUCUGCAUGUGCCCCAAAAAUGCAAUUGGACAAAUUAUGAUUUGCAUGCUAAAAAGAGGCAAAUGAGGUUAAUUAGCACCAAAAUUAUUUUGUUUUCUGGACACCCCGGGGCCCUUUGGUUGGUUUGGGGGUCAGAAAAUGAACAUCAUAGGGGGUUUUUCCCUAAUGUGCAUUUGCAUUUGUAUCUGAUGGCUUUAACUCGCCUUGUUACUACAAAGAAAUUGUCACAGAUAGGAACUUAUUCCAGGCUGAGUAUCUCCGCAUGGACCCUAUAAAAGAAGACAAGUCAUAAUGAACAUCUAACCUUUGUUCAAUUUGAUUCAAUGCCCCUAUUGUGUCCAUCUCACAAAUCUGAAUUAUUAUAUCCAUUGAAUACAUAAAUUAAUGAAGAAAAUAUGAAACCCAAGAUACAUCUCUGCACAACCUCAACCCUGGUUGCUAUGUUUCACUUCUAUUCACAUGAGGAUAUUGAUUACGGAAUAAGGAAACCUAGCAAGGGUUUACUCGGCUCUGGUUUGAUGCUAAUUGCCAAACUUGCAACAAGCCCUGAGUUUGACACCUAAUCGAUGGGCGAAUUAAAAGUCUCCUCCAAACAUAUAUUCCACAGCUUGAAGCUCACAGAAGAUGCUAUACAGGCAGGGAAAAACCUUCAGAGUUAGCUACCAAAGAUAAUUAUCAAGGAGAUAUCACCAAGAGAAUUCCAUGGAGUCUGAAUCAAAGACAAAUUGCUCGCUCGUGGGGGUUCUUACUUAAUUUCUUUUGGGUAUAACUCACUGAGGGCACUGGCUUUGUUAUUUGCAUUUCGCAUUUAGAGUUCUGUUCUGGAAGGUUUGUUCUGGAAACAUAUAAAAGGAGCAUCAUUUUGUUCUAGGGUAACCCAUAGUUGUGAGUGGGUCCAUUUGCAUGCUACUUAGUUGAAAAGUUGGACAAUUUGCUCCGACGCCUACCUCCUGGAUUCCAUGCUCGGAUAAAGCAAGAAUAAUAAAAUAUUUAUAAUUUACAAAUGGGGGAAAGAAAAAAAUGUCAACAACAAACUAGGAAAAAAGAGUAGUAAAAUUUAUGCCACAUGCUAUUGAUAGAAGGGGCAUGUAUUAGAUCCAUCACCAUUUGGUAAGAUUUUAGUAUUAUAUUUUUCAAGGUUCAUUAUUUGAGGGUGUGUUCUUCAUCUCUGUUGCAUUGCUUCUUACUAGGCCCACUGAGGUGGGUUCUUCACCUUUUGUAUAUUCUCUGCACUAGAUCAAUGAGAAAGGGGGAAUUUUGGUGAAUUUGCAGCCGUUGGAUGAUUGAUUCUAGGCUCAGUCCACCAAUGAUGCUCUCUUCACUCUUUCUCAUCUAGUGUCAUUCACAACUAUGUUUUGAUUCAUAUUUGUACUAUCAAAGAUAUCUCAUUAUUCUAGCUCAUUAGGUAGAGUUCCUAAUCUUCCUCCUUUUUGGUCUAUGGACAGUAUUGGCUUCAUAUUAAGAUCAUGUUUCAAUAAUUGCACAUUAAUGAAUGGAUCAUGACCCACAUAAACAGAGUCAGGGUUGAGUCAGUGAACCCUAAAAUUUCACAAUUCUAAAUUUGGGUUCUUUAACAAUGCAGGGUCAAGGACGCGUGGUGAUGAAGGAAAGCUGGUAAGCUCAGUGUUACUUCAAUUCCUGCCAUGUAGGAUGGUGAGGAGAUAUUCACUAUGCAAUUAAUAAUAGACAAUAUUCACUAUGCAAUAAUAAAGCAUAAAUUAAGUUGAAUGAAAAGCAUUUUCUUUGCAAGGAGUUGAUUUUGGUUUCAUAGUUUGUUCAACUGCUAUUUUGGAUAGGAAAGUGUGAGGAGAAGAAAAUAAAAAAUAAAAAUAAAACAAAAAAUAAAAAAUAGAUUUUAUAAAUUCAUUUAAUUUAUUUUUUUUUUAUAAAAAUUAACUAAUUUAAAAUAUAUGUAAAUUUCUAAUUAAUUUAAUUACAUUUUUUUUUUCAGUUUUUCAUAAUAAACCAAAUAUUAGAAAAUUAUUUUUAUUAAGACACCCAAGAUGAGGUAAUAUGCAAUGAAAACAUGAAUUAUAUUAAAAUUCAAAACAAAUUAAGAGAAAUCGGAAAAUAUACAUAGAUAUCUAAACAAAGAAAUUUAAAGAGAAGGAACCACAAACUUUAUUUACAUAAUUUGAAAAUAAAAAACAUAAAACAUACUUAUAGUAAGGAGAAAUUGAAUAUCUUACAAUGGAAGAAGGGAGAAAAGCUUUGAAGAAAGCUUUUGCUUGGAAGCUUACAUGGUGAGAGGUAGAGAAAGGAGAGAGAGAGAAGAAAAUGAAAAAUGAGAAGUGGAGAAAAUUGGAAGUUUUGUGUGCUUACAACUGAGGAUAGAGCCUCCUUAAAUAGCAAAAAAUGGAAUAUUAAAUAGUACCAAUCAGGAGACAAAAUAUUGUUUGCUUUUGAAACCCGUGCAUGAAUAGUAAUCCCGUGAGUGAAUAGUGAAUAAUAAAAGUGAAUAGUAAAAGUCACUUUCUACUAUAGCACUUUAGACUUUUUCAUCGAGAAUCUUACUUUCGGCUGAGUGAUGAUAGCUGAUAGGUUGCUUUGGAUUGUGGAGUCAUAUGUUUGAUGUUUUCGGUGCUGAAACCGCUUAGUUGGAGAAUAAUCUCGUCAGUAGAGCAUCAUGAGAAGCUUGAAUGGAGAGAGCUUAAUGAUGCCAUAUGAUUGGAAGGAAUCCUAUUUUAAUUUCCUUAUUGGAGGGAGAAUACCCUCACAAUCAUCUUCAUUAUCUUGAAGGUAGUUUGAUAUAGAGUCAUCUGACUCAGCAUAAGAGUCCUCUUGGGAGAAGCUUGAACUGCUUUUGUCAAGGAUUUUCUGAAAUUCUUGAGGGGUUUUUGCUAUUGCUAACAUGGUUUGGAGUUGCUGUUUCUUAAGAAGAAACUGUGCAAUAUCAUAAGAUGAUGAAGCUUGUGUAGGAUGCUUUAGGAAAUAUUGCUUUAUUGCUUGUAGUGAGGUAUCAUUUUUCAAGGCAUCCCACCACUUAGACUUGAAAGUCCUUCCAAGGGUUGGAAAGGCUGCUGAUUCAUCUGCUAUAAUGAUAUAAUCCCACUGGACUAUCCAGGCAAGGCCAAAUUCACUAAAAAAGAAUAAUAAUUGGGGAAAACUGAAAGUUCUCUAGGGAUAACAAAAGAACUUUGGAAUAGCUCAAAGCCAUCCAAAAUGGGUUUUGGGAGAAUUUUAAUAGUUGGACCAAAAUAUGUCCACCAAUUGUGGAACCAAAAUGGAAAAGAGGGGAGUUGAUGCUUAGAUGGGAAAUAGAACAUCCCUGAAUGAUGGAAGUCCUUGUUCUGGAUCAGAAAAGCAUUGAACCAUACUCUUUGGUAGUCUCAAUAAUUGAAAAUUUUAGGUUUUGAAGGCUUAGAAAAUUCUCUUGAAAAAUUAGGAUUCCCACCCCACUGCUUAACUGUAAGGAUUUUAUAAAUAUGGUAAGUGGAGAAUGCCAAAUCCAAAUUGCUGAAUUUAUCAGCAUUGUGCUUGAUUUUAACAGAGCCGGUUUCCAUAAGGAUUGCUUCAUAAAAUUCUCUUGUUUUUAAAAGAUCACCAAAGGGAUAAUGAAAAUUUUCAUGAAAAGCUUUUGCUGCAAUAUCUCUAGGGUUUUUAGAGAAAAACUCUUUUUCAAUAACCAAAAGAGGUUGAUUUAAAUCUUUUUGCCAAUAUCUUGCUUUUGCUGAAAGAGGUGUGGGGUUGGCUACCACCACAAUUUGCUUAUUUGAAAAAGAAGAGCUUGAUGCUAAUUCAUUUUGAGAGGGAUUAGCUUUAGUAACCUGCUUAAAGGUCUGAGACACAGUAAUAGUUGGAUACUGAGUAGCCUUGACUGGUUUAGAAGGAUUCGAAGGAUCAUAGUACAAGGACAAAAUCUUAUUAGGCAUAUGGUCAGAAGAAUGAAGCCUUGCUUCUUCUUCUAGCUCAACUUGUUGGCUCCAAAGUAUUUUAUGGGGAGAAGGUUCUUUGCUGGUUUUAGAAGACUAGGAUUCUGGAAGUUUAGGAGCUUGGGUAUUCUUUUUAGGGGCCAUGGUUUCGUGAAUCCUGUAAAAUUCACAAGUUAAGAAAUCAGGGCUCGAAGAAUGUUCUCCUUUAAUAUACUCAAUUUGUAAAUUAAAAUUGCUUAAAAUAGCUUGAUAUAUAGCAAAAAUAUGCUUAGAAGUUAUAUUCUUAACAUCCUUUUGUAAAACUAAUUUUGCAAAUUUACAAUCAACUCUUAAUAAAAACUUUUGAUUCAAAAGAUCAUCUUGAAAUUUUGAAAUGCAUAAAACAACGCUUAAAGUCUCUUUUUUAAUGAUGUUAUGAAUGAGUUGGGUAGUAUUCCAGGUUCUUGAAGUAUACCUAACUAACAUCUCAAGGUUACCAACACUUUGCUUAAGAAUCCCACCAUAACCUAUGUCUGAGGUAUCGAUCCCAACAAACUCAAAGGUUUCUGGAUUGAUAGAGCCUAAACAUGGUAGGGUCUUGACUUUGGACUUAACAUCAAUAAUGAAAACAAUGGUGAAAACAGAAAACUGGUUAAAGUUUUCAUCCAUUAUAUUCUGGAAUUCUGAGGUGCAUUCUUAAGAUCAAAGGGCAUUAUGAACCAUUCAUAAUGUCCAAGAGAUACCACAAAGGUGGUCUUAUUUGGAAUAGGACACCUAAUCCAACUUAAUGUAUCAUUAAGAGGCAUGUAGUUGACGACUAGUCUAGGUGUUCCUUUUUCUGAUUCAACUUGUUCCUGAACAUAGAAGGUUGAACAACUCCAAAGGGACUUAGACUUCCUUAUCAACUUUUUAUCAAGAAGAUCCCAAAUCUCCUUAUCACAAUAGCUUAACAAACCCUUGUUCAUCUGGAUAGGUCUUGAUUUAGUGGGAAUAUUCUUGUCACUAAAGUCUAGUUCAUAAGGUAAUUCUACCUCAUGUUGUUUCCUAUGCCAAAAUGCAUUAGGAAUGUUAGAGCAAACUUCUUCAACAAUCAGAUUAAUUUCUUGCUCAUGACUUUCCUUAGCUUGAAUCACCUGAUCCCUUAAGGUGUUUAUAUUUUUCUUAUUAGGUGGUUGGCAAAUUCAAAAAUAAUUUCCUUAUCUAAGAGCUUUGUUCUUAUACUUUGGUCAUCUACCCACAUGGGAUAGAUGGAGCUUAAAAAGGGGAUUCCAAGGAGAGCUUUCUCCUUAAGAUCCUUAACUAGAAUGAAGGUUUGCUUGAUGCAAAUGCCUUGGUUAUUUAUGUGAGCAUCUGACAGCUUAUACUCAAUGUCAAGCCUUUUACCAUUAGCUCCAAAGAGAGAUUCUUUGGUUUUCUUACAAAACUUAAUAGGACCUAGACCUUCUUGUAGGCAAUUCAAAGCUGUUCCUGAAUCAAUCAAAGCAACAAUAUCAAUGACAAAUUUACUCUUAAUUACUAUAGUAAGGGAGACUUUCCACCUCUGGAAAAUAACCCUACUAACAGUAUUUAAGUAUCCAUCCGUCUUUUCAUCAUUAGCAUGUGAAGAUUCUAGAACCUCUUCAAGGUUUUCCUAGUUAUCAACAAGAUUUUCUAUAACAAUCCUAUUUAUUUGUUCUUGGAGAUCUGAAAAACCUAAGCUUGUGUAUUGUCUUAAAUCUUUAAUUUCCUUCUUAUACUGUCUUACUUCUUCUUGAAGAUCCUUAAUGGUUACGUCUUUGGUAGACUACUGGUUAAAUCUUCCUAAGAUUUCAUUUAAGUUAUAAGAAUUUACUGUCUUCUUAAUCUCUUGCUUAUCGACAAAUUUCUUAAAAACUUCAUAAAGAUCUUGUUUAGUUUUUUCAUCUUCAACUUUCCUUAAAACAUCUAGGACAAGUUCUUGAUCUUGGCUUAUGACAUUUAUAGUCUUAGGUUGGCAAUCACAAUUAUCCUUAAUGUAUUCUUCUUGGUCACUAGAAGUUUGGCUUGAGAUUUCCUCACCACUACUAUCUAGUUGGUUAAUACCAUUUUCAUUAUCUGAAUCAAUCCUUGAUUCAGACUCUGUGGAAUUUAACAUUACUUUACAAAGCAUAUCUUUUAAGUCUUCUGUGACAUUUAAGUUAUUAAUUUUCUGCUUAACCCUACAAUCUUUCUUAUAGUGGCCUAUCUUACCACACUUAAAACAAACUGGCUUAGAUUGUGAAGGAGCUUCUAGCUUUUUAUGGGCUUCUUUGUUCAUCAUUCUUUGGAUGUGCCUUUGUUUCUUAGUUUCAUUCAUCCUAUAGUUGCCAUGAGUUCCUCUCUUGUUGUGAUAGGACUUUUCCUUACUAGGCUUUGUACUUACUUGUUUCUUACGUUGCUUAGAGGGGGGCUUAGUUUCUUUUUGGUUGAAUCCAAACUAGCUACAAAAUGAACCAAACUCAUUCUUGUAGAUCCUUUGUUCAUUUUUCAUCUGUUGCUUAAGCUUAAAGUCAUUGCACAGUUUAAUUGCUUCUGAUGUGACAAUGCUUAUAAUUUCUCCAUAAGAAAGCUUAUCAUAAGGGAUUUGUCCAUUAAACUGUUCCCUUAUCUUAAUCCUAAUCCUCUCAGAGAAAAGUCUAGGUAGUCCUAAGAUGAAUUUUUCUUUCCAAAAAGACUGGUUAUAGUUUGAUCUUAGUAUGACUUUGGUUAGGAAAACUUCUCUAUACCAUCUAAAGUCAUGAAGCUUGGGACACUUAAGGUUGGUUAAGAGAUCUACAAUCUUAUCCUUAAUCUUUGCAGGAUCUCCAAUGAAGUGCUUUGAAAUUGAAUAGAUUAGAGUAGCCACUACAUCCUCUAUAUCUUGUCCAUCUUCAUCCUUAACCACUUCAUUUUCCUCAUUAAUCCUAUAGGCUUUUAGGAUACCAUUUCUAUCCUCAAAGGUGAGAUAAUUAUCCCACCAACCCUAAAGUUGACCUGUAAACCCAACAACAAUUGUUUGAGCUACAGCAUGGCCUGACAAUCUAUUGUUUAACUUAUAGGUUGUACUAACCAUGGUCAUUUCUUGAAGCUUAGUGAGUAUGUUGUACUCAAUCAUACCAUCUAUGUUCCAUUCAUAGAUAGUGUCACUAGUGUAGGAAGCUUGAGUAUGCUGGUUUCUUUCCUCAUACUACAUAUCAGGAAAAGUUGGUCUAGGGUAGUAAUUCCUAGUUCUUGGUUGUUGAUAAUCCUCAUAACUGUUUGGUUAGGAGGUUCCUUAAAAAUCUUAAUUAGUUCAUCAGCCUCUGCUUCAGAACUAAUUUCUCCUUUAACCAUAUUGAUUCUCUUGUGAGAUGGUUGAGGUGUCUCAGAGACAACAAGGCUAUCCUUAACCUUUUGGCUUAUCCUAUCAAUGAGGGCUUGAUCAAUAUGGAGAUUCUCUAGGAAUUUCUUAGAGAAUUCAAAAGGCUUAAAUAAAGACUUAUUAUCUUUCUUAACAAACGUAGUCUUAAUGUAGUCUUGUGUUUCAAUGAUAUCCUCAAACUUGUUGAGUUGAUCGCCUGUAGUCUUAAGAAACAUGUUAGUGUAGUUGUUUUGUUCCAUGAUUCUUCUAACGUCAACAACACUAUCAAUUCCUUUAUUCUUUGGCCUAGUCUUAAAAGGUGAAGCUUUGACUAUGGUUCAAUUAAUGUUCUUUUAUAUCUUAGCUUCUAGAGGGUGGAUGGAUUCUAUGAUAGUAUCGUCACUAGUUUUCCAUAUCUUAGUUUUUUUGGAUGUGUCAUUGACACGCUUACUAGGGUAAUCUAGAUAUUCCUCUUGUUUGAAGAGUUCAAACCAGAUCCAAUACUUAAUGUUCUUCUUUUCUUGUCUUAAGUAUGUGUAGAAUUCUUCUUGGUAGAGGGUUCUAAUGUCUUUAAGGACCUUGCUAAAGAACCAAACUCUCCUUUUCUUAUUGACUUCAGAAUAGAAGUCUUUCCUUAAGAGGUCCUUGUUGAUUCAAAGUCUUCGUUAAUUAGGCUUACAGUGUUAAUCAACUGAGAAUAAGUAGGAGACAUAUCAGGAGAUUCGUCCUGAUGUGAUUCUUGAGUAAACUCAUUUUCCUCCAUGUAAAAGGGUUUGGCCACGUUGGUGUGACUUCUAACACCUGUUAGCUUAAUAUUCUUAGGAUUUGCUGAACUAGAUCCUUCCUCUAUCCUAGUGGUUCUUAUUGGGAUAGAUGAACUUGAAGCUCUAGAGGGCUCAUAAUAUGAAAUUCUAAGGCUGCUAGAAUGAUGAAAAGAGUUGGAGAAAAUUAGAUCUCGUUCUCCAUCAGGAUAUUGAACAAUCUGUUCAAUUCUUUCAGAUCUUUGCUCUAUGGCUGGGACAACAUUAGCAAAAUGCCAAUUUUCUGGAAACUCAACCUCAUUCCACUUGAUUUUCAUGGGGACUAUGAAAUUAGACUUGUUUAUCAUAUCUAAGUGGAAGAUAGUGGUUUCACCCUUGGGACUGGUGCACAAUGCUCCAAAUCCAACGCUUAUGGUCAUGCUCUUAUAGGCAAAUCUGGUGAUGAUGGAAACAUGAUUGUUUCCUUGCUUGAACUUAAAGUCAUGGGUCUUAACAUGAAGGACAACUGAAUCUAAGAUGUUGACAUCUCUUAGUCUAACUGUGAAGUUAGGGAAACACUGGAAAUAAACAGGACCAUCAUUUAAUCCUGCUUGGGUAGCUCCAAUAAUAGAAUCUCGGUAAUCAAGAUGUCUAUUAUCUCUUAAACACAUGACAAUAAAGGUGUUUAGACCUAGUCUUGUCAAGGGCUUAGCUGCAACUUGAAUCAUGCCAAAGUGUAUGAAGUUGUAGUCUCGCUUAUGCUUAUCAAUGGACUUACUAUCCAAGAGUCUUAUGACUUGAUCGUCGUGUUCUAAACUUACUGACAUUUCAGGGGUUUUAAUGGUGUAAUCUGUAAAGAACUUAAAGGUUCCUUUCUUAUAAAUUUCUUGAUUAGGUACCUUGGGUAACUUCCAAUCAUCUAAAUCAUCUUGGAUCUUAGGAUAAUUGAUCUCUUCAUUGUUUACUCUUGAGAAUUUGUGGAUUUCCUAGACAUGGUUCUGAAAAUCAAACUCAUUUUAAGGUUUUAAUCUAGAGCCUAAUAGCAGAUUAACAGACCUAGUGAGUAAUCACCCCAACCCUUUUCCAACCUUAACAAACGCCUAUCUCCAGCUAACAAUGGGCUCAACUCGGCAAGGAUCGCACUCAGGCACACUACUAUCUUUCCUAGGAUAGAUCAAAACACCCAAAACAAACCCGACUUCCUUUUCCUAGGAUAUAUAUAGUAUUUUGGGUUUGAGUAGGAGUUCAUGUUUUGUAUGUAAUUGUAGUCUACGUUGGACUAGGUUGUUUGCUCCUAAUUGAAAUAGGAAUGGUUGGUGUCACAUCUCAUUCAUUUUCUCAUCUAUUUCCAUGUUUAGAUAACUCAAGUAAUCAUAGGAAUGAAAUUAAGAAUGAUUUGAGGGAAAUGAAAUCUCACUUGUAAGUGGGAUCUCAAUUCAUCAUUAAUAGAAGGUAUUUUGAUUACAUAGUGCAAGUUAUUUUUAAAAACACUUUUCAAAAAUUGAAAAACCAAAAACUCUCUUGGAUAAGUUGUUUUUAAAAAGAAUUUUUGUAUUUUUAUUUUGUAAAAAAAAAAAAUAGUAAUUCAAUUUAUAUAAUAUAAAUAGACUUUAAUUUUAUUAAAAAUAAAAAUAAUUUUUUAAUUACAAAUAAAUUAAAAAAUAAAUAUUUGUAAUAAAAUAUGAAUAGUAAUAUUAUAAUAAAAUCAUAAAUAAAUUAAAAAUAUUUUUAAAAACAAAUAAGUUUAAUUUUUUUGAGGUACAAAUGAGCCAAAUUUUUCAUUAGGUACACAACCAACAAUUUUUAUUGGAAACAUUCCUCAAAAAAGAAUUCGUUUCCCAUAUAGCAAAGAUAUUUAUUAUUUAGUAUCUAACCAUCCGUAGUAAUCAUAUCAAUUCUACUAAGUUAUUUAAUAAUUCAUUUAUAUAUAGUACUCAAUUAUGAAUUUUUUUAUUUGAUGUAUAAUUAAUUAAUCAAUGUUUUGAAUUUUGAAUUAUUCUUAAAAUUUAAAACAUUAAUUAUGUCUAUUACUUUUUAUAGUCAUUAUAUAUAUAUAUAUAUAUAUAUAUAGAGAGAGAGAGAGAGAGAGAGAGAGAGAGCUUAAAUUUAUCUUUAAAAAUUAUUAAAUUUAUUAAUAAAUUCAAUACAAAGACUCAUUUGAUUUGAAAUUCAUUUCUUUAGUGAAAAUUUUGAAACUAAAUAGUACUUUGUUUUACUUUGUUUUUAAAUCAUACUCACAAAUAAGUUUUUAUCAUUUAGCCAAAAAAUCUCAAAGAUGUUUCUAAUUUUAUUUAUUUAUUUAUUUGUAAAUGAAAAUAAAAAAUUAGUUUAAACUAAAUAUGCGGAUAUUAUUGUUAAUUUAUUUCAUUUUUUAUUUCCAUUGUUAUUUAACAUUGAAACGGAAACAAAUAAUCAUUCCAAUCUUACAUUCUUAUAUGCAUCUAAACACAAGAAUUGAAAUCACCAAAUUCAUAUUCAAGGCAAAAUAGAAAUGGAAAAAAAAUAUUCAUUUUCAUUCCUCAUUCUCAUGUGCUAAACAUGACAUUAGUUCUACUACCUAUUUCACCAUUCUUCUUGAUAAAUUUGGUAUAUGCAAUAUUGAUCUAAGUGUGAGGUGAAUAAGAAUGAUGAUGGGAUGGGCUUGGAAAUAAGGGCAAAGUUUCUAGGUGCUAUCUAGAGGGGCAACGCGACUUUUUCAAAUUUCGAAUAUUUGUUCUCAACAUAAAGCAAAACUUUACUCACACAAUAGAUAAGACUCUGUUUGUUUUCUUCAUCCACGACUAUAUAAUGUAUAGCUCUUACUCAAGGGAUGAGCUACUUACUAUUAAGGAUUGGGUAAGAUAUUGCCUAAUGGCCAAGAAGGCAUGUCAAAAAAUAAAUCUAAUCACCAUAAAAAAUAAUAGGGGAAAAUUAAUAUAUUAUGAAUGAUGACUUUACUAUUUCUCUAUAUACAUAAUUAUAUAUUUUGAAUUUUCUCACUAGGUAAUGAGAUUCUAAAUCAACUGAAACAUAAUUAAUAAUUUAUAUUUUUAAUGAAUCUUUUAAUUUUUAAAAAUAAUUUAAAAUUUUAAAAAACAAUUCAAUUAAUUACAUAUUAAAUCAAAACAUUUCAAAAUAUUGUGUUUGUAGAUGAGUACUAAAUGCUUGCAUAUAAUAAUAAUAAUAAAAAAAUUGACUCAUUUAGAUGUUAAAAAAGUUAAAUGUUUUUCAUUAUUCAUUUUAAGUAAAAUAUUAUUGACAUUAUUAUUAUAAAAUUAUUAUUAUUCAUUUUUAACAAAAAACAAAAUAAGUUAUUCUUUUACCAAGAUGUCAAUAUCUAUAUUUUUCUAACAUAUAUUAAAAUAGUAUACUUUUCUUUUAUUAAAAAUAAUAAUUAUUAUUAUAUUAUUAUUCAAGUUUUAUUAAAAAAAUUUAUCUUUUAAUUCAUUUGUAAUUACAAAAUAAUUUUAUUUUAUUAAGAAUUUAAUUUAAUUACGCUUUUUUUUUUUAUAAAAAAAACAGUUAUGCUUUUACCAAGAUGUUAAUAUUCAUAUUUUUCUAGCUAACAUAAAUAGAAUAGUACACUUUUUCAUAUAAAAAAAUAAUUUAUGAUUUUAUUAUAAUGUUACUAUUCACAUUUUACUAAAAAUAUUUAUUUAUUUUAUUUAUUUUUAAUUAUAAAAUAAUUUUAUUUUCAAGAAUUUAAUUUUAAAAAAAUAGAAAUCAUUUAUUCUUUUACCAAGAUGUUAAUAAACAUAUUUUUCUAACAUAUACUAAAAUAAAAAAGUUUACUUGUUCAUUAAAAAAUAUAAUUUAUGUUUUUAUUAUAAUACUACUAUCUAUGUUCUACUAAAAAUAUUUAUUUAUAAUUAAAAAAUAAUUUCAUUUUUAAUAAGACUUGAACUAAAUUAAAUUUAUAAUUUUUUUUUAAAAUAAAAUAGAAAAUUAUUUUUUAAAAACAACUUAUUGAAAGAAAUUUUUUAUUCUUUACUUUUAAGAACUGUUUUUAAAAGCAACCUAUAAACCCCUUUGGGUCUGUUUGGCUAUGUUUCAUGCAACUUGUUUUUAAAAAUUGUUUUUUAUUCUUUAAUUUAAUUUUUUUUAAGUUAAAGAAUAAAAAACAACUUUCUAGUGUUUUAUAAAAAUGAGAGCUUUUGACAAGUUGUUUUUAAAAACCAUUUUUAAAAAUAAAAAAUAAAAAACUUAUUUAGAUAAAUUGUUAUAUAUAUAUAUAUAUAUAUAUUUGUAAAAACAUUUUAAAUUCAAUUUAUAUAAUAUAAAUUUAAUUUAAUUUAAGUCUUAUUAAAAAAAAAUUGUUUGGAUAAGUUUUUUUUUUUAAAUAGUUUAUUAUUUUUGUUUUGUAAAAACAUUGCAAAUUCAAUUUAUAUAAUAUAAAUUAAUUUAAUUCAAGUCUUAUUAAAACCAAAAUAAUUUUAUAAUUACAAAUAAAUUUAAAAAUAAUUUUUUUAGUAAAACAUGAAUAAUAAAAUUAUAAAUUAUAUUAUUGUGGACCCUGCAUUUAUGCUCAUGCGCUUCCACUUGUUGGCGAACUCAUUUUUUAUUUGAAAAUGAUUUAUUUUUUUAGAAAAUGACUUAGAGUCGCCACUUAUUUUUGUUUUAUUUUUAAAGGGCAAGCAAAAUAAGAAAGAAAACCCUAAGUGUGACUCCUUAUUCGAAAAAGGUAGUCUGUGUAAAACCGGAUCAGGGUUCAGGGAUCAGGUUACUUAUUGGGAAGGUAUGACAAUGACCGUAGCACUCCUCUAAGUCCUUAAAAACGGGCCUCUACUAAAAAAAAUAAAGUAAUCAUGGCAAUCAGUAAGGAAAUCACUGGAUACCCAGAACAAUUAUGCACAUGUGAGAAUUAAAACAUGCAUAAGAAUGGACAAAGUGAGAGUGGGUGCGUACCUUGACAACGAACCACAAUGCGUUAUCAAGAAAUGGGGUUAGUGCACGAUCAAUGAACAUAAAACACGUCACACAUGUCACUAAGCAGAGUGAGAAAUCAUCAGAUAUUACAAUUCAAUCAAAUUUAUUUUUAGAAGAAACAUCUGUUGAUGUAGAGCCCCUACCAAAGCCUAAUUUAUUUUUGCAUGAAUCAAUUUCAUAAAUUCAAUCGCUUGGAAUUACAGAAUUAAAUUCAUGCUUAUUUUAAAACAUCUUUUUAAAAUCAUGGAAGAUGUGAAAAUGGUUUUCCAAAGAGAAAAUGACAACUGAUUUUAUUGAAAAUGGGAUUUUGGGGACCUAAACGUUAAAGAGGGAUUAGGAAUUGAAAAUUAAAUCAUUUGAAAAUUGAAUUUUUCAAAAAUCAGUUUUGAAAGCAUGCAUGCAAGUAUGGACUGUGAAAGUGGGCCUAGGGAGGGUGGCCAUGCAAAAUGAGGUCAUACACGUGGGCCUUGGGUACAAUUGGGACUACUUUGCUGGUGCCAGUGGUGCUUGCAGCUGUCAUCCAUGAUUUCUUCAUUGGGAUCAAUUUCCAUUCUUACUGCCAAACAUUCCAUAACAAUUGACCAAACUAGUAACCCUGACCUUGCAUGAAAAUGAACGUUACCUAGAAACUCACUGCCAGUGAGAUUCAUUGCUCUUUCAAAAGGUCUCAUUUUCUUUCUCAUCCAAUUGCUUUAAGGAGCAUUCUAGCGUCACGAUUGGUGACUGCGCAUCAUCUAGAGCCUUCUUUCUUCUCAGAAUCAGGUUUGCGUGCAGAGGCCUGUGCUUGUUCAAGGUUGACCUAAAUUCAUCUAGGUUUAGAACCGACCAGUUGAGCUUGGGGAGCAACGACAAGAAUAUCAGUCACUUGCGAAGAGAAAACUCGAGAUCUUUCAAGUAAUGCCUGACAUAGAUUCCUCCAACCUGUGGCCAAUAUCUCAUUCCUUGUUGGCCAGACGCCUAUUAGGGCGUAUCUCAAUCAAUAAUAUGAUUUUUCGUUUGUUCACAAUAAAGACCGGAAGCCAUGGUUGUGAUUUAUGCAGUACAGAAGAAGUUGCCAUGGCUGGUAUCCUUACAAAUUCUGGUGUUUCUGCUAUCUGUUCAAGUGCAAAACACAACAGCUUUAUCAAGUUUGUCCCUAACAACUGAUAUUGAGCCCUCUGGAGGAAACCUUGAUAAAUUCAUAAUCACUUUUGACUCAUGCAUGGGCUGCCCAUCAAAUUUUCCUAGCAACGAGACGACUGCUGUCAUCUACUGCAAAGAGAAUUUCUUCUCGCAAAGACAAGAGGAGUUUAAGAAUACACACUAUUCUGCCAUUUCAUUUCCUCUUUCUCCACAACCAACAUAAACCAUAGUGUCUACAUUAGAGUACUUAGAAAGAGCUUAACUGAUGACCGUUUUUCCACAACCAAAUGCCCCAGGUAUGGCACAAAUUUCACCGAAAACAGAAGGGAAAAGGGCAUCAAGAACACGCUGUCCUGUAAGUAGUGGGGUAUCAGGACUACUCUAGGGAAGUUAUUUCUGUCAUUUUGAAAAAGAAAAAUUAAAGAAUGUACACAUGCUUUCAAGUGGACUGGAGCAUUCUACAUAUCAGGUGGUCUGUAGCCACAUGUGCCACUUUGUGGAAGUUGGAACAGUCGAUCACUAGGCUAUUUAGUGUGGCCAAGCCACGUUAAUCAAGGACAAGUCUUCAUACUUAAAAGUCAAAUGGUGCCUUUAGUCUCAUUACACAUGGCUAUUUAAAGAUGAACUAAUCUUUAGUGUAAUGUGAUUAAGACAGUACUAACUGAUCAAUAUUUUUUCUAAUUUUGGAUGCAAAUGCUUGCUGGCUUCAUCAUUGGAUGGGAUAAAGGUGCAUUCAUGACUCUGAAUACUUGCAGUAAUACUUGCAGUAAUACUUCAUUCUCUUUUUUCUCGAUGAGACUUCUUGGCACAAUUUUGCUUCUCAGCAACCUACCUCUCCAUGGAAAAUGAGUUGCGAUUGAUGGUACUGGAUAUUUUCUAGGAAGCUAAAUAUAGAUAUAUAGCACUCAAUGUCAACGAUAUAUAUAGCAUUAACAGUAUAUGUCUCAAUGCUCAUCAGCUACAAGCAAGGGACAAACACUUACAAUGAAUAACUCACGUCAACAUUCCUAAACAGGACAUAGAAGUGACAGAUCUAUAUAUAGAACACUGCAUAUGAGUCACAAGAAAAGAUAAUACGGGUGCAUAGCAGCUCUUAUAUUACAUAUUACUCAUACCGUUCAAAUUCACUCAGUUGGGAUGGGUGGGAGAAGGAGGCCUCUGGGGUGGCUUGUGCGUGUGAGAAGUGGAAGAAAGUUGAAUGGAAUGAAACUGAAAAACAGGGUAGAAUAGAGGUUUCUUGAAUCUUCUGAAAUCUUUAUUUUUCUGAGAUUUAUUCUCUGUUUUUGUGAGUCGUGACUCUACAUAUAUACAUGUAUUUAAAGUUAGUUAUGCCUUAUAACUAAUUAUCUAACAGUACCAAAACUAAUCAUCUAGUUGCAUGUUUCUAAUUAAUGCUAUUUAGUUACAACUAUAUAUGGCUUAACAUCCUCUCUCAAACUCAAAAGUCUAGCUAGAACAGUGAGUUUGCUUCAUAGAUUGAGAAAUUGUUGAAUAGGUAAGGCUUUGGUAAGAGCAUUAGCAAUCUGGUCAUAAGAAGGAAUGUGUUGAACCACCAAAGUCUUAUUGAGCACCUUUUCCUGAACAAAAUGGCAAUCUAGUUCCACAUGCUUAACUCGAGAAUGAAAAUAGGAUUGGCAGCAAGAAAGGUGGCUGAAAGAUUGUCAUAGAACAAAACAAAAUAGGAGAAUAAGAAGAUGAGAUAGAAAACUCCUGAAGAAGAUGUUGAAUCCAUUGAAGUUCAAAAGCAACAUUUGCUAAGGCCCUAUACUCAGCUUCAUUGCUGGAACGAGACACAACUUUCUGCUUACUGGAGUUCCAGGAGACUAGAUUAGAGCUAAAAAAGAUGCAAUGACCACUUGUACUUCGACGAUCAUCAGGGCAACCAACCCAAUCAACAUCAGCAUAAGCAGUAAGUUGAAAAUCAGGAGAAGAAUAAAAGGAAAGACCAAAGGAAGUAGUGCCCUUAAGAUAAUGCAACAAUCGUUUAACAACUUGCCAAUGAAGAUCAGUUGGUUAUUGCAUGAAUUGGCAAAGUUUAUUGAUAGAGAAAGAGAUGUCAGGCCUUGUAAUGGUACAAUAUUGCAGGGCUUCAACAAUGUUGCGAUAUUGAGAAGGGUCAGCCAAGAGGGAACCUUUAGAGGCAGAUAAAGUGUGAGAGGUAGUCAUUGGUGUAUCAAUAGGUUUAAAAUAUGGAAGACCAGCACGAGUUAACAAGUCCUGAAUAUAUUUGGUUUGGGAAAGAUGAAGAGAAGAUCCUUGCCAACAUACUUCUACACCCAAGAAGUAAUUCAGAAUACCAAGGUCCUUGAGAGCAAACUGAAAGUGUAAAGACGAAACCAUUUGGUGGACUAGCACGGUAUUAAGACCACUAACAAUAAUGUCAUCAACAUAGAUGAGAAUAAUGAUCAUGUCAGUCCCUUUCCGAAGAGGAGCUUGCUUCAGACCCUACAAGGCUUUGCGAAGUUUACAGAAAAAACCGGGUUUAGAAUGAUCAACAAAGCCUGGAGGUUGAACCAUGUAAACCUCUUCUUCUAACUCACCAUUGAGAAAGGCAUUAUUAACAUCUAAUUGUUCCACUAACCAACCAUGAGAAAUAGCAAGAGAAAGAACAAUUCAUAUAGUAGUUGGUUUAACAACAAGGCAAAAGGUUUCAAAAUAAUCAAUACCAUAUGUUUGAUUAAAACCCUUUGCAACUAAGUAGGCUUUAAAACGAUCAAUUGAGCCAUUAGCUUUGAGUUUCAGCUUGUAUAUCCAUUUACAACUAAUAAUGCGUGUAUUAACAGGUUUAGGAACCAAUGUCCAUGUGGAAUUGGUGAGAAGAGCAUCAUACUCAGUCUUCAUAGCAGCUUGCCAAUUAGGAUGCAAUAUUGCUUCUUUGAAAGAGGAGGGUUCGACAACAGUAGUUUGGAUAGCAAGGCUAAAUAUUUUUUUGGGUUUAAAAAUACCAUUUUGGCUACGAGUAACAAUAGUUCGGUUUGGAAGUGAAAGAGGAUCAGUGGAGGAGGCUGGAACAAGGGAUUGUGGUAAAGUAGGAAAGGAAGGUGGAUGAGAUGGAACAAAAUCAGUAGGGACAAUAAUGGGAGAAGAAAAAUUAGGUGGAGAAUGAUGAGGAUUCCUUGAAGAUGGUGUAGGAAUAGAGAGAAUACCAGAAUCAAGAAGUGUUAAAGAAGAGUUGGAUGAUGAUACUGGUUGACAGGAUAAAGACUUUGUUAAAAAUGGAAAUCGAGUUUCAUCAAAUACAACAUGACGAGAAGCAUAUAUCCGAGAGGAAGCCAUAUCCAAACAGAGGAAUCCCUUGUGUUUAGCACUAUAACCCAAAAAACAGCAAACAACAAAUAUAUUUGCUAGCUUGUGAGAAGCAUAAGGGCGAAGAUAAGGAAAACACAAGCAUCCAAAACUUCAAAGAGAUGUAUAAUAAGGUAAACGAUUAUAAAGAACUCCAUAAGGAGAAUUUUGUGAAAGAACAGCAGAGGGAAGGCAAUUUAUGAGAAAAAUGGCAGUUUGAAAUGCAAAUGACCAAUAUUUGAGAGGGUAUACCAGCUUGUAUUAACAAAGAAAGACCAACUUCCACAACAUGACGAUUCUUUCUUUCAACUCUUCAAUUUUGCUAAGGAGUAUAAUGACAAGAGACUUGAUGAAGAAGACCAUUUGUAGCCAAAUAAUUCUGAAAAGCUGAAACUGAAACUCAUCAAAUUGAUUUUUAGUAUCAAAUUUUCUUCAGACUGAACACAUUGAUUUUUAGUAUCAAAUUUUCUUUCAACCAUGGCUUGAAAAUGUUGGAACAUAAGUAAAGCUUCAUCUUUAGUUUCCAAAAGGUACAACCAUGAGAAUAUGCUAAAAUCAUCAAUUAGCAAGAGGAAAUAUUGAGCAUUACCAUUGACAGAAACUAUAGGAGUUGCACCCCAAAGAUCAACAUGGAUGAGACCGAAUGGUUUUAUUGCUCUAGAAGUGGAUAUUUCAAAUGGAAAACGAUGGCUUUUAGCCAACUGACAAGACUCACAUACAGAGUUAUUAUUGUCAUGUUUCAAAGGUAUUUUAUAAAGAGAUAAGAUUUUGGAAACUACAUUAAUAGAGGGAUGACCAAGUCUAUUAUGCCAAAGCCUCAAAGAACCAACGGCUAAAGUACUACUAGUAGAGUAAAAUACUAGUGGAUGACCAACAACUCUUGGUGUAGCAAGAAGUUUAUAGAGACCCUUCUCAAUUUUUCCUUGAAGAAGAGCAAGUCUCGUUUCCUGAUCCUUUACCACAAAAUGAGAAGAACGAAAUUCAAUAAAGGUGCCAUUGUUUGAGUAAAAUCGUUGCACGCUAACUAAGUUGGUGGUAAUAGAAGGAACAUGUAAGACAUCAUUGAAAAACAAAGAACCACUUGAAGAGGCAAGAGAAAAUUUACCAAUAUUUGCAAUGGAUAAACCCUUACCAUCUCCAACAAUUACUUUGUCACCACUGGUAAAUGGAUUAUGGAUUGUUAAAUUGUUAAGAUCAGAUGUGAGAUGAUGGGUAGCCUUUGUAUCAAGAAACCAAUAAGUGUCUCCCAUUGUUGCAGAAGUUGUAGUCAUAGCCUCAGGAUUGUUAGAGGUGGAAUGUUUAGAAUCUUUUGGCUGAUAAUCAGAGUUAAACCGAUACCAGCAUUGUAAAGCGGUGUGUCCGAACUUACAACCGAGAGAAAUAAUCUUUACUUAUUCUCUAAAAACUGUUCUUUAUUCCACACAUUAUUUCUAAAAACUGUUUCUAGAUAACAAUGACAAAAUAGUAUUAGGAAUUUUUAAAAAUAAAAAUUGUUUUUAAAUUACAUGAUCUAUAUCAUUCACAUUUGACCAUUAUAGCUUUGUUCAGGAAAACACUUGAAAGUAACCUUAUCGUGAUAAGAGAUAUAAGUUGGCUGUAGUUUCAAACUGAAAACAGAGGAUGGCAAUAGAAAGCAAAGCAUUAGUUAUCUGCAAUCAGUGGUGAUCAUGCCCCAUGUCAAUUUCGGACCCAUAUCUUAAAACCGUAUAAUUUGCAUUUCAACAUUUCUGAUUUCUCAGAUGUUUCAUACUCCACAGAAGAACAUUGUUUGUGAAAGCAUGCAUUUAUGCUGGAUUUUGGAUGAUGUGGGAACUGGGGCAAGGAUCAUAUGGAAGAGUGGUCGAUUUUUUCUGUACUUUAACAUUUGAAAUAGGAGCAGCACGGGCAUUUGUGGGGCUUAAUUGAUUUUGAAGCCUGAAAUUGCGUUUCUGUCAUUUUGUAAAAAAUAUGGCAGAUUCCAUGCUCUCAUAUGUUUGGUCUGUGGCCAUGUAUAGAUGCCACUUAGUGACCAGUUUGUAACUGUCAAUCAUAGUGUUUUGACUCUGGCUCAACAACAUCAGCCAUUGACGGAUUUUCAUACAUGCAAAUCAAAUAGUCUUCUUCCUCCCUUAGGAAUUUCGGUUUAAAUGUUAUUAAGCAUACAUUUGGCUGACAAUUAUUAACCACUUCAUGAUAUGGUUUCUUACCCUUAAUCAAUGGUUUCUAAGUGAAUAUAUGCAGAAGGAAAUCUGAACUGUAGACAGCAGUAUUGAUAAUUAUCAAUAUUCUUUAUAUAAGAGAAUAAACAACGUCAUAGUGAUCGUCGCCUACAAGAAAGGUACAUUUCCCAACAAGAUGUAGUUGUGACUGGUACAUGGACGUAAUUAACUCGUAGAAAAGGAUAAGACCAGUGCACGGCAGCUCUUAUUUUACAUGCUAAUUAUGCUAACCAAAGUCACUCAGUUGGGAUGGGAGGGAGAUGGAGGUUUGUGCGGUGGCUUGUGGGGCGGAGUUGGUGGCUUCUUUUCAGGAGCUUGUGGCUUUUUCGGAGCUGAAGGAGGCUCAAUCUUAUGAGGCGGCUUGUACGAGUCUUCUUUACUCUCGACAGGAGGGUGGCCAGGGUUGUGACCAUAAUGUGGUGGCUUCUCUCCCUUAGGUGGCUUGCCAACUGGGGUUGGUGGCUUGUGUUCAGGAAGUGGUUUCUCUCCCUUGGGAGGUUUACCAAUUGGGGUUGGUGGCUUGUGUUCUGGGAGUGGUUUCUCUCCCUUGGGAGGUUUAGUGGGUGACUUGUGUUCUGGAGGUGGCUUCUCCACCGGAGGCUUGUGCUCCGGUGGUGGCUUCUUGGUUGGAGGGGGCUUGGGGUAAUCAGCAAGAGAUGGGGGGGUGAGAACCACCACUCCAAGGAACAACACUAGCAAGUAUGUGGGAGACAUUUCUGAGUUUGAGCUGAUCAGAUGAUGCAAAACUAGAAGAAUUACGUGACCUUUUAUAGCAAGUAGCUCCCAAUACCCACAUGACACGUGUUACUGUGACCAUAAAUAUUAUAGGGUCCAUUUGUGCCCUACCGGGUUGAAAACUUGGACGCUUGGCCGAGGACACACCGAACUAUGGAGGACUAUUGACGUGUGAUCACAGCUUUUGGAUUUUUCUUCCUGUGCAGCUGUCUAGCGGUUGGCAUUAUUUUUUUAAUCUUAAAUAAAGGCAUAGUUAUAGAGUACAUUUAUAUAUCUUCAGAUAGCCAUUAAUAUAUUUGAUGAAGAAAGACAAGUGCAUACAACAUGUAUACGGCUUGCUUCAAUCGAGUACAUUUAUGAUCAGUUUUCCAGUGCAAGUAAACCAGUUUUUUGUUCCACAACUAUUUUGGAAUCUUGUUUAUCAGUUUCUAUCAUUAUAAUGUCACAUAGGCUGCAAACUUGGGCACCCAAAGAUCUAGUUGGGCAAAUUUGUUUCAGAAUUUCAAUGGUGGAUUCAGUAAUUGUUAAAAGGUGUUUCUUCAUUAAGGAAAGAGUCCUGUAAAAAUAUUGUUAAAAGGUGUCAUAGAAACUAUAAUAAUUAAAUAACUUCUUUUCCCCGUGGGUGGUGUUUCUUCUGGGGAUACCCAAAAUGAGUUCAGAUUAAAAUUGGUUCGAGUCAAAGCUGUCUCUUUUGUCCAGAAAUCAACUAUUUUGCGCAUUGCAUGAAUCGAUAAAGAAAAAAUGAAAGCCAAAUCACACCUCCCCUGCAAAACCUAAACCCCGGUUGCUAACUUUCUAUGUUUCAGUCCUAUUCAUACAGGAAUAUUGGUUCAAGUUUGAGAAAAAUGGCAACUUACCUAGGGAUUACUUGGUUGUGGUUUGCGACGACUAUUUACGCAACCAACCAUGAGUUUGACUUUAACGUCAUGGGUUGAAGCCUCCUACAAUCGUGUAUGAUAGUUCAAAGCUCGUAGUAGAAAUUAUACAGGAAGGAAGAAACCUCCAAAGCUAGCUCCAAAAGAGAAUUAUCACAUCGAUAGCUCCAGAGAUUCCCAAGGGGACUGAAUCAAAGACAAGUUCCUCACUUUUUCUUCUUUUGAGGCCAAAUAUGAACCAAGGAUCACACGACCUCAUUCAACUUCAUAAGUUUGAUUUCAUGCAGUUGAACACUGGGUGAAGGCCAUGACAAGAAUUGAUUAAAAAAUUCUACCACUGUUUUAAGUAAUGGAAGAUUAUUAUCUCUGAUUGGCACCACAACAGCACAUGCUGCUAGAUCUUUCUAGACACUCCAUGCAAUGAAAGUACAAUGGAUCUUGUAACGAUAGAAACUAAGCCAUGCUACAGUACUAGAUGACGAGGUAAAACUAUUAGACAUGGGUGGCAGCCUAUAUGGGAGGGACACAAGUCUAAUUGAUUUGCAUUUCAGCGUUCUAGAUGGGUAUGUUUUGGAAGAUUUGUUCUGGAAAUACCGCACCAAGUAGGAUUCUUUUUUCUCUUGAGUGGGUCCACUUGCAUGCCAAUUAUCGAGUUGAAAAGUAGAGCACCUACCUCGUGCUCGUGGAACCGAAGGUCAGUGAAGUGGGGCUCCUUUUGGCCUCUUGUGUUUCUGUUCCAACCAAGGCGGCGGAGGGAAAAACAGCAAUAUGUCUCCGCUAAAUAUCAACGCAUGAUAGCGAAUGAGGGAGAAAAAAAGUAAUUGGCAUCUCAAUCUCACAAACUUGGUACAGUAGUGACAUUAAUAGUCUUCCACAUGGUUUUUAUUUUAUUUUAUUUUAUAUUUUAUAUUUUCCAUUUUUUUAUUUUUUUGUAUGUCAAGGCUAAUGAAUAAAAUGCGUUAGCUUGUUUUGUGAUUGGAACUGCAAAUGUCCAAAUUGGAGUUUCUCCAUUUCUCAGUUCGGAUGGUUAACUUUAUAAACAAGAUAUAGGAAACAUGUGAACGUCUUGAGGAACAAUUCGAAUUAUUGAUUAGAACUCCUAGGUUGAGUUCCAAGAUUUAAAUCAGACCCCUCUAGCAGCUUCAGGGGUACCUAGCAAUUAGAACAUAUUAAUGAAGAUUUAGGAUUUAGACUCCGGAAUACAAAUUAAUAUGUAUCUUAUGCUCUGACUAGCUUCCCUGCAUAUGCACAAAAUGGAGAUGACCCAAAAAAUAGCAGAAUCGCCUUAGUUUAUGUGGUUAAGGUGAUUCUCCGGUUAAUAUCCACAUUGGCUCAUUAUGCAAAUCAACUGAGCUAUUUUUUUUUUAAUGUCAAAUAGGAACUCCUAAUUAACCUAACCAUUGGCCUGUGUAAAUUGAUUUCACAUGCACAAUGUUGUAGUAGAAGUCCACAUUUUGAAUUUUAUUUUUGGAAAGGUAAGGAAAAUGAAGCAUUGUGUAAUUAUAAAAAUAACUUCAUUGGAAUUCACAAGGUUCACCCAAAAUGGAGCUACAUCCGUAUUCUAUCUUACAGUAGACUAUAUAGAUUGUACAAUAGUAAAUUGCAAAUACAAUUAAUAAGUCUUGUGUUUCCUUACUAAUAAUCCUUUGACAUAAACAUUGCAGCACUAAGGUCCUCUUGGGCAGACACCUUGCACCCAUGAGAGCACUAAGAGGAAGCAAGGCGGAGUCAUGGGUGCAAUGUCAUGACUUGUUGCACUAAGAGAGGCUUGGUGAUGGCAUAGUGCUGCAGUAGCAAGAAUGUUGCCUUGGCAGGGACACGAUCUAGGGACAGAUGCCAAGAAAGGCUUAGCACUCACAUGAGUUGCACAAAGAUGAAUGAAAUAGAACAUCAAAGAGACAUCUUGGCAAGCUCAAGAAAGACAUGUGGGUUGGUAAAUGAAUGGAUGCAAGAGGCAACAACAUGAGGAGUUUCAAAUGGAUAGGGAAUGAGUCAAAGACAUUUGAAAGCUACAAGUUGGAUUCUAAUUACGAUUGCAAUUUGAGUUUGAGUAGGAGUUUAUAUUAUGAUUGUAAUUGUAGUAUGAGUUGGACUAGGAUUGCUUAUCCCUAGUCAAAAUAGGAGUUGUUCAUGCCACACCCUAUGAAAAGAGUUUGAGUAGGGACUAGGAUUGCUUGCUCCUAGUCAAAUAUGGAGUAGGUGGUGCCACACCUAUAAAAAAAAAAGGGACAACAUGAGAGAGAGAGAGAAUGAAUUCACCAAAGAUAUUGUGGGAGUUUUGCUUUGUUACAUCUUGUAUUAUUAUUUAGAAUAGUAAUAAAAUACAAGUUGGGGCUAGAGCCCCAUAAUCUCGUGUGCCUUUGUGGGUUAUUCUUUAUUUGCCAUCUCGUGUGGAUUGGAUUAGAUUGAUGAGGCGAAAUAUUAUGUGGGAAAUUUAUGUUGGGACACUUACCAUAACCAGGUAAAAUCUACCAAGUCUUUUGUAAUAUCUUCUACAAAUAUUUUAGACCAGUUCUUCACAAAACAUCAUAAUAUGUUUUGUGUUUCUCUUGGAUUUUGAGUUGAAUUGUCUUAGAUCAAUUGAAUGCAUCUCAAUAUUAUUAUCUUGUUUGAAGGCUUGAUGAUUUUCCAUUUAACUUUACUUUCUUUAGGUUAUGCUUGAUUCCUUAAAAGUACUAAGGAAAACAAAAAAUAAAAAAAAAUAAAAAAUGCAGAGGGUUAGGACAUGUGUUAUCUAAUUGUCCUAUCCAAAGAUAUUAAGAAAGUCAUGUAGGAAAGUAAUUGAAAACUAGGUCAAGAAAGGAGCAAAAGGGAAUUGUUUUGGUAUUUUCUUUUUUAUUCUUGAAGGUGGCAGAGCUAAAAUUUGAGAAAUCAAGCAAAACAUACUGAAAUUACAUUGAAAGAAAGAAAAUGGUAGUUAAUGUCUUGCAGUACAUGAUAAGGACUUCAUGCAUGUAGUGUGACGACCCAUGUCUUGGACUGAUGCCACACUCACGGUUACACUUAUACCCUUGGUUCUCUCUUUACUACCUUGGCUAACCUAGAUCAGGCUAUGAGAUAGGCUCCUCACCACACCAUCACUUGCCCAGUAAUUAGUGACAUUUUCAAGCAAUGAGGUAACAUGGUGACACCAAGAGGGUUUAUCCCUCGCCCCAACAAGUCUAGACUCGGUCUCAAAAAAAUGGAGAAAAAUGAGGUGUCGUUAUGCAGAAAUACAACAACCAUGCCUUCCUUAUUACUUAGAUUCAGAAUGUGAAGGUGAAAUUGAGAAACAGAAACUCUUGAAACCAGAAUGAAAAUUGAUACUUUUACGAAGAAUUACAACAUUAGAGGAAGACUACAUUCUUCCUCUAUAUUCCUACGUUUCUACACUACUUCUACUCCACUCCAUAUUUCUACAUACAUCUUUAAUCAGUUUUCCCUCCUUUAUAUAGAGCCAUCUUCACACAAAUUCCGCAAGGUAGAAAAGAGGAAUGAAACUUGGAGCAAGGUUCGACUACUGGUUGUCGCUUGUCAAGGCUGGAAUUGAACUUUUUUUCUUGGCUUUUCUGGGCAUAGGUAGUAACUUGUGGUUCCUUUUUGGAAUGAAAAUGGUACAGCUAGAACAUGUGGCACUCUCUUGUUGGAUUAUGUGUCAAACAUGUGGCAGCCAUCUAGUGGAGAUUAUUUCAAUUUUGGGAUGGAGAGUUGGCAUCCAAUUGCAAAGAAAUAUGACAUCUACCAACAUGCAAUGUAAACCUAUAUAGAUCAUAUGGAGAUAGAGAGGAAACAUAUAGAAAUGGAUAUAUACCUAGAACUAGCUUUUUAUUAAAUGAGACGGAGAGCCAACAAUGAAGGAAAAUCAAAAUUUUUGGCUCAUAUCAAAGAAUUCACAUUGUGUUACCCUAGGUUUUCUUAAAGCUUGCACAAAGCCAAAAAGCACACAAAAAAUUAUAUUUUCUAGCUCUCUACCUUGGAUGGUCUCUUGAUCCUACUUGGAGAUGUGCAUAAAUAAAAGGAUUUGAAAAUGACAAUUGACUAAGUAUGUAGUCAAUCAAUUACUCAUUAAUUGACUAGUUGAUCAAUUAACUUUGCAACAUCAUAUGCAAUCCUAAUAGCUAGUCAUCUAAUCAACUAGGUAGUAAAUCAAUAGGCCAAAAAUAUGUUUAUAAUGACUAUUUUGUACAAAAACCACCUAUAUGGUUAAAUAUAAUGCAUUUCAUUUAUAAAUCUUCUAAUUCUUGAAUAACGAUCCUAUCAUCCUUUGAAAGUUUUUAUUACACCUUUUAUACUUUUGUUCUAAAACUUACACAUGUACAUCACCCUUAAUUGUACCAUGAGAACCUAGCUUUUUUUUUUUUUUUUUUUGUAAUUCAUCAAAGUUAGCUUUUGUAUUCAUUACUGUACUAUUUUUAUUGUAACUUAGAAAGCGAGUGUUUUCAAGUGAGUGAAAUUGACUUAUAAAUAUUGUAAAGAUUCAUUGAUGUGUAUCUUAAACUAAGUGUACAAGUUGAAACAUUUGCUAGUAGAUUUUCUCAAGAUUUAGAAUAGAGCUUGAGGCUAUUGAAAUAGGUGGGGUUGCACCAAACCACAUCACAUUGUUGUUUGCACCUUUUUUUCACUCUCUUUUACUUAGUUGCUCUAUAUUUGUUGUCUAGUAAUAUCCUAUAGGCUUGAUGGGUUAGGGAGCAUCCCUUUGUGAAAAAUUUUCAUUCAAUCCUUAGUUGUAUCACGCAUAUAUAAAAUGCCUCAUUGUUUUAAUGGUAUUCAGUCGUGGCAUCACAGAUAUGGGCAUCUAAAUUUUAAAAGUUUGAAACUUUUAUCUAAAGAAAAUAUGGUGCUUUGCCUUUUUGUAAAGCAUGUUGAUGAAAUCCAUGAGAAUUGUGUACUUGGGAAGCAACAUCGAGAUGACUUUUUUUUUUUUCAUUUUUUAUAAUGCGACACCUAAGUCCGGUUUCUAAAUGCUGAAGUGAAAGGGUAGGUAUGGACCAUUGAAAUCUGAUCACAACUUUUGGCCUUUUCCUUUCUCUGCAGCCAUGUUGUCUCUUUUUUCUUUUGCAUGAUUUUCUUACCUAAACAGAAUCAUAGACUUGUUUAAUCUCUAAAUGGUAUUUCAUCCAGCUUUAAGCUACUGUAUUAUAUCUUGGUGGAGGACUUUUAAGAGUGAAACCGACAUAGAGCACAUGCAAGUGGGUAUAUGGGACAUGAAAUUUCUUCUUAUAAAGACUGCAUGGUUUUUAUAUUAGAGUUGUUGAGGCGCAAUGUAUUUAGCUUGUUUUGCAGUUAAAUUAAUUGGAUAAGUAGACAUUGUCGUUUCUAAAUUUCCCACCUAAGAUAGUGACCUUAUCCUUGACUGCUUGAUGAGAUACACAAACAAUUAUACCUUCAAAAUCUACUGUGAAGUGCUUCAUGUAUGUGUGAAGUAUUAGAAAUUUCUUUCUUGGCAACUUGUUUUUUCUUUGCCCUCUACUGAUAGGUUUGACUCAAAUUAAAUUCCCUGUCAUGCUAAUUAAUUUUCACGUGCAUGCUCAAAAGGAUCACGUCAACUCUGGUUUCUACUAUUCAGGUCCAUUCCCAGAUAAACUGGUUCAAAUUUGAGAAAAUGGCAACAGCCCUUUAGUGAUGUUGGUUUGGAGCCAGUAGCCAAACCCGCCCUGAGCUUUACCACUAAUGUCAAGGGACAAAGCCAUUUGAACAAAAACAAUAGCUUCAAGAGACUGAAUCGUGGAUGAAAUCUGAUCCACAUUUCUUCUCAUUUUGGGAACAAAUGAGAACUUAACUACAAAGAUUCUACUGCCUCAUAGUGCUUUUCCUGAUCUAAGGUUGGUUCGUUUCCCAAAUUGUGAGGUACGUGCCAUUCUCACGCUCAGGAGUGUAUCCACGUGGUGGACAUAAGAUGGUGGCUUAAUAUCUGGUGUCGGUGGCUUUACUUUACUAGGAGAGUAGUGUGUCUUCAUCUCAUUCACUGCCGGAGGGUGGCGUAAGCAGUGACGCUAAGGUGGGGCACAGUCAAUAUCAUUUGCAUUUGACCAUUAUAGUUUUCUCCCGGCUUGAAAGUAACCUUAUCGUGAUAAAGGAUUACUAGCACUAGUUCAGAUGACAGUCAUGUUAAAUUCGGACCAUGUUUGUGUCACAUUAUCAGCAACCAUGUGUUUAUGGUUCAUGCUAUCUGCAACUAAACUUGAUAUAUAACCACGUGAACUUCAAUCUAAAUUCUGGAAGUACUCUUGUGAUAGAUGGUGCCUGUCUGCAGAGUCCAUCAAUUGAAAAAUGGAGUGAGUGUAUCUAUAAGAGGGAAGGCUUGGCAAAUGUUCAGUUUUCUGGGAACUCAACAAGGAUCUAAAAUAGAUUGUUUUCUUUGCUGAUUUCAAUGGUUGAAAUUUGAGAAGAUUGUGUCCACAUAACACAACUAUUACUGGUCCUUCUGUUGCAAUUUAUCCUCUAAGGCUCUAACAUGUCUUCCAAUUCCCACUUCCCUGUUACUCCAGGAAAGCUAUUUCUGUCAUUGUGAAGAAGAAAAGAGAAUGUACAUAUCGAUGGUUUUAAGUGACUGGGGCAUUCAUAUCAGGUGGUCUGCAGCCAUAUAUGCCACUUUGUGAAGGUUGGAACAGUCAAUCACCAGGCUAUAUUAGUGUGGCCCAGCCACUUCAAUCAAGGACAAGUCUUCAUACUUAAAGUCAAAUUCUGCCUUUAGUCUCAUUAUAAAUUGCUGUUUAAAUAUUAAGCAAACAUUUGUUUAAUGCGAUUAAGACAGUACUAACUCAAUACUUGUUCUAUUUUUGGAUGCAAAUGCUUGAUGGUUUCAUCAUUGGAUGGGAUAAAGGUGCAUUCAUGAUUAUGAAUACUUGUAGUUAUAUUUUCAUUCUCUUUUUUCUCAAUGAGACUUGUUGGCACAAUUUUGCUGUUCAGAAACCUACCUCUCCAUCGAAAAUCAGUUGUGAUUGAUAGUACUGGAUAUAUUCAAGAAAGCUAAAUAUAGAUAGCACCAAAUAUUAUCGAUAUAAAUAGCAUUAACAGCGUACGUAUGUCUCAAUGCUCAUCAGCUAUAAGCAACGGGCAAACACUUACUAUGAGCAACUUGCGUCAAAAUUCCAGAAUAGGACAUAGAAGUGACAGAUCUAUAUAUAUAUAGAACACUGCAUAUGAGUCACAAGAAAGGAAAUUACGGGUGCAUAGCAGCUCUUAUUUUACAUCCUACUCAUACUGAUCAAAGUCACUCAGUUGGGAUGGGUGGGAGUAGGAGGUUUGUGGGGUGGCUUGUGCGGAGGAGUUGGCAGCUUCUUUCCAGGACCUGGUUGCUUCUCUGCUGGAGUUGAAGGAGGCUUAAUCUUCCGAGGUGGCUUGUAUGAGUCUUCAGCAUUCUCAGCAGGAGGGUGACCAGGGUUGUGACCAUAAUGUGGUGGCUUCUCUCCCUUAGGUGGUUUGCCAACUGGGGUUGGUGGCUUGUAUGAGUCUUCAGCAUUCUCAGCAGGAGGGUGACCAGGGUUGCGACCAUAAUGUGGUGGCUUCUCUCCCUUAGGUGGUUUGCCAACUGGGGUUGGUGGCUUGUGUUCUGGGAGUGGCUUCUCCCCCUUGGGAGGUUUUUCCAAUGGGGUUGGUUUGUGUUCAGGAGGUGGCUUCUCCACUGGAGGCUUGUGUUCAGGAGGUGGCUUCUCCACCGGAGGCUUGUGUUCAGGAGGUGGCUUCUCCACCGGAGGCUUGUGUUCAGGAGGUGGCUUCUCGAAUGGGGGAUGCUCAGGGUAAUCAGCAAGUGAGGGGUUGGUGAGAACCACCAUGCCAAGCAACAGGACUAGCAAGUAUGUAGGAGACAUCUUUGGGUUUGGACUUAAGACAGUGGAAAACUGCGAGAAUUCUCUAGCCUUUUAUAGCGGGUCGACCCAGUACUCACAUGACACGUGUCAUUAUGACACAUGUGCCAUGGGGUCGAUUUGGGUCCUACAGUGUUGAAAAGUUGGGCAUUUGAGGUGUGAGCACAACUUUUGGCCUUUGCUUUCUCUACAGCCGCCAUGCUUUUCCCUUUUUUCCUUUUCCUUUUGUUUUCCUCCUGCCUCGUGUUCUCAACUAAACACAAUUAGGUUGUUUAAUUGUUAAAUGAGAUUUUUGUCUGUCAAUCAUAUUAUAUCCUAUCAAGAGAGAACAGAGUGUAAUGUAGUACACAUAACACGAGGCAGUAGUAAUUUUAUCAUUUAUUUUUAUAGCUUGGACCACCGCAUUUUUUCUUCUAAAAUAUUCUGUCUUGUUAAGAGACGCAAUAAUACACAAUUUUAUCUGCCAUUCAACAUUUACUGUAAAGUUCUUUUAUCUCUUUGUAGUUCUAGAAAAGUACAAAAUGGAACAUCAUGUAUAUGGUGCCUUCUGUCCUAAAAAAGAAACUGGACAAAUUAUGAACUGCAUGCUAAAAAGAGGCAAAGGAGCUUAAUUCGCAGCAUAAUUAUUUUGGUUUCUAGAGAGCCCGGGGCCUUUUGGUUGGUUUGGGGUCAGAAAAUGAACAUCAUAGGGAUUGUGCCCUUAACUGGCCUUGUUACUACAAAGAAAUUGCCAUAGAAAUUUAUUCCAGGCUGAGUAUCUCCGGAUAGACCCCAGAAAAGAAGAGUCAUAAUGAGAAUCAACCUUUGUUGAGUUUGAUUCCAUGCCUCCAUUGUGUUCAUUUCAUGAAUCUGAUUUGCAUUUAACAUUACAGUUUUGUUCUGGAAACAAUCAAAGGAGCAUCGUUUGCUUCUUGGGUGACCCAUAGUGGUGGGUGGGUCGAUUUGCUUAGUUGAAAAUUGGACAAUUGGCUCCAUCGCCUACCUCUUGGAUUCCAUGCUCGGAUAAAACGACAACAAAUAAAUAUUUAUAACUUACAACUGGGGAAAGGAAAAAAUAGUACUAAAUUCAUGGUACAUGAUAGUGAGAGAAGGGGGUGUUACACUCAGCUAAAGUUCUUUUCUAAAUAUUGCAUGGUGUUUAAUUUUAUGUGUCGGCGCGCGUGUGAAUGGAACCUGCAAAAGUCCAAAUUGGCGUUUCUCCAUUUUCCACAUAGGAUGGUGACGUUAAUAGACAAAGAUACAAUAUCUGUAGACAUUGCUUAAAAAUCGAUGUGAAGUAUUAGAAAUUACAGGCCACUGUACUGGGGGAGCGGCUGCCCCGCCAAAGGAAGAAUGUAGCAAUUUCUUCUGUUAGCCAGGCCUUAGGAUUUAUGCAUGGGAUGCCUAAUAACAAACAGAGAAAAUAUGCUUUUGGGGAAGGUAUCCAACAACAGACACCAUCAUUCAGAUGGUGGGAAGGUAUCCAACAGAUGCCAUCAUUCAGAUGGUAACAUAUAUAUACAUUUAUUAGUGAGUUUUUUUAAUACCUAUAAAAAAAAUAUACACUUUGAUAUUGUGGCUGAAUCCAUUACAUACUCAACUAACCUUGCUCAUUAGGGAUUUGACGUAACAAGGGCAACGUUGCAGUAAAAGCUCGAAACUUUAUGCAGGUGACAUUACAUUUGGUAAAGAAGAGGAAAAUAAGGAAAGCCAUCCAUAAAAGCAAAAUUCCUCAUGGGAUGAAAUUCACAAACUUCAUUUACGUUAGAGUCGCAUCCAGGCAAUUAAUUCCACAUUAGACCGCCUUUUGACAUGUGUACGGAUCUUUUUUCAAAAAUUAUUUAUAAAUAAUUGAUACUUACAAAAAUAAUUUAAGAUUUAUAAAGGAUAAAAAAAUAUUUUCAAAUCUAUGACAAUUUAUAAAAUAUUAAUAAAAAAUUAUCUCUUAAACUUAGUAUAGUUUUAUCGUAUUAAACUUUUAUUUUGAACAAAUAAUUUUAAUCUAAGUUUUAAAUUCUAAAAUUAUUUCCUUAAAAUAAAAUUUUAAAAUUCAACACUUCAAUUGAAAUUGUCUUUUAAAAAAAAUAUCUUCUUAUUUUAAUCCUUAUAAACUAUAGUUGAUUGAAAAUACUAUUGAAGUUCUCUCUUCAAAAAAAGUCUUAUUUUAAUCUUCAUAAAUUGCCCUUGAUUUGAAAAUAAACUUUGGGUUAUCAUAUUUUAAAUAAUAUAUAUAUAUAUAUAUAUAUAUAUAUAUAUAUAUAACAAAUACUCUAUUUUUUUUUUAAAUGAACUAAUUUUAAUUAUAUUUUAUUUUAUUUUUUUAUAUAUUUUUAAUGAUAAACCAAACAUAGAAAAUCAUUUUUCUAAAUAUUUUAAAAUUUCUAAGCAACCAAACAUAAUCUUCAAAAUAAAAGGAGAAUAAGGAGGGACAAGUGAGAAAUGGCGAUUAAAAAAAAGUGUACAAAAGCUCAAUUAAUUUUCUUCUAGUCUUUUAUAUAAAAAAGUAUUGGUAUGUAAAUUAAUAUUUGGAUUUUAAUAGUAUUUUAUUUGUCUUUCUCUAUCUCAUGUAAAAGAGAAUUUAAGAUAUUUCCUAAAGCAAAGCAUUAGUUAUCUGCAAUCAGUGGUGAUCAUGGUCCAUGUCAAUUUCGGACCCAUAUCUUAAAACCGUAUAAUUUGCGUUUCAACAUUACUGAUUUCUCAGAUGUUUCAUACUCCACAGAAGAGUAUUGUUAGUGAAAGCAUUUUGUAACUGUUACUCAUAGUGUUUUGACUCUGGCUCAACAACAUCAGCCAUUGACGGAUUUUCAUACAUGCAAAUCAAAUAGUCUUCUUCCUCCCUUAGGAAUUUCGGUUUAAAUGUUAUUAAGCAUACAUUUGGCUGACAAUUAUUAACCACUUCAUGAUAUGGUUUCUUACCCUUAAUCAAUGGUUUCUAAGUGAAUAUAUGCAGAAGGAAAUCUGAACUGUAGACAGCAGUAUUGAUAACUCUCAAUAUUCUUUAUAUAAGAGAAUAAACAACGUCAUAGUGAUCGUCGCCUACAAGAAAGGUACAUUUCCCAACAAGAUGUAGUGGUGACUGCUACAUGGACGCAAUUAACUCGUAGAAAAGGAUAAGACCAGUGCACGGCAGCUCUUAUUUUACAUGCUAAUUAUGCUAACCAAAGUCACUCAGUUGGGAUGGGAGGGAGAUGGAGGUUUGUGCGGUGGCUUGUGGGGCGGAGUUGGUGGCUUCUUUUCAGGAGCUUGUGGCUUUUUCGGAGCUGAAGGAGGCUCAAUCUUAUGAGGCGGCUUGUACGAGUCUUCUUUACUCUCGACAGGAGGGUGACCAGGGUUGUGACCAUAAUGUGGUGGCUUCUCUCCCUUAGGUGGCUUGCCAACUGGGGUUGGUGGCUUGUGUUCAGGAAGUUGUUUCUCUCCCUUGGGAGGUUUACCAAUUGGGGUUGGUGGCUUGUGUUCUAGGAGUGGUUUCUCUCCCUUGGGAGGUUUAGUGGGUGACUUGUGUUCUGGAGGUGGCUUCUCCACCGGAGACUUGUGUUCUGGAAUUGAUUAAAAAAAUUCUACCACUCUUUUAAGUAAUGGAAGAUUAUUAUCUCUGAUUGGCACCACAACAGCACAUGCUGCUAGAUCUUUCUAGACACUCCAUGCAAUGAAAGCACAAUGGAUCUUGUAACGAUAGAAACUAAGCCAUGCUACAGUACUAGAUGACGAGGUAAAACUAGUAGACAUGGGUGGUAGUUGAUUACUACUCAAAAAGUACUCUUUUAUAGUUUGAAACUAACUGUUUUAAACACUUUUGAGUAGUAGUUAAUAAAUUUUAACUCAAUUGGCACAUUAAGGAACCUAGCAAGGGUUACUAAUAAACUUUUGGCAAGUUUUGGUGUUUUUGGUAGUUAUUCGAUCAUUGAAACAAGCCAAGAAUGAGGGAGAAUUUUGUGAAGUCCAUGGCAAUGCAAGUUAAAGCUCAAAUACACGAAGAAUCCAAGCUUUGGAGCACUACAUAGCCCUUUGCCAAGCCAAUUAGAGAUGCAAGGAACAAAACCAAAGGAAGAAAUCCAACAACCAACAUUUUCGCAUGGUUGUGUGAAAUUUCGCACACCAUGCGAAACCACAAGAGGUAGCCAAAGAAUUUCACAUGGUAUGCGAAAUCUUCUCAUGCACCGACUCCGUUAGAUUUUUAUCUUCAGAUAUUUUGUGUAAUUUCCUAGUUUCUCCUUGUAACCAACCUAGAUAUUUUCUUUUAUAUCUUUUUUUAUAUUUUUUAGGUAACAUCAUAUAUAAGGGGAGAGACAUAAGGAGGAUAUGGAUGUUUUUCAUAGAACACUUGUAAAUUUUCAGUAGUAAGAAAUAUACAAAGCUUUUUGCUAUGCCUUACCUUCUCAUUUUGUUUUCACCUGUCUUUCUAGCCAAACAACCUCUAAGGAUGAUUUCUCAGGGGAUGAGUGGCUAGGUUUUACGUUUCUUGGAGUGAGGGAAGCUAGGUGAAGGACCUGAAUGCAAAGAUGAGAGUUUUCCUUGCUUUAAAUGAAAGUAGUUGUUAAACAUUAAUGGUUUUUAUUUUAAGGUUUAGCUUUAAAUCCCUUAAAAACACCUUGAAUGACCAAUACUUGGUAAGCUUUUCGGAUUCUAUGGAUGCUUAUUGCUAGAUCCAUGGAUGUCUAUUAGUUAUCAUUUACGAGCCUUUGGAAGGUGAUUCAAGGUGAGGGUCUUUAGUGUUUGAAGCCAUUAAUGGGAAGCAAUUACCAUUUUUUCAUGAAUCCUUUGGAUCAAAUCUUAAUUGCUAAAUAUAAAACCGAUUUGGGAAAUAACCAUCCUUUAUGUUAUUAUCCCCAACGCAAGGAGAAGAUCCGGAAUCUUCCCUUUUGUCUAAGGAACCCGAUCCUAGUGACCUAAAGCUCCAAGAGACCUUUUCUUUGUAGUUAACUUCAUUUAUUGUUUUUGCUUAACUUAAAAUCAAUCUUUGCAACCACAAUUCCAUUUUCUUUAAAAGCUAAUUUUUAUAAGGAAAAACACCAUUUUAUUUCCUUCACUAAGUCAACUGUACGAUGAAAACCCAUCCCUGUGGACGAUCCUAGAGCCAUUAUACUAUGUUAGCUAUGCUACCCUAGUGUGAGGUGAUUUAGGUUUUAUAAAUUUUGUUGAUAACACCCAUCUGAGCCAGAAUCAAAUGGCACAACUGAACCAGGGACGAAUCAAAUGGCGCCGCUAUCGAGGAUGGUGCCAAAGUACAUUGACAUGACUUUUGGUGAACACUUGUGAUCUUCAUCACAAGUUUGGUGAUUUUUCUAUUACUAAUUUUUUUCUUUGUUUUUAUUUUAGCUUAUCUUUUAUUUAGUUUUUAGCUAACCUUAACUUUUUCUUAGAAUUGUAUUUCUUCUAUUUUCUUUGUUUUUGUUUCAGUGAUCUUUAGUUGUGCAUGCCCUAUUGGAUAAGAAAUAUUGAGGGAAUACUUGUGAAGAUUGAAAAUCCUCGAGAAACUGAGUUGGAAGUGUGAUUGAACAUCAUGGAUGUUCCACCUGAAGACCAGAAUAGCCAACAUGGUUAAGAGGAUAAUUUCAAAGCAUACCGAUCCAUGAGGGACUGCAUGCAUCCACCUCGUAUGAGUGCACCGUCAUGCAUAGUGCCUCCCACUGAGCAACUAGUAAUCUGACCUCACAUUGUGCCACUCCUACCUACUUUCCAUGGGAUGGAGAGUGAGAAUCUCUACUCGCAUAUUAAGAAAUUCGAGGAGGUUUGUAAUACAUUCCAAGAAGGAGGAGCUUCAAUUGACUUGAUGAGGCUCAAGCUAUUUCCUUUCACUUUGAAGGAUAAGGCUAAGAUUUGGCUUAAUUCUUUAAGGCCAAGGAGUAUCCGAACUUGGACUAAUUUGCAAGCCGAUUUUCUUAAGAAGUUCUUCCUUACCCAUAGGACCAAUGGUUUGAAAAGGCAAAUUUCGAACUUCUCAGCUAAAGAGAAUGAGAAAUUCUAUGAGUGAUGGGAGAGGUACAUGGAAGCUAUUAAUGCUUGUCCUCACCAUGGCUUUGACACAUGGCUCUUAGUGAGUUAUUUUUACGAUGGUAUGUCUUCUUCAAUGAAGCAACUCCUAGAAACUAUGUGUGGAGGAUACUUCAUGAGUAAGAAUCCGAAGGAAGCCAUGGACUUUUUGAGUUAUGUGGCUGAAGUUUUAAGAGGAUGGGAUGAACCAAAUGCUAGAGAGGUGGAAAGAAUGAAGUCUCAACCUAAUGCUAAGGGUGGGAUGUAUGUUUUGAAUGAAGACAUUGACAUGAAAGCAAAGGUUGUAGCUAUGGCAAGGAGAUUGGAAGAGCUAGAAAUGAAGAAGGCACAAAAAGUGGAAGCCAUUUCUGAGACAUCAGUGCAAGCUAUGCCUUGUUCCAUUUGUCAACCUAAUGCUAAGGGUGGGAUGUAUGUUUUGAAUGAAGACAUUGACAUGAAAGCAAAGGUUGUAGCUAUGGCAAGGAGAUUGGAAGAGCUAGAAAUGAAGAAGGCACAAAAAGUGGAAGCCAUUUCUGAGACAUCAGUGCAAGCUAUGCCUUGUUCCAUUUGUCAAUCUUAUGAGUACCUAGUGGAGGAGUGUCCUACAAUUCCAGUAGUGAGAGAGAUGUCUGGUGAUCAAGCAAAUGUUAUUGAUCAAUUCAAGCCUAAUAAAAAUGCUUCAUAUGGCAACACCUACAAUUCAAAUUGGAUGAACCAUCCAAAUUUCUCUUGGAAACCAAAGCUACCUCAAUACACACAACCUGCUCAAGCACCUUAGCAAUCCUCGAAUCUUGAACAAGCUAUUGUGAACCUUAGUAAGGUUGUGGGAGAUUAAAAGUCCAUCAAUGCUCAACUGAAUCAGAGAAUUGACAGUGUAGAGAGUACAUUGAACAAAAGGAUGGAUGAGAUGCAAAAUGAUCUGUCUCAAAAGAUAGACAAUGUCCAAUAUGCAAUCUCAAGGCUUACCAACCUCAACACAGUGCAAGAGAAAGGAAAGUUUAUUUCUCAACCUCAUCAAAAUCCCAAGGGUAUCCAUGAAGUGGAGGCUCAAGAGAGAGAAUCUUCAAAGGUGAGGGAAGUCAAAGCAGUUAUCACCUUGAGGAGUGGUAAAGAGGUUGAUCAACCCACAUCCAAGCCAAAGCAUAAUGAAGAGAGUUUUGUAGAAAAAGAAAAGAGAGGAAAAUAAAGGAAAGAGAAUAGAGAAAAGUACAAAGAAAGAUGACCAUGAGUCUAGUGUGGAUGAAGAGCCCAAGAGGAUAGUGAUCAAGGAAAAUAUGAUGAAGAAACACAUGCCUCCACCUUUCCCCUAAGCUUUGCAUGACAAAAAAGGAACCAAUAAUACAUCGGAAAUUUUUGAAGUAUUGAGGCAAGUGAAGGUCAAUAUCCCUUUGCUAGAGAUGAUCAAACAAGUGCCGACAUAUGCAAAAUUCUUGAAGGACUUGUGCACUGUAAAGAGAGGGUUGAAUGUGAACAAGAAAGCUUUCUUGACCGAGCAAGUGAGUUCCAUCAUACAGUGCAAGUCUCCAGUGAAGUACAAAUAUCCGGGCUACCCUACCAUCUCAGUGAGUAUUGGAGGUACUUGUGUGGAAAAAGCUUUGUUGGACUUGGGAGCAAGUGUGAAUUUGCUACCCUACUCUGUCUAUAAGUAGUUGGGACUUGGAGAGUUGAAGUCAACAUCCAUCACCCUAUCUCUGGCAGAUAGAUCAGUGAAGAUUCCAAGAGAGAUGAUAGAAGAUGUCUUGGUUCAAGUUGACAAAUUCUACUAUCCAGUGGAUUUUGUUGUUCUUGAUACGGAUCCGAUUGUCAAAGGAACUAAUUAUGUUCCUAUCAUACGAAGACCCUUCCUAGCUACAUCAAAUGCAAUCAUCAAUUGUAGGAAUGGAGUCAUGAAACUCACGUUUGUCAACAUGACAUUAGAGCUCAACAUCUUCCAUUUGUACAAGAAGCAUAUCCAUUCAGAAGAAAAAGAAGGUCUAGAGGAAGUGUGCAUGAUUGACACUUUAGUGGAGGAGCAUUGUGAUCGACAAUGCAAGAAGAUUUAGUUGAGAGUUUUGGGGAUCUUGAUGAAGGGUUACUUGAACCCUCAGAUUUGCUUGCUACCCUACUCCAUUGGAGGAAGAGAGAAGAAAUUCUACCCUUAUUCAAUGAGGAGGAGACACAAAGAGCUGCUAAAGAUAAGCCCCCAAAGCUUAUUCUUAAGCCACUACCCACAGAGUUGAAGUAUGCAUACUUGGAAGAAGACAAGAAGUGCACUGUUGUUAUAUCUUUAGCUCUUACCAUUCAUCAGGAGGAUUGUCUACUUGAAGUCCUUAGAAGAAGUAAGAAGGUAAUAGGGUGGCAAAUUUCUGAUUUGAAAGGGAUCAGCCCUUUUGUCUGCACCCAUCAUAUUUACAUGGAGGAUGAAGCUAAGCCAAUUCAUCAACCUCAGAGAAGGUUGAACCCUCACAUGCAAGAAGUGGUGAGAGUUGAAGUUCUUAAGCUACUUUAGGCUGGUAUUAUUUACCCCAUAUCAGAUAGCCCAUGGGUGAGUCCUACUCAAGUUGUGCCAAAGAAGUCGGGGAUCACGGUGGUGCAAAAUGAUAAGGGAAAAGAUGUCUCUACAUGUCUCACUAUAGGUUGGAGGGUGCGUAUCAAUUACAGGAGGUUGAAUGUAGUGACAAGGAAUGACCAUUUCUCGUUGCCCUUUAUUGAUCAAGUGCUUGAGAGGGUCUCUGGGCAUCCUUUUUAUUGUUUCUUGGAUGGCUACUCGAGGUAAUUUAAGAUAGAAAUUGAUGUUGAAGACCAGGAGAAGACCAUUUUCACAUGCCCAUUUAGAACCUAUGCAUAUAGGAGAAUGUCUUUCGGCUUAUGCAAUGCACCCACAACUUUCCAAAGAUGCAUGUUAAGCAUUUUCAAUGAUAUGGUGGAGCAUAUUAUGGAAGUCUUUAUGGAUGAUAUCACCAUAUAUGGAAGUGCAUUUGAUGAAUGCUUGGUCAACUUAGAAGUUGUUCUGAACCGAUGCAUUGAGAAAGACUUAGUGCUUAAUUGGGAGAAGUGCCAUUUCAUGGUACACCAAGGGAUUGUCCUUGGGCACAUCAUCUCCAAGCAAAGCAUUGAAGUUGACAAAGCAAAGGUUGAACUCAUUGUUAAGUUGCCAUUCCCAACAAAUGUCAAAGGAGUAAGGCAAUUCCUUGGCCAUGCCGGGUUCUAUAGGAGGUUUAUCAAGGAUUUCUCUAAGCUUGCAAGGCCUCUUUGUGAAAUAUUGGUGAAGGAUGUUAAAUUCAUAUGGGAUGAUAGAUGCCAAAGGAGUUUUGAAGAAUUGAAGCUAUUUUUGACAACCUCACCAAUAGUGAGGGCUCCCAACUAGCAACUGCCCUUUGAGGUAAAGUGUGAUGUCAAUGACUUUGCUAUAGGAGCUGUUCUUGGGCAAAGAGAAGAUGGAAAACCUUAUGUGAUCUACUAUGCGAGCAAGACAUUGAAUGAGGUGCAAAGAAACUACAUAACCACCGAGAAAGAAUUGUUAGCUGUAGUUUUUGCCUUGGAUAAGUUUCGUGCUUACUUGGUGGGAUCCUUCAUCGUGGUUUUUAUUGAUCACUUUGCUUUGAAGUAUCUAUUGACUAAGCAAGAUGCUAAAGCAAAACUGAUUAGAUGGAUUUUCUUGCUUCAAGAGUUCAAUCUCCAGAUCAAAGACAAGAAAAAAAUGGAGAAUGUGGUAGUAGACCACAUUUCAAGGCUAGCUAUCGCACAUAAUUCCCAUGCUUUGCCCAUUAAUGACGAUUUUCUAGAGGGGUCUCUCAUGUUGGUGGAAGUUGUCCCUUGGUACGCUCACAUUGCUAACUACCUGGUCACAAGAGAAGUUCCAAGUGAGUGGAAAGCACAAGAUAAGAAGCACUUCUUUGCAAAAAUUCAUGCCUACUAUUGGGAAAAGCCAUUUCUAUUCAAGUAUUGUGCGGAUCAGAUAAUAAGGAAGUGAGUUCCUGAAGAAGAGCAACAGGGGAUCCUCAGUCAUUGCCAUAAAAAUGCAUGUGGAUGCCACUUUGCUUAUCAGAAGACAACCAUGAGGGUGCUGCAAUCGGGUUUCUGUUGGCCAUCACUUUUCAAAGAUGCCCACACCAUGUGCAAGAGUUGUGAUCGAUGCCAGAGGCUUGGGAAGUUAUCAUGUAGGAACAUGAUGCCUUUGAACCCCAUUUUAAUAGUUGAUCUUUUUUAUGUUUGGGGCAUUGACUUCAUGGGACUUUUCCCUAUAUCUUUUGGCUACUCUUACAUCUUGGUGGGAAUAGAUUAUGUUUCUAAGUGGGUUGAGGCAGUCCCAUGCAAACACAAUGACCAUAGAGUGGUUCUCAAGUUUCUUAAGGAGAACAUCUUCUCAAGAUUUGGGGUGCCCAAAGCCAUAAUUAGUGAUGGGGGUACUCAUUUUUGCAACAAGCCUUUUGAAACUCUCCUAGCCAAGUAUGGGGUGAAGCAUAAGGUAGCUACACCUUACCACCCUCAAACUAAUGGGCAAGUUGAGUUAGCAAACAAGGAGAUUAAAAACAUAUUGAUGAAGGUGGUGAACACAAACAGAAAAGAUUGGUCAGUCAAGCUCUUCGAUUCACUAUGGUCAUGUAGAACAGCUUACAAGACCAUUAUCGGGAUGUCUCUUUAUCACCUAGUCUAUGGAAAAAAUGCCAUCUCCUUGUGAAAUUGGAAUACAAAGCUUGGUGGUCAAUCAAGAAGCUCAACAUGGAUUUGAGCAGAGCUGGGUUGAAGAGGUUCUUAGACCACAAUGAGAUGGAGGAAUUGAGAAAUGAUGCCUACAUCAAUUCAAAAAUUGUAAAAGAAAAAUUGAAGAGGUGGCAUGAUCAGUUGAUUUCCCGCAAGAAUUUUCAAAAUGGAUAAAGAGUCUUGCUCUAUGACUCUAAACUCCACAUCUUUCCGAGCAAGCUGAAAUCAAGGUGGAUAGGUCCUUUUACCAUUCACCAAGUGCAUUCAAAUAGAGUAGUGGAACUACUCAACUCCAACAACAUCGGGAGCUUCAAAGUGAAUGACCAUUGUCUCAAGCCCUUUGUAGAGUCUUUUUUCUCGCGACAAGGAGGAAUUCAUCCUCCUUGAUCCACAUCAAGCUUGACAAGACCAGUUUUUUUUUAUGGACUUAGUCUUUCUAAAGACUAUCGAGUCCAUAACUUUUUAUUUUAUUUUUUAUUUGAGAGUUUUUCGGUAUUAUUACUUGUUUUGUUUUUUAUUUUUCGUUUUACUUUUAUUUGGUUUGAUUUAACUUAGAUUUUUUAUGAUCAAUUGCAGGGGGGAUUUCAAAUAGAGGAAAAACCAAGAUAAUUCGCACACCCUGCGAAAAUUUCGCAAGGCAUGCGAAAUUUAUGGCUCAUUUCGCAUGGGAUGCGAAAUUUCGCACACCCUACGAACCAAUUUCGCACACUUUGUGAAAAUAAACCAACCCUACGAAAUCAUUUCAAAUACUCUACGAAAUUUUCGCAGAGCAUGUAAAAAAUUUCGCAGACCAAACACCAUUUCGCAUACUAUGCGAAAAUGUAAGGGGUCUACAAAACCAUUUCGCACCUCCAAAGCCAUUUCGCACAUUGUGCAAAAAUGAAAAGUCGCCCUAUCAUCCAUUUUUAAACCCCUUGAGCCCUGAAAUCCCCAUUUCGCAAGCACCCCUGUCCUUGCGAAUCCCUCAUUUUCCUCUGCCACCUUGCGACCUUGUCCCUCUCCAUUUGAUAUCGUGCCCUGCGCACAUCUCAUUUCAAAGACUCGCACUCUGCGCCCUCUCAAAGCACGAACCCAAGGCUCACAUUCCAUUUCCGACAUGGCACAGACCCGAGGAGCCCUUCCCGCCCCUUCAUCGAGACGCACACCAAGGUAGAGAGCCUCUUUUGCUCAGAUGCCAAGUGAUUCUCCAUUUCAGGCCACGGAGGCCCUGCGGAUUCCACAUUCCAAGGGUAGAACAGCCACUGGUCCUUCCUCUUCUAUUCCUCAGCGUAGAUAUGAGACGAGGAGACCACCUACUACACAAAGGGCGACUACUUCGCGCCAUGAGAAUUCGGUACGACACCCUCCUGCCAAGAGGGCCAGGACUUCAGGCCCAGGCGAGUCAUCCAAAGCUUCACAGCCUGAGCCUCCUGCAGAUUCCGAGGUUCCUACUGACAUAUCAUCGGAGUCUAUUAUCAAACGCCCGAUGCUCACAGCACCGCCCAUUGAGGGCAACUCUGAUUGUAGAGCGAGACCUUUCCACUUGGAGCUAUAUUUUAAUUAAGAGGCCAUGCCACAGCAGCCUGAGCUCCAAGACUCUUAUGGCUUACUACAGAGGUACCAUCUUGAGGACCUUAUGACUCCUCGUGAGUUCUUUUAUCCCAGAGUAGCACUAGACUUUUACCAGUCCAUGACUACUCGUGGCGUCCCGAGUCCUACCGCGAUGCACUUCACCAUUAAUGGACGUCAUGGUAUCCUCGAGGCCAGACAUAUUGGAGAGGCUCUACAGAUUCCUUUCGAGCUAGAGGACCCAUCUGUUUUCUGCCAAUGGUCCCCAAUAUCUCAGAGGGACAUGGUCCAUAUUUUAUCCAGGGGGACAUCUACAUAUUCGAUCCUUCUACGGAAGGAGCUUCGACCUGGGAUACUCCUCGUAGAUGUGGUGCUACUUUCCAACCUCUUUCCCUUUUAGCAUUCGAUACAUAGGCGAGGAGCUAUUUUGGACGCUUUAUUCUGUAUAUCAGAGGGCUUCUACUUUGGCCCGCACCACUUGAUCAUGGUUUCCCUCAUCCAUUUUGAGGAGAAGGUCCAUAGAAAGAAGCUUCAGAGGGCGAACACCAUUCCAUUACUAUUCCCGAGGUUGCUCUACUAGAUCUUGGAGUACAUGGGCUUUCCUACUGAGCCUCGGCUUGUGUGCCGCCGCCUUUGUCAAGAGCGAUCCACUCUCGACAAAUGGAAUCAGUUGGCGGGCUAUUCUACACCUCCAGGAGCCCCUCCCAUGGUAGCACCUCUAGUGUCCCCACAGGCAGAGUAGGGCAAGCUCCCGGUAGAGACUGCACCCCUAGUGCCCACACCUGAGGCUACUUCUGCUGUUCCGCCUACGACUCCUACUGUUCCACCAGUUGGUCCUUUUACAUCUGAGUCUUCCAUCAACAUCUCGACUUCGGAGUUUCGCGCCCUUGUGCAUACCUUUCAGACACUCACCACCACACAUACUGCUCUCUUCUAGAAAAUGGCUGAGAUGCGUGCCCAUCAGGACCAGCAGACUACUAUACUCCGCCAAAUUCAACAGCACCUGGGACUUCUGCCUCUGCCUCAGCUUGACCUUCCCACAUCAUCAGAGCCUCUAGCUCCAGUUGAGGAUACUAUUCCACCUGAGGACACUACCACAGUAGAGGUUCAGAUUCCACCACCUCAGGAGGCCACCACAGCUACAUUAGAGGAUGCAUCAUCUCCACCUGAGGCUCCCACUACUUGAUCAUAGGACAUCUCUUUAUCUUAUUGUAUUUACAUAUUAUAUUACUGGAGAUUUGUCUUUGUUUUGAUACUUUAUAUUCUGGCAUUGAAUGUAUUGCCUAAUGAUAUCUCAAUUGUACUUUCUCAUAUUAAUAUAUAGACAUCAAUUUUUUUUAGUAUACUUAGGAUUUUUCUAUUUACUCUACUCAUUACUCUUUUGUUUUUUUUUUUUUACUCAUGUGGUUUCUCCUAUACGACUCAGACUCCAUUUCACUCAGGAGGUACCACUUCUUCCCUUUAUUUUCAAUUGCUCUUGAAACAUUGAGGGCAAUGUUGAUCUUGGUUGGAGGGAGAGUUGAGGAAGGAAGUGAUUACUACUCAAAAAGUGCUAUUUCAUAGCUUGUAAUUAACUCUUUUAAAACACUUUUGAGUAGUAGUUAUCACCUUUUAACCCAAUUAACAUAUUAAGGACCCUUGCAAUCAAUUCUAAUCAAAUUGUGUUAAGUUUUGGUAUUUUGAUAGCUUUUUUAUCACCAAAGCAAUCCGAGAUUGAGGAUAUUUAUUUGGAAUCCAUGGCAAAAGAUGUUUGGACAGGACGUCCGGACACACCAUCGGAGGGCGGCGGAACGUGGGCUGUGGCAGGCUGUCGGAAUGACGUAGCAAGGCUUGUGCACUUUAGCCAAUGAUCGGGAUAACAUAUCCGAAAUUCUGCUCCGCCGACAUUCCACCCGGAUGUCUCACAUCCGGAAUUCUGCUCCGCCGACAUUACACCCAGAUGUCUCACAUCCAAAAUUCUUCUCCGUCGACAUUCCAUCCGAAUAUUUCACAUCCGACGCUUGACGCCGGAUGGGAGAGGAGGGCGUUUCAACUUCCCCGGUCAGACAUAUCCGAAUCCUUUGAUAACGCUUACCCGGAGAGUUUCGCAGCCAUUUUGCACAGUGCCGCGGUGUUCUCUUGAAGCUUCCCGAUAUGUGCGACCGACAUUUUGAGAUAUUUUGCUUUAGAUAUUUGAUGUCUAAAUCCCCAAACUCUCCUUGUAACCCACCAAUUAUAGGAUUCCUUAGUUAUUAAGUUUGGAAAAAUGGUGAAUAACCCCUUAUAUAUAGUUUGCAAUUUUCAUAAAAAAGAUAUGUAGAAUCUCGGGAGCUUGUUCCCAGAGAGACGCAUCCUUUGUACAGUUUUGGAAGGAAGUAAAAUACAGAGCACUUGCUCUGCUUUUCAUAUAUAUUUUUGUUUUCUCGUUCUUUUUAUUUCUAGCCAAUCAAAGUCUGAGGAUUUUUCCUCAGAGGAUGAGAGGCUAGGCUCUUCGUCUCUUGGAGUGAAGAAAACUAGGUAAGUUUCCACAUGCAUAAAUUGAAAGUUUUGUUGUUUUAGUUUUUAAUGAAGAGAAAGUGUGACCCGUUAAUGGUUUUUAUCUUUUUAGUUAACUUAAAACGCCUUUAAAUCACCCGGGCCAACACUUGAUAAGGCAAGUGGUCUCCAUCCAUUGAGAUGCACUAGUUUAUCUCUUGCGAGCCUUUGGGAGGUGGUUUGAAGGUAGGAUUUUCUAGAAUAACCAACACUUGAUAAGCUUUUGGACUCUAAGGAGACAUCCAUUAGUUAUCUCUUGCGAGCUUUUGACGGGUAAUCCAAGGUUAAAGAUCACCUUGAAUGGCAAGUACUAGGUGAGAGGUAUGAGCCAUUGCAAGAUGCAUUAGUGAGAGGGAUUUAGUGUUUGAACCCAUUAAAGGGAAGCAUCUGUACCACACCGGUUCGGGAAAUAACUAUAUGUUAAAUCCCCAAUGAGAGGAAAAGAAACAAGUGACCGGAACUCCCUUUUUGUAUAAGGAACCUGAGCCUAGUGAUCUAAACUCCAAGAAACACUUUUCUUUGUAAGUAAAAUCAGUUACUAUUUUUGGUUAGUUUAAAACCAAACCUUUUUCAUUCAAACAUCUUUAUGUUUUCUUUUAAAGCUAACCUUGAAAUGAAAAGGCACCAAUUCAUAUUUGAAUUAAUAUCAAUUGUGAAGUGAAAACCCAUCCCAGUGAACGAUCCUAGAGCCACUAUGCUAUAGUAGCUUUGUCUUUGCUACCCUAGUUCAUGGUUUAAUAGGUUAUAAAUUUUGUUGAUUACUCCCACAAUCAAAGGAGCACCAGUUGGACAUGAAUCAACUGAGACACUAAUUGGGCACAAAUCAGGAAGUUUUGUUAAUAAUGCUAGGUUAAUUUGUUAAUUUAGUUACUUUCUGCUUAAUUUUAAAAGUUUUCACUUUACUUUCCAUAGUUAUUAAGGAAAAAUUCUCAAAAUGAAAUGGGAGAAAUUGAAUUCUUACAUUUUUACUUGAAUUUUAGAAUUUGUAUUAUGCUUAUUGAAGCUGAUGAAUUAUUGAAACUCCUAUUGAAUUCAACCUUAUUUCUUCCACUUUAAUCUUACCACACACGGUGCACAUUAGGUUCCGAUUAUAAGAGGUGCGUUCUUAGCCUAUUGGAGGUUGGUCAAUUUGUUAAAGUUUGAGAAAGAUCUAGGUUAGGGGAGAGAGAAUAGUCUGACAUACUAUAAUCGAAAACUAAUAAACUUAACACUUAGAUCUUUGUGGAAGAGUAAGGAUUGGACCUUUGGGAGUGGAAAUUCGUUUGAUGCUUAAAUUUGCAUAAUGCUUACACUUUAUAAAUUGUGAUUAGGCAAGAGAUUUGAUGACUCUUGUUCAAGGUUGGGUUUUGCCUCUUUGAUGUUCCAUGAGAGAGUAUAAUCCUCAUCAUGCCACUUGAAAUUUUUUUUGGAGUGAUUAACAUGAUUUUGUAAAUUACUUUACUGUCUAUUUUUUUUUUAUCUCUCCUUCAUUGCUAAUGGACUAGCAAUAUGUCAGUUGAGGGGAGUGAUUACUACUCAAAAAGUACUCUUUUAUAGCUUGAAACUAACUGUUUUGAACACUUUUGAGUAGUAGUUAAUACCUUUUAACUCAAUUGGCACAUUAAAGAACCUAGCAAGGGUUACUAAUUAGUUUUUGGCAAGUUUUGGUGUUUUUGGUAGCUAUUUGAUCAUUGAAACAAGCCAAGAAUGAGGGAGAAUUUUGUGAAGUCCAUGGCAAUGCAAGUUAAAGCUCAAAUACAUGAAGAAUCCAAGCUUUGGAGCACUUCAUAGCCCUUUCCAAAGCCAAUCAGAGAUGCAAGGAAGAAAACCAGAGGAAGAAAUCCAACAAUUAGCAUUUUCGCAUGGCUGUGCGAAAUUUCGCACACCAUGCGAAACCACAAGAGGCAGCCAAAGAAUUUUGCACACUAUGCGAAAUUUCGCAUGGUAUGCAAAAUCUUCUUGUGCACCAACUCCGUUAUAUUUUUAUCUCAAAUAUUUUGUGUAAUUUCCUAGUUUCUCCUUGUAACCAACCUAGAUAUUUUCUUUUAUAUAUUUUUUAGGUAACAUCAUCUAUAGGGGGAGAGACAUAAGGAGGAUAUGGAUGUUUUUCAUAGAACACUUGUAAAUUUCCGGUAGUAAGAAAUAUACAGAGCUUUUUGCUCUACCUUACCUUCUCAUUUUGUUUUCACUUGUCUUUCUAGCCAAACAACCUCUGAGGAUGAUUUCUUAGGGAAUGAGUGGCUAGGUUUUACGUUUCUUGGAGUGAGGGAAGCUAGGUGAAAGACCCGAAUGCUAAGGUGGGAGUUGUCCUUGCUUUAAAUGAAAGUAGUUGUUAAACAUUAAUGGUUUUUAUUUUAAGGUUUAGCUUUAAAUCCCUUAAAAACAUCUUGAAUGGUCAAUACUUGGUAGGCUUUUUGGAUUCUAUGGAUGCUUAUUGCUAGAUCCCUGGAUGUCUAUUAGUUAUCAUUUAUGAGCCAUUGGAAGGUGGUUCAAGAUGAGGGUCUUUAAUGUUUGAAGCCAUUAAUAGGAAACAAUUACCAUUCUUUCAUGAAUCCUUUGGAUCAAAUCUUAAUUGCUAAAUAUAAAACUAGUUCGGGAGAUAACCAUCCUUUAUGUUAUUAUGCCCAACGCGAGGAGAAGAUUCGGAAUCUUCCCCUUUGUCUAAGGAACCCGAUCCUAGUGACCUAAAGCUCUAAGAGACCUUUUCUUUAUAGUUAACUUCACUUAUUGUUUUUUCUUAACUUAAAAUCAAUCUUUGCAACCACAAUUCCAUUUUCUUUGAAAGCUAAUUUUCAUAAGGAAAAUCACCAUUUUAUUUUCUUCCCUAAGUCAACUGUACGAUGAAAACCCAUUCCCAUGGACGAUCCUAGAGCCACUAUACUAUGUUAGCUAUGCUACCCUAAUGUGAGGUGAUUUAGGUUUUAUAAAUUUUGUUGAUAACACCUGUUUGAGCCAGAAUCAAAUGGCGCAACUGAACCAGGGACGAAUCAACAACUUAUAUGGGAGGGACACAAGUUUAAUUGAUUUGCAUUUCAACGUUAUAUAUAGGUAUGUUUUGGAAGAUUUGUUCUGGAAAUACUGCACCAAGUACGAUUCUUUUUGUCUUGAGUGGGUCUACUUGCAUGCCAAUUAACGAGUGGAAAAGUAGGAGCACCUACCUCAUGCUCGCGGAACCGAAGGUCAGUGAAGUGGGGCUCCUUUUGGCCUCUUGUGUUUCUAUUCCAACCAAGGCGGCGUAAGGAAAAACAACAAUAUGUUUGUGCUAAAUAUCAACGCAUGAUAGAUGUUUUUGUUUUUUGGUAUGUCAAGGCUAAUGAAUGAAAUGCUUUAGCUUGUUUUGUGACUGGAACUGCAAAUGUCCAAAUUGGAGUAUCUCCAUUUCUCACUUCGGAUGGUUAACUUAUAAACAAGAUAUAGGAAACAUGUGAACAUCUUGAGGAACAAUUUGAAUUAUUCAUUAGAAGUCCUGGGUUGAGUUCCAAGAUUUAAAUUAGACCCCUCUAGCAGCUUCAGGGGUACCUAGCAACCUAUAGCAUAUUAAUGAAGAUUUAGGAUUUAGACUCUAGAAUACAAAUUAAUAUGUAUCUCAUGCUUUGACUAGCUUCCCUACAUAUGCACAAAAUGGAGAUGACCUAAAAAAAUAGCAGAAUCUAGCUUCCCUACAUAUGCACAAAAUGGAGAUGACCCAAAAAAUAGCAGAAUUUCCUUAGUUUCUGUGGUUAAGGUGAUUCUCCGCUUAAUAUCACAUUGACUCAUUAUGCAAAAUCAACUGAGCUAAUUUUGUUUAUUUAUUUAAUGUCAAAUAGGAACUCCUAAUUAACCUAACCCUUGGCCUGUGUAAAUUGAUUUCACAUGCCCAAUGUUGAAGUAGAAGUCCAUAUUUUGAAUUUUAUUUUUGUAAAGGUAAGGAAAAUGAAGCAUUGUGUAAUUAUAAAAAUAACUUCAUUGGAAUUCACAAGGUUCACCCAAAAUGGAGCUACAUCCGUAUUCUAUCCUGCAGUAGACUAUAUAGAUUGUACAAUAGUAAAUUGCAAAUACAAUUAAUAAGUCUUGUGCUUCCUUACUAAUAAUCCUUUGACAUGAACAUUGCAGCACUAAGGUCCUCUUGGGAAGACACCUUGCACCCAUGAGAGCACGAAGAGGAAGCAAGGCAGAGUCAUGGGUGCAAUGUCAUGACUUGUUGUUGCACCAAGAGAGGCUUGGUGAUGGCAUGGUGUUGCAGUAGCAAGAAUGUUGCCUUGGUAGGGACAUAAUCUAGGGAUAGAUGCCAAGAAAGGCUUAGCACUCACAUGAGUUGCACAAAGAUGAAUGUAAUAGAGCAUCAGAGAGACGUCUUGGCAAGUAAAUGAAUGGAUCCAAGAGGCAACAACAUGAGGAGUUUCAAAUGGAUAAGGAAUGAGUCAAAGACAUUUGAAAGCUACAAGUUGGAUUCUAAUUACGAUUGCAAUUUGAGUUUGAGUAGGAGUUUAGAUUCUGAUUGUAAUUGUAGUAUGAGUUGGACUAGGAUUGCUUAUCCCUAGUCAAAAUAGGAGUGGUUCGUGUCACACCCUAUGAAAAGAGUUUGAGUAGGGACUAGGAUUGCUUACUCCUAGUCAAAUAUGGAGUAGGUGGUGCCACACCUAUAAAAAAAAAGGGACAACAUGAGAGAGAGAGAGAGAGAGAGAGAGAGAGAGAGAGAGAGAGAGAGAGAGAGAAAGAGAUAAUGAAUUCACUAAAGAUAUUGUGGGAGUUUUUCUUUGUUACGUCUUGUAUUAUUACUUAGAAUAGGAAUAAAAUACAAGUUUGGGCUAGAGCCCCAUAAUUAAUCUCGUGUGCCUUUGUGGUUAUUCUUUAUUUGUCAUCUCGUGUGGAUUGGAUUACAUUGACUUAGAGGGCUUCUAAGCACCACCUUUGUGGGUUAUUAUUUAUUUUCCAUUUCUUGUGGAUUAGAUUAGGUUGACUUUGAGGGCUUUUAAGCACCACCUUUGUGGGUUAUUCUUUAUUUUCCAUAUCGUGGGGAUUGGAUUAGGUUGACGAUGAGAAAAAUUAUGUGGGAAAUUUGUGUUGGGACACUUAUCAUAACCAGGUAAAAUCUGCCAAGUCCUUUGUAAUAUCUUCAACAAAUAUUUCAGACUAGUUCUUCACCAUAAACAUCAUAUUGUGUUUUGUUUUUCUCCUGGAUUCUGAGUUGAAUUGUUUCAAGUCAAUUGAAUGCAUCUGAAUAUUAUUAGCUUGUUUGAAGGCCUGGUGAUUUUCCAUUUAACUUUACUUUCUUUAGGUUAUGCUCACUAUAAGAAAAAUGAGAAAUAAUGACGCUUUUUACGCGUUAAGAAAGGCAACAGAUGAUGCUUCUCUAAAGCGUCCUCUUCGGCUCUGUCAUUAUAUGUGUUAGCCAAUAAUGACGCUUCUAGGAAGUGCCAUCUUUGAAUAAUGUUAAUAACGACACUCGUAAAAAGUGUCAUCUUUAAACAUAUUCUGGUCAAAUAAUUUUUACAAAAUUAGUAAUCUUCAAGCCGUUUCUGAAUCAUAUCUGAGCCUAUUUCUGGGGACCAGAAAACCAUCUUUUUUCCAUUCGCCUGAGAGGUCUGAUUAGCAUUUCUGGAAUCAAUCUCUAAACCCAAGCUUCCCUCAUCUACCCAUUUAACCCUCAUGCCCUCCUGUUUGAACAACUUUCCCACUAUAUACACAAAUUUUUUACCUUCUGUUGUUGGUAUUCGACCUCUUCCCAUUCCCAGCACAGAAUCCACCAUUAGUGCCACUUUGUGAAUAAAAUCAUCGAACCAGAUCUUUCGGGCGGAAGAUGAGCUCCAGAGAAAUAAAAUUUUUGGGGUCUUCCCAGCAUGAAAGUCAUAGGUAGCAUUAAUGACAUCAAGAAAUGGGGCACUGUUGAGAAAAAACAUGUUCCCAUCAACCACCCAAGAAUUGUACCAGACUCCAAACACUUCUGGAUUACAUAUGCCUUUACUAAGAUAUAUUUCUUGAUCUCCAUAUCAGAAUCUUGGAGACUCUUCAUUUUAUGAGCUCUGACACUACUGUGAAAUUGGUCCACAUCAAUCACAGGAUGACCCCUUCUAGCAAGAUCAAGCAGGAAGUCUGAAUUCGGGCCCAUAAAAAUGUAGUUCUGAAUAUUGAAACUCUCAAAGUGGCACAACAAAUUCCUUAUGACUCUUUCAGAUGCUCCAAACAGGCUCACAAGUAUAAUGGUAUCCUGUUUUUGCACAGAGUAAAGAAAAUAUCCGAGUUCUUCAAAACUCCUUACAACUAUUCCAGGAUGUACUUCUUUGAAACAGAAAUCGUACCACUUUAGCUUAGUCAGAGGUUGAAUCUAAAAUAACAAAACCCAAACUGAAAUCAAAAUCGAAAUCAACCCUAAUAGAUUUCAGAAACAACAAAUUAAAAGAGUAAAGCACAAAAGGGGGAAAACACAUAUGAAGCAAUCUCCAUACAAGCCCUAACCUUAGAUAAACCCAAAAAAAAAAAUCAAAGCAGAGAGUUACCAUAGAGCAUCUCUGUUUCAAGCUUAGAAAAUGUUUAAUGCCAUUGAUAACUAGUUGGCUAGUGGUGGACUUCAAGCUUCUCUAUUUCGGUGUUAGUAGCUCUCAAUGGCUAUGGUGAGAACAAAGAAAUGAGAGGCUUAGGGUUUGGGAUGUGAGGUUAUUGAUGAUGAUGAGGAUAAAGUUAUGGGCUCUUGGAGGGGUUAGGGAAAUUGAAGAUGGCUGAGAGUAAAGGCUAGGGUUUUUGAGAUAGUUAAUAGCUUUUUAGGGUGUGACUGUCCAUAGAUAGAAGAUAAAUGAGGGUGUGAGAAUUUAUAGAUCUCUAGGUGAUAUGGCGGGUGUGAGAAUGAAAUUUUAGAGGGAAUUGUGUGUUUGGUAGAAAUUUCACACAUGCAUAUAUAAUGUUUCAGAACAUGGCACUUUAAAAAUACGACAAGGAAGAAAUUAUUUAUUGACGCUUAAAUAAAGCGCCAAGGUCUCCAACAUUUUUGCAAUCAAUGACGUUUGUAAAAGGUGCCAUUGAAUAGGAGUGCCAUUGCUUUCCCACAAAGCAUCAUUGUUAAUCAAGCCUUUAAAAAACGCCAAGAUAUGUUGCCACUUAGGUUAAAUAUUGACGCUUUUAAAAAACGCCAAGGAAAAAAACGUCAUUAUUCAUGUUUUUUGUAGUAGUGGCUUGAUUCCUAAAAAGUAAAGGAAAGCAAAAAGUAAAAAAAUAAAAAUGUGGAGAGUUAGGACAUGCGUUAUCUAAUUGUCCUAGUCCCAAAUAUAUUAAGAAAGUCAUGUAGGUUACUUGGAGUAACGAGUCAAGUAAAGCAAGCCUUCUAGUGUUUAAGACAUUAGAUAUUACCGAACUGAUUAUGUCAUUAAUGUAUUGCAUUUGUUGUUUCUAAUAUAUAGAAGAAGAUGAAAUUAUUGGAAUAAGUGGGAAAUAGGAAUAAAUCCAAGGUACCAAAAAGUCACUUUAUCUUAGAUGUUGUUGGAAACAUAAGUGAUUUCACAAUAACGACUAUGAGACAAUCAAGGAUUAAUAAGAUAGACUUUAUAUGAUAUACCUCCCAAUUAGAGCCUAAAAAUAUGGAUGAAGCACUUAGAGAUGAAUCUUCAAUUUUUGUACUAUAGGAAGAAUUAAAUCAAUUUGUUAGCUAUUCUUUGGAUAUUUGAUUCAUCACAAGCUACAAAUCACUUUUGAUGACCAAACACGAAACUAAGAGGAUUGGGCCCAAUUCGAUGCCUAUCAACAAUGAUUUGUAUUCCACCUCAUUAAUUAUUCAAAGUUGGGAAGCUAGGUCUAACCACUUUCUCUACCUGUUCACCCUUAGAGGAGCAGAAGAAAAUUCUAACUUUGGUGCCUAAUGCCUUUGACAAUCUUUCGACAAAGAGAGUUCACUAAUUACUUUGAUUAUUUCUCUGUUGGUCACUGGGGGACAAGACUUUUGUAAUGAAGUCAACUAGAACUUGCCCUUUGAGGGCCAUUCAUGGACGAUAUUACACCAUGAAUUCCCUUAGGUCAUGUUUGGUAUGUGAGAAUGAGGAGUGGAAUGGACAUCUUAUUCAUUUUUUCAUCUAUUCAAAUGUUGGGAUAACUCAAGUGACCAUGAGAAUGAAAUCAAGAAUGAUUCAAGGGAAAUGAAAUCUUACUUAUAAGUGUGAUUUCAAUUAAUCUCUAAUAGAAAUUAUUUUGAAUCAAUAGUGCAAGUUAUUUUUAAAAACAUUUUUCCAAAAUUAAAAAAAUCAAUUUUUUUUUUUUCGAUAAGUUGUUUUUAAAAGGAUUUUUUUUAUUUUGUAAAAAGAAAAUUGUAAUUCAAUUUAUAUAAUAUAAACUAAAUUUUAUUUUAUUCAAAAAGAAAUAAUUUUUUAAUUAUAAAUAAAUUAAAAAUAAAUACUUUUAAUAAAAUAUAAAUAGUAUUAUUAUAAUAAAAUCAUAAAUAAAUUUAAUUUUUUUUAUAAAUAUUAUAAAAAUAUGGAUAUUAACAUUGGAUAAUUGAUUUAUUUUGUUAAAAUAAAAAAUAAUAAUUUUUAAUAUUAUUUUAUGUUAAAUGAAUUUUAAAAUAAAGAAAGUUUAAUUAUUUUAAGGUAUAGAAGAGCCAAAUUUUGCAUUACAUACAUAACAAACAAUAUUUAUUAGAAACAUUUCUCAAGGAGAAUCUUAUUCCAUCUCACAAAGAUACUCGUUUAUUCGAUGUUUGACCAUCCGUAACAAUCAUGUCAAUUCUACUGAUUUAAUAAUUCCUUUACAUUUAUUACUCACUUAUGAACAUGGUAUUGUGAUUUAUUUAUUUAUUUGAUGUAUAAUUAAUUAAUCAAUUUUUUAAAUUUCAAAUUAUUUUUAAAAACUAUUCAUUAAGGAAUUUAAAGCAUUAAUUAUGUCUAUUAUUUUUUAUAGUCAUUAUAUAUAUAUUGAGUUUUAAUUUAUUUUUAAAAAUUAUUAAACUUAUUAAUAAAUUCAAUAUAAAGUCUCGUUUCAUUUGAAAUUCAUUUCUUUAGUGAAAAUUUUGAAAAAAAAAUUGUUAUUUAUUUUACUUUGUUUUAAAAAAAUUGUUUCUAGAGAACAAUAAUCAAAUAAUGGUAUGAAUUUUUAAAAACAAUUUUGUUUUUAAAUCAUAUGCCCAAAUAAUUUUUUUUUAUUUAGCAAAAAACUUUGUUGUAGUAUGUGGCUCAUAUUGAGGGAAAGACAUAUAUGGAGAAAAAUGUGCAAAUGUUGGAGUGGAGCGGAGUGGAAUGACGACAUUUGUCAUUCAAACUUGUAUUUUUAUUGUUAAGGGUGACCGAUAGGUUGGUACGGUUUAGGGGUAUUUUUGGAAUUUCAUUACCUGAGGGUUAGUAUAAAUACCAUUUUAUGUAACCCUAAUUUUACAUAUAAUGUAAGUUUUCUUCCUUGUUCUUGUGGACAUAGGCAAUCCGUCGAACCACGUUAAAUCUGUGUGUUUUUUUUUCUUUUUUCUUUUUCUCUAAUUUCUUCACCAGGAAUCGUUACACUAAGAUCAACAAACUCUCAAAGAUGAUUUUUAAAAUGAAAAAAAUAAUGUAUAGUGUGAGAAUUUUUUAUUUUUUAUUUUUUUAAAAUGAAAAUAAAAAAUUGCUUUAAGGUAAAAGUGUGGAUAUUAUUGUUAAUUUAUUUCAUUUUUCAUUUUCAUUUCCAUUGUUACCUACAAUUGAAAUGGAAACAACUAAUCAUUACAACCUUACAUUCUUAUAUGCAUCCAAAUACAAAAAUUGAAAUCACCAAAUUCAUAUUCAAGGCAAAAUAGGAAUGAAAACAAAUAUUCAUUCUCAUUCUUUAUUCCCACGUGUCAAACAUGACCUCAAAGUUAUAAACAUGAACAAGAAGUCCUUGAAACACCAAUGAUCUCUUCUGGUAUAUAUAUGAGCUUGAUUGACAACUGUUUUAAAUACAGUUUUUUUUUUUUUUGUUUUCAAAAUCAAAACAAAUUUAUUUUUAUUUUUUAUAAAUAGUAGUUUUUUAAUAUUUUUUUUAAACCUUAUUAUGAAAAUAGGAUGUUUUCUAAUAUCAUAUUUUAAUUAUUUUCAAUUAUUUUCCCUUCUUUUAAGGAGGGCUAUUUUAAAAAUAUGAAAAAUGAUACAAAAUAAAGCAUUACAAAUAAAAAUCAUUUUUAAGAAAUAUAUGAAAAUAAUUUGAGAACAUUUGAAGUUCCUUAAUUAAACUUUUGUUCUAGAAAAUGCAAGAAAACUGUUUUUGAAAAUUGUUUUCAUAAUGAUAUGCAUUGAUCGUUUAAAAUUUAAUUACAUGAUAAAAAGACCUAUGUAAAAACCAGAGUUAUAUAAUCAGUCAUAGAUCAAAUCUACUAAAUAUGAAAAGUAAGUACAUAGUUGUAUAUGACUUAGAUGGAGCCUUCUCCGAAUGACAUUCUUUAGUCGGUACUCAUAUUUUUUUGUUUCGUGUCUUCAACAUAACACCUCAUGAUCCUUAAUAAAUCACCUGAAAACUAUAUUAGCACCUUAUUGUUUAAUAUUUCUCUAAAUUUUUUUAUUAAGCAAAUAAAUUCCAAAUUUAAAAUGACAAAUAAAAUUUAUUAAUUUUUAAAAAUAAUUUAAAACUCAAAAACCAAUUUAAUUGAUAUUAAAAGUCAUGAAACUUAAUAAUAUUAGAAAGUCAUGUAUCCAAAUUUAUUUUAAAUGACUUGUUUAAUUUCUUGUUUAUAUAUAUUAUAUUUUUAUAAUUUUUUUUACUAUACAAAUAAAUUUUAAAUUAAACAAAACUUAAUGCGUUGAAUUCAUUAACGAGUCUAAUAAUUUUUAAAAGUUACUUAAAAUUUAAAUACUAAAUCAAUUAGUACCACAAAUUCAUGGAAAAAAAUUGAUUUAUUACUACUAUAUUGUUUCUCUAUUGCAUAGAACCAUUAUUUUUCAAUUUUUUCAUUUGGCAAAUGAACAUCAAAUUAAACAAGACUAAGUGUAUUAAAUUCAUUAAUGGGUCUAGUAAUUUUUUAAAAUAAUUUAAAAUUCAAAUAUUGAUACUCCAAAUUAAACAAGACUUAGGUGGUGUUUGUUUUUUGGUUGAAUAGAAAAAGGUAAAAUAUUUGACUUUUUCUAUUUAGUUAAAAGUAACUUGUUGACAUCGUCCAAUAUAAUUAAAGUAAACCUAUUGAGGGCAAGUUCACUUUAAUUAUGUUGGACGAUGUCAACAGGUUACUUUUAACUCAAUAGAAAAAAUCAAAUAUUUUGACUUUUUUUUUAACUCAAAUAAUAAAUCCAUUAAUACAAAAAAAUUAUGGAUAAUUUGAAACUUUCUUUCUUUUUUUUUUUUUUUUUGCUACACAUAGCUAUAUUUUUAUAAAUUUUAUCAUUAGAGAAAUGGAUUUCAAAUCAAGUGAAACUUUGUAUUGAAUUAAUGGAUUUAACAUUUUUUAAAAAUAAUUUGGAACUAAAAAAAAAAGAUUUAAUUACUAAGAAAAUCAUAGAUCAAAACUAAUAUAUUCUGAUCCAUGAUUUUAUUAUUUUUCCUAUACAUACAAUUAUAUUUUUAUAAUUUUCUCACUAGGUAAAGAUAUUAUAAAUUAAGUGACACAUAAUUAAUAAUUUAAAUUUUUGAAUGAAUCUUUUAAUUUUAGGAAUAAUUUGAAAUUUAAAAAGUUGAUCCAAUUAAUUGUAAAUUAACUUAAAAUAUUAUAAAAUAUUAUGUUCAUAAUUAAGUACUAAAUGUAUAUAUGUAAUGAAAACUUAACUAGUUACAUGUUACAAAAGCCAAAAUUUAUUCAUUCUUUAUUUUAAAUAAAAUAUUAUUAAUAAUUAUUUUUUUUAAAAUAAUAUUUAGUAAUUAUUGUUUUUAAAUUAUUAUUAUUAAUUUUUAAUAAAAAAAUUGCAAAGUUAUUAAUAUCAUUAUAUUUCUAACAUAAAUUUAAAUAGUAUAUUUUUUAAUAUAUAUAUAUAUAUAUAUAUAUAUAUAUAUAUAUAUAUAUAUAUAUAUAUAUAAUUUAUGAUUUCAUUAUAAUAUUUUUAUUCAUGAUUGACGAAAAAUUAUUUAUUGUUUAAUUUAUUUGAAUUGCAAAACUAUUUUUCAAAAUUCAAGCGAGAAAAUAGGCCUGGAUUUGAAUUUCCUGUAGAAGAGAAGGAUGUGGAGAAUAUGUUGGGAGUAUUUGUGGAUAAAGAAAAGGCCAGGGUACUGAGAAAGGAGAGAGAACUUGCUCUUGCCAAAAGAGCCCUGCACAGGUAUUCUACUGAUUCUAAUUAUCGGUUCUUACAUGAUCAGAUUUCAGAUUUAUUUGCUGAGCUUCUGAAAUCUGAUACAGUAUUUAAACUCCGGUGAGCUUUACAAGAUUAGUCUCGCAUCCAAUUCCAAAUGGUGUCCCACAAUUGAUUCUUCUUAUGAUAAAUCCACCUUGAUAUGUGAAAAUAUUGCUCGAAAGGUUUAUCCUCGCGAGGAAUAUCCAGAAUACUAAGGAAUUGAGGAGGCUCACUAUGUUUAUAGAGUCAGGGAUAGGUUGAGAAAACAAGUAGUUGUUCCAUUACAUAAGGCCCUGGAGUUGCCAGAGGUUUUCAUGUGUUCGAACAAGUGGGGAUCACUUCCCUACAACCCUGUGGCUUCAGUGGCCAUGAAAUCAUACAAGAGCCUCUUCUCAAACCAUGAUACAGAGCGGUUUGGUGAGUAUCUUGAGAAAGUGCAAACUGGGAAGGCUAAGAUUGCAGCUGGUGCAUUACUUCCCCAUGAGAUUAUAGCUUCAUUGAAUGAGGAGGAUGCCGAGAGAGUUGCCGAGCUUCAGUGGGCAAGAAUGCUGGAAGAUUGAUCAAAGAAAGGGAGGCUCACAAAUUGCAUUGCAGUAUGUGACGUAUCAGGAAGUAUGAGUGGAACUCCAAUUGAGGUGUGUGUGGCUCUGGGGCAGUUAGUUUCAGAGCUCAGUGAAGAUCCAUGGAAAUUAAGGUAAUGUAAUUACUUUCAGUGCAAAUCCUGAGCUUCACAAGAUCCAAGGAGACAGCCUUGUAUCCAAGACUGAAUUUGUGAGGAUGAUGGAAUGGGGUGCCAACACUGACUUUCAGAAAGUUUUGACAGAAUCUUACAAGUAGCAGUGGAGGGAAAUAUGAGUGAAGAUCAAAUGAUAAAGAGGGUUUUCGUUUUCAGUGAUAUGGAGUUCGAUGAAGCUUGUGGGAGGUAUAACUAUUGUGACUAUGACUAUGAUAUGGAGGAAAUUGACGAGAGUCAGAAGGCAUCUCAGAAGUGGGAGACAGAUUAUGAAGUGAUACAGAGGAAAUUCCAGGAGAAAGGAUACAGAAAAGUUCCAGAGAUAGUGUUUUGGAACCUUAGAAACUCAUCAGCGACUCCAGUGACGGCCACAGAGAACGGGGUGGCCUUAGUAAGCGGGUUUUCAAAGAAUCUGUUGACCUUGUUUUUGGAAGGAGGUGGAAUUCUGAUCCCUCAGGAUGUGAUGGAAUUCGCCAUCUCUGAUGAAGAUUACAAGAAACUUGUUCUAUUUGAUUAAGAUAUCAAGAGAUUUAUCAAUAAUAAUAUAUUUUUUUUCUAUGUGAAAUACAUAUAAUAUUAACUGUGGAGUUAUCAAAGUUCUGGAGGUUUAAUUAUUUCUUCUUUUCAAGUUUUGUUUAUUUAAGGUUUUCUUUGUCUUUGUUAGGAAUUCCCCUUGGGUGGACCCAGCUGGGGAGUUGGAUUGAGGAAGUAAGCAGGCGAACUUGUGUUCUUCUAUGGACAGAGAAAAAAAAUAAAAUAAAAAAAUAAAAAAGGAGGUUAUUUGCAUUUGGAUGUCGUGGUUUGAGGGUACAACUACAAGCUCGAAAUUGUACAUAAUGUGAAAACUCCUGUGUCCAUUGCUGAGAACAGCAUAAAUGAUGGUGAUUUUCAAGUUGUGCCUGGUAUUCUACAGGAUGAAACAAGAAAGGAUCCAGGUGGUAUAUUGAACAAUAUCCCAAUCAUGUUGGUGGCAUCUUUAUUUAGUUAAUGGUAUUCAUUUGGUGGAAGCUGGUUGUUUAUGAUGUUUUUAAUUUUUUUUAACAUGAAGUUCGAUCAAAUACGUAUCUUAGUAUGUUUUGUUUGAGCUAAUUGGCAAAUGCGCUUUAAACAUGGUCACAUGGAUGCAGUUUUAUUUGUGAAAUGAUAAUAGUCGAUUACUUGGUCAGUAAGGUUUAUAUCUCUAACUUCAACAUCUUAUUGUAGUCUUUUAAAAUGUCAAAAGUUUAAUGCUUGAGAAAUUUUGGAAUGGAGACAUUCUAAACAAAGUUAAUAAUCCACAAGACUUGGUAAAACCGAUCAGAUGAUGCUUACGUACAUCAAUGCCUUCUUUAAGCCAUAUCCUAUUUUCAUUGAACGGGAUGUGCCAUCUAGUUUGGUUCUUUAAGCCUCCAAAUCCUAAACCUAGUCUCAAUUUAGAGCAAAUUUAGGGUGCAGGGCCUGCAUGCCUCCCCCUCCCCCUUCCACAAAUAGUAGUGACCUUGCUAUGCCUAUGCAUUGUCAAUGCCUCAUUUUCUAUGGUCUCCAAUGUAAUAUCUUAGUUUCAAUGUCUCUUUCCUUACUAUCUCCAAUGCAAUAGAUUGAUUUCAAUACCUCUUUACAACUAAGACCUCCAAAUUUUCUUGGUUCAAACCUACCAGAAUUUUUCUUCUCCUUUGCUUUCUAUCAAUAUUAGUUCCCCUAAUUUAAUAUAUACUUCUUUAUUACCUUCAACUCUACCUCUCUUUCUUUCUCUAAAAGCUUCCUCAAAGAUUUAAUUGCUUUCUUGCAUGUUUUAAGAAAACAAACAUGCUCAUAUUACAUUACCUCUACUUGAGAUCUACCUUAUACUCUACCUUCUUUCUUUACCUCCUAUAUCAUCUACUACAUUAGCUUCAAAAAUAUUAUUUAGUUUGAUACUAAAUAAGGCUCCUAAUCCUACUCUUCCUUCAACAAACUUUCUUUUUACAAGUUCCUUAAACUUUAUUUUUUAUUUUUUAUUUUUUGGAAAUUCGGGUUAGAAAGAUUCCAUUACUCUUACCUAAUAUUUCAACCAUCAAGUUGAAUCCACUUAUUGCCUAAAUCCAAGGAGUCUGCCCUCCACAAAAACAAGGAAAUUGAUCCCACAAUAACAAGGAGAUUGCCUUCCACAGAAACAAAGAGAUCUCCCUUCACAGAAGCCGAAUACAUUGCAAUCUAUUUUCUUUCUUGUAAGAUCAAAUCUUCAAUCGAGCUCCAUCUUAUGGGGGCAUAUUAGAGAAAUUUAAUAUUAUCCUUAAUUUACAUAUUAAUAUUUAUCUAUUUAUUAUAUAUUGAAUUAAAAUAGAAUAUAGAAUUUGAAUCAUAGUAGAAGUUUACUAUAAGAUUGAAUUACAAUAGUUAAUAGAGUUUAAAUUAUAAUAACUCAAAUACAUUUAUAUAUAUUUGACCUUACGAGAUUUUCUAUUUAUGUAUUUGAACUACAAUCCUUAUGAUCCUUAGGUCUCUAUACCUUCGUGAUGGGCUCCUUGACAUUUCAUAGGUUGUGCUACACAUGCAUUUGAAAUUUAGAGUGCAUUUGACAGUGAUUCUGGGAAGUGUUUUUGGCAUUUCUAACACUUAAAAUUUUUUAUUUUUCAAGUAUUAGAAAUGCUACAAACACUUUUGAAAAUUACUGUCAAACACACUCUUAGGAGCGCAUAUAGUAGAAAACUAGAAAUUGUGGUUUUUUUAGGAUUUACUGUAAUGUCAUUAGGAGGGUAGUAAGUUGAAACUGAGUAUGAAUAAAUAUUUCUUUCUUUGGGAUGUUCUUCUGGUAGGUGCUGAUGAAACUGUUCUUUUUACUGCCAAUGUCACAUAUCAGCCAGAAAUUGAAAAUUUCAGUCAAGGUGUCCUCGGUUUUAGUGGUGAGGAAAGCUAGAAAUUUUAAGGUGAAGUUCUGUUAAAAACCUUAAGUAGCUGGGAUAUCAGGCCUGUUUUGCUUGAAAAAAAAAGUUGCAAGAUAACUCAUAUGCCAAACAGGUUCUGAUAUUGUGAAUCUAUCGGCAGACAUCAGUAAUCUCAUCUUCUGAGAUGGAUGUUGGGGGUGCAUGUGGUGGUGGAGGGGCAAGGUUUCAUUUGGUUUAUUUUGUUGAUGGAUAUUGUCUAGCCCCCUGCGCCAAGUUUGAGGGGUGGUGGGUUGUGAUGGCCCUACAAUUACUAUUAAUUUCUUCCUCUUUUACCGAUUAAAGUGUCCGAACAGUCGAAGUUACCCUUAUGCAUGUCAACUUGAUCACUUACCUCUUCAAUGGAGUUUAUGCUGGUUCAUUUAGGAACUGAUUUUUAUUGUUAUGCAUUCUAUGCUGAUGUUUAGGCCUCUCCAUCAUCACUAUAUACAAAAAUUCUAGGUUGAUACUAUAGGUUGAGAUUUAUUUUUUAAAUAAAAAAUAAUAAAAAUAAAAAUUAUGGUGAUGUUUAGUUGUUUUAUGGAAAAUUUUAACAAGUUAUUUUUGGGCAAGUUUUCAAACAAAAAGAAAAGUAAAAGUUGUUUUGACAAAAACAUAUAGAAAAAAAAAAUCAUAGAAAAGAAAUAAUUUCCCCAUAUUCUAACUUUUUUUAAUUUUUCUCAAUGGGCAAAGGAAUAUCAAAUCAAGUUUGAGUAGGAUUUCUUAAUUUUUAAAAUAACUUACAAUUAAAAAAUUUUGGUGUUUUCAUUUUUGGACAAUUUUUUAUUAAGCAAAUGGACUCUGAGUCAUGCAAGAGAUAUGGUUGAUUAAUGGGUCAAACAAUUUUUUUAAAAUAAUUUAAAACUCAAAUACAUAAUCAAUGUCACAAAAUUUAUAAACAAAAAUAGGUUUAGAGAAGAUCUACACAUAAUUUUACUUUUCUAAUUUUAUUUUAUUUUAUUUUUUUGUUGGAAAAUAGUCUUCAAAUCAUGUAAGAUUUAAUAGGUUAAAUUUGUUAACAAUAAAUUUUAAAUUAUAAAAUAUAAUCUGGAACUUAAAAAUCAAUUCAAGUAAUGCUAAAAAAAAUCAAAUUUGGUAUAGAAUGACUACGUAAAAUUUUUUACAAAACAAAUGAAUUUUAAAUCAAGUGAGAUUUAAUGCAUUAGAUUUUUAUCAAAUAUAGUAAUUUUAAAAUUUAAUUUGGAACUCAACAAUAGACACAAUAAAUACCAAAAAAUAAUGAACCAAAAUUGGUUUGGAAUAACUCCACAACCUCUUUUUUUUUUUUUUGGUGCACACGAAUUUUCUUACUAGGUAUAUUGCUUUCAAAUUGAGAAAGAUUUACUAUUUAGAUUUUUUUUUUUAAUGAGUUUAAUGGUAUUUUAAAAUAAUUCAAAAUUUCAAAAAUUGACUAAUUACUAUUAUAAAUUCAUAAACCAAGACUAAUUCAAAAUGCAUUGGGGGCUAAGGGGGUUGAAAAUAGGGACAAUGGGAUGGGUUUGGGACAUGACACUCAUAUCUCAUUUCCAUUCCAAUUACAUAGUUAUCUCCCAUCCUUAUCCCAAACUUGUGUUGGAGCAAGUUGAUUUGUUCCCAUCUUUGUUGAUGAAAUGACUAAUAACCUCAUCCCCUCCUUAUCUUAGAUGUACAUUUUGUCAAAUUUGAUCAGGUAUGAUUGAUCCAAGCCCUAACCCUAAUUGGUAAUGACUGGAUACUACACCUAAUUGCAUUCUUCUUUCGUCGCAAAAUAAUGAGAUUAUAAUAAUCUAGCAAAUAAGAAAAAAUAGUAUGGAAGUUCAAUUUAACACCAUAACUAUCAAUAAUUUUAAGCUUAUAGAUGACUUAAAUGAUUAAAAACUAAUGCAAAAUACCAAAAAAAAAAGUUCAUAUAAAGAAUUCACAAGAGAACAAAAUGAACAAAAACCAAAUAUGAACAUGGGUCAACAUUAGUUAUGGAUUUGGAUUCCUUUCAAGGCCAAUCUUUGAACCAAGACUUCAUCAAAUCUACUACUUCAAAGGCUUUUGUGUUCUUCUUGGGUUGUGCUCUCAAACAAAGACUUCAAGGUGAUGCUCUAGAUGAUUGCAUUACACAUAUUUAGGGUGGAGAGAUUGGAGAAGCUUGAAGAUGCCAACGAUGGGUACAAUUGAGUGGUCAAUAAGAACAAUGUAGCCUAUGACUAGUUUGAUGUCGUGGUACAAGAGUUUUAGGCAUUGAGGUUAAAGCAAGAGCAACAUGGAAUUGAUUUUGGAGUCUUUCAAUUAGUGUAAAGGAGGAAGAAGUGGUAUUGAUUCUAGAAAUAGGGUUUUAGGUGGUGCGUUAGAGGAUGAAGAAGAAGAAAAAGAAGGAUCUGUUGGAAUUAGUGUGAGUGUGAAGAGAGAAGUAUAUAAAUAAGGGGAAGUAAAAGCAAAGUUCUAAAAGCUAUAUUUUUUUUUAUUGUUGGUGUAUGGUUGCAUGAUUAUCCCUAUAAAUAAUAGGAGUUUUUUUGGUAUUCUACUAGUAGUUGAAGGAUAAUUUCAUAAAUUUAUAUUUAGAGUGGGGUGGGGUGAGUUGUGACAAAAUUCAUACCCGUCCUAAACCUUGGUUCAGAUUUUUAAAAUAUCCUCAAACUUAUCAUAUACCCAACUUUUAUAUUUCAUACUUGUCUUGAUAGAGGCAGGUUAGGCCGGGUUACUUGAGUAACCUACAUAAUUGUCAUCCCUAGUUGAAAUACACUUUUUUGGCAGUGGCCACCAACUGAGCUAGAAGCUUGAUCGAUUGACCUACAAGAUUAGUUCUCAUCAUUUUAAAAAAAGUUUUGGCCUUGGUUGUGAGUGCAAUUGAAUCUAAACUGGCAUUUCCUUAAUGCAUCUACUUCAAUCCUAAAUUUCUUACUUCCUAAGCCUCAAUUGUUGUUAGGAUUUUGGAAAGCCCAUUUCCUUAAAUUGUAAAUUUAAGAAAAAAUAAAAUAAAAGUGAGACAUUUCUUGAUUGAAUAUUGUUAAAGGUCCCUUGGCAUUAAGACUUGGUUGAAGCCUUGGAAGAUUAGUGGAACUCUCAACUUGUGUUUGAAUCUUGAGGAGAGUGGACGUAAGCCAAAAUUUUGUCAAACCAUUAAACAAAUUGAGUUUGAAUCCUCAUUUCUUGAUUUCUUAUUUAUUUGCUUUUUCUUAUUAUUACUUGAAUUGUCAUUUGCAUUCAUUAAUGUUAAAAUUGGUUAUAAUUAACCAACACUAAUUCUCUUUCCCCUUCCCUUUCUUGGGUGUAAACCUAGGUUGGAUUAACUAGAUUAAUUUAUAAAAUCUAUUAAGAUGGUAAAAGAAUAAUUAUUCUUAACACACAUAAGAUCAUCUUCAAUCAAAUGACUCAUUGGCUAAUAUGUUGAAUUUGCUUAUUACUUGCAACUCAAAAUUGUGUUCUAGUUGAUAUGUCAAGUCCCCAGUGUAUGGACAUUAAAUUUGUAGUACGUGAUGGUAAUUAGAUGGUCCAACUCCAAGAAAGUGAUUGAAAACUAGUUCAAGAAAGGUGCAAAAGGGAAUUGUUUUGGUAUUUUCGUUUUUAUUCUUGAAGGUGGCAGAGCUAAAAUUUGUGAAAUCAAGCAAAACAUACUGAAAUUACAUUGAAAGAAAGAAAAUGGGAGUUAAUGUCUUGCAGUAGAUGAUAAGGACUUCAUGCAUGUAGUAUGACCCAUGUCUUGGACUGAUGCCAACUCACGGUUACACUUAUACCCUUGGUUCUCUCUUUACUACCUUGGCUAACCUAGAUCAGGCUAUGAGAUAGGCUCCUCACCACACCAUUACUUGCCCAUUAAUUAGAGACAUUUUCAAGCACUGAGGUAACAUGGUGACACCAAGAGGGUUUAUUCCUCGCCCUCCUCGCCCUCAACAAGUCUAGACUUGGUCUCAAAAAAAUGGAGAAAAAUGAGGUGUCGUUAUGUAGAAAUACAACAACCAUGCCUUCCUCAUUACUUUGAUUCAGAAUGUGAAGGUGAAAUUGAGAAACAGAAACUCUUGAAACCAAAAUGAAAAUUGAUACUUUUACGAAGAAUUACAACAACAUUGGAGGAAGACUACAUUCUUCCUCUUUAUUCCUACAUUUCUACACUACUUCUACUCCACUCCAUAUUUCUACAUACAUCUUUAAUCAGUCUUCCCUCCUUUAUAUAGAGCCAUCUUCACACAAAUUCCGCAAGGUAGAAAAGAGGAAUGAAACUUGGAGCAAGGUUCGACUACUGGCUGUAGCUUGUCAAGGCUGGAAGUGAACCUUUUUUCUUGGCUUUUCUGGGCAUGGGUAGUAACUUGUGGGUUCCUUUUUGGGAUACAAAUGGCUAGAACAUGUGGCACUAUCUUGUUGGAUGAUGUGUCAAGCAUGUGGCAGCCAUCUAGUGGCGAUUAUGUCAAUUUUGGGAUGGAGAGUUGGCAUCCAAUUGCAAAGAAAUAUGACGUCUACCAACAGGCAAUGUAAACCUAUGUAGAUCAUAUGAAGAUAGAGAGGAAAAAUAUAGAAAUGGAUAUAUACCUAGAACUAGCUUUUUAUUAAAUGAAACGGAGAGCCAACAAUGAAGGAAAAUAAAUUUUUUUGGCUUAUAUCAAAGAGUUCACAUUGUGCUACCCUAGGUUUUCUUAAAACUUACUUUUAUGAUAACAAAAAAAAAAAAAAACAUUAUUGUUUAAUCCUUUGUUUUAAACGCAUGUUUAGCAAGUUAUAAAAUGUAAAAAUCUUUCUAAGUUCAAAUAUGAAGAUAUGACAUCAUUUCAAGCAAGAUAGUCUCUAGGAAUUAAUGUAAAGCUAAAUUAAGGUGAAAUUAAAUUAGUUCAAUGCAUUAAUUUAAGAAACUUGACCUAUCAAAAGUACAAAAUUAGAUGAAAUCCAUUUCAAUGGUUAAAAUGAUCAAAAUCAAACUUUUUCUAAGUAUUUUUUAAAAGUAUCAAUAUUGAAAGACAAUUUUAUAUUUAGUCAGAGUUUGGACAAAACCAAAAAGCACACAAAAUCCAAGCGACCAUCUCUAGCUUGGAUGGUCGCUUGAUCUCUAGCUUGUGUACUUGGAAAGCAACAUCGAGAUGAUAUAUAUAUAUAUAUAUAUUUUAUAUAAUAUUGUUUGUCCAAAUUCCCUAAAAAUUAGGCCACCACAUGUUCAUAAUUCUCCCUUCUUGAAUUUGAAAACUCGGACAAUUGGACAAUGCGACACCUAAGUCCGGUUUCUAAAUGCUAAAGUGAAAGGGUAGGUAUGGACCAUUGAAAUGUGAUCACAACUUUUCUCUGUAGCCAUGUUGUCUCUUUUUUCUUUUGCAUGAUUUUCUCACCUUAACAGAAUCAUAGACUUGUUUAAUCUCUAAAUGGGAUUAAUUUCAUCCAGCUUUAAGCUACUAUAUUAUAUCUAGGUGGAGGACUUUUAAGAGUGCAACCGACAUAGAGCACAUGCAAGUGGGUAUAUGGGACAUGAAAUUUCUUCUUAUAAAGAUUGCAUGAUUUUUAUAUUAGAGUUGUUGGGGCGCAAUGUAUGUAGCUUGUUUUGCAGUUAAAUUAAUUGGAUAAGUAGACAUUGGCGUUUCUAAAUCUACUGUGAAGUGCUUCAUGUACGUGUGAAGUAUUAGAAAUUUCUUUCUUGGCAACUUGUUUUUUCUUUGCGGUCUACUGAUAGGUUUGACUAAAAUUAUAUUCCCUGUCAUGCUAAUUAAUUUUCACGUGCAUGCUCAAAAGAAGAGUAUGACCUUAGUGCACCAAAAUCACUUUGAUUAAUUUGUGAUAGGUUUUUGUGCAUCAUGACAUUAGCCUUAUUCAUUUAGAUAAUGUUUAGUUUUUAGAAAGUAUUAAGAAAAGGAAAAUAAAUAUUAAGAAAAAUAUUCUUAUAUUUGAUUGUAUUAUGAAAAAUGUCAUAAAAAAAUCAAAUAUAAUUUAAAUUAAUUAAUAAUUUAUACAUUUUCAAAUUAUUUAAUCUUUAUAUUGAAGAUAUAAUAUAAAUGAAAUGAGUUUUAAGUAUUAUAUAAAAGUGAUUUAUUGAUCUUGCAUAUAUGUAUUUCUUUUUUUUUUCUUCUAUUUUUUUUCUUUAUUUUAUUUUCCUUAUGUUUUCCUCAACAUUUUCCGGAACCAAACAUAGCCUUAGGAAAUCCACAAUUACCUUCAACUGAGUAUAUUCGGUUGUUUUAGCAAUGUUAGGCUGCUAACUUGUGUUGGUACGAACCUGUUAAGCCUAAAGAUGUAAUUAGUUAGGAUAUUCUUUUCCCUCUAGUCUUGUAGCUCCACGUGUAUAGUUGGUUAGGACCUCAUUGUAUAUAAUGCCUGCCCUGUUAUUGUUGAAGACAACAGAGAUAAAUAAUAUUAACAUUUUUCCUCUCAUCUCUCUUUGUUUCCCUCUGUUUUCAUCUCCUCUCUCAUCUUGGUAUCAGAGCCUCCAUGGAUUCUUUCAAAGAAACCUCCGAAUCACCUUCUGCUAGCAUUGUUAAUGUGCAAAACCCAUUAUCUCAGUCAAACAACCUUCCUUCACCAGCAGCCACACCCUCUUUUUCUUUCUUGUCUAUGAAUCAACCUCUCACAGUGAAGCUGGAUAAUGGAAACUACCUCAUCUGGAAGAAUUAGCUUCUGAAUGUCAUCAUUGCGAACAGACUCGAUGAUUUCAUUUAUGGAACUCGACCCUGCCCUCCUUGAUUUCUCAAUCUGCAACAACAAACCCUCACUCCAGAGUACUCGGUCUAGCAGAGAUACAAUCGACUUCUAAUGAGUUGGCUGUACGCAUCCUUGUCCGAAGAUAUAAUGACUCAGAUUGUUGGGUAUUCAACAACUGUGGAGAUUUGGAACGUCCUUAAUCAGAUUUACUCUGCCUCUUCAAUGGCGUGGGUUACCGAGCUUCACACCAAGCUUCAAACGCUCAAGAAAGAUGGACUCUCAGUUGGUGAAUAUAUUCAAAGGCUCAAAUCCAUUUGCAAUAGUCUUGCAGCAAUAGGAGAACUAGUUUCUGAGAAAGACCAGCUUAUCUAUUUGUUCAAUGGAUUAUAUUGUGAGUAUAAUUCUUUUGUUACCUCCAUUCAAAAUCGAUCUGACCAACCAACUAUUGAGCAAAUCCAUAGCCUAUUGCUUAGCUAUGACUUUCGGCUUGAACAACAAAACUCUGUUUCUCUCCAUUAUGCCCAAGUCCGUAUGGCUCAUCUGAACAAGAAACCUUAUAAAUCAACUCCUCAACCUACAUUCAAUCAUAUUCACAUUCAACCUAGAUACUCUUCUCCACCUUUUAAGCCAACCACUAGUCAAUAUCAACCCAGGAUUUUGGGCAAACCACAACCACAACCAUGACAGCCUCAACCUCAAUGGAAACCACAUUUUUCAAUCCAGAAUCAAAAGCCUCAGUGCCAAAUUUGUGGUAAAUUUGGACACACUGCUCUUAUUUGCUUCCAUUGCACAAAUUUGAACUAUUCACCCCAACCUUCUCCUAAAUCUUUCAAUACUGUUCUCACCACAAAUUCCCAGCUCCCUAAUCCUCCAAAAUUUUCUUACCCUACAAUGGCUCAUCCUGCUGCUACGCAUAACACGAUUCCUGAUACAAAUUGGUACAUGGACUCAGGUGCUACACAUCACUUUACUCCGGACAUCAACAUGCUUGACACUGUGACACCAUUUAGUGGUUUAGAACAGGUGACAGUUGGGAAUGGUAAGCAACUCUGUAUCUCACAUCUUGGUACUGCAAAACUACCAUCCUCGUAUUCUCCUCUUGUUCUACAUCAGGUAUAUCACACUCCAAAAAUUUCAAAUAAUCUUAUUAGUGUUAGAAAAUUGUGUUCUGAUAAUAAAGUUUUUGUUGAAUUUUAUGCCACUCAUUUUCUUAUCAAAGAUCAAGUUUCGAAGAGAGUUCUCUUUCAAGGUCAACUUGAUAAUGGCUUAUACAAAGUUCAGUCGUCAUGCUCUCCUUCUACUAUUUCCUUUCAUCCUCAAGUUUUCAUAGCCAACAUCAAGGAUCAAAAUUUGUGGCACAAGAGACUAGGCCACCCAGCUUUAUCUGUUAUUAAUCAAAUCUUGGAUUCUUGUAACAUUGCUCGAACACAGAAAAUUGGUUUUAAUUUUUGUAGUUCUUGUCAAUUAGCAAAAAGCCACAGGCUUCCUUUUUCUCUGUCUCCAUCCAUUGCAGAAAAACCUUUUGAGUUAAUUCAUACAGACCUAUGGGGUCUUUCUCCUGUUCGCUCUAUUUCUGGUGCUCGUUAUUUUUUACUUUUCAUUGAUGAUCAUACUCGUUUUACUUGGUUUUAUUUGCUCAAAACAAAAGAUGAAGCAUAUCCUACUUUUCUCAAGUUUCAAGCUCUCAUUGAAAAUCAAUUUAAUACCAAGAUUAAGGUUGUCCAAUCUGAUUGGGGAGGUGAGUUUCGAUCUCUCUCCAUACUGUUUUCAAAUAUGGGCAUUGUCUAUCGUUUAUCAUGUCCAUACACCUCACAACAGAAUGAGUGGGUUGAGCGAAAAAAUCACCAUGCGGUUGAAAUGGGAUUGUCCUUUCUUGCUCGCUCGGGUAUGCCCUUAUCUUAUUGGCCUUAUGCCUUUCAAACUGCCACUUACCUUAUUAAUCGUCUCUCUACCCCUGUGCUGCACCAUCAAUCCCCUUACUUCGCACUCUAUCACAAAUUCCCAGCUUAUACUCAUCUUAAGGUCUUUGUUCCUCUUGUUUUCCAUAUUUACGCCCUUAUAAUACCCAUAAACUCCAAUACAGGUCACUGGAGUGUGCUUUUCUUGGUUGCAGUUCACACCACAAAGGUUAUCUAUGUCUUGACAUUCAUUCUAGCAGGGUGUAUAUUUCUCGCCAUGUGAUUUUUAAUGAAGAUUCUUUUACAUUCAAGAAUUUGAAAUCUUCUCUCUCUUAGUCUAUUUCUUCUUCCUCUUCUUUAUUAGUUCCUCUGUUCAUUUCCUUGCCUCCCCUCUCCCCAUAUCCUCCUAUUUCUCCAUCUAUAUCUCAUUCUUUUCUCUCUUCUUCUUCUACCUCUAGUACUUGUUCCCCUCUCGUUGCUCCUACCUCUCUUCCUCCCUCUUCACACUUUGUGUCCCAUCUAUUCCACCUCCUUCUCCACCUUCUUCGAGUGUGGACCUGCUUGUACCUUGUGUGAAUACAAAUUUACUUACUUUUUCUCGCACUCACAAUAUUCAUCCUAUGGUGACCAGAUCUAAGGGUUUGUAUCUAUAAACCUAAGUUGCUAUUGAGUGUCUCCAUAGGUUCUCUCACUAAGCCUACUUCCUUUCUUCAAGCUAUUAAAGAUCCUUCAUGGAAGCAAGCCAUGGAAUUGGAGUUUGCUGCCCUUCAACACAACAAGACCUGGCAUCUAGUUCAUUCACCUUCCUCAGGCAAAGUAAUUGGUUGUAAAUGGGUCUAUAAGAUAAAGCUUUAGCCUGAUGGCUAAUUGAGAGAUACAAGGCCCGCUUAGUAGCUUAGGGUUAUCAUCAAACUGAAGGUAUUGACUACUUCGAAACAUUCAGCCUGGUUGUCAAGCCUUCUACUACCGUAUUGUGCUCAGUCUUACUUUUUCCCAGAAUUGGUGUAUUAGACAGCUGGAUGUUCAUAAUGCCUUCUUACAUGGUGACUUAGCUGAAGACGUUUUCAUGGAACAACCACCUGGAUUUGUUGAUCCUCUCUAUCCUACUCAUGUCUGCAAGUUGGAUAAGUCUCUCUACGGUCUUAAUAGUCACCUCGGGCUUGGUAUACUAAGCUGAGUACUUCUCUACUACACUUGGGAUUUGUUACUUCUAAGAAUGACUCUUCCUUAUUUAUUUGUCAUUCGUCUCAUGGGUUACUUCUUGUUCUUGUCUAUGUGGAUGAUAUAAUCGUCACUGGGAGCCACUCUCCUCAAGUUACUCACCUUAUCCAAUAGUUGCAUCAUCAGUUUUCUUUAAAGGAUCUUGGUCAUUUACACUAUUUUCUGGGCUUGGAGGUUCAUCACACCCCUACUGGUAUUCACCUCAGCCAAGCAAAGUAUAUCACUGAUCUCCUUACCCGGGCGGCUAUGUUGGAUGCCAAGCCAUGUCCCACUCCUAUGUCCUCCAACACAUAUCUUUCUCUUCAUGAUGGAGUGGCUCUUGAAAAUGGUUCAGAUUAUUGAAGUUUUGUUGGUGCCCUUUAGUAUUGUACCAUGACACGCCCAGAUAUAGCUUUUGCAGUAAAUAAAGUGUGUCAAUUCAUGCACCAUCCCUCUGAUGUUCACUGGCAGGCUAUAAAACGUAUUCUCCAGUACUUAAAGGGCACAUCUCAUUUUGGUCUCUUCCUACAGCCUUCCUAUGACUUCAACAUCACUUGCUAUACAGAUGCCGACUGGGCUUCCUGCCUUGAUGACAAGUGUAGCACCAGUGGCUACUGCCUCUUUCUUGCCUCUAAUCUGGUUUCUUGGUCAUCUUCCAAACAAAAAGUGGUCUCCCGCUCCAGCGCCAAAUCAGAGUACCGAGGGGUAGCAAAUGGGGCUGCUGAAAUUGCUUGGACUGAAUCUCUUCUUUGUGAACUUUCCACCCACUCGACCUCCCCUCAUUGUCUGUGACAAUAUCAGUGCCACAUACUUAGCUGUCAAUCCUAUUUUGCAUGCCCGCACCAAAACAUGUGGAAAUCGACUAUCACUUUGUCUCGGAACGUGUUCUUCAACGCUCUCUCUCUCUCCAGUUUACACCUUCGGAUGAUCAACUUGCUGAUUGCAUGACCAAGCCUCUCUCCACCCAACGUUUCAUCACUCUACGCUCCAAGCUCACUGUUCUCACUAGACCAAUGAGCUUGAGGGGGGAUGUUAAGCCUAAAGAUGUAAUUAGUUAGGAUAUUCUUUUCCCUCUAGUCUUGUAGCUCCACGUGUACAGUUGGUUAGGACCUCAUUGUAUAUAAUGCCUGCCCUGUUAUUGUAGAAGACAACAGAGAUAAAUAAUAUUAACAUUUUUCCUCUCAUCUCUCUCUCUGUUUCCCUCUGUUUUCAUCUCCUCUCUCAUCUGAACCAAAUGAUCCAUGUUAACCUUGGCUUGGUUUGAUUUGGCUCUAUCUUAGAGAGCUCAAGGAUCACGUCAACUCUGGUUUCUACUAUUCAGGUCCAUUCCCAUAUGAACUGGUUCAAAUUUGAGAAAAUGGUAACAGACCUUUAGUGAUGUUGGUUUGGAGCCAGUUGCCAAACCCGCCCUGAGCUUUACCACUAAUGUCAAGGGAGAAAGCCUUUUGAACAAAAACAAUAGCUUCAAGAGACUGAAUCGUGGAUGAAAUCUGAUCCACAUUUCUUCUCAUUUUGGAAACAAAUGAGAACUUAACUAAGAAGAUUCUACGGCCUCAUAGUGCUUUUCCUGAUCUAAGGUUGGUUCGUUUCCCAAAUUGUGAGAUGCACGGGCCAGACUUCAGAACUCUCACGCUCAGGAGUGUAUCCACGUGGUGGACAUAAGAUGGUGGCUUAAGAUCUGGUGUCGGUGGCUUUACUUUACUAGGAGAGUAGUGUGUCUUCAUCUCAUUCACUGCCGGAGGGUGGCGUAAGCAGUGACGCUAAGGUGGGGCAUAGUCAAUAUCAUUUGCAUUUGACCAUUAUAGUUUUCUCCCGGCUUGAAAGUAACCUUAUCGUGAUAAAGGAUUACUAGCACUAGUUCAGAUGACAGUCAUGUUAAAUUCGGACCAUGUUUGUGUCACAUUAUCAGCAACCAUGUGUUUAUGGUUCAUGCUUUCUGCAACUGAAAUUGAAAUUGAUAUAUAACCAGGUGAACUUCAAUCUAAAUUCUGGAAGUACUCAUGUGAGCGAUGGUGCCCAUCUGCAGAGUCCAUCAAUUGAAAAAUGGAGUGAGUGUAUCUAUAAGAGGGAAGGCUUGGCAAAUGUCCAGUUUUCUGGGAAUUCAACAAGGAUCUAAAAUAGAUUGUUUUCUUUGCUGAUUUCAAUGGUUGAAAUUUGAGAAGAUUGUGUCCCACAUAACACAACUAUUACUGGUCCUUCUGUUGCAAUUUAUCCUCUAAGGCUCUAGCAUGUCUUCCAAUUCCCACUUCCCUGUUACUCCAGGAAAGCUAUUUCUGUCAUUGUGAAGAAGAAAAGAGAAUGUAGAUAUCGAUGCUUUUAAGUGACUGGAGCAUUCAUAUCAGGUGGUCUGCAGCCAUAUAUGCCACUUUGUGAAGAUUGGAACAGUCAAUCACUAGGCUAUAUAUUAGUGUGGCCCAGCCACUUUAAUCAAGGACAAUUCUUCAUACUUAAAAGUCAAAUUCUGCCUUUAGUCUCAUUAUAAAUUGCUGUUUAAAUAUUAAGCAAACAUUUGUUUAAUGCGAUUAAGACAGUACUAACUCAAUACUUGUUCUAUUUUUGGAUGGAAAUGCUUGAUGGUUUCAUCAUUGGAUGGGAUAAAGGUGCAUUCAUGAUUAUGAAUACUUGUAGUUAUAUUUUCAUUCUCUUUUUUCUCAAUGAGACUUGUUGGCACAAUUUUUCUGUUCAGAAACCUACCUCUCCAUGGAAAAUAAGUUGUGAUUGAUAGUACUGGAUAUAUUCAAGAAAGCUAAAUAUAGAUAGCACAAAAUAUUAUCGACAUAAAUAGCAUUAACAGCGUACGUAUGUCUCAGUGCUCAUCAGCCAUAAGCAUGGGGCAAACACUUACGAUGAGCAACUUACGUCAAAAUUCCAGAAUAGGACAUAGAAGUGACAGAUCUAUAUAUAUAGAACACUGCAUAAGAGUCACAAGAAAGGAAAUUACGGGUGCAUAGCAGCUCUUAUUUCACAUACUACUCAUACUGAUCAAAGUCACUCAGUUGGGAUGGGUGGGAGUAGGAGGUUUGUGGGGUGGCUUGUGCGGAGGAGUUGGCAGCUUCUUUCCAGGACCUGGUGGCUUCUCUCCCUUAGGUGGUUUGCCAACUGGGGUUGGUGGCUUGUAUGAGUCUUCAGCAUUCUCUGCAGGAGGGUGACCAGGGUUGUGACCAUAAUGUGGUGGCUUCUCUCCCUUAGGUGGUUUGCCAACUGGGGUUGGUGGCUUGUGUUCUGGGAGUGGCUUCUCCCCCUUGGGAGGUUUUUCCAAUGGGGUUGGUUUGUGUUCAGGAGGUGGCUUCUCCACUGGAGGCUUGUGUUCAGGAGGUGGCUUCUCCACCGGAGGCUUGUGUUCAGGAGGUGGCUUCUCCACCGGAGGCUUAUGCUCUGGUGGUGGCUUCUCCACCGGAGGCUUAUGCUCUGGUGGUGGCUUCUCGAAUGGGGGAUGCUUAGGGUAAUCAGCAAGUGAGGGGGCGGUGAGAACCACCAGGCCAAGCAAGACCACUAGCAAGUAUGUAGGAGACAUCUUUGGGUUUAGACUCAGAUGGUGCAAAACUAGGAGAAUUGUCUUUUAUAGCGGAUCGCACCCAAUAAUGAAAUGACACGUGUCUUUAUGACCCAUGUGUAAUGGGGUCGAUUUGGGUCCUACAGUGUUGAAAACUUCGACAUCCACUUUUGGCCUUUUGCUUUCUCUACAGCCGCCUUGCUUUUUCCCUCUUUCCUUUUGUUUUCCUCCUGCCCCAUUCUAUCAACUAAACACAAUUAUGUAGUUGUUUAAUUCUUAAAUGAGAUAUUAUCCGUCAAUCGUAUCAUAUUUUAUCAACAGAGAACGGAGUGCAAUGUGGCAAUCCAAAGAAAGAAGAUCCAUAAUGCAGCUGUAAUUUUAUCGUUUACUUUUAUCUCUUGGACCACUGCAUUUUUGUUAAGAGGUGCAAUAAUACACGUCUUUAUCUGCCAUUCAAUGUUUACAGUAAAGAGAGGGCACAAAACUCUUCACUGCUCUGCAUGUGUCCCAAAAAUGCAAUUGGACAAAUUAUGAUUUGCAUGCUAAAAAGAGGCAAAUGAGGUUAAUUCGCACCAUAAUUAUUUUGUUUUCUGGACCCCGGGGCCCUUUGGUUGGUUUGGGGGUCAGAAAAUGAACAUCAUAGGGGGUUUUUCCCUUAUGUGCAUUUGUAUCUGAUGGCUUUAACUCGCCUUGUUACUACAAAGAAAUUGUCACAUAUAGGAACUUAUUCCAGGCUGAGUAUCUCCGCAUAGACCCUAUAAAAGAAGACAAGUCAUAAUGAACAUCUAACCUUUGUUCAAUUUGAUUCAAUGCCCCAUUGUGUCCACCUCACAAAUCUGAAUUAUUAUAUCCAUUGAAUACAUAAAUUAAUGAAGAAAAUAUGAAACCCAAGAUACAUCUCUGCACAACCUCAACCCUGGUUGCUAUGUUUCCCUUCUAUUCACAUGAGGAUAUUGAUUACGGAAUAGGGAAACCUAGCAAGGGUUUACUCGGCUCUGGUUUGAUGCUAAUUGCCAAACUUGCAACAAGCCCUGAGUUUGAAGCUCACAGAAGAUGUUAUACAGGCAGGGAAAAACCUUCAGAGUUCGCUGCCAAAGAUAAUUAUUAAGGAGAUAUCACCAAGAGAAUUCCAAGGAGUCUGAAUCAAAGACAAAUUGGUCGUUCGUGGAGGUUCUUACUUUCUUUUGGGUAUAACUCACUGAGGGCACUGUCUUUUUUAUUUUCAUUUCACAUUUAGAGUUCUGUUCUGGAAACAUAUAAAAGGAGCAUCAGUUUGUUCUUGGGUAACCCAUAGUCGUGAGUGGGUCCAUUUGCAUGCUACUUAGUUGAAAAGUUGGACCAUUUGCUCCGACGCCUACCUCCUGGAUUCCAUGCUCGGAUAAAACAAGAAUAAAAAAAUAUUUAUAAUUUACAAAUGGGGGAAAGAAAAAAAUGUCAACAACAAACUAGGAAAAAAGAGUAGUAAAAUUCAUGUCACAUGCUAGUGAGAGAAGGGGUUGUUACACUCACUCGAAGUUCUUUUCAAAAUAUCGCAUGGUAUUUUAUUUUAUGUGUGAGCGCAGUUGUGAAUGGAACGUGCAAAAGUCCAAAUUGGUGACCUUUAAUAAAUAUUUAAAACAAAAAACGAAAAAAAGGAGGGAAAAGGGAUCAGAAAAGAUAAAACAAUGUGUACAAAAGCUCAAUUAGUUUGCAAAUUACUGUUUGGAUUUUGAUAGUAUUUUAUUUGAUGUAAAAGAGAAUUUAAGAUAUUUCCGAAACAAAAGCAUUAGUUUGCUCCAUGUCAAUUUCGGCAUUUCUCAUAUGUUUCACACAUACACAGAAGAGCAUCGUUUUUUAAAGCAUGCAUUUAUGUUGGAUUAAUUUGGAUUUUGUGGGAACUGGGGCAAGGAUCACAUGGAAGAGAGGUUGACUUUUUUCAGUACUUCAAUGGUUGAGACAGGUGAAGGCCUGAUUGAUACUGAAGCCUGAAAUUGCGACUCCGUCAUUUGUCAAAACAUAUGACAGCUUCCAUGCUCUCGUUUGGUUGCAUUGUUCUGUGGUCAUGCAUACAUGCCACUUAGUGAUCAGUCUGUAACUGUCAAUCAUUGGGCUUUGACUGAACAACAUCAGCCAUGUAUAAAUACUUGCAAAUCAAACGGUCUUCUUCCUCCCAUAAGGAAUUUCGGUUUAAUUAUGAAGCAUGCAUUUGGCUGACCAUCAUAAACCACUUCUUUAAAUUGAUGAAUGAUAGUUUUUCAUUCAUUCUUUCAUUCGUUCAUAUACAGAGUAUAUAUAGAGGGUAAUCAUCAUUCUAAGAAUGGGAAAGAAUGAUACAAGGAAAUAAUGAUAUAAAGAAAUAACAACUAAUAUUCUAAUAUCUCAACUUUCCUAAUAUCUAAACAUUCCUAAUAUCUCAACACUAAAUGAUAUAAAGAAAGAAUGAUAUAAGGAAAGCAUUCCUAAUAUCUCAACACUCCUCCUCAAGUUGGUGCAUAGAUGUCAAACAUGUCCAACUUGUCUAAAAAUUUUGAGAACAGUUGACUUGAGACAUCUUUGGUGAGGAUAUCGGUCAAUUGAUCUUCUGAUCGAAUCUUAGGCAAUUCCACAAUCUUAUCAUCCAACUUUUCCUUAAUGAAAAAUCUAUCCAUCUCGACAUGCUUUGUACGAUCAUGUUGUACUAGAUUAUGAGCAAUGUCACAUGCUGCUUUAUUGUCACAAAACAAUCGGAUUGGUUGCCUAGAUAGGUAACCUAAAUCCUAUAAGAGGAGUCUUAGCCAUAAUGCCUCACAAAGUCCUAAAGUCAUACCUCUAAAUUCCGCUUCUGCACUUGAACGAGCGACGACAUUUUGCUUCUUACUUUUCCAUGUCACAAGAUUACCACCUACAAAGGUAAAGUAACCAGAUGUAGAUCGCCUAUCAUCCACUGCACCGACCCAAACAGCAUUAUACUUCUAUACUCUGAUGAUCAACAUUUUUAGCGAACAAAAUUCCCUUCCUAGGAGCAUUCUUCAAAUACCUCAAAAUACGCAUGACUACAUUCAUAUGUUGCUCUCCAGGAUUAUGCAUGUAUUGACUCACUACACUCAAUGUAUAAGCAAGAUCUAGUCUUGUAUGAGCUAAGUACAUUAAUCUCCCCACAAGUCUCUGGUAUCUUCCCUUAUCGAUUGAUACUUGAUUAGGCUCAACACACAAUUUCAGACCUUCUUCUAUUGGUGUAUUAAUAGGUUGACAUCCCGACAUUCCAGUUUCCUGUAGAAGAUCUAAGGCAUACUUUCUUUGAGACAGAAAAAUUCCUUCACUUGAUCGAGAAACUUCAAUCCCAAGAAAGUAUUUCAGACGACCAAGAUCUUUCAUUUCAAAUUCUCUAGAUAGAUACUUUUGCAAAGCUUUUCUUUCUUCAGGAUCAUUUCCUGUAACUACAUGUCAUCCACAUAUAUCAUAAGUGUCGUAAUCUUACCAUGUUGCUUUUUCAAGAACAAAGUGUGAUUUGAAUUACUUUGAUGAUAGCCAAAAGCUCUCAUUGAUUUUGUGAACCUUCCAAACCAUGCUCUCGGGGAUUGCUUCAACCCAUACAAUGACUUCUUCAAUUCGCACACCUUCUGACAUUGCUUUUCUGACACCAUGCAUCCUGGUGGAAGAUCCAUAUAUACUUCUUCAGAUAAAUCGCCAUGCAGAAAGACAUUUUUUACAUCGAACUAUUGUAAUGGCCAAUCUAGGUUUGCAGCUAAAGACAAUAAUACUCGAACUGUGUUGAUCUUAGCUACAGGUGCAAAUGUCUCUGUGUAGUCAAUUCCAUAAGUUUGAAUGUACCCACUAGUCUUGCUUUAAAUCGUUCAAUACUACCAUCUGCCUUGUACUUCACAGUAUAGAUCCAACGACACCCAACUAGCUUCUUUCCUGGUGGACAUUCUACGAGUUCCCAUGUUUCAUUUUUCUGCAAUGAUUUCAUCUCUUCAUUCAUGGUUGCUUUCCACUUUGGAUCAGCUAAAGCUUCCUGCACACUAUUAGGAAUAGCUACAGUAGAUAAUUGAUUUACAAAUGACUUAUUUGAUUCAGACAAACCAUGGUGUGGACCCGCAUUUUUCACGUGCGCCUCUACUCGAUCGGCGAGACUCGCUUUCUAUUUGUGAAAAAUUAAUUUUAGAAAAGUUGGAGUCGCCACCUAUUUUAUUUUUAUUUUGAAGGGAAAAUAAAACAAGAAAGAAAAACCCUAAAAAGUGACUCCAUAGUUUUGGAAAAAGCAUGUCUUUGGGAAACCUGAGUCUAGGUCCGGGGAUCAUGUUACUUAUUGGGAAGGUACCUCUAGGAGGUAGCACCCCUCUAAGCCUUAUGAAGGUCUCUACUAACUAAAUUAAGGGAAGUGUGGCAAUAAAUCGAUUGAUCAUAGAUACCUAAGUAGACUAGGUGAUUUUAAAGUGUGGCAUGUCAAACACAAUCAAAUUGCAAUAAAGGAGAGUUAGGGCGCGUACCUGAACCGCUUCUCAAGCGCUAUCAUAAAACAUCAAUGGUUAAUUUAAAUAAUAUAUCAUCCAGCAUGUAUUUUAUUAGAAAUAAUCAAACAAUGAAACAUGUAUAUCAGAACACUCAAGCAUUAUUAGACAUAAGCAUUAUUUCACUAUUCACAGAAUUCAGAAAGUAGGUGAUAGAGGACAUACCUGGAUAGCAUAGAUAAUUUGUAAUGUGCUUCCUCAAGUUGUAAGGGGUUAGAUAACAAAUAAUAAAAUAUAGAAAUCCUAGCAUGCUCGUUAUCUAAUUAGCAUAGCAAAAGUGAUCACAGUAUACAGAAUCAUCAAUUAUCACAUACAUCUUGUAUAUAAUUCCUAAAAAAAAUAGAUAGACAUGAUUUCAACAAGUGUCAAAUGUGGCAACAAAAAUAAAUUUUGAAAAGAUUUUCUUAUGUAGGGGUUUCACCAAUUCCCCAAAUUAAUAUACACGAAUUUAGCUUAGAAUUAUCCCAUUUAUUUGGGACUACAAGCUUUGAUUCGUGUUUUUGUUCAAAACCAAAAAUUUUUGUUGAAAAUCAAGAAGGAUGCGAACCGAACAAGAUAUGGUUGCAUAUUAUUUUUAAAUAAAUAAAUAAAUAAAUAAAGGAGAUUUUGAUCCUGAGGACUUUAAUGAGUUUUUUUUUUUAAAAUAGAUUUUUAAAAUGAUUUUUUUGAGAAAAGUAUUUUAUUUUAAAAUAAAAGGGAUUAAUUUGGGAAAAAAAUAAAAUAUAAGAAAUAAAAUACCAAACAAAACAAAAAUGAAACCUCAAAGUAAAAUUUUUUUAGUAAUUAACAAAAAUGAUAAUGGUGAUGGUAGAGGGCAAUCUUCAUGAUUUUCCAAUGGCCUCAGAAAGAAAAUCAAAUUAAAUGAAGGAUCACUAACAGGCAAGACAUUCUAAAUUAGACAAACUAACAAAGUAUCAAUUCAUGAACUAACCGCUAGGAUUUUGAAAGCAUAUAAGCUAAGAUAAGGGUGAUCAGGAACUAAUAUUAAUGAUUUUGAAAUAAAAACUAAAAAAAAGGAUCAAUUCGGGUAAGGAACUAAAAUUAUAAAAGUACCUAAACUAAUUAUGACGAGUUUGACUAAAUUAAACUAAAAACAUGAACUUUCAAACAUAGAAUUAAUUUUACUAAUGAACCAAAGCAAACUAAAAAUAUGUACUUUCAAGCAUAGAAUUAAUUUUAUUGAUGAACUAAACUAUAACAAAUAUCUAAACUAAAUAUAAUGAAUCAAAUUAAAUUAAAGCAACUUAAAAACGCAAACUUUCAAACAUAGAAUCAAUUUUAUCAAUGAAUUAAAACUAUAAAUGUAUUUGAACUAAAUAGAUGAAUCAAACUAAAUCAGAGCAAAAUUAAAAAAAAAAAAGAACUUUCUAACAUGAAAUCAAUUUUAUCAACAAAUAAAUGAAUGAAUAACAAGUAAUUAAAAGAAUAGCUACUACAUGAAUAACUGAAUGAAUAAAAUUCAAAUGUUUUCAAUCUGAAGCAAUCAAUCAAAAUUAAAUAGGGAUCAAAUCAAAAUAAUCGAAAUCGGAAAAACAAUAUGCAAUCUUUCUAAAGGUUUAACCAGACAAUUGAAUUAAAAUUAUGAAUAGAAUAAAUUAAUAAACCAAAUCGAAACCUAAAUUGUACCUAAAAAGAUUAAUUAAUUAAACUAAGAAAUCAAAAUCAAUAACAAAACUAAACUAAGGAGUAAAUUAAGACAAGACUAAUUAAAUUAAACUCACAAACACGUUUUAACUAUCAUAUGGAUUAAAACAAAAUUAGCAUGGACUUAUGAAUUACGAACAAAAAUAAUCAAAACUAUUUUAAAAAACUCACCUCUAUUAUAAGAAAAAAUCUGCCUUUGAUGCGUUGAGGUGGCUCCCCUCUCUGUGUGGAUCUCUCUGCUCCCCAGAAAAAAAAUGUCUCUUCCUCCGUUCUCUUUUGUUUCAGCAAAAUAAUAUAUCCCCUGCUGUGGAUCUCUCUACUCCCAGAAAAUAAUAUAUUCUCUCCGUGUCCUAAAGUGGACCUAGGGUGCCUAAGUGGACCUAGGGUGCCUAAAUGGGCCUAGGGUGCCUAAAUGGGCCAAGUGUAUCUAAAUAGGCUUAGGGUGCCUAAGUGGGCCUAAGUCUAAGUGAGCCUAAGUCUAAAUCAAGACUACCAAGGAUCAUAAUAAGGGGUUAGGCAAUCCCUUAACCAAAGUCUCCAAGGUGGCUAAAAAAAAGUAAGUAGUAUGAGUAGCUAUGGGUCACCAAGGAACUACUGUGGAGCAUUGAAAACGAAUUUAAAGACAUGUGCCAAAGGGACAAAAUUGAGGGUCUACAGAUGGUUAGACACAUAGUUGCUCAUGGGAUAUUUGACUUUGGUAAACAAUUCAGAUUCAUAUGUGGGUUUAGGAAUACCUUUAUUAUGACGGUGUGGUAAUCGUUUCAUGAAUGGAUCAGGUUGCAAAUUAAGAACACCCUCAGCAAACAACGAUUGGUUUGGUAUUUCAGUGAAGACAUCUUCGAACCCAAAUUGUUGACCACUCAUAUCCAACUCACCCGCUUCCUGGUUCACUAGUUCAGAUUGUCCAAAUUCAUCAUUCUCAUAGAUAUGAUAAUCAUAAUCGAGAGUCUGAAUUUCCUUAUGGUACUCCCCCUGAAGUUCAGACUUAGAUGAAAAAUACAUCGAAUAUUCAUGAAACAGCNNNNNNNNNNNNNNNNNNNNNNNNNNNNNNNNNNNNNNNNNNNNNNNNNNNNNNNNNNNNNNNNNNNNNNNNNNNNNNNNNNNNNNNNNNNNNNNNNNNNNNNNNNNNNNNNNNNNNNNNNNNNNNNNNNNNNNNNNNNNNNNNNNNNNNNNNNNNNNNNNNNNNNNNNNNNNNNNNNNNNNNNNNNNNNNNNNNNNNNNNNNNNNNNNNNNNNNNNNNNNNNNNNNNNNNNNNNNNNNNNNNNNNNNNNNNNNNNNNNNNNNNNNNNNNNNNNNNNNNNNNNNNNNNNNNNNNNNNNNNNNNNNNNNNNNNNNNNNNNNNNNNNNNNNNNNNNNNNNNNNNNNNNNNNNNNNNNNNNNNNNNNNNNNNNNNNNNNNNNNNNNNNNNNNNNNNNNNNNNNNNNNNNNNNNNNNNNNNNNNNNNNNNNNNNNNNNNNNNNNNNNNNNNNNNNNNNNNNNNNNNNNNNNNNNNNNNNNNNNNNNNNNNNNNNNNNNNNNNNNNNNNNNNNNNNNNNNNNNNNNNNNNNNNNNNNNNNNNNNNNNNNNNNNNNNNNNNNNNNNNNNNNNNNNNNNNNNNNNNNNNNNNNNNNNNNNNNNNNNNNNNNNNNNNNNNNNNNNNNNNNNNNNNNNNNNNNNNNNNNNNNNNNNNNNNNNNNNNNNNNNNNNNNNNNNNNNNNNNNNNNNNNNNNNNNNNNNNNNNNNNNNNNNNNNNNNNNNNNNNNNNNNNNNNNNNNNNNNNNNNNNNNNNNNNNNNNNNNNNNNNNNNNNNNNNNNNNNNNNNNNNNNNNNNNNNNNNNNNNNNNNNNNNNNNNNNNNNNNNNNNNNNNNNNNNNNNNNNNNNNNNNNNNNNNNNNNNNNNNNNNNNNNNNNNNNNNNNNNNNNNNNNNNNNNNNNNNNNNNNNNNNNNNNNNNNNNNNNNNNNNNNNNNNNNNNNNNNNNNNNNNNNNNNNNNNNNNNNNNNNNNNNNNNNNNNNNNNNNNNNNNNNNNNNNNNNNNNNNNNNNNNNNNNNNNNNNNNNNNNNNNNNNNNNNNNNNNNNNNNNNNNNNNNNNNNNNNNNNNNNNNNNNNNNNNNNNNNNNNNNNNNNNNNNNNNNNNNNNNNNNNNNNNNNNNNNNNNNNNNNNNNNNNNNNNNNNNNNNNNNNNNNNNNNNNNNNNNNNNNNNNNNNNNNNNNNNNNNNNNNNNNNNNNNNNNNNNNNNNNNNNNNNNNNNNNNNNNNNNNNNNNNNNNNNNNNNNNNNNNNNNNNNNNNNNNNNNNNNNNNNNNNNNNNNNNNNNNNNNNNNNNNNNNNNNNNNNNNNNNNNNNNNNNNNNNNNNNNNNNNNNNNNNNNNNNNNNNNNNNNNNNNNNNNNNNNNNNNNNNNNNNNNNNNNNNNNNNNNNNNNNNNNNNNNNNNNNNNNNNNNNNNNNNNNNNNNNNNNNNNNNNNNNNNNNNNNNNNNNNNNNNNNNNNNNNNNNNNNNNNNNNNNNNNNNNNNNNNNNNNNNNNNNNNNNNNNNNNNNNNNNNNNNNNNNNNNNNNAACCAAAGGAAGCAUGUUCCAGACGUCGAUGCCACAACCAAAUUUCAGACUUUUUCUUCUCCUCCUUAGAUCCAUCUGCCAUCAAGGCUUGUUGCAACUUAUUUGAAUCCUUUGAUUGCAAGUCCAAGUAUAGAGUUUCCCCCGCUUAAUACGACAACCAAUCGUCUGUCUUGUUUGAAUGUCCUUAAUCACACAAAAUUCAGGCCAAAAAAUGACAAUACAAGAUAAGGCUGCAGUGAUUUGAGAAACUAACAAAAGAUUGUAAUCUAAAGAUGGAACAACUAAAACAGAAUCCAAAUUCAAAGUAUCAGUAAGAGUUAAGGAUCCUUCCCCAAUGACUGGGGUUGUGUUACCAUUGGCUGUGGAAACAAUUUUUUGUGAGGAAGGUCUAAGGGGUGAAACCUGUCUAGAAUCAAAAGUCAUAUGAUCUGUAGCACCAGAAUCAAUUAUCCAUGCACUAUUAAUAACAGGUGUAAAAGUAUUUAAAAACUUACCACAAUGAUCUGUAGCGGCUACUAAUGCAGAGACUUUCUCAACAACAUUAGUCUUUGUUUUUAUUUCGGUAACAGUUGCAAUCAAGGUUUUCUUGGAAUUCUUCUUCCGUUGAUCACGAUUAUUAUCAUUAAUAACAAAGUGUUGAUAGCCUAAACAUGAUCUAAAGGUCCAUGGUGCAAACCCUCGGUUCCUCAUUGUUUUCCUGGUCAUACCAAGAGUUGUUGCUUUGAAAUUGUGGGAUAUCCAGACUGGUGGGAUCAGUUUUAUUGCAGUGAGUGCAUUUGAAUGUUGACUUAUCAAUAUUAGGGCUUGUCUUCGGAUGGUUGAUUGCUGUUGGACUACCAUAGCGACAAAAUAUCCAGGAUUUCAAUUCCAGGGCUCUGAUACCAUCUUCAAAUUGAUGAAUGAUAGUUUUUCAUUCAUUCUUUCAUGUACAGAGUAUAUAUAGAGGGUAAUCACCAUUCUAAGAAUGGGAAAGAAUGAUACGAGGAAAUAAUGAUAUAAGGAAAUAAUAACUAAUAUCCUAAUAUCUCAACUUUCCUAAUAUCUCAAUAUUCCUAAUAUCUCAACUUUCCUAAUAUCUAAACAUUCAUAAUAUCUCAACACUAAAUGAUACAAGGAAAGAAUGAUAUAAGGAAAACAUUCCUAAUAUCUCAACACCACUUCAUGAUAUAUAUAGUUUCUUACCCUUAAUCAAUGGUUUCUAAGUGAAUUUAUAUAGAAAGAAAUCCAAACUGUAGACAGCAGUAUUGGUAACACUCAAUAUUCUGUAUAUAAUAGAAUAAAUAGCGUCACAGUGAUCGUCGCCUACAAGCAAGGUACAAAUACCACAAAGAGUGACCCACAUAGACAUUCCCCAACAAGAUGUAGUAGUGACUGACACAUAGCCACAAUUAACACGUAGAAAAGGAUAAGACCGGUGCACAGUAGCUCUUAUUUUACAUACUACUUAUGCCAACCAAAGUCACUCAGUUGGGAUGGGAGGGAGAUGGAGGUUUGUGCGGUGGCUUGUGGGGCGGAGUUGAUGGCUUCUUUCCAGGAGCUUCUGGCUUUUUCAUCGGAGCUGAAGGAGGCUCAAUCUUAUGAGGCGGCUUGUACGAGUCUUCUUUGCUCUCGAAAGGAGGGUGGCCAGGGUUGUGACCAUAAUGUGGUGGUUUCUCUCCCUUGGGAGGUUUACCAAUUGGGGUUGGUGGCUUGUGUUCUGGGAGUGGUUUCUCUCCCUUGGGAGGUUUAGUGGGUGACUUGUGUUCUGGAGGUGGCUUCUCCACCGAAGGCUUGUGCUCCGGUGGUGGCUUUUUGGUUGGAGGGGGCUUGGGGUAAUCAGCAAGAGAUGGGGUGGUGAGAACCACCAGUCCAAGGAACAACACUAGCAAGUAUGUGGGAGACAUUUUUGAGUUUGGGCUGAUCAGAUGAUGCAAAACUAAAGCAUUACGUGACCUUUUAUAGCAAGUAGCUCCCAAUACCUACUUGACACGUGUUACUGUGACCCAUAAAUAUUAUGGGGUCUAUUUGUGCCCUACCGGGUUGAAAACUUGGACAAUUGGGCAAGGACCCGCCUGACUAUGGAGGACUACUGAGGUGUGAUCACAGCUUUAGGAUUUUUCUUCCUCUGCAGCCGUCUUGCCGUUGGCAUGAUUUUCUUAAUCUCAAAUAAAGGCAUAGUUAUAGAGUUGUUUAAUCUCUAAAUGGGAUUUUAUAUAUCUUCAGAUAGCCAUUAAUACAUUUGAUGAAGAAAGAAAGACAAGUGCAUACAACAUGUAUACGACUAGCUUUCAUGGAGUUCAUUUAUGAUCAGUUUUCCUGUACAUGUAAACCAAGAUCAUAUAUGUUUUUGUUCCACAACAAUUUUGGAAUCUUGUUUAUCCGUUUUUAUCAUUAUAAUGUCACAUAGGCUGCCAACUUGGGCGCUAAAUUAAAGAUCCAGUUGGGCAAGUUCGUUUCAGAAUUUCAAUGGUGGAUUCAGGAAUUGUUUUAUAAGAUAUGCAAAAUAGUAGAGGGAUGAAUAGUGUUUCAUUAAGAAAAGAGCCCUGUAAAAAUAUUGUUUAAAGGUGCCAUAGAAACUAUAAUCAAUAAAUAACUUUUUUUCCCCAUGGGUGGUGUUUCUUGUGGGGAUCAGUGACUGGUUUGAGUCAACGCCGUGUCUCUUUAGUCCAGAAAUCAACUAUUUUAUGCAUUGAAUACAUCAACAAAGAAAAUAUGAAAGCCAAAUGACACCUCCCCCGCAAAAACUAAACCCUGGUUGCUAACUUUCUAUGUUUCAGUUCCAUUCACACAAGAAUAUUAGUUCAAGUUUGAGAAAAAUGGCGACUUACCUAGUGAUAACUCGGUCUUGGUUUGCGAUUUGACUUUAACGUCAUGGGUUGAAGCCUCCUACAAUCAUCGUGUAUGCUAGUUCAAAGCUCGUGGAAGAAGUUAUACAGGGAGGGAGAAACCUCCACAGCAAGCUCCAAAAGAGAAUUAUCACAUUGAAAGCUCCAGUUGAACACUGGGUGAAAGCCAUAACAAGAUUGGUUUUCUAUCGCUCUUUUAAGUAAUGGAAGAUUAUUAUCUCUGCUUGUCACUACAACCGUGCAUGCUGCUAGAUCUUUCUAGACACUUCAAACAGUGAAACCAAGUAUGAUUCUUUUUCUCUUGAGUGGGUCCACUUGCAUGCCAAUGAACGAGUUGAAAAGUUGGACAAUUGGCCACAGCGCGCACUUACCUUCUGGAACCGAAGGUCAGUGAAGUGGGGUUCCUUUUGGCCCCUUGUGUUUCUGUUCCAACCUACUCCAGGAACCGAAGUUCAGUGAAGUGGGGCUACUUUUGGCCUCUUGUGUUUCUGUUCCAACCAAACAAAAAUGGGAGGGAAAAAUAGCAUUAUGCUUGUGCUAAAGAUCAACGCAUGAUAGCUGAAUAAGGGAGAAAAAGGCAUUGCUAUCUCAAUUUCAUAAACUUGAUAAGUAGUGACAUUAAUAGUCUUCCUCAUAGAUGGAUACAUGGUUUUAUUUUAUUUAUUUAUUUUUAUUUUUUUGUUUUAUGUCAAUGCUAAUGAAUGAAGUGCAUUAGCUUGUUUUGUGACUAGAACUACAAAUGUCCAAAUUGGAGCUUCUCCAAUAUAUUUCUCAGUGAGUUAUUGAUUAGAACUCUUGGAUUGAGUUCCAAGAUUUGAAUCAGACCCCUCUAGCAGCUUCAGGGGUACGUAGCAACCUAUAGCAUAUUAAUGAAGACUUAGGAUUUAGACUUAGGAAUACAAAUUAAUAUGUACCUCAUGCUCUGACUAGCUUCCCUGCGUAUGCACAAAAUGGAGAUGACUCCCAAAAAAAUAGCAGAAUCGCCUUAGUAUGUUUUUGUGGUUAAGAUGAUUCUCCACUUUAUAUAUCCACAUUGGUUCAUUAUGCAAAUUAAUCAACUAAGCUAUUUUUAUUUUUUCUUAAAUGUGAAAUAGGAGCUCCAAAUUAACCUAACCAUUGGCCUGAUUGAAUUGAUUUCACUUGCAUAAUGUUAUAGUAGAAGUCCGUAAUUUGAAUUUUAUUUUUGCAAAAGGUAACGUAAAUGAAGCAUUGUAAUUAAAUUUAUUUGUAAUUACAAACUAAUUUUAUUUUAUUAAGAAUUAAUUUAAUUACUCAUUUAAAAUAAAAAUCAGUUAUACUUUUACCAAGAUGAUAAUAUUCAUAUUUUUCUAGUUAACAUAUAUAAAAUAGUACACUUUUUCAUAUAAAAAAAUAAUUUAUGAUUUAUUAUAAUGUUACUAUUCACAUUUUACUAAAUUGAUGGUACAUGAUAGUGAGAGAAGGGGGUGUCACACUCAGCUAAAGUUCUUUUCAAAAUAUUGCAUGGUGUUUAAUUUUAUGUGUCGGCGCGCGUGUGAAUGGAACCUGCAAAAGUCCAAAUUGGCGUUUCUCCAUUUUCCACAUAGGAUGGUGACGUUAAUAGACAAAGAUACAAUAUCUGUAGACAUUGCUUAAAAAUCGAUGUGAAGUAUUAGAAAUUACAGGGCACUGUACUGGGGGAGCGGCUGCCCCGCCAAAGGAGGAAGAAUGUAGCAAUUUCUUCUGUUAGCCAGGCCUUAGGAUUUAUGCAUGGGAUGCCUAAUAACAAACAGAGAAAAUAUACUUUUGGGGAAGGUAUCCAACAACAGACACCAUCAUUCAGAUGGUGGGAAGGUAUCCAACAGAUGCCAUCAUUCAGAUGGUAACAUAUAUAUACAUUUAUUAGUGAGUUUUUUUAAUACCUAUAAAAAAAAAUAUACACUUUGAUAUUGUGGCUGAAUCCAUUACAUACUCAACUAACCUUGCUCAUUAGGGAUUUGACUUAACAAGGGCAACGUUGCAGUACAAGCUCAAAACUUUAUGCAGGUGACAUUACAUUUGGUAAAGAAGAGGAAAAUAACGAAAGCCAUCCAUAAAAGCAAAAUUCCACAUGGGAUGAAAUUCACAAGCUUCAUUUACGAUAGAGUCGCAUCCAGGCAAUUAAUUCCACAUUAGACCGCCUGUUGACAUGUGUACCAAUCUUUUUUCAAAAAAUAUUUAUAAAUAAUUGAUACUCACAAAAAUAAUUUAAUAUUUAUAAAGGAUAAAAAAAUAUUUUCAAAUCUAUAACAAUUUAUAAAAUAUUAAUAAAAAAUUAUCUCUUAAACUUAGUAUAGUUUUAUCAGAUUAAACUUUUAUUUUGAACAAAUAAUUUUAAUCUAAGUUUUAAAUUCUAAAAUUAUUUCCUUAAAAUAAAAUUUUAAAAUUCAACACUUCAAUUGAAAUUGUCUUUUUAAAAAAUAUCUUCUUAUUUUAAUCCUUAUAAACUAUAGUUGAUUGAAAAUACUAUUGAAGUUCUCUCUUAAAAAAAAGUCUUAUUUUAAUCUUCAUAAAUUGCCCUUGAUUUGAAAAUAAAUUUUCAGUUAUCAUAUUUUAAAUAAUAUCUAUAUUUAAAAUACUCUAUUUAAAAAAAAAUGAACUAAUUUUAAUUAUAUUAUAUUUUAUUUUUUUAUAUAUUUUUAAUGAUAAACCAAACAUAGAAAAUCAUUUUUCUAAAUAUUUUAAAAUUUCUAAGCAACCAAACAUAAUCUUCAAAAUAAAAGGAAAAUAAGGAGGGACAUUUGAGAAAUGGCGAUUAAAAAAAAGUGUACAAAAGCUCAAUUAAUUUUCUUCUAGUCUUUUAUAUAAAAAAGUAAAGGAAUUGAAAAGUAUUGAUAUGUAAAUUAAUAUUUGGAUUUUAAUAGUAUUUUAUUUGUCUUUCUCUAUCUCAUGUAAAAGAGAAUUUAAGAUAUUUCCUAAAGCAAAGCAUUAGUUAUCUGCAAUCAGUGGUGAUCAUGCCCCAUGUCAAUUUCGGACCCAUAUCUUAAAACUGUAUAAUUUGCAUUCAAACAUUACUGAUUUCUCAGAUGUUUCAUACUCCACAGAAGAGCAUUGUUUGUGAAAGCAUGCAUUUAUGUUGGAUUUUGGAUGAUGUGGGAACUGGGGCAAGGAUCAUAUGGAAGAGUGGUCGAUUUUGUUCUGUACUUUAACAUUUGAAAUAGGAGAAGCUCGGGCAUUUGUGGGGCUUAAUUGAUUUUGAAGCCUGAAAUUGCGUUUCUGUCAUUUUGUAAAAAAUAUGGCAGAUUCCAUGCUCUCAUAUGUUUGGUCUGUGGCCAUGUAUAGAUGCCCCUUAGUGACCAGUUUGUAACUGUCAAUCAUAGUGUUUUGACUCUGGCUCAACAACAUCAGCCAUUGACGGAUUUUCAUACUUGCAAAUCAAAUAGUCUUCUUCCUCCCUUAGGAAUUUCGGUUUAAAUGUUAUUAAGCAUACAUUUGGCUGACAAUUAUUAACCACUUCAUGAUAUGGUUUCUUACCCUUAAUCAAUGGUUUCUAAGUGAAUAUAUGCAGAAGGAAAUCUGAACUGUAGACAGCAGUAUUGAUAACUCUCAAUAUUCUUUAUAUAAGAGAAUAAACAACGUCAUAGUGAUCGUCGCCUACAAGAAAGGUACAUUUCCCAACAAGAUGUAGUUGUGACUGGUACAUGGACGCAAUUAACUCGUACAAAAGAAUAAGACCAGUGCACGGCAGCUCUUAUUUUACAUGCUAAUUAUGCUAACCAAAGUCACUCAGUUGGGAUGGGAGGGAGAUGGAGGUUUGUGCGGUGGCUUGUGGGGCGGAGUUGGUGGCUUCUUUUCAGGAGCUUGUGGCUUUUUCGGAGCUGAAGGAGGCUCAAUCUUAUGAGGCGGCUUGUACGAGUCUUCUUUACUCUCGACAGGAGGGUGGCCAGGGUUGUGACCAUAAUGUGGUGGCUUCUCUCCCUUAGGUGGCUUGCCAACUGGGGUUGGUGGCUUGUGUUCAGGAAGUGGUUUCUCUCCCUUGGGAGGUUUACCAAUUGGGGUUGGUGGCUUGUGUUCUGGGAGUGGUUUCUCUCCCUUGGGAGGUUUAGUGGGUGACUUGUGUUCUGGAGGUGGCUUCUCCACCGGAGGCUUGUGCUCCGGUGGUGGCUUCUCCACCGGAGGCUUGUGCUCCGGUGGUGGCUUCUUGAUUGGAGGGGGCUUGGGGUAAUCAGCAAGAGAUGGGAUGGUGAGAACCACCACUCCAAGGAACAACACUAGCAAGUAUGUGGGAGACAUUUCUGAGUUUGAGCUGAUCAGAUGAUGCAAAACUAGAAGAAUUACGGGACCUUUUAUAGCAAGUAUCUCCCAAUACCCACAUGACACGUGUUACUAUGACCAUAAAUAUUAUAGGGUCCAUUUGUGCCCUACCGGGUUGAAAACUUGGACGCUUGGCCGAGGACACACCUGACUAUGGAGGACUAUUGACGUGUGAUCACAGCUUUUGGAUUUUUCUUCCUGUGCAGCUGUCUAGCGGUUGGCAUUAUUUUCUUAAUCUUAAAUAAAGGCAUAGUUAUAGAGUUGUUUAAUCUCUAAAUGGGAUUUUAUAUAUCUUCAGAUAGCCAUUAAUAUAUUUGAUGAAGAAAGACAAGUGCAUACAACAUGUAUACGGCUUGCUUCAAUCGAGUACAUUUAUGAUCAGUUUUCCUGUGCAAGUAAACCAGUUUUUUGUUCCACAACUAUUUUGGAAUCUUGUUUAUCAGUUUCUAUCAUUAUAAUGUCACAUAGGCUGCAAACUUGGGCACCCAAAGAUCUAGGUGGGCAAAUUUGUUUCAGACUUUCAAUGGUGGAUUCAGUAAUUGUUAAAAGGUGUUUCUUCAUUAAGGAAAGAGUCCGGUAAAAAUAUUGUUAAAAGGUGUCAUAGAAACUAUAAUAAAUAAAUAACUUCUUUUCCCCAUGGGUGGUGUUUCUUCUGGGGAUCAGUGACUGGUUAGGGUCACCCAAAAUGAGUCCAGAUUAAAAUUGGUUCGAGUCAAAGCAGUCUCUUUUGUCCAGAAAUCAACUAUUUUGCGCAUUGAAUGAAUCGAUAAAGAAAAAAUGAAAGCCAAAUCACACCUCCCCUGCAAAACCUAAACCCCGGUUGCUAACUUUCUAUGUUUCAGUCCUAUUCAUAUAGGAAUAUUGGUUCAAGUUUGAGAAAAAUGGCAACUUACCUAGGGUUUACUUGGUUUUGGUUUGCGACUAUUUACGCAACCAACCAUGAGUUUGACUUUAACGUCAUGGGUUGAAGCCUCCUACAAUCAUGUAUGAUAGUUCAAAGCUCGUGGAAGAAAUUAUACAGGAAGGAAGAAACCUCCAAAGCUAGCUCCAAAAGAGAAUUAUCACAUCGAUAGCUCCAGAGAUUCCCAAGGGAACUGAAUCAAAGACAAGUUCCUCACUUUUUCUUCUUUUGAGGCCAAAUAUGAACCAAGGAUCACACGACCUCAUUCAACUUCAUAAGUUUGAUUUCAUGCAGUUGAACACUGGGUGAAGGCCAUGACAAGAAUUGAUUAAAAAAUUCUACCACUCUUUUAAGUAAUGGAAGAUUAUUAUCUCUGAUUGGCACCACAACAGCACAUGCUGCUAGAUCUUUCUAGACACUCCAUGCAAUGAAAGCACAAUGGAUCUUGUAAUGAUAGAAACUAAGCCAUGCUACAGUACUAGAUGAGGGGGUAAAACUAGUAGACAUCUUUCUAGACACUCCAUGCAAUGAAAGCACAAUGGAUCUUGUAAUGAUAGAAACUAAGCCAUGCUACAGUACUAGAUGAGGUGGUAAAACUAGUAGACAUGGCUGGCAGUUGAUUACUACUCAAAAAGUACUCUUUUAUAGCUUGAAACUAACUGUUUUAAACACUUUUGAGUAGUAGUUAAUACCUUUUAACUUAAUUGGCACAUUAAGGAACCUAGCAAGGGUUACUAAUCAACAUUUGGCAAGUUUUGAUGUUUUUGGUAGCUAUUUGAUCAUUGAAACAAGCCAAGAAUGAGGGGGAAUUUUGUGAAGUCCAUGGCAAUGCAAGUUAAAGCUCAAAUACAUGAAGAAUCCAAGCUUUGGAGCACUUCAUAGCCCUUUGCCAAGCCAAUCAAAGAUGCAAGGAAGAAAACCAAAGGAAGAAAUCCAACAAUCAGCAUUUUGGCAUGGCUAUGUGAAAUUUCGCACACCAUGCGAAACCACAAGAGGCAGCCAAAGAAUUUCGCAUGGUAUGCGAAAUCUUCUUGUGCACUGACUCUGUUAGAUUUUUAUCUUCAGAUAUUUUGUGUAAUUUCCUAGUUUCUCCUUGUAACCAACUUAGAUAUUUUCUUUUAUAUCUUUUUUUAUAUUUUUUAGGUAACAUCAUAUAUAAGAGGAGAGACAUAAGGAGGAUAUGGAUGUUUUUCAUAGAACACUUGUAAAUUUUUGGUAGUAAGAAAUAUACAAAGCUUUUUGCUCUGCCUUACCUUCUCAAGGGAUGAGUGGCUAGGUUUUCUUGGAGUGAGGGAAGCUAGGUGAAGGACCUGAAUGCAAAGGUGGGAGUUUUCCUUACUUUAAAUGAAAGUAGUUGUUAAACAUUAAUGGUUUUUAUUUUAAGGUUUAGCUUUAAAUCCCUGAAAAACACCUUGAAUGGCCAAUACUUGGUAAGCUUUUUAGAUUCUAUGGAUGCUUAUUGCUAGAUCCAUGGAUGUCUAUUAGUUAUCAUUUACGAGCCAUUGGAAGGUGAUUCAAGGUGAGGGUCUUUAGUGUUUGAAGCCAUUAAUGGGAAGCAAUUACCAUUUUUUCAUGAAUCCUUUGGAUCAAAUCUUAAUUGCUAAAUAUAAAACCGGUUUCGAGAGAUAACCACCAUCCUUUAUGUUAUUAUCCCCAACGCGAGGAGAAGAUCCGAAAUCUUCCUUUUUAUCUAAGGAACCCGAUCCUAGUGACCUAAAGCUCCAAGAUACCUUUUCUUUGUAGUUAACUUCAUUUAUUGUUUUUGCUUAACUUAAAAUCAAUCUUUGCAACCACAAUUCCAUUUUCUUUAAAAGCUAAUUUUUAUAAGGAAAAACACCAUUUUAUUUCCUUCACUAAGUCAACUGUACGAUGAAAACCCAUCCCUGUGGACGAUCCUAGAGCCACUAUACUAUGUUAGCUAUGCUACCCUAGUGUGAGGUGAUUUAGGUUUUAUAAAUUUUUUUGAUAACACCCAUCUGAGCCAGAAUCAAAUGGCACGACUGAACCAGGGACGAAUCAAAUGACGCCGCUACCAAGGAUGGUGCCAAAGUACAUUGACAUGACUUUUGGUGAACACUUGUGAUCUUCACCACAAGUUUGGUGAUUUUUCUUUUACUAAUUUUUUUUAUUUUAGCUUAUCUUUUAUUUAGUUUUUAGUUAACCUUAAAUUUUUCCUAGAAUUGUAUUUCUUUUGUUUUCUUUGUUUUUGUUUCAGUGAUCUUUAGUUGUGCAUGCCCUAUUGGAUAAGAGAUAUUGAGGGAAUACUUGUGAAGAUUGAAACUCCUCGAGAAACUGAGUUAGAAGUGUGCUUGAACAUCAUGGAUGUUCCACCUGAAGACCAGAAUAGCCAACAUGGUUAAGAGGAUAAUUUCAACACAUACCGAUCCAUGAGGAACCGCAUACAUCCACCUUGUAUGAGUGCACCGUCAGGCAUAAUGCCUCCCACUGAGCAGCUAGUAAUCUGACCUCACAUUGUGCCACUCCUACCUACUUUCCAUGGGAUGGAGAGUGAGAAUCCCUACUCGCAUAUUAAGGAAUUCGAGGAGGUUUGUAAUACAUUCCAAGAAGGAGGAGCUUCAAUUGACUUGAUGAGGCUCAAGCUAUUUCCUUUCACUUUGAAGGAUAAGGCCAAGAUUUGGCUUAAUUCUUUAAGGCCAAGAAGUAUCCAAACUUGGAUUGAUUUGUAAGCCGAGUUUCUUAAGAAGUUCUUCCCUACCCAUAGGACCAAUGGUUUGAAAAGGCAAAAUUUGAACUUCUCAGUUAAAGAGAAUGAGAAAUUCUAUGAGUGUUGGGAGAGCUACAUGGAAGCUAUUAACGUUUGUCCUCACCAUGGCUUUGACACAUGGCUCUUAGUGAGCUAUUUUUACAAUGGUAUGUCUUCUUCAAUGAAGCAACUCCUAGAAACUAUGUGUGGAGGAGACUUCAUGAGUAAGAAUCCGGAGGAAGCCAUGGACUUUUUGAGUUAUGUGGCUGAAGUUUCAAGAGGAUGGGAUGAACCAAAUGCUAGAGAGGUGGGAAGAAUGAAGUCUCAACCUAAUGCUAAGGGUGAGAUGUAUGUUUUGAAUGAAGACAUUGACAUGAAAGCAAAGGUUGCAGCUAUGGCAAGGAGAUUGGAAGAGCUAGAAAUGAAGAACAUACAAAAAGUGCAAGCCAUUUCUGAGACAUCAAUGAAAGCUAUGCCUUGUUCCAUUUGUCAAUCUUAUAAGCACCUAGUGGAGGAGUGUCCUACAAUUCCAGCAGUGAGAGAGAUGUUUGGUGAUCAAGCAAAUGUUAUUGAUCAAUUCAAGCCUAAUAACAAUGCUUCAUAUGGCAACACCUACAAUUCAAAUUGGAGGAACCAUUCAAAUUUCUCUUGGAAACGAAAGCCACCUCAAUACACACAACCUACUCAAGCACCUUAGCAAUCCUCGAAUCUUGAACAAGCUAUUGUGAACCUUAGCAAGGUUGUGGGAGACUUUGUGGGAGAUCAGAAGUCCAUCAAUGCUCAACUGAAUCGGAGAAUUGACAGUGUGGAGAGUACAUUGAACAAAAGGAUGGAUGAGAUGUAAAAUGAUCUGUCUCAAAAGAUAGACAAUGUCCAAUACGUAAUCUCAAGGCUUACCAACCUCAACACAGUGUAAGAGAAAGGAAAGUUUCCUUCUCAACCUCAUCAAAAUCCUAAGGGUAUCCAUGAAGUAGAGGCUCAAGAGGGAGAAUCUUCAAAGGUGAGGGAAGUCAAAGUAGUUAUCACCUUGAAGAGUGGUAAAGAGGUUGAUCAACCCACAUCCAAGCCAAAGCAUAAUGAAGAGAGUGUAGCAGAAAAAGAAAAGAGAGGAAAAUAAAGGAAUUAGAAUAGAGAAAAAUACAAAGAAAGAUGACCAUGAGUCUAGUGUGGAUGAAGAGCCCGAGAGGAUGGUGAUCAAGGAAGAUAUGAUGAAGAAACACAUGCCUCCACCUUUCCCCUAAGCUUUGCAUGACAAAAAAAGAACCAAUAAUACAUCAGAAAAUUUUGAAGUAUUGAGGCAAGUGAAGGUCAAUAUCCCUUUGCUAGACAUGAUCAAACAAGUGUCGACAUAUGAAAAAUUCUUGAAGGACUUGUGCACUGUAAAGAGAGGGUUGAAUGUGAACAAGAAAGCUUUAUUGACCGAGCAAGUGAGUUCCAUCAUACAGUGCAAGUCCUAGUGAAGUACAAAGAUCCGGGUUGCCGUACCAUCUCAGUGAGUAUUGGAAGGACUUGUGUGGAGAAAGCUUUGUUGGACUUGGGAGCAAGUGUGAAUUUGCUAUCCUACUCUGUCUAUAAGCAGUUGGGAUUUGGAGAGUUGAAGCCAAUAUCCAUCACUCUAUCUCUAGCGGAUAGAUCAAUGAAGAUUCCAAGAGGGAUGAUCGAAGAUGUCCUGGUUCAAGUUAACAAAUUCUACUAUCCAGUAGAUUUUGUUGUUCUUGAUAUGGAUCCGGUUGUCAAAUGAACUAAUUAUGUUCCUAUCAUACUUGGAAGACCCUUCCUAGCUACAUCAAAUGCAAUCAUCAAUUGUAGGAAUGGAGUCAUGCAACUCACAUUUGUCAACAUGACAUUAGAGCUCAACAUCUUCCAUUUGUACAAGAAGCAUAUCCAUCAGGAGGAAAAAGAAGGUCUAGAGGAAGUGUGAAUGAUUGACACUUUAGUGGAAGAGCAUUGUGAUCGAGAAUGCAAAAAGAUUUAGUUGAGAAUUUUGGGGAUCUUGAUGAAAGGUUACUUGAACCCUCAGAUUUGCUUGCUACCCUACUCCAUUGGAAGAGAAGAGAAGAAAUUCUACCCUUAUUCAAUGAGGAGGAGACGCAAAGAGCUGCAAAGGAGAAACCCCCAAAACUUAUUCUUAAGCCACUACCCACAGAGUUGAAGUAUGUAUACUUGGAAGAAGACAAGAAGUGCCCUAUUGUUAUAUCUUCAACUCUUACCAUUCAUCAGGAGGAUUGUCUACUUGAAGUCCUUAGAAGAUGUAAGAAGACAAUAAGGUGGCUAAUUUCUUAUUUGAAAGGGAUCAGCCCUUUAGUCUGCACCCAUCAUAUUUACAUGGAGGAUGAAGCUAAGCUAAUUCAUCAACCUCAGAGAAGGUUGAACCCUCACAUGCAAGAGGUGGUUCGAGCUGAAGUUCUGAAGCUACUUCAGACCAGUAUUAUUUACCCCAUAUCAAAUAGCCCAUGGGUGAGUCCUACUCAAGUUGCGCCAAAGAAGUCUGGGAUCAUGGUGGUGCAAAAUGAUAAGGGAGAAGAUGUCUCUACACGCCUCACUACAGGUUGGAGGGUGUGUAUCAAUUACAGGAGGUUGAAUGCAGUGAUAAGAAAGGACCAUUUCUCAUUGCCCUUUAUUGAUCAGGUGCUUGAGAGGGUCUCUGGGCUUUUUUUUUUAUUGUUUCUUGGAUGGCUACUCCGGGUACUUUCAGAUAGAAAUUGAUGUUGAAAACCAAGAUAAGACCAUUUUCACAUGCCCAUUUGGAACCUAUGCAUAAAGGAGAAUGCCUUUCGGCUUAUGCAAUGCACCCGCAACUUUCCAAAGAUGCAUGUUAAGCAUUUUCAGUGAUAUGGUGGAGCGUAUUAUGGAAGUCUUUAUGGAUGAUAUCACCAUUUAUGGAAGUGCAUUUGAUGAAUGCUUGGUCAACUUAGAAGCUGUUCUGAACCGAUACAUUGAGAAAGACUUAGUGCUUAACUGGGAGAAGUGCCAUUUCAUGGUACACCAAGGGAUUGUCCUUGGGCACAUUAUCUCCAAGCAAGGCAUUGAAGUUGACAAAGCAAAGGUUGAACUCAUUGUUAAGUUGCCAUCCUCAACAAAUGUCAAAGGAGUAAGGCAAUUCUUUGGCCAUGUCGGGUUCUAUAGGAGGUUUAUCAAGGAUUUCUCUAAGCUUGCAAGGCCUCUUUGUGAAAUAUUGGUGAAUGAUGUUAAAUUCAUAUGGGAUGAUGGAUUUGAAAGGAGUUUUGAAGAAUUGAAGCUAUUUUUGACAACCGUACCAAUAGUGAGGGCUCCCAACUGGCAACUGCCCUUUGAAGUAAUGUGUGAUGUCAAUGAUUUUGCUAUAGGAUUUUUUCUUGGGCAAAGAGAAAAUGGAAAACCUUAUGUGAUCUACUAUGCGAGGAAGGCAUUGAAUGAGGCACAAAGAAACUACACAACCACCGAGAAAGAAUUGUUAGCUGUAGUUUUUGCCUUGGAUAAGUUUCGCGCUUACUUGGUGGGGUCCUUCAUCAUGGUUUUUACUGAUCACUUUGCUUUGAAGUAUCUGUUGACUAAGCAAGAUGCUAAAGCAAGGCUGAUUAGAUGGAUUCUCUUACUUCAAGAGUUCAAUCUCCAUAUCAAAGAUAAGAAAGGAGUGGAGAAUGUGGUAGCAGACCACAUUUCAAGGCUAGCUAUCGCACAUAAUUCCCAUGCUUUGCCCAUUAAUGACGAUUUUCUAGAGGGGUCUCUCAUGUUGGUGGAAGUUGUCCCUUGGUACGCUCACAUUGCUAACUACCUGGUCACGGGAAAAGUUCCAAGUGAGUGGAAAGCACAAGAUAAGAAGCACUUCUUUGCAAAAAUUCAUGCCUACUAUUGGGAAGAGCCAUUUCUAUUCAAGUAUUGUAUGGAUCAGAUAAUAAGGAAGUGCGUUCCUGAAGAAGAGCAACAGGGGAUCCUUAGUCAUUACCAUGAAAAUGCAUGUGGAGGCCACUUUGCUUAUCAAAAGACAGCCAUGAGGGUGUUGCAAUCGGGUUUCUGUUGGCCAUCACUUUUCAAAGAUGCCCACACCAUGUGCAAGAGUUGUGAUCGAUGCCAGAGGCUUGGGAAGUUGACACGCAGGAACAUGAUGCCUUUGAACCCCACUUUAAUAGUUGAUAUUUUUUAUGUUUGGGGCACUAACUUCAUGGGACCUUUCCCUAUGUCUUUUGGCUACUCUUACAUCUUGGUAGGAGUAGAUUAUGUUUCUAAGUGGGUUGAGGCAGUCCCAUGCAAACACAAUGACCAUAGAGUGGUUCUCAAGUUUCUUAAAGAGAAUAUCUUCUCAAGAUUUGGGGUGCCCAAAGCCAUAAUUAGUGAUGGGGGUACUCAUUUUUGCAACAAGCCUUUUGAAACUCUCCUAGCCAAGUAUGGGGUGAAGCAUAAGGUAGCUACACCUUACCACCCUCAAACUCAUGGACAAGUUGAGUUAGCAAACAGGGAGAUUAAAAACAUAUUGAUGAAGGUGGUGAACACAAACAGAAAAGAUUGGUCAGUCAAGCUUCUUAAUUCACUAUGGGCAUAUAGAACAACUUACAAGACCAUUCUCGGGAUGUCUCCUUAUCGCCUAGUUUAUGGCAAAGCAUGCCAUCUCCCUGUGGAAUUGGAAUACAAAGCUUGGUGGGCAAUCAAGAAGCUCAACAUGGAUUUGAGCAGAGCUGGGUUGAAGAGGUUCUUAGACCUUAAUGAGAUGGAGAAAUUGAGAAAUGAUGCCUACAUCAAUUCAAAAAUUGCAAAAGAAAAAUUGAAGAGGUGGCAUGAUCAGUUGAUUUCCCGCAAGGAUUUUCAAAAUGGACAAAGAGUCUUACUUUAUGACUCUAAACUCCACAUCUUUCCGGGCAAGCUGAAAUCAAGGUGGAUAGGUCAUUUUACCAUUCACCAAGUGCAUUCAAAUGGAGUAGUGGAACUACUCAACUCCAACAAUAUCGAGAACUUCAAAGUGAAUGGCCACCGUCUCAAGCCCUUUGUGGAGUCUUUUUCUCACAACAAGGAGAAAUUCAUCCUCCUUGAUCCACAUCAAGCUUAACAAGACCAAUUUUCUUGAUGGACUUAGUCUUUCUAAAGACUAUCGAGUCCAUAACUUUUUGUUUUAUUUUUUAUUUGAGAUUUUUUCGGUAUUGUUACUUGUUUUGUUUUUUAUUUUUCGUUUUAAUUUUAUUUGGUUUGAUUUAACUUAGGUUUUUGAUGAUCAAUUACAGGGGGGAUUUCAAAUAGAGGAAAAACCAAGAUAAUUCGCACACCCUACGAAAAUUUCGCAAGGCAUGCGAAAUUUAUGGCUUAUUUUGCAUGGGGUGAAAAUUUUCGUACAUCUUACGAACCAAUUUCGAACACUUUGCGAAAAUAAACCAACCCUGCGAAAUCAUUUCGAUUACUCUACGAAAUUUUCGUAGAGCAUGCGAAAAAUUUAGCACACCAAACACCAUUUCGCAUACUAUGCAAAAACCUAAGGGGUCUGCGAAACCAUUUCGCACCUCCAAAUCCAUUUCGCACAUUGUGCGAAAACCAAGAGGCGCUGUGCGAAAAUGAAAAGUCGCCCUGUCAUCCCUUUUUAAACCCCUCGAGCCCUAAAAUCUCCAUUUCGCAAGCACCCCUGUCCUUGCGAAUCCCUCAUUUUCCUCUACUACCUUGCAACCUCGUCCCUUUCCAUUUGAUAUUGUGCCCCGCGCACAUCUCAUUUCAGAGACUCGCACUCCGCGCCCCCUCAAAGCAUGGACUCGAGACCCACCUUCCAUUUCCGACGUGGCACGGACCCAAGGAGCCCUUUCUGCCCCUUCACUAAGACACACACCAAGGCAGAAAGCCUCCUUUGCUCAAGUGCCUAGUGAUUCUCCAUCUUAGGCCUCAGAGGCCUCGGAGGCCCCGUGGAUUCCACCUUCCGAGGGUAGAGCAGCCAUUGGUCCUUCCUCUUCUACUCCUUAGCGUAGAUACGAGACGAGGAGACCACCUACUACACAAGGGGCGACUACUUCGAGCCUUGAGAAUUCAGUACGAUGCCUUCCUGCCAAGAGGGUCAAGACUUCAGGUCCAAGUGAGUCAUCCAGAGCUUCAUAGCCUAAGCCUCCUGUAGAUUCCAAGGUUCCUACUGACAUAUCACCGGAGUCUAUUAUCAGAAGCCCGAUGCUCAUAGCACCGCCCAUUGAGGGCAACUCAGAUUAUAGAGCGAGAUCUUUCCACUUGGAGCUAUAUUUUGAUCAGGAGGCCAUACGACAGCAGCCUGAGCUCCGAGACUCUUAUGGCUUACUGCAGAGGUACCAUCUUGAGGAACUUAUGACUCCUCGUGAGUUUUUUUAUCCCAGAGUAGCACUAAACUUUUACCAGUCCAUGACUACUCGUGGCGUCCCGAGUCCUACCACGAUUCACUUCACCAUUGAUAGACGUCAUGGUAUCCUCAAGGCCAGACAUAUUACAGAGGCUCUACAAAUUCCUUUCGAGCUAGAGGAUCCAUCUGUUUUUCGCUAAUGGUCCCCAGUAUCUCAGAGGGACAUGGUCCGUAUUUUAUCUAGGGGAACAUCUACAGAUUCGAUCUUUCUACGGAAGGAGCUUCGACCUGGGAUGCUCCUCUUAGAUGUGGUGCUAUGCUCCAACCUCUUUCCCUUACAACAUUCGGUACAUAGGUGAUGAGCUAUUUUGGACGCUUUAUUCCGUAUAUCAGAGGGCUUCUACUUUGGCCCGCACCACUUGAUCAUGGUCUCCCUCAUCCACUUUGAGGAGAAGGUUCAUAGGAAGAAGCUUCAGAGGGUGGACACCAUUCCAUUACUAUUCCUGAGGUUACUUUGCCAGGUCUUGGAGUACAUGGGCUUUCCUACUGAGCCUCGGCUCGAGCUUUGCCGCCUUUGUCGAGAGUGAUCCACUCUCGACAAAUGGAAUUAGUUGGCGGGCUAUUCUGCACCUCCAGGAGCCCCUCCCAUGGUAGCACCUCCAAUGUCCCCACAGGCAAAGUAGGGCGAGCUCCCGGCAAAGACUGUACCACCAAUGCCCACACUUGAGGCUAUUUCUGCUGCUCUGCCUAUGACUCCUACUGUUCCACCAGUUGGUCCUUUUACAUCCGAGCCUUCCAUCACCAUCUCGGCUUCGGAGUUUCGCGCCCUUGUGCAUACCUUUCAGACACUCACCACCACACAUACUCCUCUCUUCUAGCAAAUGGUUGAGAUGUGUGCCCAUCAGGACCGGAAGACUACUAUACUCUGCCAAAUUCAGCAGCACCUAAGACUUUUGCCUCAACCUCAACCUAACCAUCCCAUAUCAUCAGAGCCUCUAGCUCCAACUGAGGAUACUAUUCCACCUGAGAACACUACCACAGUAGAGGUCCGGUUUCCACCACCUUAAGAGGCCACCACAGCUACAUCAGAGGAUGUGUCAUCUCCACUUGAGGCUCCCACUACUUGAUCAUAGGACAUAUCUUUAUCUUAUUGUAUUUACAUAUUAUAUUACUAGAGAUUUGUCCUUGUUUUGAUACUUUAUAUUCUGGGAUUGGAUGUAUUGCCUGAUGAUAUCUCAAUUGUACUUUCUCAUAUUAAUAUAUAGACAUCAAUUUUUUUUAGUAUACUUAGCAUUUUUCUAUUUCCUCUACUCAUUACUCUUUUGUUUUUUUUUACUCAUGUGGUUUCUCUUAUACAACUCAGACUCCAUUUCACUCAGGAGGUACCACUUCCUCCCUUUAUUUUCAAUUGCUCUUGAAAUAUUGAGUGCAAUGUUGAUCUUGGUUGGGGGGAGAGUUGAGGAAGGAAGUUUUGUUAAUAAUGCUAGGUUAAUUUGUUAAUUUAGUUACUUUCUGCUUAAUUUUAAAAGUUUUCACUCUACUUUCCAUGGUUAUUAAGGAAAAAUUCUCAAAAUGAAAUGGGAGAAAUCGAAUUCUUGCAUUUUUACUUGAAUCUUAGAAUUUGUAUCAUGCUUAUUAAAGUUGAUGAAUUAUUGAAACUCCUAUUGAAUUCAACCUUAUUUUUUCCACUUUAAUCUUACCACACACGGUGCACAUUAGGUUCCAGUUAUAAGAUAAAAAACUAUCUCACCCCCUAAACUUAGAAAAAUUUACACUUGGUACCUUUGACAUCGUUUUAAUAGUGUUGGGACACCUUAUAAAAGGCCAAUGAGCCUUUAAAAAAAAAAAAAAAAAAAAAAAGAGAAAGAACAAAGUAUUGCACUUGCCUUGAAACCUGAGCAAGAUCCGAGGGGUAUACAGUGAAAGUCUUUAAAACCUGGUGCCCUAAGCCUUGAUUGGUUGGGAGUCACCGACCUCAAUGCUCGUUAUAAGGGUGAAUAGGUGGAGUUUAACAUAUUGUAGGUGCUUGGGUAUUGAAUUUCAAUCUCAAAAGUCCGGGAAAAAAUCUAAGGAGUUAGUGGUCAAAAGAUCCUUAAAGCUUGAUGCCCUAAACCUUGAUUGGUUGAGAGUCAUUGAUGGAUCCCCGCUACAUGGACAUUUUAGAAAACAAUACCUUUAGCAUUGCACGCCUACAAUGAAAAAAAAAUGUGAAAUAAAAGAGGUGCGUUCUUAGCCUAUUGGAGGUUGGUCAGUUUGCUAAAGUUUGAGAAAUCUAGGUUGGGGGGAGAGAAUAGUCCGACAUACUAUAAUAAAAAACUAAUAACCUUAACACUUAGAUUUUUGUGGAAGAGUAAGGAUUGGACCUUUAGGGGUGGAAAUUCUUUUGAUGCUUAAAUUUGCAUAAUGCCUACUCUUUAUAAAUUAUGAUUAGGCAAGAGAUUUGAUGACUCUUGUUCAAAGUUGGGUUUUUCCUCUUUGAUGUUCCAUGAGAGAGUAUAAUCCUCAUCAUGCCACUUGAAAUCUUUUUGGAGUGAUUAACAUGAUUUUGUAAAUUAUUUUACUGUCUAUUUUUCUUUAUCUCUCUUUUAUUGCUAAUGGACUAGCAAUAUGUCAGUUGGGGGGAGUGAUUACUACUCAAAAAGUACUCUUUUAUAGCUUGAAACUAACUGUUUUAAACACUUUUGAGUAGGUGUUAAUACAUUUUAACUCAAUUGGCACAUUAAGGAACCUAACAAGGGUUACUAAUAAGUUUUUGGCAAGUUUUGGUGUUUUUGGUAGCUAUUUGAUCAUUGAAACAAGCCAAGAAUGAGGGAGAAUUUUGUGAAGUCCAUAGCAAUGCAAGUUAAAGCUCAAAUACAUGAAGAAUCCAAGCUUUGAAGCACUUCAUAGCCCUUUGCGAAGCCAAUCAGAGAUGCAAGGAAGAAAACCAGAGGAAAAAAUCCAACAACCAGCAUUUUCGCAUGGCUGUGCGAAAUUUUGCACACCAUGCGAAACCACAAGAAGUAGCCAAAGAAUUUUGCACACCAUGCGAAAUUUCGCAUGGUAUACGAAAUCUUCCUAUGCACCAACUCCGUUAUAUUUUUAUCUUCAGAUAUUUUGUGUAAUUUCCUAGUUUCUCCUUGUAACCAACCUAGAUAUUUUCUUUUAUAUCUUUUUUUUAUAUUUUUUAGGUAACAUCAUAUAUAGGGGGAGAGACAUAAGGAGGAUAUGGAUGUUUUUCAUAAAACACUUUUAAUUUUCUGGUAGUAAGAAAUAUACAAAGUUUUUUGCUCUGCCUUACCUUCUCAUUUUGUUUUCACCUAUCUUUCUAGCCAAACAACCUCUGAGAAUGAUUUCUCAGGGGAUGAGUAGUUAGGUUUUACGUUUCUUGGAGUGAGAGAAGCUAGGUGAAAGACCCAAAUGCUAAGGUGGGAGUUGUCCUUGCUUUAAAUGAAAGUAGUUGUUAAAUAUUAAUGGUUUUUAUUUUAAGGUUUAGCUUUAAAUCCCUUAAAAACACCUUGAAUGGCCAAUACUUGGUAAGCUUUUCGGAUUCUAUGGAUGCUUAUUGCUAGAUCCAUGGAUGUCAUUAGUUAUCAUUUAUGAGCCAUUGGAAGGUGGUUCAAGAUGAGAGUCUUUAGUGUUUGAAGCCAUUAAUGGGAAACAAUUACCAUUUUUUCAUGAAUCCUUUGGAUAAAAUCUUAAUUGCUAAAUAUAAAACUGGUUCGGGAGAUAACCAUCCUUUAUGUUAUUAUGCCCAAUGCAAGGAGAAGAUUUCGAAUCUUCUCAUUUGUCUAAGGAACCCGAUCCUAGUGACCUAAAGCUCCUAGAGACCUUUUCUUUGUAGUUAACUUCAUUUAUUGUUUUUGCUUAACUUAAAAUCAAUCUUUGCAACCACAAUUCCAUUUUCUUUAAAAGCUAAUUUUUAUAAGGAAAAGCACCAUUUUAUUUCCUUCACUAAGUCAACUGUAUGAUGAAAACCCAUCCCUGUGGACGAUCUUAGAGCCACUAUACUAUGUUAUCUAUGCUAUCCUAGUGUGAGGUGAUUUAGGUUUUAUAAAUUUUGUUGAUAACACCCGUCUGAGCCAGAAUCAAAUGGAACCACUGAACCAGGGACAAAUCAACAGCCUAUAUGGGAGGGACACAAGUUUAAUUGAUUUGCAUUUCAGCGUUAUAGAUAAGUAUGUUUUGGAAGAUUUGUUCUGGAAAUACUGCACCAAGUACGAUUCUUUUUCUCUUGAGUGAGUCCAUUUGCAUGCCAAUUAACGAGUUGAAAAGUAGGAGCACCUACCUCGUGCUCAUGGAACCGAAUGUCAGUGAAGUGGGGCUCCUUUUAGCCUCUUGUGUUUCUGUUCCAACCAAGGCGGCGUAGGGAAAAACAACAAUAUGUCUGUGCUAAAUAUCAACGCAUGAUAGAUGUUUUUUUUUUUUUUUUUGGUAUGUCAAGGCUAACGAAUGAAAUGCAUUAGCUUGUUUUGUGACUAUAACUGCAAAUGUCCAAAUUGGAGUAUCUCCAUUUCUCACUUCGGAUGGUUAACUUUAUAAACAAGAUAUAGGAAACAUGUGAACAUCUUGAGGAACAAUUCAAAUUAUUCAUUAGAAGUCCUGGGUUAAGUUCCAAGAUUUAAAUCAGACCCUUCUAGCAGCUUCAAGGGUACUUAGCAACCUAUAACAUAUUAAUGAAGAUUUAGGAUUUAGACUCCGGAAUACAAAUAAAUAUGUAUCUCAUGCUUUGACUAGCUUCCCUACAUAUGCAUAAAAUGGAGAUGACCCAAAAAAAAUAGCAGAAUCUAGCUUCCCUACAUAUGCACAAAAUGGAGAUGACCCAAAAAAUAGCAUAAUCGCCUUAGUUUCUGUGGUUAAGGUGAUUCUCCGCUUAAUAUCCACAUUGACUCAUUAUGCAAAAUCAACUGAGCUAAUUUUAUUUAUUUAUUUAAUGUCAAAUAGGAACUCCUAAUUAACUGAUUACUGUCGAAAAGUGCUAUUUUGUAGACCUAAUUAUAAGGGUUUUAAGCACCUUUGAGUAGUAAUCAUAUUCAUUUAACCUAAUUAAUUCAUUAAGCUCCUUAGUAAUUAGUUCUAACCAUUUUUAGUGGCAAGUUUACAUGUUUUUCAUCAGCUUAUGAACCAAUUCAAGCAUGCCAAUUGAUGGAGGAGCUACUUGGGCGAGUUAAGCAAGGAUUUUGGACGUUUACAGGCUUGAAUUUCAAGUGGAAACACGAGCACAAGCAAUGGGAACACCAUUUCGCAAGGGGAGGCAAUUCACCUUGCCAAAUGACCAAUUUCGCAAGGGGAUUUUCCUCAUGGUGCAAAAUUUGGUCAUUUCGCACCAUGAAGAAACCACCUUGCAAAAUUUCGCAAGGUGGAUUUAGGCACCUUGCGAAAUGCCAAAUUUCACAAGGUGGCUUUUCACCUUGCGAAAUUUGGACCUUUCAUCUUCCCCCCUUGCGAAAUGCCUUUGAAAUCCCCUGUUUUGAGACGCUGUUGAUGAUAUUCCACUGCCGGUUCUCCAAGAUAUUUUGCUUGACUUUUAGCUUUAUAAAUACCUAUUUUACCCUUGUAAUCAACCAAUGAAAAGGUUGCUUUUGUAAUAGCUCUUGUAAUUUAGCUUUUUAUUGUCUUUAAAUAGAGGUGAAGAGCCUCAGACACGAUCAUCUUGUAACCUGUAACUUUAUAAGUUAUAAGAGCACUUUUGUUCAUACGCUUCUUUUCUCUUUUCUUUCUCAUUUUCUUAGUAGCCAAACAUCCUUGGAGGAUGAAAUCCCCAAGGAUGAGAGGCUAAAACCUUUUAGUUUCUUGAAGUAAUGGAUGCCAUGUGAAGCUCCCGUGUCAGGAUGGAGAUUUCCAAGCCAUAAAUGUAAGUAGCUGAGCGUCAUAAAUGUUUUCAUUCAAAGUAAAGCUUUUAAUCCCUCUGACUUGCUUUGAAUGGCCAAUACUUGAUAACCUUUUGGUCUCAAUGGAUUCUUAUUGUUAGAUCCACUGACGUUCAUUAGUUAUCUCCUACGAGCCAUUGUAUUGCAAGUCGAGGAGAUGACCUAUACCAAUAAAAGAGCAUUUAUGAGGUUCAACUACCCUUUUUGUAAGUUUUCAAGGACUAAAACUCAGUUGUUAAACUCAUACCGGUUCGAGAAGUAAGCAUCACCUUAGUUGCUUCCCCAACUCGAGGUGAAAAGUCCCAAAAUCUCCAUUUUUACACAGUGAGUUAAGCAUGGCUAUCCAAAGCUUUAAGAAACUUCUUUUUCCAUCUUUUAACCUAUUUUCAUGUUAGUUUAGUUUACAACACCUUCAUCUUUUUAUGUUUUCAUCUUAACCUAAUUUUUAUUAAGAAAAGUUCACUCCAUCCUCCGAACUUCACCAGUUAAAGUAAAAACCCUUCCCAGUGUUCGAUCCUAGAGCCACUAUGCUAUAGUAGCUUUGCUACUUUAGUGUAAGGACCUUAGGUAUAAAUUUUGUUGAUACCCUUACAUGCCAAGCUACCAAGAGUCGGGUUAUCAUUAACCUAACCAUUGGCCUGUGUAAAUUGAUUUCACAUGCACAAUGUUGUAGUAGAAGUCCAUAUUUUGAAUUUUAUUUUUGUAAAGGUAAGGAAAAUGAAGCAUUGUGUAAUUAUAAAAAUAACUUCAUUGGAAUUCACAAGGUUCACCCAAAAUGGAGCUACAUCUGUAUUCUAUCCUACAGUAGACUAUAUAGAUUGUACAAUAGUAAAUUGCAAAUACAAUUAAUAAGUCUUGUGCUUCCUUACUAAUAAUCCUUUGACAUGAACAUUGCAGCACUAAGGUCCUCUUGGGAAGACACCUUGCACCCAUGAGAGCACUAAGAGGAAGCAAGGCAGAGUCAUGGGUGCAAUGUCAUGACUUGUUGUUGCACCAAGAGAGGCUUGGUGAUGCCAUGGUGUUGCAGUAGCAAGAAUGUUGCCUUGGCAGGGACACGAUCUAGGGAUAGAUGCCAAGAAAGGCUUAGCACUCACAUGAGUUGCACAAAGAUGAAUGUAAUAGAGCAUCAGAGAGACGUCUUGGCAAGUAAAUGAAUGGAUCCAAGAGACAACAACAUGAGGAGUUUCAAAUGGAUAAGGAAUGACUCAAAGACAUUUGAAAGCUACAAGUUGGAUUCUAAUUACGAUUGCAAUUUGAGUUUGAGUAGGAGUUUAGAUUUUGAUUGUAAUUGUAGUAUGAGUUGGACUAGGAUUGCUUAUCCUUAGUCAAUAUAGGAGCGGUUCGUGUCACCCUAUGAAAAGAGUUUGAGUAGGGACUAGGAUUGCUUACUCCUAGUCAAAUAUGGAGUAGGUGGUGCCACACCUAUAAAAAAAAGGGACAACAUGAGAGAGAGAGAGAGAGAGAAAGAGAGAGUGAAUUCACUAAAGAUAUUGUGGGAGUUUUGCUUUGUUACGUCUUGUAUUAUUACUUAGAAUAGGAAUAAAAUACAAGUUGGGGCUAGAGCCCCAUAAUUAAUCUCGUGUGCCUUUGUGGUUAUUCUUUAUUUGUCAUCUCGUGUGGAUUGGAUUAGGUUGACUUAGAGGGCUUCUAAGCACCACCUUUGUGGGUUAUUAUUUAUUUUCCAUCUCUUGUGGAUUAGAUUAGGUUGACUUAGAGGGCUUCUGAGCACCACCUUUGUGGGUUAUUAUUUAUUUUCCAUCUAUUGUGGAUUAGAUUAGGUUGACUUAGAGGGCUUUUAAGCACCACAUUUGUGGGUUAUUCUUUAUUUUCCAUAUCGUGUGGGUUGGAUUAGGUUGACAAGGAGAAAAAUUAUGUGGGAAAUUUGUGUUGGGACACUUACCAUAACCAAGUAAAAUCUACCAAGUCCUUUGUAAUAUCUUCAACAAAUAUUUUAGACUAGUUCUUUCAGUUAGUGUAAAGGAGGAAGAAGUGGUAUUGAUUCUAGAAAUAGGGUGUGUGUAUUUGAACUACAAUCCUUAUGAUCCUUAGGUCUCUAAACCUUCGUGAUGGGCUCCCUGACAUUUCAUAGGUUGUGCUACACAUGCGUUUGAAAUUUAGAGUGCGUUUGACAGUGAUUCCGGGAAGUGUUUUUGGCCUUUCUUACACUUGAAAAUUUUUAUUUUUCAAGUAUUAGAAAUGCUACAAACACUUUUGAAAAUUACUGUCAAACACACUCUUAGGAGCGCACAUAUAUAGUAGAAAACUAGAAAUUGUGGUUUUUUUAGGAUUUACUGUAAUGUCAUUAGGAGGGUAGUAAGUUGAAAUUGAGUAUGAACAAAUAUUUCUUUCUUUGGGAUGUUCUUCUAGUAGGUGCUGAUGAAACUGUUCUUUCUACUGCCAAUGUCACAUAUCAGCCAGAAAUUGAAAAUUUCAGUCAAGGUGUCCUCUGUUUUAGUGGUGAGGAAAGCUAGAAAUUUUAAGGUGAAGUUUUGUUAAAAACCUUAAGUAGCUGGGAUAUCAGGCCUGUUUUGCUUGAAAAAAAAAGUUGCAAGAUAACUCAUAUGCCAAACAGGUUCUGAUAUUGUGAAUCUAUCGGCAGACAUCAGUAAUCUCAUCUUCUGAGAUGGAUGUUGGGGGUGCAUGUGGUGGUGGAGGGGCAAGGUUUCAUUUGGUUUAUUUUGUUGAUGGAUAUUGUCUAGCCACCUGCGCCAAGUUUGAGGGGUGGUGGGUUGUGAUGACCCUACAAUUACUAUUAAUUUCUUCAUCUUUUACCGAUUAAAGUGUCCGAACAGUCGAAGUUACCCUUAUGCAUGUCAACUUGAUCACUUACCUCUUCAAUGGAGUUUAUGCUGGUUCAUUUAGGAACUGAUUUUUAUUGUUAUGUAUUAUAUGCUGAUGUUUAGGUCUCUCCAUCAUCACUAUAUACAAAAAUUCUAGGUUGAUACUAUAGGUUGAGAUUUAUUUUUUAAAUAAAAAAUAAUAAAAAUAAAAAUUAUGGUGAUGUUUAGUUGUUUUAUGGAAAAUUUUAACAAGUAAAAGUUAUUUUUGGGCAAGUUUUCAAACAAAAAGAAAAGUAAAAGUUGUUUUGACAAAAACAUAUAGAAAAAAAAAUCAUAGAAAAUAAAUAAUUUCCCCAUAUUCUAACUUUUUUGAAUUUUUCUCAAUGGGCAAAGGAAUAUCAAAUCAAGUUUGAGUAGGAUUUCUUAAUUUUUAAAAUAACUUACAAUUAAAAAAUUUUGGUGUUUUCAUUUUUGGACAAUUUUUUAUUAAGCAAAUGGACUCUGAGUCAUGCAAGAGAUAUGGUUCAUUAACCGGUCGAACAAUUUUUUUAAAUUAAUUUAAAAGUCAAAUACAUAAUCAAUUUCACAAAAUUUAUAAACAAAAAUAGGUUUAGAGAAGAUCUACACAUAAUUUUACUUUUCUAAUUUUAUUUUAUUUUAUUUUUUGUUGGAAAAUAGUCUUCAAAUCAUGUAAGAUUUAAUAGGUUAAAUUUGUUAACAAUAAAUUUUAAAUUAUAAAAUAUAAUCUGGAACUCAAAAAUCAAUUCAAGUAAUGCUAAAAAAAAAUCAAAUUUGGUAUAGAAUGACUUUGUAAAUUUUUUUACAAAACAAAUGAAUUUUAAAUCAAGUGAGAUUUAAUGCAUUAGAUUUUUAUCAAAUAUAGUAAUUUUAAAAAUAAAUUUGGAACUCAACAAUAGACACAAUAAAUACCAAAAAAUAAUGAACCAAAAUUGGUUUGGAAUAACUCCACAACCUUUUUUUUUUUUUUUUGGUGCACACGAAUUUUCUUACUAGGUAUAUUGCUUUCAAAUUGAGAAAGAUUUACCAUUUAGAUUUUUUUUUAAUGAGUUUAAUGGUAUUUUAAAAUAAUUCAAAAUUUAAAAAAUUGACUAAUUAAUAUUAUAAAUUGAUAAACCAAGACUAUUUCAAAAUGCAUUGGGGGCUAAGGGGGUUGAAAAUAGGGACAAUGGGAUGGGUUUGGGACAUGACACUCAUAUCUCAUUUCCAUUCCAAUUACACAGUUAUCUCCCAUCCUUAUCCCAAACUUGUGUUGGAGCAAGUUGAUUUGUUCCCAUCUUUGUUGACGAAAUGACUAAUAACCUCAUCCCCUCCUUAUCUUAGAUGUACAUUUUGUCAAAUUUGAUCAGGUAUGAUUGAUCCAAGCCCUAACCCUAAUUGGUAAUGAGUGAAUACUACACCUAAUUGCAUUCUUCUUUCAUUGCAAAAUAAUGAGAUUAUAAUAAUCUAGCAAAUAAGAAAAAAUAGUAUGGAAGUUCAAAUUAACACCAUAACUAUCAAUAAUUUUAAGCUUAUAGAUGACUUAAAUGAUUAAAAACUAAUGCAAAAUCCUAAAAAAAAUAAAAAUCAUAUAAAGAAUUCACAAGAGAACAGAAUGAACAAAAACCAAAUAUGAACAUGGGUCAACAUUAGUUAUGGAUUUGGAUUCCUUUCAAGGCCAAUCUUUGAACCAAGACUUCAUCAAAUCAACUACUUCAAAGGCUUUUGUGUUCUUCUUGGGUUGUGCUCUCAAACAAAGACUUCGAGGUGAUGUUCUAGAUGAUUGAAUUACACAUAUUUAGGGUGGAGAGAUUGGAGAAGCUUGAAGAUGCCAACGAUGGGUACAAUUGAGUGGUCAAUAAGAACAAUGUAGCCUAUGACUAGUUUGAUGUCAUGGUACAAGAGUUUUAGGCAUUGAGGUUAAAGCAAGAGCAACAUGGAAUUGAUUUCGGAGUCUUUCAGUUAGUGUAAAGGAGGAAGAAGUGGUGUUGAUUCUAGAAAUAGGGUUUUAAGUGGUGCGUGAUUACUACUCAAAAAGUGCUAUUUGAUAGCCUUUAAUUAAUCCUUUUUAACACUUUUGAGUAGUAGUUUAGGCCUUUUAACUCAAUUGGCAUGUUAAGGAUCCUUUAAAGCAAUUUUGAUCACUUUGUGCAAGUUUUGGUGUUUUUGUUAGUAUUUUGAUCACCAAAGCAAGUCAAGAAUGAGGAGAACUAUGAGGAAUCAUGGGCAAAGCUUAGAAUUCAAUUGCCAAGAGUGAAUCCGGAUUGCAAGGAGAAAAAGCAAAGAGAAUCUGUCAUGAAGCCUAUUCUUGAUGACAGUCGUAGCAGCCACUUUUGGAGCACUUUCUGAAGUCCAAAUGAUGCAAGCUAUAUACCAUUUCAAAGAUCAGGAAGUCAACAAUCCAAUGCUUCAAACGGUGCGCGAUUCGGAGUUGAAACGAAGAAGUUGCAGCCAUUACAAGCCAGUCACUCUAAAGUGUUGCGGAAUCAGCCUUUUGUUGCGAGAAUUUCGCAGCACUUUUGUACAGUAAGGUGUUUCUCCUUCUGACGAUGCACGAACCAUGCCGCGAGAGGGAAGCUAGGAACUUCAAGAUGGAAGCCAACUUUGCAGCCUGGUGAAGAUAGCUUGGUCUUGCGAAAUAAUUUCGCAGCCCUCUUGGGUGUCUGCGAAAUUUCGCAGGCACCACUUUUUUCCUGCGAAAUGGCUCCGGAAGCCUCCCGAAGCUUGCUACCGACAUUGGGAGAUAUUUUCCAUUAGAUUUUUGUUGUCUAAAUUCCAAAAUACUCCUUGUAAACCACCAAUUACAUGAUUCCUUAGUUUUUAAGUUAGUAAAAAGACCAAAUAUCUAUGUAAUAAUUAGUUUUAUAUUAGUUUGCUAUAAAUACCUCUCGGGAGCAUGUUCUCAGAGAGGAGUUCCUUCUGUAACCAUUUUGGUAAGCAAGUAAAGUCUUUUCUUUCUACUGCCUUACCUUCUCACUUUGUAUUUUCAUUUUAUUUCUAAGUUAUGAAUUCUCUGAGGAGCUUUCCCCAGAGAAUGAGUAACUAAACCUCCAAUUCCUUGGAGCUAAGGUUGCCGGGGAAGGUUCCAAGUGCAAGAAUGCAAAGCUCUGUGGUUUUAGCUAGUAAUGAAGAGGAAGUGAAAUCCUUUAGUGAUUUCAAUGUUUUUAGUUAACUUAAAACACCUUGGAGUCACCUGGGCCAACACUUGGUAAGGCAAGUGAUUUCCAACCGUGGAAAUGCACUAGUUUACCCCUUGCGAGCCUCUGGUAGGUGACUUCAAGGUAGGAUUUUCUGGAAUUACCAACACUUGGUAAGCUUUUGGACUCCUAGGAGACAUCCAUUAGUUAUCUCUUGCGAGUUUGUGAAGGGGAAUCCAAGGUUAAAGAUCACCUUGAAUGGUAAGUGCUCGUGAGAGGCAUGAACCAUUGCAAGUUGUAUCAGUGAGAGAAUUAAAGUGAAAUCUAAUUGAAGGAGUCUCUGUACAUCACCGGUUAGAGAAUUGACUAUAAGUUGAAUCUCUAAUGCGAGGAAAUGAACCAUCUGACCGGAGCUAUGUCUUUUGCAUGAGGAACCACCCCAGUGAACCUAAAUCUCCAAGGAAUGCUUUUCUUCCUAAAUUAUUCCAAACUUCUGUUAAGUUAGUUAGUUUAAGUCUAAACCUUUACCAAUCAAACUUUGUGUUUUAUUUCUUAAGCUAACCGUGAAAUGAAACAAAACCAAUUCACUUGGAAUUGGUAUCCUUGAUUGCUUGCAAAUCAUUCCCAGUGAACGAUCCUUAGAGCCACUAUACUAUAGUAGCUUUGUAUUUGCUACCCUAGUGUAUGGUGUUAUAGGUAUAAAUUUUGUUGAUCACUUCCUCAAUCAAGGAACACCAGCUGAACACAAAUCAGCUGAGACACCAAUUGGGCAUGAGUCAAAUGGCGCCGUUGCCGGGGAAUGAGUGUCAAGAUCAUUGUGAUACCAUUUUUGAGCACUUGUGAUUUUCAUCACAAGUUGGUAAAGUUUCUUUCACUUUACUAAUUUUCAUUCUCUCUUUGUUUAUUUACAAUCUAAGUUUAUCUUUUUAAAAUUUAGUCUAGUUUAAUUUUGCUAUUGUAGCCUUGUUUCUCUUGUUGUCCUCUGUUCUUGUUGUCCUCUGUUUUCAUUUUAGUUGCAGCUGAAUACUAGUUGUGUAUGCCAAAGUGGAUACGAGACAUUGGAGGUAGGCUUAUUAAGUGUGAUACACCUCAGAGAGGAGAAUUGGAAGUAAUCUUGAAUAUCAUGGAGGCUGCACCUGAAGAUCAGCAUAGUCACCAAGGUCGUCAAGACAAUCUCAAUGAAUUCAGAUCAAUGAGGGACCGUAUGCAUCCACCUCGUAUGAGUGCACCAUCAUGUAUAGUGCCCCCUACAGAGCAACUAGUGAUCAGACCAUAUCUUGUUCCACUUCUACCAACUUUCCAUGGGAUGGAAAGUGAGAAUCCGUAUGCACACAUCAAGGAAUUUGAAGAUGUUUGUAAUACAUUCCAAGAGGGAGGAGCUUCAAUUGAUUUGAUGAGGCUUAAGUUAUUUCCUUUUAAUUUAAAGGAUAAGGCCAAAAUUUGGCUUAAUUCUUUAAGGCCAAGGAGUAUCCGCUCUUGGACUGAUUUACAAGCUGAAUUCCUCAAGAAAUUUUUUCCUACUCAUAGAACAAAUGGCUUGAAAAGGCAAAUUUCAAACUUCUCAGCUAAAGAGAAUGAGAAAUUCUAUGAGUGUUGGGAAAGAUACAUGGAAGCUAUAAAUGCUUGUCCUCACCAUGGCUUUGAUACUUGGCUACUGGUGAGUUAUUUUUAUGAUGGUAUGUCCUCCUCAAUGAAGCAACUCCUCGAGAAAAUGUGUGGAGAAGAUUUCAUGAGCAAAAAUCCAGAGGAAGCUAUGGAUUUCUUGAGCUAUGUAGCUGAUGUUUCAAGGGGAUGGGAUGAACCAACUAAAGGAGAAGUGGGAAAGAUGAAGUCUCAGUUGAAUGCUUACAAUGCAAAGGCUGGGAUGUAUACUUUAAAAGAGGAUGAUGACAUGAAAGCAAAGUUGGCAGCUAUGACAAGAAGAUUGGAGGAGCUGGAGCUGAAAAGAAUGCAUGAAGUGCAAGCUGUUGCUGAAGCACCAGUGCAAGUGAAGUUGUGUCCCAAUUGUCAAUCGUUUGAACAUUUGGUAGAGGAAUGCCCUGCAAUUUCAGCUGAAAGGGAAAUGUAUAGAGAUCAAGCAAAUGUUGUUGGACAAUUCAGGCCCAAUAACAAUGCUCCUUAUGGAAAUACCUACAAUUCAAGUUGGAGGAAUCAUCCAAAUUUUUCAUGGAAGGCCAGAGCAACUCAAUACCAACAGCCGGAUCCACCAUCUCAACAAUCUUCAAGUAUUGAACAAAUAAUAGCUAAUCUCAGCAAGGUAGUGGGAGAUUUUGUGGGAAAGCAAGAAGCCACCAAUGCUCGAGUGGAUCAAAGAAUGGACAGAGUGGAUCAAAGAAUGGACAGAAUGGAGAGUAUGUUGAACAAAAGAAUGGAUGGAAUGCAAAAUGAUAUGAAUCAAAAAUUUGAUAACAUCCAAUAUUCAAUUUCAAGGCUUACAAAUUUGAAUACACUGCAAGAAAAGGGAAGAUUUCCUUCUCAACCUAACCAAAAUCCCAAAGGUGUCCAUGAAGUGGAAAGCCAUGAGGGAGAAUCAUCACAGGUGAAAGAUGUGAAAGCUUUGAUCACUCUAAGGAGUGGUAAGAAAAUUGAGCAGCCAACACCCAAGCCACAUGUUGAGAAAGAAGAAGAGAUGAAGAAAGGGAAGGAAAUGGAAGAUAAAGGCAGUGAGAUCAGUGAAGAAAAGAAGGACUCUGAUGCAACAAUGAAAGUAAUUCCAGAGAAGGAGCUUCUGAAGGAAGAAAUGCUGAAGAAAUCAACUUUUCCACCUUUUCCUCAAGCAUUACAGGGGAAAAAGGGGGUUAGAAAUGCAGCUGAAAUCCUAGAAGUAUUGAGGCAAGUGAAAGUUAAUAUUCCACUGCUGGAUAUGAUCAAACAAGUUCCAACGUAUGCAAAAUUCCUAAAGGACUUGUGUACUAUCAAAAGAGGGUUGACUGUAAACAAGAAAGCCUUCUUGACUGAGCAAGUAAGUGCAAUCUUACAGUGUAAGUCUCCUUUGAAGUACAAAGACCCUGGAAGUCCUACCAUUUCAGUCAUGAUUGGAGGAAAGGUAGUGGAGAAAGCCUUGCUAGACUUGGGAGCAAGUGUGAAUUUGCUUCCAUAUUCUGUCUACAAGCAACUGGGACUUGGAGAGUUGAAGCCAACAGCAAUCACUUUGUCUCUGGCAGAUAGAUCAGUGAAAAUUCCAAGAGGGGUAAUUGAGGAUGUAUUGGUUCAAGUAGAUAAUUUCUACUAUCCUGUAGAUUUUGUUGUUCUUGAUACAGAUCCUACUGUAAAGGAAGCUAAUUUAGUUCCUAUCAUCCUUGGAAGGCCAUUUCUUGCAACUUCAAAUGCAAUCAUCAACUGUAGAAAUGGGCUUAUGCAACUCACUUUUGGUAACAUGACACUGGAUCUAAAUAUUUUCUAUAUGUCUAAAAAGCAAAUCACUCCAGAAGAAGAAGAGGGUCCAGAAGAGCUAUGUAUUAUUGAUACUUUGGUGGAGGAGCACUGCAAUCAACAUAUGCAAGAUAAGUUGAAUGAAAGUUUUGUGGAUAUUGAGGAAGGUUUUUCUGAAUCUCCUAAUGGGCUUGCUACUCUACAAAGUUGGAGAAAGAUAGAAGGAAUUCUACCUUUGUUCAAUGAAGAAGAGGAGGCAGCUGUUGAAAAAGAAAUUCCAAAACUCAAUCUGAAGCCUUUACCUAUGGAGCUGAAAUAUACAUAUCUUGAAGAAAAUAAUCAAUGUCCUGUCGUAAUAUCUUCAUCUCAAACCAAGUCUCAAGUGAAGGAUGCAAGCUUCAAAUGGGAUCCGGGCAAACUGAAUCAGGAAGGGCAAAAAGUUUUGAUGUAUGACACAAGACUCCAUAUCUUUCCUGGGAAGCUCAAGUCAAGGUGGAUUGGUCCAUUUGUUAUUCACCGAGUAUAUUCCAAUGGAGUGGUGGACUUAUUGAAUUCCAAUGGCAAGGACAGCUUUAGAGUCAAUGGAUAUCGUCUUAAGCCGUUCAUGGAGUCAUUCAAAUCAGAAAAGGAGGCAAUCAACCUCCUUGAACCUCAAAAAGCCUAAGUGAAAUGGGUUUGCUGGACGUGGUUUUACCACAGUCCAAAAAUUUUUGUAAAUUUUGUAAAUUUUCAAGUUGUUUCCAUGCUUUUAAUCUUAGUUUUUGAUUUUAAAUCAUGUUUUUAGGUGUGUUUUAAUCGUUUUAUAUGAUCCCAGGCGGAAGAAAUUUCAAGGGGAUUGAAAAGAAAAAAAUCGGGUCGAAAUUGGAGCCGAAACAGAGCAAAAACAGGGGAAAAACAGAGCUCUGCGAAAUUUCGCAGGGUGAAGGAAACUUCUGCGAAAUUGGCAUUUUGCUGCCAAACCAUUCCGCAGCACUGUAGAAGCCUCUGCGAGUGUAUUUCGCAAUUGCGAAAGUGGAUUUGGCACACGAGUGCCACUUCGCAGCACAGUGACAUCAAUUUCGCAGCUGCGAAACUCACUGCGAAGUUGCUGCGAAAAUGGCAAGUUGCUGCGAAAUUGGCGUUUUGUUGCGAAACGUAAUCUGACCCCUGGGCUUCCGUUUUUCCUAUUUAUACCUGUCAAAAGUGCUGCGAAAAAGGUUUCAAAAAUUAGAGCACCAUUCUCGCAGCCCUUUCAUCUUCUUCGCCAAGCCACGCCGUCCGUUUCUCCGGUCGUCUUCUCCGUUUAGCAGCGCCGGCCAAAGAUCGAUAGCCCAAAAAUGGCACGAACGCGAGGGGCAAAGUCUUCAUCCCCUUCGAACCGCAAAAGGAGUCUGCGAAAGGAGCCAAGUUCAGGCUCUGUUCCAGAACCUGCUCCAAAGCCUUCGCCGUCGAGACCACAACCUUCUCCAGUGAAGCCGGCGCCACCAAAGCCGCCGGCAAGGCGAUAUUUAACCAGGUCAGGUGGUCAGCCAUUGAAGAAGAAAGCCAGAGUUGAGAGCUCUGAACCAAUCGAUUUGACUGAGCAAUCCCCUGAGAAAUCACCAAAUCCUUCACCGGUACAAAUUCCAGUGCCAUCACCGGUUCCCUCGCCAAUUCCCUCACCAGAAGCAACUCCAAUUCCAUCGCCGGUACCAUCUCCGGCACCCCAAGAAAAAGCUCAGGAGCCUCAAGCGCCAAUUCCAGAGCCCCAAAUUGCAGCUGAAGCACCUCUGGAAGAAGUGAUCCGAAGGCCAAUGCUGCCUCAGCCCCCAAUCGAAGGAAACCUGGAUUGCCGAACUCGGGCAUUCCAUUCUGAGCUUUGCUUCGAUUUAACAGCAUUCAGAGUGAGGCCAGAGCUUGCCCAAUCCUUCCAACUGCUGAGGAGAUAUCAUAUGGAGCAUCUGCUAGCUCCAAGGGAUUUUUUCUAUCCCCGGGUAGUCACGGAUUUCUACCAAACCAUGACAACCAAAGAAGUAAGAAAUCCAACUCUGAUUCAUUUCAUAAUUGAUGGAAGGCAUGGUAUUUUGGGAGCAAGACAUAUUGCUGAAGCCCUGCAAAUUCCUUUUGAGCCAACUCAAUUCGACAAUUUUAAAGCUUGGACAAAUCCUACUGAGUUAGAGAUGGUUAGCACACUAACCAGAGGAGCUGCAAAUCGAUCGCAUUUGUUGAGGGGGGAGCUACCUCCAGUUAUGUUUUUGAUUGAUGCCUUUUUGAGGCAUAAUAUCUAUCCCCUGCAGCAUUGGACCCAAAGAAGGGGAAUUCUCCUAGAAGCCUUGUACAAAAUGUCUGAAGGAUUCUUCUUUGGGCCUCAUCAUCUGAUCAUGGCAGCCCUUCUAUACUUUGAGGAGAAGGUUCACAAGAAGAAGCUUCAAAGAGCAGAUUGCAUUCCACUCCUCUUCCCAAGGCUGCUAUGCCAAGUUUUGGAGCAUCUCGGAUACCCCUCUGAGCCUCAGCAGGAAAGAAAGAGAAUAUGCCGUGAGCCUUUUACCCUUGAUAAAUGGAAUAAUAUGACGGCCUACAAAAUUGAUCAGCCUGGGCAGCCUCAGCCAGCAGCAAGGAGAGUCUCCCCAAGACAUAUACCUGAAGGUAUAACACUUGCUACUCCUGCCAUCCCUCGAGCUCCACCAGCUGCACCUGCUCCAUCACAGCCAUCCACAUCAGCUGAGCCGAGGAUGGCCAUCCCUAUAUCCGAAUAUCGAGAGCUGUGCCGUGCAUUGGAGACUCUUACAGCUUCUCAGAGCAAUCUUGCUCAGGAGUUGGCAGCCAUUAAAGCAUGCCAGGAGCAGAUGUUAGCCUCUCAGACUCAACAAGCUGCCAUCCUAAGGCAGCUUCAAGUCCAUUUCGAUCUGCCACAAGCUGUAGAGCCCUCUAUUCCUACUCCACCAGAGCCACACUCUCAGCCUUCAGAGUCUCAUCCUCCAGAACCCGAAGCACCAGCUGAUCCACCUACUGAGGAGGCAGAUCCUUCUGCCUAGCACCAUCACCCCCCUCAUCAGACAUUAUAUAUAUAUUUGCUGUUUAUGUUUUUAUGCAUGUUUGUUUUGUUUUAGUUGAAAAGAAAUCCCAGUAUUUUGGUACUAUAUAUGGGAUUCCUUGUGUUACUUGUCUUUAGUAUUGUAAUCACAUGAACUCAAAGUAAUACAAGUUGACUAUUUCUUGUUAAAAGUUAGCAUUAAAGUUUCCUUAUUUCCUUUUCUCACAUAUUCUAUUCUUUUUGAAACAUGUGGUUUUCCCCAAUCAAUAUUCGAAUUUGAUAUCAGCAUGGAGGUACCACUUCCUCCCUUUUAUUACAGUCACUCAAAUCACAUUGAGGACAAUGCUCAGUUCGGUUGGGGGGUAUGAGGAAGGAAGUAUUCUAAACCUUUUUGGUAUUGCAAUUAUAUUGGUUAAUUAGUUGUAGAUUUUACUUUUUACUAGUGUUACUCUAUUCUCCAUGAAUUUUGAGGAAAAAUUUUCAAAUUAAACCAAGAGAAAUUGAACUGUUGUUUUUCACUUGACUUAGAGUAUGGAUUAUGCUUACUAAAGUGGUUCAAUUGUUGAAACUUCUACUGAAAUUGAAUUGAGUUCUUCCACUUUAAGCUAUCCACACACUGUGCACAUUAGUUUCCGAUUAUAAGAUGAAAAGCUAUUUCCCUCUUGACUUAGUAUAUUUUUGGGACUUGGUAUAUUUGACCUCAUUUGAUAAAAAUUGAAACACCCUGCAAAAGGCCAAUGAGCCUUUGAAAUAAAGAAAGUUGUUUGCUUGCCUUGAAACCCGAGCAAGGUCUGAGGGGUAUAUGGUGAAAAUCUUUAAAGCCUGGUGCCCUAAGCCUUAAUUGGUUGGGAGUCACCGACCUCAAUGCUCGUUACAAGGGUGAAUAGGUAGAGUUAGCAUAUGGUAGAUGCUUGGGUAUUAGAAAUUCAUUCUUAAAAGUCCGGGGAAAAAUCCGAGGAGUUAGUGGUUGAAAGAUCCUUAAAACUUGGUGCCCUAAACCUUAAUUGGUUGGGAGUCAUCGAUGGACCCCCAUUACAUGGACAAGUCAGAAAGAGUACCCCAUAAAGCUACCUUAAAAAAAAAAAAAAAAAAAAAAAAAAAAAAAAAGAUGAAAGUGUGUUCUUUUCUUAUUGAUUUUGGUCAGUUUGCUAAAGUGUUGAAAAGAGAUAGGUUGGGGGGUGAGAUUAGUAGCAUAUUAUUCUCGGAACCUAAGGAACCAAUACACAUAGAUUUUUGUGGAAGAUUGAAGUUUAGUUCUUAGAAAAUGAAAUGAUUUUAAAACUUCAGUUUGCAUAAUGCACUCCCUUGAUUGACAGUGUUUAGCAUAGGUGUUAUGACUCUUGUUGAGAUUUGGGUUUGUAUUUCUUUAAUGAUUCAUGUGAGAAAUAGAUCAUCAUGCCACUUGAGAAUUAUUUUCCUUUUAGCAUGAUGUUGUAAAUUUUAGAUUAGUUUGCUAUUUAUUUUUUAUUUUCUCUCCUAUAUUGCUAAGGGACUAGCAAUAUGUCGGUUGGGGGGAGUGAUUACUACUCAAAAAGUGCUAUUUGAUAGCCUUUAAUUAAUCCUUUUUAACACUUUUGAGUAGUAGUUUAGGCCUUUUAACUCAAUUGGCAUGUUAAGGAUCCUUUAAAGCAAUUUUGAUCACUUUGUGCAAGUUUUGGUGUUUUUGUUAGUAUUUUGAUCACCAAAGCAAGUCAAGAAUGAGGAGAACUAUGAGGAAUCAUGGGCAAAGCUUAGAAUUCAAUUGCCAAGAGUGAAUCCGGAUUGCAAGGAGAAAAAGCAAAGAGAAUCUGUCAUGAAGCCUAUUCUUGAUGACAGUCGUAGCAGCCACUUUUGGAGCACUUUCUGAAGUCCAAAUGAUGCAAGCUAUAUACCAUUUCAAAGCUCAGGAAGUCAACAAUCCAAUGCUUCAAACGGUGCGCGAUUCGGAGUUGAAACGAAGAAGUUGCAGCCAUUACAAGCCAGUCACUCUAAAGUGUUGCGGAAUCAGCCUUUUGUUGCGAGAAUUUCGCAGCACUUUUGUACAGUAAGGUGUUUCUCCUUCUGACGAUGCACGAACCAUGCCGCGAGAGGGAAGCUAGGAACUUCAAGAUGGAAGCCAACUUUGCAGCCUGGUGAAGAUAGCUUGGUCUUGCGAAAUAAUUUCGCAGCCCUCUUGGGUGUCUGCGAAAUUUCGCAGGCACCACUUUUUUCCUGCGAAAUGGCUCCGGAAGCCUCCCGAAGCUUGCUACCGACAUUGGGAGAUAUUUUCCAUUAGAUUUUUGUUGUCUAAAUUCCAAAAUACUCCUUGUAAACCACCAAUUACAUGAUUCCUUAGUUUUUAAGUUAGUAAAAAGACCAAAUAUCUAUGUAAUAAUUAGUUUUAUAUUAGUUUGCUAUAAAUACCUCUCGGGAGCAUGUUCUCAGAGAGGAGUUCCUUCUGUAACCAUUUUGGUAAGCAAGUAAAGUCUUUUCUUUCUACUGCCUUACCUUCUCACUUUGUAUUUUCAUUUUAUUUCUAAGUUAUGAAUUCUCUGAGGAGCUUUCCCCAGAGAAUGAGUAACUAAACCUCCAAUUCCUUGGAGCUAAGGUUGCCGGGGAAGGUUCCAAGUGCAAGAAUGCAAAGCUCUGUGGUUUUAGCUAGUAAUGAAGAGGAAGUGAAAUCCUUUAGUGAUUUCAAUGUUUUUAGUUAACUUAAAACACCUUGGAGUCACCUGGGCCAACACUUGGUAAGGCAAGUGAUUUCCAACCGUGGAAAUGCACUAGUUUACCCCUUGCGAGCCUCUGGUAGGUGACUUCAAGGUAGGAUUUUCUGGAAUUACCAACACUUGGUAAGCUUUUGGACUCCUAGGAGACAUCCAUUAGUUAUCUCUUGCGAGUUUGUGAAGGGGAAUCCAAGGUUAAAGAUCACCUUGAAUGGUAAGUGCUCGUGAGAGGCAUGAACCAUUGCAAGUUGUAUCAGUGAGAGAAUUAAAGUGAAAUCUAAUUGAAGGAGUCUCUGUACAUCACCGGUUAGAGAAUUGACUAUAAGUUGAAUCUCUAAUGCGAGGAAAUGAACCAUCUGACCGGAGCUAUGUCUUUUGCAUGAGGAACCACCCCAGUGAACCUAAAUCUCCAAGGAAUGCUUUUCUUCCUAAAUUAUUCCAAACUUCUGUUAAGUUAGUUAGUUUAAGUCUAAACCUUUACCAAUCAAACUUUGUGUUUUAUUCCUUAAGCUAACCGUGAAAUGAAACAAAACCAAUUCACUUGGAAUUGGUAUCCUUGAUUGCUUGCAAAUCAUUCCCAGUGAACGAUCCUUAGAGCCACUAUACUAUAGUAGCUUUGUAUUUGCUACCCUAGUGUAUGGUGUUAUAGGUAUAAAUUUUGUUGAUCACUUCCUCAAUCAAGGAACACCAGCUGAACACAAAUCAGCUGAGACACCAAUUGGGCAUGAGUCAGUGCGUUAGAGGAUCAAGAAGAAGAAAAAGAAGGAACUGUUGGAAUUAGUAUGAGUGUGAAGAGAAAAGUAUAUAAAUAAGGGGAAGUAAAAGCAAAGUUCAAAAAGCUAUAUUUUUUUAUUGUUGGUGUAUGGUUGCAUGAUUAUCCCUAUAAAUAAUAGGAGUUUUUUGGUAUUCUACUAGUAGUUGAAGCAUAAUUUCAUAAAUUAAUAUUUAGAGCGGGGUGGGGUGAGUUGUGACAAAAUUCAUACCCGUCCCAAACCUUGGUUCAGAUUUUUAAAAUAUUCUCAAACUUAUCAUAUACCCAACUUUUAUAUUUCAUACUUGUCCUAAUAGAGGCACGUUAGGCCGGGUUACUUGAGUAACCUACAUAAUUGUCAUCCCUAGUUGAAAUACACUUUUUGGCAGUGGCCACCAACUGAGCUAGAAGCUUGAUUGAUUGACCUACAAGAUUAGUUCUCAUCAUUUUAAAAAAAGUUCUGGCUUUGGUUGUGAGUGCAAUUGAAUCUAAACUGGCAUUUGCUUAAUGCAUCUACUUCAAUCCUAAACUUCUUACUUCUUAAGCCUCAAUUGUUGUUAGGAUUUUGGAAAACCCAUUUCCUUAAAUUGUAAAUUUAAGAUAAAAUAAAAUAAAAGUGAGACAUUUCUUGAUUGAAUAUUGUUAAAGGUCCCUUGGCAUUAAGACUUGGUUGAAGCCUUGGAAGAUUAGUGGAACUCUCAACAUGUGUUUGAAUCUUGAGGAGAGUGGAUGUAAGCCAAAAUUUUGUCAAACCAUUAUACAAAUUGAGUUUGAAUCCUCAUUUCUUGAUUUCUUAUUUAUUUGCUUUUUCUUAUUAUUACUUGAAUUGUCAUUUGCAUUCAUUAAUGUUAAAAUUGGUUAUAAUUAACCAACACUAAUUCUCUUUCCCCUUCCCUUUCUUGGGUGUAAACCUAGGUUGGAUUAACUAGAUAAAUCUAUUAAGAUGGUAAAAGAAUAAUUAUUCUUAACAUACAUAAGAUCAUCUUCAAUCAAAUGACUCAUUGGCUAAUAUGUUGAAUUUGCUUAUUACUUGCAACUCAAAAUUGUGUUCUAGUUGUGUCAAGUCCCCAGUGUAUGGACAUUAAAUUUGUAGUACGUGAUGAGUAAUUAGAUGGUCCAACUCCAAGAAAGUGAUUGAAAAGUAGUUCAAGAAAGGUGCAAAAGGGAAUUGUUUUGGUAUUUUCGUUUUUAUUCUUGAAGGUGGCAGAGCUAAAAUUUGAGAAAUCAAGCAAAACAUACUGAAAUUACAUUGAAAGAAAGAAGAUGGGAGUUAAUGUCUUGCAGUACAUGAUAAGGACUUCAUGCAUGUAGUGUGACCCAUGUCUUGGACUGAUGCCAACUCACGGUUACACUUAUACCCUUGGUUCUCUCUUUACUACCUUGGCUAACCUAGAUCAGGCUAUGAGAUAGGCUCCUCACCACACCAUUACUUGCCCAUUAAUUAGAGACAUUUUCAAGCAAUGAGGUAACAUGGUGACACCAAGAGGGUCUAUUCCUCGCCCGGAACAAGUCUAGACUUGGUCUCAAAAAAAUGGAGAAAAAUGAGGUGUCGUUAUGUAGAAAUACAACAACCAUGCCUUCCUCAUUACUUAGAUUCAGAAUGUGAAGGUGAAAUUGAGAAACAGAAACUCUUGAAACCAAAAUGAAAAUUGAUACUUUUACGAAGAAUUACAACAACAUUAGAGGAAGACUACAUUCUUCCUCUUUAUUCCUACAUUUCUACACUACUUCUACUCCACUCCAUAUUUCUACAUACAUCUUUAAUCAGUCUUCCCUCCUUUAUAUAGAGCCAUCUUCACACAAAUUUCGCAAGGUAGAAAAGAGGAAUGAAACUUGGAGCAAGGUUCGACUACUGGUUGUAGCUUGUCAAGGCUGGAAGUGAACUUUUCUUGGCUUUCUGGGCAUGGGUAGUAACUUGUGGGUUCCUGUUUGGCAUAAAAAUGGCUAGAACAUGUGGCACUAUCUUGUUGGAUGAUGUGUCAAGCAUGUGGCAGCCAUCUAGUGGCGAUUAUGUCAAUUUUGGGAUGGAGAGUUGGCAUCCAAUUGCAAAGAAAUAUGACGUCUACCAACAUGCAAUGUAAACCUAUGUAGAUCAUAUGAAGAUAGAGAGGAAAAAUAUAGAAAUGGAUAUAUACCUAGAACUAGCUUUUUAUUAAAUGAAACGGAGAGACAACAAUGAAGGAAAAUAAAAUUUUUUGGCUUAUAUCAAAGAGUUCACAUUGUGUUACCCUAGGUUUUCUUAAAACUUACUUUUAUGAUAACAAAAAAGAAAAAACCAUUAUUGUUUAAUCCUUUGUUUUAAACGCAUGUAAGGUGUAAUUAAGUUAGUUCAAUGCAUUAAUUUAAGAAACUUGACCUAUCAAAAGUACAAAAUUAGAUGAAAUCCAUUUCAAUGGUUAAAAUGAUCAAAAUCAAACUUUUUCUAAGUAUUUUUUAAAAGCAUCAAUAGUGAAAGACAAUUUUAUAUUUAGUCGGAGUUUGGACAAAACUGAAAAACACACAAAAUCCAAGCGACCAUCUCUAGCUUGGAUGGUCGCUUGAUCCCACCUAGAGAUGUGCAUGAGUAAAAGGAUUUGAAAAUGGAAAUUGACUAUGUAGUCGAUCAAUUAACUUUGCAACAUCAUAUGCAAUCCUAAUUGCUAGUCAUCUAAUCAAUUAGGUAGUCAAUCAACAGGCCAAAAAUAUGUUUAUAAUGACUAUUUUGUACAAAAACCACCUGUAUAGUUAAAUAUAAUGCAUUUCAUUUAUAAAUCUUCUAAUUCUUGAAUAACGAUCCUAUCAUCCUUUGAAAGUUUUUAUUACACUUUUUUUACUUUUGUUCUAAAACUUACACAUCACCCUUAAUUGUACCAUGAGAACCUAGCUAUUUUUUAUUUUUUUUUUUGUAAUUCAUCAAAGUUAGCUUUUGUAUUCAUUGUUGUAUUAUUUUUAGUAUAACUUAGAAAGCUAGUGUUUUCAAGUGAGUAAAAUUAACUUGUAAAUAUUGUAAAGAUUCAUCGACAUGUAUCUUAAACUAAGUGUACAAGUUAAAACAUUUGCUAGUAGAUUUUCUCAAAAUUUAGAAUAGAGCUUGAGACUAUUGAAAUAGGUGGGGUUGCACCAAACCACAUCACAUCGUUGUUUGCACCUUUUUUCACUCUCUUUUACUUAGUUGCUCUAUAUUUGUUGUCUAGUAAUAUCCUAUAGGCUUGAUGGGUUAGGGAGCAUCCCUUUGUGAAAAAAUUUUAUUCAAUCCUUAGUUGUAUCACGCAUAUAUAAAAUGCCUCAUUGUUUUAAUGGUAUUCAGUCGUGGCAUCACAGAUAUGGGCAUCUAAAUUUUAAAAGUUUGAAACUUUUAUCUAAAGAAAAUAUGGUGCUUUGCCUUUUUGUAAAGCAUGUUGAUGAAAUCCAUGAGAAUUGUGUACUUGGGAAGCAACACCGAGAUGACUUUUUUUUUUUUUUUAUAAUAUUGUUUGUCCAAAUUCCCUACAAAUUAGGCCACCAGAUGUUCAUAAUUCUCCCUUCUUGAAUUUGAAAACUCGGACAAUUGGACAAUGCGACACCUAAGUCCGGUUUCUAAAUGCUAAAGUGAAAGGGUAGGUAUGGACCAUUGAAAUGUGAUCACAACUUUUCUCUGUAGCCAUGUUGUCUCUUUUUUCUUUUGCAUGAUUUUCUUACCUUAACAGAAUCAUAGACUUGUUUAGUCUCUAAAUGGGAUUAAUUUCAUCCAGCUUUAAGCUACUAUAUUAUAUCUAGGUGGAGGACUUUUAAGAGUGCAACCGACAUAGAGCACAUGGAAGUGGGUAUAUGGGACAUGAAAUUUCUUCUUAUAAAGAUUGCAUGAUUUUUAUAUUAGAGUUGUUGAGGCGCUAUGUAUUUAGCUUGUUUUGCAGUUAAAUUAAUUGGAUAAGUAGACAUUGGCGUUUCUAAAUCUACUGUGAAGUGCUUCAUGUACGUGUGAAGUAUUAGAAAUUUCUUUCUUGGCAACUUGUUUUUCUUUGCGGUCUACUGAUAGGUUUGACUAAAAUUAUAUUCCCUGUCAUGCUAAUUAAUUUUCACGUGCAUGCUCAAAAGAAAAGUAUGACCUUAGUGCACCAAAAUCACUUUGAUUAAUUUGUGAUAGGUUUUUGUGCAUCAUGACAUUAGCCUUAUUCAUUUAGAUAAUGUUUAGUUUUUAGAAAGUAUUAAGAAAAGGAAAAUAAAUAUUAAGAAAAAUAUUCUUAUAUUUGAUUGUAUUAUGAAAAAUAUCAUAAAAAAAUCAAAUAUAAUUUAAAUUAAUUAAUAAUUUAUACAUUUUCAAAUUAUUUAAUCUUUAUAUUGAAGAUAUAAUAUAAAUGAAAUGAGUUUUAAGUAUUAUAUAAAAGUGAUUUAUUGAUCUUACAUAUAUAUAUUUCUUUUUUUUUUCCUUCUAUUUUUUCUCUUUAUUUUAUUUUCCUUAUGUUUUCCUCAACAUUUUCCGGAACCAAACAUAGCCUUAGGAAAUCCACAAUUACCUUCAACUGAGUAGAUUCUGUUGUUUUAGCAAUGUUAGGCUGCUAACUUGUGUUGGUACGAACCUAUUAAGCCUAAAGAUGUAAUUAGUUAGGAUAUUCUUUUCCCUCUAGUCUUGUAGCUCCACGUGUACAGUUGGUUAGGACCUCAUUGUAUAUAAUGCUUGCCCUGUUAUUGUAGAAGACAACAAAGAUAAAUAAUAUUAACAUUUUUCCUCUCAUCUCUCUCUGUUUCCCUCUGUUUUCAUCUCCUCUCUCAUCUUGGUAUCAGAGCCUCCAUGGCUUCUUUCAAAGAAACCUCCGAAUCACCUUCUGCUAGCAUUGUUAAUGUGCAAAACCCAUUAUCUCAAUCAAACAACCUUCCUUCACCAGUAGCCACACCCUCUUUUUCUUUCUCGUCUAUGAAUCAACCUCUCACAGUGAAGCUGGAUAAUGGGAACUACCUCAUAUGGAAGAAUUAGCUUCUAAAUGUCAUCAUUGCUAACGGACUCGAUGAUUUCAUUGACGGAUCUCGACCCUGCCCUCCUCGAUUUCUCGAUCUGCAACAACAAACCCUCAAUCCAGAGUACUCAGCUUGGCAGAGAUACAAUCGACUUCUGAUGAGUUGGCUGUACGCAUCCUUGUCCAAAGAUAUAAUGGCUCAGAUUGUUGGGUAUUCAACAGCUAUGGAGAUUUGGAAUGCCCUUAAUCAGAUUUACUCUGCCUCUUCUAUGGCGCGGUUUACUGAGCUUCGCACCAAGCUUCAAACGCUCAAGAAAGAUGGACUCUCAGUUGGUGAAUAUAUUCAAAGGCUCAAAUCCAUUUGCAAUAGUCUUGCAGCAAUAGGAGAACCAGUUUCUGAGAAAGACCAUCUUAUCUAUUUGUUCAAUGGAUUAGAUUGUGAGUAUUAUUCUUUUGUUACCUCCAUUCAAAAUCGAUCUGACCAACCAACUAUUGACAAAAUCCAUAGCCUAUUGCUUAGCUAUGACUUCCGGCUUGAACAACAAAACUCUGUUUCUCUCCAUUCUGCCCAAGUCCAUAUGGCUCAUCUGAACAAGAAACCUUAUAAAUCAACUCCUCAACCUACAUUCAAUCAUAUUCACAUUCAACCUAGAUACUCUUCUCCACCUUUUAAGCCAACCACUAGUCAAUAUCAACCCAACAUUUUGGGCAAACCACAACCACAACCAUGACAGCCUCAACCUCAAUGGAAACCACAUUUUUCAAUCUAAAAUCAAAAGCCUCAGCGCCAAAUUUGUGGUAAAUUUGGACACACUGCUCUUAUUUGCUUCCAUCACACAAAUUUGAACUAUUCACCCCAACCUUCUCCUAAAUCUUUCAAUACUGUUCUCACCACAAAUUCCCAGCUCCCUAAUCCUCCAAAAUUUUCUUACCCUACAAUGGCUCAUCCUGCUGCUACGCAUAACACGGUUCCCGAUACAAAUUGGUACAUGGACUCAGGUGCUACACAUCACUUUACUCUGGACAUCAACGUGCUUGACACUGUGACACCAUUUAGUGGUUCAGAACAGGUGACAGUUGGGAAUGGUAAGCAACUCUGUAUCUCACAUCUUGGUACUGCAAAACUACCAUCUUCGUAUUCUCCUCCUGUUCUACAUCAGGUAUAUCACACUCCAAAAAUUUCAAAUAAUCUUAUUAGUGUUAAAAAAUUGUGUUCUGAUAAUAAAGUUUUUGUUGAAUUUUAUGCCACUCAUUUUCUUGUCAAGGAUCAGGUUUCGAAGAGAGUUCUCCUUUAGGGUCAACUUGAUAAUGGCUUAUACAAAGUUCAGUCGUCAUGCUCUCCUUCUGCUGUUUCCUUUCCUCCUCAAGUUUUCAUAGCCAACAUCAAGUAUCCAAAUCUGUGGCACAAGAGACUAGGCCACCCAGCUUUAUCUGUUGUUAAUCAAAUCUUGGAUUCUUGUAACAUUGCUCGAACACAGAAAAUUUGUUUUAAUUUUUUAAAUUCUUGUCAAUUAGCAAAGAGCCACAGGCUUCCUUUUUCUCUGUCUCCAUCCAUUGCAGAAAAACCUUUUGAGUUAAUUCAUACAGACCUAUGGGGUCUUUCGCUCGUUCGCUCUAUUUCUGGUGCUCUUUAUUUUUUACUUUUCAUUGAUGAUCAUACUCGUUUUACUUGGUUUUAUUUGCUCAAAACAAAAGAUGAAGCAUAUCCUACUUUUCUCAAGUUUCAAGCUCUCAUUGAAAAUCAAUUUAAUACCAAGAUUAAGGCUGUCCAAUCUGAUUGGGGAGGUGAGUUUCGAUCUCUCUCCAUACCGUUUUCAAAUAUGGGCAUUGUCUAUUGUUUAUCGUGUCCAUACACCUCACAACAGAAUGGGCGAGUUGAGCGAAAAAAUCGCCAUGCGAUUGUCCUUUCUUGCUUGCUCUAUGCCCUUAUCUUAUUGGCCUUAUGCCUUUCAAACUGCCACUUACCUUAUUAAUCGUCUCUCUACCCCUGUGCUGCAUCAUCAAUCCUCUUACUUCGCACUCUAUCACAAACUCCCAACUUAUACUCAUCUUAAGGUCUUUGGUUCCUCUUGUUUUCCGUAUUUGCACCCUUAUAAUACCCAUAAACUCCAAUACAGGUCACUAGAGUGUGCUUUUCUUGGUUACAGUUCACACCACAAAGGUUAUCUAUGUCUUGACAUUCAUUCUAGCAGGGUGUAUAUUUCUCGCCAUGUGAUUUUUAAUGAAGAUUCUUUUCCAUUCAAGAAUUUGAAAUCUUCUCUCUCUCAGUCUAUUUCUUCUUCCUCUUCUUUAUAAGUUCCUCUGUUCAUUCUCUUGCCUCCCCUUUCCCCAUCUCCUCUUAUUUCUUCAUCUAUACCUCAUUCUUUUCCCUCUUCUUCUUCUACCUCUAGUACUUGUUCCCCUCUCGUUGCUCCUACCUCUCUUCCUUCCUCUUCACACUCUGUGUCUCCAUCUAUUCCACCUCCUUCUCCACCUUCUCCGAGUGUGGACCUGCUUGCACCUUGUGUGAAUACAAAUUUACAUACUUCUUCUCGCACUCACAAUAUUCAUCCUAUGGUGACUAGAUCUAAGGUUUGUAUCUAUAAACCUAAGUUGUUGUUGAGUGUCUCCAUAGGUUCUCUCACUAAGCCUACUUCCUUUCUUCAAGCUAUUAAAGAUCCUUCAUGGAAGCAAUCCAUGGAAUUCGAGUUUGCUACCCUUCAACACAACAAGACCUGGCAUUUGGUUCCUUCACCUUCCUCAGGCGAAGUAAUCGGUUGUAAAUGGGUCUAUAAGCUAAAGCUUCAGCCUGAUGGCUAAAUUGAGAGAUACAGCCUGCUUAGUAGCUAAGGGUAUCAUCAAAUUGAAGUAUGGACUACUUCGAAACAUUCAGCCUGAUNNNNNNNNNNNNNNNNNNNNNNNNNNNNNNNNNNNNNNNNNNNNNNNNNNNNNNNNNNNNNNNNNNNNNNNNNNNNNNNNNNNNNNNNNNNNNNNNNNNNAGCUUCAGCCUGAUGGCUAAAUUGAGAGAUACAAGGCCUGCUUAGUAGCUAAGGGUUAUCAUCAAAUUGAAGGUAUUGACUACUUCGAAACAUUCAGCCUGAUUGUCAAGCUUUCUACUAUCUGUAUUGUGCUCAGUCUUACUUUUUCCCAGAAUUGGUGUAUUAGACAGCUGGAUGUUCAUAAUGCCUUCUUACAUGGUGACUUAGCUAAAGACGUUUUCAUGGAACAACUGCCUGGAUUUGUUGAUCCUCUCUAUCCUACUCAUGUCUGCAAGUUGGAUAAGUCUCUCUACUGUCUUAAAUAGUCACCUCGGGCUUGGUAUACUAAGCUGAGUACUUCUCGCUACACUUGGGAUUUGUUACUUCUAAGAAUGACUCUUCCUUAUUUAUUUGUCAUUCGUCUCAUGGGUUACUUCUUGUUCUUGUCUAUGUGGAUGAUAUAAUCGUCAUUGGGAGCCACUCUCCUCAGGUUACUCACCUUAUCCAACAGUUGCAUCAUUAGCUUUCUUUAAAGGAUCUUGGUCCUUUACAUUAUUUUCUGGGCUUGGAGGUUCAUCACACCCCUACUGGUAUUCACCUCAGCCAAGCAAAGUAUAUCACUGAUCUCCUUACCCGGGCGGCUAUGUUGGAUGCCAAGCCAUGUCCCACUCCUAUGUCCUCCAACACAUAUCUCUCUUUUCAUGAUGGAGUGGCUCUUGAAAAUGGUUCAGAUUAUCGAAGUUUUGUUGGUGCCCUUUAGUAUUGUACCAUGACACGCCCAGAUAUAGCUUUUGCAAUAAAUAAAGUGUGUCAAUUCAUGCACCAUCCCUCUAAUGUUCACUGGCAGGCUAUAAAACGUAUUCUCCGGUACUUAAAGGGCACAUCUCAUUUUGGUCUCUUCCUACAGCCUUCCUAUGACUUCAACAUCACUUGCUAUACAAAUGCCGACUGGGCUUCCUGUCCUGAUGACAAGUGUAGCACCAGUGGCUACUGCCUCUUUCUUGCCUCUAAUCUGGUUUCUUGGUCAUCUUCCAAACAAAAAGUGGUCUCCCGCUCCAGCGCCGAAUCAGAGUACCGAGGGGUAGCAAAUGGGGCUGCUGAAAUUGCUUGGACUGAAUCUCUUCUUUGUGAACUUUCCAUUACUCCCCCUCCCCUCAUUCUCUGUGACAAUAUCAGUGCCACGUACUUAGCUGCCAAUCCUAUUUUGCAUGCCCGCACCAAACAUGUGGAAAUCGACUAUCACUUUGUCACGGAACGUGUUCUUCAAUGCUCUCUUUUUGUCCAGUUUACACCUUCUGAUGAUCAACUUGCUGAUUGCAUGACCAAGCCUCUCUCCACCCAACGUUUCAUCACUCUACGCUCCAAGCUCACUGUUCUCACUAGACCAAUGAGCUUGAGGGGGGAUGUUAAGCCUAAAGAUGUAAUUAGUUAGGAUAUUCUUUUCCCUCUAGUCUUGUAGCUCCACGUGUACAGUUGGUUAGGACCUCAUUGUAUAUAAUGCCUGCCCUGUUAUUGUAGAAGACAACAGAGAUAAAUAAUAUUAACAUUUUUCCUCUCAUCUCUCUCUCUGUUUCCCUCUGUUUUCAUCUCCUCUCUCAUCUGAACCAAAUGAUCCAUGUUAACCUUGGCUUGGUUUGAUUUGGCUCUAUCUUAGAGAGCUCAAGGAUCACGUCAACUCUGGUUUCUACUAUUCAGGUCCAUUCCCAUAUGAACUGGUUCAAAUUUGAGAAAAUGGUAACAGACCUUUAGUGAUGUUGGUUUGGAGCCAGUUGCCAAACCCGCCCUGAGCUUUACCACUAAUGUCAAGGGAGAAAGCCAUUUGAACAAAAACAAUAGCUUCAAGGGACUGAAUCGUGGAUGAAAUCUGAUCCACAUUUCUUCUCAUUUUGGAAACAAAUGAGAACUUAACUAAGAAGAUUCUACGGCCUCAUAGUGCUUUUCCUGAUCUAAGGUUGGUUCGUUUCCCAAACUGUGAGAUGCACGUGCCAGACUUCAGAACUCUCACGCUCAGGAGUGUAUCCACGUGGUGGACAUAAGAUGGUGGCUUAAGAUCUGGUGUCGGUGGCUUUACUUUACUAGGAGAGUAGUGUGUCUUCAUCUCAUUCACUGCCGGAGGGUGGCGUAAGCAGUGACGCUAAGGUGGGGCACAGUCAAUAUCAUUUGCAUUUGACCAUUAUAGUUUUCUCCCGGCUUUAAAGUAACCUUAUCGUGAUAAAGGAUUACUAGCACUAGUUCAGAUGAUAGUCAUGUUAAAUUCGGACCAUGUUUGUGUCACAUUAUCAGCAACCAUGUGUUUAUGGUUCAUGCUUUCUGCAACUAAAAUUGAUAUAUAACCAGGUGAACUUCAAUCUAAAUUCUGAAAGUACUCAUGUGAUAGAUGGUGCCCGUCUGCAGAGUCCAUCAAUUGAAAAAUGGAGUGAGUGUAUCUAUAAGAGGGAAGGCUUGGAAAAUGUUCAGUUUUCUGGGAAUUCAACAAGGAUCUAAAAUAGAUUGUUUUCUUUGCUGAUUUCAAUGGUUGAAAUUUGAGAAGAUUGUGUCCACAUAACACAACUAUUACUGGUCCUUCUGUUGCAAUUUAUCCUCUAAAGCUCUAGCAUGUCUUCCAAUUCCCACUUCCCUGUUACUCCAGGAAAGCUAUUUCUGUCAUUGUGAAGAAGAAAAGAGAAUGUACAUAUCGAUGCUUUUAAGUGACUGGAGCAUUUAUAUCAGGUGGUCUGCAGCCAUAUAUGCCACUUUGUGAAGAUUGGAACAGUCAAUCACUAGGCUAUAUAUUAGUGUGGCCCAGCCACUUUAAUCAAGGACAAGUCUUCAUACUUAAAGUCAAAUUCUGCCUUUAGUCUCAUUAUAAAUUUCUGUUUAAAUAUUAAGCAAACAUUUGUUUAAUGCGAUUAAGACAGUACUAACUCAAUACCUGUUCUAUUUUUGGAUGCAAAUGCUUGAUGGUUUCAUCAUUGGAUGGGAUAAAGGUGCAUUCAUGAUUAGGAAUACUAGUAGUUAUAUUUUAAUUCUCUUUUUUCUCAAUGAGACUUGUUGGCACAAUUUUGCUGUUGAGAAACCUACCUCUCCAUGGAAAAUAAGUUGUGAUUGAUAGUACUGGAUAUAUUCAAGAAAUCUAAAUAUAGAUAGCACAAAAUAUUAUCGACAUAAAUAGCAUUAACAGCGUACGUAUGUCUCAGUGCUCAUCAGCUAUAAGCAUGGGGCAAACACUUACUAUGAGCAACUUACGUCAAAAUUCCAGAAUAGGACAUAGAAGUGACAGAUAUAGAACAUUGCAUAUGAGUCACAAGAAAGGAAAUUACGGGUGCAUAGCAGCUCUUAUUUUACAUACUACUACUCAUACUGAUCAAAGUCACUCAGUUGGGAUGGGUGGGAGUAGGAGGUUUGUGGGGUGGCUUGUGCGGAGGAGUUGGCAGCUUCUUUCCAGGACCUGGUUGCUUCUCUGCUGGAGUUGAAGGAGGCUUAAUCUUCCGAGGUGGCUUGUAUGAGUCUUCAGCAUUCUCAGCUGGAGGGUGACCAGGGUUGUGACCAUAAUGUGGUGGCUUCUCUCCCUUAGGUGGUUUGCCAACUGGGGUUGGUGGCUUGUAUGAGUCUUCAGCAUUCUCAGCAGGAGGGUGACCAGGGUUGUGACCAUAAUGUGGUGGCUUCUCUCCCUUAGGUGGUUUGCCAACUGGGGUUGGUGGCUUGUGUUCUGGGAGUGGCUUCUCCCCCUUGGGAGGUUUUUCCAAUGGGGUUGGUUUGUGUUCAGGAGGUGGCUUCUCCACUGGAGGCUUGUGUUCAGGAGGUGGCUUCUCCACCGGAGGCUUGUGUUCAGGUGGUGGCUUCUCCACCGGAGGCUUAUGCUCUGGUGGUGGCUUCUCGAAUGGGGGAUGCUUAGGAUAAUCAGCAAGUGAGGGGGCGGUGAGAACCACCAGGCCAAGCAACACCACUAGCAAAUAUGUAGGAGACAUCUUUGGGUUUGGGCUCAGAUGGUGCAAAACUAGGAGAAUUGGCUAGCCUUUUAUAGCGGAUCGUACCCAAUAAUGAAAUGACACGUGUCAUUAUGACCCAUGUGUAAUGGGGUCGAUUUGGGUCCUACAGUGUUGAAAACUUCGACAUCCACUUUUGGCCUUUUGCUUUCUCUACAGCCGCCUUGCUUUUUCCCUCUUUCCUUUUGUUUUCCUCCUGCCCCAUUCUAUCAACUAAACACAAUUAUGUAGUUGUUUAAUUCUUAAAUGAGAUAUUAUCCGUCAAUCGUAUUAUAUUUUAUCAAGAGAGAACGGAGUGCAAUGUGGCUGUAAUUUUAUCGUUUAGUUUUAUCUCUUGGACCACUGCAUUUUUGUUAAGAGGUGCAAUAAUACACGUCUUUAUCUGCCAUUCAAUAUUUACAGUAAAGAGAGGGCACAAAACUCUUCACUUCGCACCAUAAUUAUUUUGUUUUCUGGACACCCCGGGGCCCUUUGGUUGGUUUGGGGGUCAGAAAGUGAACAUCAUAGGGGGUUUUUCCCUUAUGUGCAUUUGUAUCUGAUGGCUUUAACUCGCCUUGUUACUACAAAGAAACUGUCACAGAUAGGAACUUAUUCCAGGCUGAGUAUCUCCUCAUAGACCCUAUAAAAGAAGACAAGUCAUAAUGAACAUCUAACCUUUGUUCAAUUUGAUUCAAUGCCCCCAUUGUGUCCAUCUCACAAAUCUGAAUUAUUAUAUCCAUUGAAUACAUAAAUUAAUGAAGAAAAUAUGAAACCCAAGAUACAUCUCUGCACAACCUCAACCCUGGUUGCUAUGUUUCCCUUCUAUUCACAUGAUUUGAUGCUAAUUGCCAAACUUGCAACAAGCCCUGAGUUUGACACCUAGUAUCGAUGGGCGAAUUUAAAGUCUCCUCCAAACAUAUAUUCCACAGCUUGAAGCUCACAGAAGAUGUUACAGGCAGGGAAAAACCUUCAGAGUUCGCUACCAAAGAUAAUUAUUAAGGAGAUAUCACAAAGAGAAUUCCAAGGGGUCUGAAUCAAAGACAAAUUGGUCGUUCGUGGGGGUUCUUACUUUCUUUUGGGUAUAACUCACUGAGGGCACUGUCUUUGUUAUUUGCAUUUCACAUUUAGAGUUCUGUUCUGGAAACAUAUAAAAGGAGCAUCAUUUUGUUCUUGGGUAACCCAUAGUCGUGAGUGGGUCCAUUUGCAUGCUACUUAGUUGAAAAGUUGGACCAUUUGCUCCGACGCCUACCUCCCGGAUUCCAUGCUCGGAUAAAACAAGAAUAAAAAAAAUAUUUAUAAUUUACAAAUGGGGGAAAGAAAAAAAUGUCAACAACAAACCAGGAAAAAAGAGUAGUAAAAUUCAUGUCACAUGCUAGUGAGAGAAGGGGUUGUUACACUCACUCGAAGUUCUUUCCAAAAUAUCGCAUGGUAUUUUAUUUUAUGUGUCAGCGCAGUUGUGAAUGGAACGUGCAAAAGUCCAAAUUGGCGUUUUUCCUUUUCCCGUGUAGGAUGGCGACCUUUAAUAAAUAUUUAAAACAAAAAACGAAAAAAAGGAGGGAAAAGGGAUCAGAAAAGAUAAAACAAUGUGUACAAGAGCUCAAUUAGUUUGCAAAUUACUGUUUGGAUUUUGAUAGUAUUUUAUUUGUCCAUCUAUAUUUGAUGGAAAAGAGAAUUUAAGAUAUUUCUGAAACAAAAGCAUUAGUGUAAAACUAAAUUAAGGUAUAAUUAAGUUAGUUCAAUGCAUUAAUUUAAGAAACUUGAUCUAUCCAAAGUACAAAAUUAGAUGAAAUCCAUUUCAAUGGUUAAAAUGAUCAAAAUCAAACUUUUUCUAAGUAUUUUUUAAAAGCAUCAAUAUUAAAAGACAAUUUUAUAUUUAGUCGGAGUUUGGACAAAACCAAAAAGCACACAAAAUCCAAGCGACCAUCUCUAGCUUGGAUAGUCACUUGAUCCCACCUAGAGAUGUGCAUGAGUAAAAGGAUUUGAAAAUGGAAAUUGACUAAAUAUUUAGUUGAUCAAUUAAAUUUGCAAUGUCAUAUGCAAUCCUAAUAGCUAGUCAUCUAAUCAAUUAGGUAGUCAAUCAAGUGUUUGUAAUGACUAUUUUGUACAAAAAACCACAUGUAUAGUUAAAUAUAAUGCAUUUCAUUUAUAAAUCUUCUAAUUCUUGAAUAACGAUCCUAUCAUCCUUUGAAAAUUUUUAUUACACCUUUUUUACUUUUGUUCUAAAACUUACAUAUCACCCUUAAUUGUACCAUGAGAACCUAGCUAUUUUUUUUUUUUUUGUAAUUCAUCAAAGUUAGCUUUUGUAUUCAUUGUUGUAUUAUUUUUAGUAUAACUUAGAAAGCUAGUGUUUUCAAGUGAGUAAAAUUAACUUGUAAAUAUUGUAAAGAUUCAUUGAUAUGUAUCUUAAACUAAGUGUACAAAUUAAAACAUUUGCUAGUAGAUUUUCUCAAAAUUUAGAAUAGAGCUUGAGGCUAUUGAAAUAGGUGGGGUUACACCAAACCACAUCACAUCGUUGUUUGCACCUUUUUUCACUCUCUUUUACUUAGUUUCUCUAUAUUUGUUGUCUAGUAAUAUCCUAUAGGCUUGAUGGGUUAGGGAGCAUCCCUUUGUGAAAAAAUUUCAUUCAAUUCUUAGUUGUAUUACGCAUAUAUAAAAUGCCUCAUUGUUUUAAUGGUAUUCAGUCGUGGCAUCACAGAUAUGGGCAUCUAAAUUUUAAAAGUUUGAAACUUUUGUAAAGCAUGUUGAUAAAAUCCAUGAGAGUUGUGUACUUGGGAAGCAACAUCGAGGUGACUUUAUUUUUUUUUCCUUUUAUAAUGCCACACCUAAGUCCGGUUUCUAAAUGCUAAAGUGAAAGGGUAGGUAUGGACCAUUGAAAUGUGAUCACAACUUUUGGCCUUUUCCUUUCUCUGCAGCCAUGUUGUCUCUUUUUUCUUUUGCAUGAUUUUCUUACCAAAACAGAAUCAUAGACUUGUUUAGUCUCUAAGCUACUAUAUUAUAUCUCGGUGGACUUUUAAGAGUGCAACCGACAUAGAGCACAUGCAAGUGGGCAUAUGGGACAUGAAAUUUCUUCUUACAAAGAUUGCAUGAUUUUUAUAUUAGAGUUGUUCACGUGCAAUGUAUUUAGCUUGUUUUGCAGUUAAAUUAAUUGGAUAAGUAAACAUUGGCAUUUCUAAAUCGACUGUGAAGUGCUUCAUGUACGUGUAAAGUAUUAGAAAUUUCUUUCUUGGCAACUUGUUUUUUCCUUGCCAUCUACUGGUAGGUUUGACUAAAAUUAUAUUCCCUGUCAUGCUAAUUAAUUUUCAUGUGCAUGCUCAAAAGAAGAGUAUGACCUUAGUGCACCAAAAUCACUUUGAUUAAUUUGUGAUAGGUUUUUUUGCAUCAUUUAGAUAAUGUUUAGUUCUAAGAAAAAUUUAUAUAAAAAUGGUUUAUUUAUCUUACAUAUAUAUAUAUAUAUAUAUAUUUUUUUUUUUUUCAUUUUUUUUUCUUCUAUUUUAUUUAUUUAUUUUAUUUUCCUUAUGUUUUCCUCACAUUUUCCGGAACUAAACAUAGUCUUACGAAAUCAACAAUUGCCUUCAACUGAGUAGAUUCUGUUGUUUUAGCAAUGUUAGGCUGCUAACUUGUGGUGGUACGAACCAAAUGACCCAUGUUAAUCUUGGCUUGGUUUGAUUUGGCUCUAUCUCAGAGAGCUAAAGGAUCACGUCAACUCUGGUUUCUACUAUUCAGGUCCAUUCCCAGAUGAACUGGUUCAAAUUUGAGAAAAUGGUAACAGACCUUUAGUGAUGUUGGUUUGGAGCCAGUUGCCAAACCCGCCCUGAGCUUUACCACUAAUGUCAAGGGAGAAAGCCAUUUGAACAAAAACAAUAGCUUCAAGAGACUGAAUCGUGGAUGAAAUCUGAUCCACAUUUCUUCUCAUUUUGGGAAAAAAUGAGAACUUAACUACAAAGAUUCUACUGCCUCAUUCAUAGUGCUUUUCCUGAUCCAAGGUUGGUUCGUUUCCCAAAUUGUGAGGUGCACGUGCCACUCUCACGCUCAGGAGUGUAUCCACGUGGUGGACAUCAGAUGGUGGCUUAAUAUCUGGUGUCGGUGGCUUUACUUUACUAGGAGAGUAGUGUGUCUUCAUCUCAUUCACUGCCGGAGGGUGGCGUAAGCAGUGACGCUAAGGUGGGGCACAGUCAAUAUCAUUUGCAUUUGACCAUUAUAGUUUUCUCCCGGCUUGAAAGUAACCUUAUCGUGAUAAAGGAUUACUAGCACUAGUUCAGAUGACCGUCAUGUUAAUUCGGACCAUGUUUGUGUCACAUUAUCAGCAACCAUGUGUUUAUGGUUCAUGCUAUCUGCAACUAAACUUGAUAUAUAACCAGGUGAACUUCAAUCAAAAUUCUGGAAGUACUCUUGUGAUAGAUGGUGCCUGUCUGCAGAGUCCAUCAAUUGAAAAAUGGAGUGAGUGUAUCUAUAAGAGGGAAGGCUUGGCAAAUGUUCAGUUUUCUGGGAAUUCAACAAGGAUCUAAAAUAGAUUGUUUUCUUUGCCGACUUCAAUGGUUGAAAUUUGAGAAGAUUGUGUCCACAUAUCACAACUAUUACUGGUCCUUCUGUUGCAAUUUAUCCUGUAAGGCUCUAACAUGUCUUCCAAUUCCCACUUCCCUGUUACUCCAGGAAAGCUAUUUCUGUCAUUGUGAAGAAGAAAAGAGAAUGUACAUAUCGAUGCUUUUAAGUGACUGGAGCAUUCAUAUCAGGUGGUCUGCAGCCAUAUAUGCCACUUUGUGAAGGUUGGAACAGUCAAUCACUAGGCUAUAUAUUGGUGUGGCCCAGCCACUUCAAUCAAGGACAAGUCUUCAUACUUAAAGUCAAAUUCUGCCUUUAGUCUCAUUAUAAAUUGCUGUUUAAAUAUUAAGCAAACUUUUGUUUAAUGCGAUUAAGACAGUACUAACUCAAUACUUGUUCUAUUUUUGGAUGCAAAUGCUUGAUGGUUUCAUCAUUGGAUGGGAUAAAGGUGCAUUCAUGAUUAUGAAUACUUGUAGUUAUAUUUUCAUUCUCUUUUUUCUCAAUGAGACUUGUUGGCACAAUGUUGCUGUUCAGAAACCUACCUCUCCAUGGAAAAUAAGUUGCGAUUGAUAGUACUGGAUAUGUUCAAGAAAGCUAAAUAUAGAUAGCACAAAAUAUUAUCGAUAUAAAUAGCAUUAACAGCGUACGUAUGUCUCAAUGCUCAUCAGCUAUAAGCAUGGGACAAACACUUACUAUGAGCAACUUACGUCAAAAUUCCAGAAUAGGACAUAGAAGUGACAGAUCUAUAUAUAUAGAACACUGCAUAUGAGUCACAAGAAAGGAAAUUACGGGUGCAUAGCAGCUCUUAUUUUACAUACUACUACUCAUACUGAUCAAAGUCACUCAGUUGGGAUGGGUGGGAGUAGGAGGUUUGUGGGGUGGCUUGUGCGGAGGAGUUGGCAGCUUCUUUCCAGGACCUGGUUGCUUCUCUGCUGGAGUUGAAGGAGGCUUAAUCUUCCGAGGUGGCUUGUAUGAGUCUUCAGCAUUCUCAGCUGGAGGGUGACCAGGGUUGUGACCAUAAUGUGGUGGCUUCUCUCCCUUAGGUGGUUUGCCAACUGGGGUUGGUGGCUUGUAUGAGUCUUCAGCAUUCUCAGCAGGAGGGUGACCAGGGUUGUGACCAUAAUGUGGUGGCUUCUCUCCCUUAGGUGGUUUGCCAACUGGGGUUGGUGGCUUGUGUUCUGGGAGUGGCUUCUCCCCCUUGGGAGGUUUUUCCAAUGGGGUUGGUUUGUGUUCAGGAGGUGGCUUCUCCACUGGAGGCUUGUGUUCAGGAGGUGGCUUCUCCACCGGUGGCUUGUGUUCAGGAGGUGGCUUCUCCACCGGAGGCUUAUGCUCUGGUGGUGGCUUCUCCACCGGAGGCUUAUGCUCUGGUGGUGGCUUCUUGAAUGGGGGAUGCUGAGGGUAAUCAGCAAGUGAGGGGGCGGUGAGAACCACCAGGCCAAGCAACACCACUAGCAAAUAUGUAGGAGACAUCUUUGGGUUUGGGCUCAGAUGGUGCAAAACUAGGAGAAUUGGCUAGCCUUUUAUAGCGGAUCGUACUCAAUAAUGAAAUGACACGUGUCAUUAUGACCCAUGUGUAAUGGGGUCGAUUUGGGUCCUACAGUGUUGAAAACUUCGACAUCCAGUUUUGGCCUUUUGCUUUCUCUACAGCCGCCUUGCUUUUUCCCUCUUUCCUUUUGUUUUCCUCCUGCCCCAUUCUAUCAACUAAACACAAUUAUGUAGUUGUUUAAUUCUUAAAUGAGAUAUUAUCGGUCAAUCGUAUUAUAUUUUAUCAAGAGAGAACGGAGUGCAAUGCAGCUGUAAUUUUAUCGUUUACUUUUAUCUCUUGGACCACUGCAUUUUUGUUAAGAGGUGCAAUAAUACACGUCUUUAUCUGCCAUUCAAUGUUUACAGUAAAGAGAGGGCACAAAACUCUUCACUGCUCUGCAUGUGUCCCAAAAAUGCGAUUGGACAAAUUAUGAUUUGCAUGCUAAAAAGAGGCAAAUGAGGUUAAUUCGCACCAUAAUUAUUUGGUUUUCUGGACACCAUAAAAAGAUGUUAUACAGGCAGGGAAAAACCUUCAGAGUUAGCUACCAAAGAUAAUUAUCAAGCAGAUAUCACCAAGAGAAUUCCAUAGAGUCUGAAUCAAAGACAGAUUGCUCGCUCGUGGGGGUUCUUACUUUCUUUUGGGUAUAACUCACUGAGGUCACUGUCUUUUUUAUUUGCAUUUCACAGUUAGAGUUCUGCUCUGGAAGGUUUGUUCUGGAAACAUAUAAAAGGAGCAUCAUUUUGUUCUUGGGUAACCCAUAGUCGUGAGUGGGUCCAUUUGCAUGCUACUUAGUUGAAAAGUUGGACAAUUUGCUCCGACGCCUACCUCCUGGAUUCCAUGCUCGGUAAAACAAGAAUAAAAAAAAAUAUAUAAUUUACAAAUGGGGGAAAGAAAAAAUGUCGGAAAAAAUAGUAAAAUUCAUGUCACAUGCUAGUGAGAGAAGGGGUUGUUACACUCACUCGAAGUUCUUUUCAAAAUAUCGAAUGGUAUUUUACUUUAUGUGUCAGCGCAGUUGUGAAUGGAACGUGCAAAAGUCCAAAUUGGCGUUUUUAUUUUUCCCAUGUAGGAUGGUGACCUUUAAUAAAUAUUUAAAACAAAAGACGAAAAAAAAAAGGAGGGAAAAGGGAUCACAAAAGAUAAAAUAAUGUUUACAAAAGCUCAAUUAGUUUGCAAAUUACUGUUUGGAUUUUGAUAGUAUUUUAUUUGUCGUUCUAUAUUUGAUGUAAAAGAGAAUUUAAGAUAUUUCCGAAGCAAAAGCAUUAGUUUGCUCUGUGAUGUCCCACAUCGAAUAGGGGAGAAAGUUUCUGGCGCUAUAUAUGUAGAGGCUCCUCUUAACCAAGUAGAUGCGUUUUAAAACCAUGAGGGCCCCCUUAGGUCCAAAGCGGACAAUAUCUACAUGAUUGGGUGUAAGUCAUUACAAAUGGUAUCAGAGCCGAUCCCCGACCCCGGUGUGGGGGUUUGUUUGGCCCUGUAAGGGGUGUUUGUCUGUUUGACCCCACAAUCCCAUGGGACACAACGAGGACGUUGUGUCUGCAUGGGGGGGCGUUUGUGAUGUCCCACAUCGGAUAGGGGAGAAAGUUCCUAGUGCUAUAUAUGUAGAUGUUUCUCUUAACCAAGUAGAUGCAUUUUAAAAUUGUGAGGGCCUCUUUGGGCCCAAAGCGGACAAUAUCUACAUGGUUGAGUGUAAGUCAUUACAUGCUCCAUGUCAAUUUCAGCAUUUCUCAUAUGUUUCACACAUACACAGAAGAGCAUCGUUUUUUAAAGCAUGCAUUUAUGUUGGAUUAAUUUGGAUUUUGUGGGAACUGGGGCAAGGAUCACAUGGAAGAGAGGUUGACUUUUUUCAGUACUUCAAUGGUUGAAAUAUGUGAAGGCUUGAUUGAUACUAAAGCUUGAAAUUGCGACUCUGUCAUUUGUAAAAAAAUAUGACAGCUUCCAUGCUCUCGUUUGGUUGCAUUGUCCGGUCGAGAGGUGCAAAAAGCAUUCUCUCUCUUCUAAUAGUCUUUUCGUUUAAAUCAAGGGAUUUGCCUUCCCGGUCGAGGUCCAAUAGAGGGUAACGGUCACCUACUAAACAUUAAAUGCUCCAACAACUAGUGAACUGAUCGACCCCAGCUCGACUAGUUGAGGUUACUUUUUGGUUUUCUUGUCUCCCGAGGUUAGAAACCUAUAAAUAGAGAGCUUCACUUCAUUUAUGAGUAAGAGAACACCUAAAUUUAUUUGUUUACCUACUUGUUUUUGCCAUAAAAGCUCUCAUUUCUUUUCUUGGUGUAUUAAAUCUCCAUUUGCAUAUCCUUUAGUGCACCUUUGUGAUUCAUUCUAGCCUUGAGUUGUAUUUAAGCCUUUGUUGAGCUAGGUUGAGAGUUUCAUACUUGUUUAUUGAGUGUUAAAGCCUUCAAGUGAGUUAAAACUUGAAGAGAUUGUGUAAGAGCCCAUUGGAGUCGGAAUCCAAGUGUAAAGGUGAUUAAAAGCUUGGUUGAAGCUUCAAGUUAGUGGAACUCUCACUCGGUUAUGAGCUUGAGAAGAGUGGACAUAGACAAGGCAGUGUCGAACCACUAUAAAAUCUGAGUUUGAUUUCUCUAACCUUAUCUCUUUAUAUUUGCUUCUCUUGUGCUUAAAUUUUUUGUGUUUAAAAAGAAUUUUUAAAAACUCAAUUCACCCCCUUCUUGGGAGUUUUUCUCUUUUAAGAUCAGCUUUUAUUUUCUCAAUUGGUAUCAGAACUAUGCCUCUUGUUUAAGACUUAAUCGUCUAAGAGGAAAUGGCUAAUCCAUCAAGUUCAUCUCACAUUGAAAGUUUUGCAACCAAUAGACUUCUUUUUUUUUUUUUGCGGGAACUGAUUAUCCCUAUUGGAAAACUAAAAUGACUUGGUUUUUACAAUCAAUUGAUUUAGAUGUAUGAGAUGCCAUUGAAGAUGACCUAACUUUUCCUUCAAAACUAGUUGAUGGAGUCAUGGUUCCAAAACCUAAGCAAGAAUGGGAUGAGCGUGAUUGAAGAAAUUUUCAAUUAAAUGCUAAAGUCGUUUAUACUUUGCAAUGCUCUAUGGACAGAAAUGAAUAUAAUAGAAUAUGUCAAUGCAAAUCGGUUAAAGAAAUUUGGAGAUUGCUUGAAAUAACUCAUAAAGGAACAAAUCAAGUUAAAGAGUCAAAAAUCAAUUUACUUGUUCAUAGAUAUGAAUUGUUUUUUAUGAAAGAUAAUGAAACUAUUGUUAAGAUGAUCACUAGGUUCACCAACAUUGUUAAUGGUCUUAAAGCCUUGGGAAAGACCUACAAGGAAUCCGAAAACGUGAUGAAGAUCUUGAGGUCACUUCCAUCAAAGUGGCAUACCAAGGUCACCGCAAUUUAAGAAGCAAAAGACUUGAUCAAGCUACCUUUGGAGGAGUUCAUAGGGUCAUUGAUGACAUAUGAAAUCAAUUUGGCAAAGAAGUAACAAAAAGGUGAAGACAAAAAGAAGAAGAACAUAACUCUCAAAGCUACAACUAAGGAAGAAGAAGUUGAAGAAGAAAAACAAAUUGAAGAAGAUGAAGAUUUAGCCCUCAUCACAAGAAAGUUCAACAAAUUCAUGAGGGGUGAAAGGUUUAGAAGAAGAAGGUUCACUUCUAGAAGAGACUUUUCUAAAAAGGAAUCUUCAUCUAAUGGUGACAAAAAGAGAUGGGAAGAGAAAAGAGACUUGGUGUGUUUCAAGUGCAAGAAACCGGGACACAUUAAAUAUGAUUGUCCUCUCUACAAAAGUGAAGUCAAGAGGAAAAAGAAUAAGGCAAUGAUGGCCACUUAGAGUGAAAGUGAAGAUGAAUCAUCCGAAGAAGAAAAUGAGAAAGAAGUGGCAAACAUGUGUUUCAUGGCAAUAGAUGAACUUGAUGAGGUAAAAUCUAACCUUAGUGAUUAAGAUAUACAUGAUGCAUUUGAAGAAUUGUAUGAGGAUUUUUAAAAACUUAGUUUGAAAAAUAUUUCUCUUAAAAAGAAAGUUCAACAACUUGACAAAGAACUUAGAGAAGUAAAAGAAAAAUUUUCAAAUGUUAAAGUUUCUAAAACUCAUCUUGAAAAAGAAAAUGAGAUUCUAAGAAAGAAAAAUGAAUAGUUGAACUCCUCUCUUUCAAUCUUUUCUUCUAGACAAAAAUCUUUUGAAAUGAUUCUAACUAGCUAAAAAUGUGUUUUUGACAAACAAGGGUUAAGAUUUAAAUCUUCAAAAAAUCAAAAGUAUUUUAAAAACUAUUUUGUAAAGGAAUCCACAAGUGCAAGUCCUUCCACUACUUGCAACUUUUGUGGAAGAGAAUGGCACAUUAGUAGUACGCCCUUUAAGAAAUGGUUCUCAAAAGAAUUUAAAUGCAAAAACUAAAAAAGAUUUGGAUUGAGAAAUCCAAGGUCACUAACCCUCAAGGACCCAAAAAGAUAUAGGUACCUAAAUCAACUUGAGUUUUAUGUUGUAAGGUUCAAAGAAUGAUAAGUGGUUCUUAGAUAAUGGUUGCUCAAGACACAUGACCGGAGAUGAAUCCAAGUUUGCUUUUCUUAAAAAGAAAAAUGGAGGAUAUGUUACCUUUGGAGACAAUGCAAAAGAAAGGAUGAUUGGUCAAGGCAACAUUGGUAAUGGCACAUCCUCUCUCAUUGAAAGUGUUUUAUUAGUAGAUGGUUUCAAACAUAACCUUUUAAGCAUUAGUCAAUUUUGCGACAAAGGUUUUUAAGUGAUUUUUUAAGCAUCUCAUUGCAUCAUCAAGGAUAUUCAAAAUGAUAAAACCAUUUUCAUGGGCCAUAGAUGUGAUAAUGUUUAUGCUAUAAAUAUUUCAAAAUAUGAUGGCCAUGAUAGAUGUUUUUCAAGCAUGCAUGAUCAAAGUUGGUUGUGCCAUAGGAGAUUGAGACAUGCUAACAUAGACCUCAUUUCCCAACUCAACAAAGAUGAACUUGUUAGAGGCCUUCCCAAAAUAAUUUUUUAAAAAGAUAAAGUUUGUGAAGCUUGUCAAGUGGGAAAGUAAAUCAAAAACUCUUUUAAAAACAAAAACUUCAUUUCCACAUCUAGGCCACUUGAGUUGUUGCAUAUGGAUUUAUUUGGUCCCUCUAGGACACCAAGUCUUAGAGGAAAUUCUUAUGCAUAUGCUAUUGUGGACGACUUCUCUAGAUACACAUGAGUCUUGUUUUUUAGUCAAAAGAAUAAAGUUUUUUAUGAGUUUUCAAAGUUUUGCAAUAAGAUUCAAAAUGAAAAAGGUUUUUCAAUUACUUAUAUAAGAAGUGAUCAUGGGAGAGAAUUCGAAAAUAUUGAUUUUGAAGAGUAUUGCAAUGAGCAUGGAAUUGACCACAAUUUUUUGGCUCUUAGAACUCCUCAACAAAAUGGGGUAGUUGAAAGGAAAAAUAGAACUCUUCAAAAAAUGACAAGAACCAUACUAAAUGAAAACAACUUACCAAAAUAUUUUUAGGCCAAAACGGUUAACACUUCUUGUUAUGUUUUAAAUAGAGUAUUAUUGAGGCUCAUACUUAAGAAAACUCCCUAUGAGCUUUGGAAAAACAAAAAACCCAACAUUAGUUAUUCCAAAGUCUUUGGAUGCAAUAUUUUAUAAUAAACACCAAAGACAAUCUUGGAAAAUUUGAUGCAAAAUUGGAUGUUGGAAUUUUCCUUGGUUACUCAACUUCAAGUAAAGCUUUUCGAGUUUUAACAAAAGAACCAUGGUUGUAGAGGAGUCCAUCCAUGUUAUUUUUUAUGAAUCUCCAAGAAAGAGAGAGGAUUGAUGAUGAUUUAGGUUUGAAGACCUCUAUAGGAAGAUUGCAAAUCGAAGAUAGAAGACAACAAGAAGAAAAUGGAGAGAAUCCAAAGAAAGAAGGAUCACCAUUGGCACUACCCCCUCAUCAACAAGCGCAAGGUGAAUCAAGUCAAGAGCUUCCUAAAGAAUGGAAGUUUGUCAUCAAUCACCCACAAGAUCAAAUUAUAGGCAAUCCAUCUAGUGGGGUAAGAACUAGAUCCUCUCUUAGAAAUAUUUGCAAUAAUCUAGCUUUUAUCUCUCAAAUUGAGCCUAAAAAUAUAAAUGAUGUUUUAGAUGAUGAAAAUUGGAUAAUUGCAAUGCAAGAAGAGUUAAAUCCAUUUGAAAGAAGUGGAGUAUGGGAAUUAGUACCAAGACCUUCAAAUCAAAGUGUUAUUGGAACUAGAUGGAUCUUUAGAAAUAAAAUGGAUGAAAAUAGCAUAAUUGUUAGAAAUAAAGCAAGAUUGGUAGCCCAAGGUUUUAAUCAAGAAGAAAUGAUAGAUUAUGAAGAAACCUUUGCCCCCGUAGCUAGGUUGGAAGCCAUUAGGAUGCUACUUGCCUUUGCAUGUUUUAAAGACUUUGUUUUAUAUCAAAUGGAUGUGAAAAGUGCUUUUUUAAAUGGUUUUAUAAAUGAAGAAGUAUAUGUUGAACAACCACCCGGUUUUCAAAGUUUCAACUUUCCUAACCAUGUUUUUAAACUUAAAAAGACACUUUAUGGUUUGAAACAAGCACCUAGAUCAUGGUAUGAAAAAUUGAGUAAAUUUCUUUUGAAAAAAAUGUUUUAAAAUGGGAAAAAUUGACACAACUCUUUUUAUAAAAACCAAAGAAAAUGAUAUGCUCUUAGUUCAAAUAUAUAUUGAUGAUAUCAUUUUUGGUGCUACUAAUGUCUCUCUUUAUGAAGAAUUUUCUAAGUGCAUGCAUAGUGAGUUUGAAAUGAGCAUGAUAGGAGAACUCAACUUCUUCCUUGGACUUCAAAUCAAGCAACUAAAGGAAUGAACCUUCAUCAAUCAAGCAAAGUAUAUAAGAGAUCUUCUCAAAAGGUUCAACAUGGAAGAAGCCAAAACAAUGAAGACUCUAAUGAGCUCAUCCAUUAAGCUUGAUAAGGAUGAGAAAGGUAAAUCCAUUGACUCUAUUAUGUAUAGAGGCAUGAUAGGUUCUUUGCUCUAUUUGACCACUAGUAGACCUUACAUUAUGUAUAGUGUGUGUUUGUGUACUAGAUUUCAAUCUUGUCUUAAAAAAUCUCACUUAAGUGUCGUGAAAAGAAUCCUCAAAUAUUUGAAAGGGACAAUGGACAUAGGCUUAUGGUAUCCUAAGAGUGAUAACUUUGAAUUAAUUGGUUUUUUGGAUGCUGAUUUUGUCAGUUGUAGGGUUGAAAAAUAAAACACUAGUGGCACUUUUCAUUUCUUAAGACACUUACUUGUCUCAUGGCAUAAUAAGAAGCAAAAUUUGGUAGCUUUGUCAACAGCAGAAGCUAAAUACAUAGCAACUGGUUUAUGUUGUGCACAAAUCCUUUGGAUGAAAUAAACACUUAGUGAUUUUGAUUUAUCUUUUGAGCAUAUUCCUAUUAAAUGUGAUAAUAGUAGUGCCAUAAGUAUAUCAAAAAAUCUCGUGCAACACUCUAGGACUAAGCAUAUAGAGAUUAGACAUAAUUUUCUUAGAUAUCAUACACAAAAGGAUGAUAUAACACUUGAAUUUGUAAGCAUAAAAGACCAACUUGCCGAUAUCUUUACAAAACCUCUAAGAACAUUUUGUUGAUAUUAGAGGACAAUUAGGAGUGAUUUCUUUAUGAUCUAAUGUGAUGAAUUCUUGAUGAAUAUACUUUUUGAUUGCAUGAAUUUCAUGUCAUAUAUGCAUCAUAUAGAAAUAUACUUAGAUAAUGGUCAAAUUUCGACCAAAAAUCAAAAUUCCCAUGGCAUUAGGCAUAAAAAUUUUGGAAUUUCAACUGAAAAUGGUAGGAGGAGGAUCACAAAAUGAGAAAGUAUGCAAAAAUUGAAAAAUCAAAACGUUGACCAAGCGGUCAAUCGGACUAGACCGAUCGACUAGUUUGUCGAGAUUUAGGAUUUUUAAGAGACUCCAACGCUUCAAUUUUUGCACCGUUCUCCUCUAUUUCUUCACGGUUUCUCUGAUUUUGUCUUUUAGAGACUAAUUUGAGUGCGUUUUGGAUCAAUUGAAGCAUUUUGGAUUGGAUUUUAGGAAGAUUGAAAGUUAAGGUUUCGGAUUUGGGUCGCCUUCUCUUCCUCUCGCGUGUCACAAUCAGCUUUAGCAUUGUUCUCUUUCCAUUUUCACACACCUAGGGUUUCAGUUGUGAGCAUCUCUCUCUCUUUACCAACCACUACUCCCUUGCUUCUUCCAUAUGGCUCCUAGGCGAGAGUCCGCUACUUCUAGGGCACAAGGCAAGCACCCAACUGAGUCGUCUCAGUCAAAGGCACGUCGAAAAGUGAGAUUUGACAUUGCCUUGUUCAGUUCCAUGGAGGACUACCAACUAUACAAGCAACACUUUGCUUAGAGACGAGUAGUUCCCAAGAGAAAUAUUAAUUUUCCUCAACUUCAGCAUUUCGAAUUUAAGGGUCUAUUUACUAGGAUGGUUGGUUGUCUAUUGUCACAAUUUCGGAGCCGGUUUUCCUGACCUUAGUGCGAGUUUUUUACUCGAGGGCGACUUAUGGCAUGGGUGGCAUGAUCAUUUCUACUGUUGGAGGAGUUGAGAUCUGUCUGGACCCAGAGAGCAUCUGCCAUAUUUUCGAUAUUGCUCUGGUUGGACUCAAAGUAUACAAGUCCAAAAUGUGGCCCAUUGUGCCAGGAUUUGAGCUUAGAGAGGUCAUUCAGAGGAUUUGUGAACUUCCAGACGCCCAGGAGAUGGGCAAACCAUUGCCACACAGUUUGACGGUCAUCAACAGGGUGCUACACCAUAUAUUGUGCUCUAUCUUUCUACCACGAAGUGGACAUUGAGAUGAGGUCUCUUAUUAUGAGGCAUUCCUUAUUGACUCCAUUCUAACGGAGAGACGAAUUCAUCUACUAUGUCAUCAUUCACUAAGCCUCCUCACAGUGACAUACCACCUCAUCAGGCACCUCUUGCUCCUGACCAUGCUCCAUUGAUGGAUUUAUUUACUCAUAUUAGCUCUCUAGGCACUCGCAUGAAGGAGUUUGUUGUAGUUAGUGAUACAUGGUUCUACUCCAUAGAGGAUCGCAUGGAUCAGUAUCAGACUGGCUUCACGUCACAGUUUGAGUAUCUCCAAUAGAGGAUUGAGCAUAUUGAGGAUCACUUGAGCAUGAGAAGAUGAUGGCUUUUCUAUGCUCUGUGUUUCCACCUCCACCUCGUCAACCUUGAUUUCUUAGAGACCCAUUGUUUUCAUUUUGUAAUGUUGCCAAAAGGGGGAGAUAUUUAGGAUCUAGGACUCUAUAGGAGACUUACAUGCAUAUCAUUUUCAUAUCAUUGUUUGGAUCGUACAUAUUGGAUAGUGAUACUUUUUACUUAUAUAUGAUAUGCCUAUAUGUUUCAUGUCUUACAUUGUUUCUUAUUGCAAAUUAUCUCUAACAUGUCUUGAUUAUCUUUUUUUUAACUUCAUAAAUUUUGAUUGUUAACCCAUGAUUGGUUUGAGGGGAAGAUUCUUCUUCUCCUAGAUAACCAAGGUUUGUCAUCAUAAAAAAAUUGGAGAUUGUUAGCCCAAGGGUUCUCCUAAUCAUGUUUUGAUGAUAACAAACCAUGCUUAAGUUACUAAUUGGUUUGAAUUAUAAAGAAUUUCAAGUGUUAAUUUGAAAAUUCAUCAAAGAACCUAAUGGAUGCAAGAUCAAGAUUUUUGGAAGACCUUUAAUCAUAAGAAACAUAUGUAAGAUGAAUGCAUGGGUGCACUUAAGAUUUGCAUAUCAUUUCAUGCAUAUUUGGAAAACACGGUUUAUGCUUUAAAGUUACAUUUCCAUCAAAAUUUGAGAUCCAUCAAAUGAACCUUAGGAAAAAUGUUUUAAAAUUGGCAUAUAAUUUUACCUAAAGACCUUGCCUAAGUGUUAGAAGCAAAAGGACAAAAAAAAUAUAGGUUUUCUGGUCAAAAAUGGUGAACCAGUCAAGGCAUUGUCUAAAUCAGCUCAAUCGGCCAAGGUACCGGUCGAUCGGUUUCCCUUUCCCUGUCGAGAUCUAGUCAAGAGGUACAAAAAUCACAAUCUCUGUCUCUUUCUCUCUUUGUCUAUCUUCCAGUAGUCUUUCCUUCCCGGUCGAGGGAUUUGCCUUCCCGAUUGAGGUCCGAUUGAGAGUAAUAGUCACUUGCCAAAUAUUAAAUGCUCCAACAGUUAGUGAACUGGUCGACCCCCACCUUGCCCAGUUGAGGUUACUUUUUGGUUUUCUUGGCUCCCGAUGUUAGAAACCUAUAAAUAGAGAGUUCCACUUCAUUUAUGAGCAAGAGAACACUUGCAUUUAUUUGUUUACCUACUUGUUCUUGCCUUAAAAGCUCUCAUUUCUUUUCUUGGUGCAUUAAAUCUCCAUUUUGAUAUCCUUUAGUGCACCUUUGUGAUUCAUCUUAGCCUUGAGUUGUAUUUGAGCCCUUUUUUUAGCUAGGUUGAGAGUUUCAUACUUGUUAAUUGAGUGUUAAAGCCUUCAAGUGAGUUGAAACUUGUAGAGAUUAUGUGAGAGUCGAUUGGAGCCGAAAUCCAAGUGUAAAGGUGAUUAGAAGCUUGGUUGAAGCUUCAAGUUAGUGGAAUCCUCACUCAAUUAGGAGCUUGAGGAGAGUGGACGUAGCCAAGGAAGUGUCGAACCACUAUAAAAUUUGAGUUUGAUUUCUCUAACAUUGUCUCUUUAUAUUUGUUUAUCUUGUGCUUAAAUUUAUUGUGUUUAAAAAGAAUUUUUAAAUACCCAAUUCACCCCCCUCUUGGGUGUUUUUCUCUUUUAAAAUUAGCCUUUAUUUUCUCACAAACUAUUGUAGUAUAGUGGUUUUUAGGUGUCAUCCAUUAGGAUGAAUUGUUCUCGGUAAUUAAGGCGUGAAUGAGAGGAGAAUUAAUGAUUGUGAUUAAGUAAAAUUGAUUUGAAAAUUCAUGGUGAAAAAUCAAUUUAACAAUGGUUUCUAAUUGAGAAAAACAAUGAAAUGUGAAAUAAAAUAAAAUUAAUAGGAAAUGAAAUUCUCGAAGUUAGAAUUUUCUAAAAAACAAAUUCCAUGGUGAAUGGAUGUUGAGAUCUAAUUUUCAUCAAGUUAGAUUGAAAACCGAAAUUUUCAUAUAAACUGAUUUUUUAUUUAGUUUUAGGUCUAGAUUUAAUUUCCCUUAAAAUUAGGUUAUUUAAUCCAAGAAAUCAAUUCAAAUCAUAUAUUCAAUUCAUCUUAAAUUAUCUUCCAAUUAUUCACACAAUGCAACUAUUCAAUCUCAUCAAAUCUAGCUUUUAAGAAUUUAAUGAAUCUACCUAGUUUGCAUUGUAAUAGUCAUCCAUGACAAUUUGAAGAGAAAAAUAAUUCAAUUAAUCAAUCACUUGGAUCAAAUUACCUUUGCAAUUAAAGUUCAUUUCUCUAAUUCACCACAGAUUUUGUCUCUAGAUCCUCCUUUCUCAAAGAAAAAUGAGAUUUAGCCACACAUGAUUGGAGAUUUGGUCUCAUAAGGCAUGUUUAGCUAGUGAUAAAAUGAGAGAAAAUAAAGAAAAAUAGAGAAUUCGAUUAAGAAAGAAAAUCUAAAAAAUUCUACAAUUAGAAAUGUCCAAAAAGCUUUUUCAUGAGAAAAUCAAGUUUCUAUUUAUAGGCCAAGGUCAAGUGGACACUUGACAUCAUCUAAGAGGUCUUCCGGAAGCUUCUUCAUCAAGAAAUCUGGAGUUUAAUAAUAAAAUGGUCAUUUCACAAGAGCUCAAACAAUUUCGCAUGAUUAUGUGAAAUAAAAAAUGCAACAACAGCAAUUUACAUCUUCUUGGAGCAUUUCGCAUGACUGUGUGAAAUUUUCACAUGAUCAUGUGGAAUCGACUUGACAACUCUCAUUUAGCCUACAACAUAAUUCCACCUUUUGGUCCAUUUUUCAUAGUCAUGCGAAAUGGAAAUAUUUGAUUUUUAAGUUUUCUUUUGUCAUUUCUUUCAUUUCCUUCUCUUGAUUCCACUUCAACUACCUCCGAAUCCUGGUCCAAACCAAUUGCAUUACUUCUUUCAUUAUGCAUUUGGAUCAUCAUCAACAUUAUUUGUUCUCUUCAAUUUGAUUCAUCUCUUUUGUCACCAAUUUAUCAAAAUCAUACCUUGAAAUGACUCCAAAACUUCAUAAAACUUGUUAGUAACUCUUGCAAGGGCAACAACAUAUUAAUUAAGUGUUUUAGGCAUAGUUACUACUCAAAAGAUGCGAAACUCAUGAUAAUUAUUAUAUAAAAUAUGCUCUUUUUGAGUAGUAAUCAACUUUCUUGCAUAAGCAGACCUUUUAGGGUGGAGUACUAAAGACCAAUAUGCUUGUCCUUGUUGUAAUAAAGAAACUUGCUCUUAUUGAUUGCACCAUGGGAGAAAAUUUUGCUACAUGAGUUAUCAUCAAUUUCUUCCCACCAAUCAUAGAUUUAGACGUGACAAGAGGCCUCUUAAUGGCAAGGAGGAACUGACACUCACACUUAUACAAUUAUCGGGCAUUGAUGUGUUGCAACAAUUAGAAUAACUUACACCAAUUAUGUUGGGGAAGUCACAAAAGGCAAACAUGAAAACUAAAAGGAAAAAAGAAAAAUGUUACAUAUCACCACAACUGGAAAGAAAAAAGUAUUUACUUUCAUUUGCCAUAUUGGAAAGCACUUAUUUUACAUCAUAAUAAUUUAGACAUAAUGCAUAUUGAGAAAAAUGUGUGACAAUAUAAUUGAGACAUUGUUCAGUAUUGACGAAGAAACAAGGACAACCUAAAUAGUCAUCUCGAUUUACAAGCUCUAACUAUUAGAAAUGAGAUUCACCCAAUAGAAAGCAGGACCAAAUUUAUUUUGCUUGCAACAUGCUACUCACUCACCCCAAAUGAGAUUAAGGAAUUUUGCAAGUUUUUGAAAUCAAUAAAGGUCCCCAAUGGCUAUUCUUUCAAUAUCUCUCGUUAUGUGCAACUCAAUGAAAGGAAGAUAUAUGAGCUCAAAUUGUAUGAUUGUCAUGUCCUAAUGCAACAACUUCUCUCACUUGUAGUUCGUGGAGUUCUACAUAAGAAUGUUUGUGGAGUUAUCAUAGAAUUGCGUAAUUUUUUCAAGCAAUUGUGCUCAAAGGUGUUAGAAACAAAUCACUUACACCAACUUGAGAACAAUAUUAUUGUCAUACUAUGUAAAAUGGAGCAAAUAUUUCUUCCAUCAUUCUUUGAUAUUAUGGUGCAUUUACUUGUGCAUCUAGUAAGGCAAAGGUUGCAAGACUUGUGCAAUAUUGUUGGAUGUACCUAAUUGAACGAUAUUGUUAUAAUUUCAUAUGAAUCAUUUAAUUUUAUUUUAUAUUAUGUUCAGUUCAUUAACAUGUACAUUGGUCUACAUAUGGAUGAUGAUAGGUACCUAAGCACUUUAAAGUCAUAUGUGCGUAAUAGAACUUUUCUAGAAGGUUCUAUUGUAGAAAGGUACCUUGCAAAAGAAUGUACAACAUUUUAUUCUAGGUACUUGAAUGAUGUGGAAAUAAAGUAUAAUCACAAUGAUAGAAACUUUGUUGGUUUCAACACUAGAGGAGAUGAAAGGGGUUAUCUUUAAACAUAUUGGACAUGCAUUGGGAAAGCCCAUAUUUCAUUAACUUAGUUCAAAAGAGUGGUCACAAGCACAUUUAUAUGUGUUGACAAAUUGCGAAGAUGUCAUACCAUUCAUUGAGUAAAAAAUUUAUUUGAAUUUUAAUUAAAGCUCUAGUUUAUAUCCUUAAUCAAUGUUUUUUAAAUUCACAAGGAGCACAAGCAAACCAUCAAGGCUAGACCACAUAUACGUGUUUGAGACGUAGAUUUAAUUCAUAACAAGGAAUUUAUCAAGUGGUUUGAAAGACAUGUAAGUAUAUUCCUUAUUAUAAGGGAUUUAUUUCACAUUAUGUUUAUAUUGAAUCCAAACCUAUUAUUGAAUUGUAGGUUGAACAAUUACAUAAUGAAGGUCAUAUAUCUGAACACCUUCUCACAUUAUCAUGUGUUCCAAAUUCAUUAGUUACAUGCUUCAAAUGAUAUAUUGUCAAUGGAUUUAGAUCCCACAUUAAAGAACGUGAUAAAAAAGUUUUUAAAAAAAGACUCAGAAUAAUGGAAUUGUUGUAGUUGCAAAAACGUCAAGCUUUACAAGUGCAUGUGAUAUGAGUCCAAUUAUUAGUGAUGCUCUCUACUAUGGUGUUCUAACUAAAGUUGUUGAGUUACAUUAUCUUGGUGAAAAUAAGGUUGUUUUAUUCGAGUUUGAUUGGUGGGAUGUUACAAAUAUUGGAAAAUUGAUAAAAGAUGAUGAGUACAAUUACACAUUUGUUAACUUUGCAUGAAUUCUAACCACGAACGAACGAUUUGUACUUGCAUCUCCAGCAAAGUAAGUGUUCUAUGUGAAGAAUGCGAAUGAAUCAGAUUGGCAUACUAUCAUGGAGAUGCAACCUCAAGACCUCUAUAAGAUGAACGGGAUAGGAUCCAAUGGUGAUUUUGAACCAUUUCAACAAAGUGAACUACAUGAUCACUAAUAUAUCUCAGAUUUAGUUGAUGAAGAUAUAAUCAAGUGGAACAAAAGUGAUGUUUUAGGACUAAUCAUCCUAAAAAAUAUUGUAGUUUCUUAAAAAAAAAAUGAAAAUGAAGAAGAUAAUUGAACCUUUGUCAUACUUUAAAAAGCAACUAUGCAUUGUUCAUUUUGUAUGUUUUGGUUUUCUUCAUUUAAUUUCCUGAUUUUUGUGAUUCAAUGUCAUAUUAUUGAUCUUGAAAUAUUUUUCUAAUUUUUCAUUCUACGAUGGUUUCAACAAGGAUGACAUCAAGUCAAAAAAGGAAAUGUGGUCCCACACACAAUAUUGCAUUACAGGGAUUAAGGUCAGGGAAGAAGGUAAAAGUUGCAUUUAAUGAGUACAAUCAAUUGGUUAAACAGAAAAAUGGAAAACACUUAUCGAGCUACAUAGGGACACUUGUAUCUAACCAACACAAUGUACCUCUCCAAGCUAGUGAUUGGAAAAAUGUUCCAAAUGAUGCAAAAGAGAAAGUAUGGCCUUUGUUUUGGUAUGUUGUAUUUCUCACUAUAUGAUGUCAUUUCACUGUUAUUCUAUUUUGUGACUAACGUUUGAAUCAUAUGUAAGAAAAAUUUGAAGUAGAUAAAGACUGAAAAGAUUACAUGUUGGGUAUAGCCUCAAAUAAAUAUAGAAGCUAUAAAAAUAUGAUGAAUGCAAAAUACUAUGACCCUUGGCAUAAGGAUGCAUGAGGAGAGGUUAAUACAUAAAUCACCAUUUGUCUCUGAUGUUGAUUGGAAGUGGCUUGUCUCUGAUGCAUAAACCAAAUCCCCCACUGAAUGUUUGAUAUUUGAUAGCAGGAAAAACACACCCGCAGCUAUACACCUCCAUCAUUCAGAUAAUUAUAGUGGGGGAGAUGAUUCAUGGUUGCCCUUAUACCCUUUAUUUGCACCAUCUAUUGAGAUUCUUUAUCAUGGCCAGGUUUUACUGCAGCAAUAAGAUAUGGUGGCAACAAUUUUAUCUAUAGGUGCGGUUCCAGACCGCCUCCAUAGGUGCGGUUCCUGACUGCCUCCAUAGGUGCCUCUUCUUGUAAUGUUUGUUCUGGGAAUUACACUUGAAAGCCUUAUCGUGAUAAGGGAUUACAAACACUAGUUCAGAGGACAGCCAUGUUAAACUUCCACUAUGUUUGUGUCACAUUAUCAGCAGCCUAGUGUUUAUUGGUCAUGCUAUCUGCAACUAAUAUAACCCGGUGAACUUCAAUCUAAAUUCUGAAAGUACUCAUGUGACAGAUGGUGCCUUUCAGCAGAUAUCAUCAAUUUAAAAGUAGUGUGUGUGCCUAUAGGUGGGAAGGCCUUGGCAAAUGUUCAGUAUUCCGGUAAUUCAAGAAGGAUAUAUCUAAAAUAGAUUUUCUUCUUGCCCAUUUCAAUAGUUAAAAUUUGAGAAGAUUGUGUCCACAUCACACAAAUAUUAUUGGUCCUUCUGUUGCAAUUUACCUCUGAACAUGUCUUCCAAUUCCCACGGUCCUGUUACUCCAGGAAAACUAUUUCGGUCAUAUUGAAAAAAAAAAUAUUAAAGAAGGUACACAUGCUUUUAAGUGGACUGGGGCAUUCAUAUCAGGUGGUCUGUAUCCACAUAUGCCACUUCGUGAAAGGUGGAACAGCCUAAUCACUAGGCUAUUUAGUGUGGCCCAGCCACGUUAAUCAAGCACAAGUCUUCAUACUUAAAGUCAAAUGGUGUCUUUAGUCUCAUUACACAUCGCUAUUUGAAGAUUAACUCAUCACUAGUGUAAUGCGAUUAAGACAGUCCUAACUCAAUAUUUGUUCUAGUUUUGGAUGCAAAUGCUUGCUGGUUUCAUCAUUGGAUGGGAUAAAGGUGCAAUCAGGACUAUGAAUACGUGCAGUAAUACUUCAUUCUCUUUUUUCUCAAUGAGACUUCUUGGCACAAUUUUGCUGCUCAGCAACCUACCUUUCCAUGGAAAAUCAGUUGUGACUGAUAGUAAUGGAUAUAUUCUAGAAAGCUAAACAUAGAUAGCAUUCAAUAUUAUCGAUAUAACAUUAACAGCGUAUGUCUCAAUGCUCAUCAGCUACAAGCAAUGGACAAACACUUUGAGUAACUCACAGCAGUCAAAAUUCCUAAACAGGACAGACGUGACAGAUCUAUAUAUAGAACACUGCAUAUGAGUCACAGGAAAAGAUAAUACGGGUACAUAGAAGCUCUUAUUUUACAUAUUACUCAUACUGAUCAAAGUCGCUCAGUUGGGAUGGAUGGGAGAAGGAGGUUUGAGGGGUGGCUUGUGCGGGGAAGUUGGCAGCUUCUUUCCGGGAGCUGGUUGCUUCUUUGCUGGAGUUGAAGGAGGCUUAAUCUUCCGAGGUGGCUUGUAUGAGUCUUCAGCAUUCUCAGCAGGAGGGUGACCAGGGUUGUGACCAUAAUGUGGUGGCUUCUCUCCCUUAGGUGGUUUGCCAACUGGGGUUGGUGGCUUGUUUUCUGGGAGUGGCUUCUCUCCCUUGGGUGGUUUGCCAACUGGGGUUGGUGGCUUGUGUUCUGGGAGUGGCUUCUCCCCCUUGGGAGGUUUUUCGAAUGGGGUGGGUUUGUGUCCUGGUGGUGGCUUCUCUCCCUUGGGAGGUUUACCAAUUGGGGUCGGUGGCUUGUGUUCUGGGAGGGGCUUCUCUCCCUGGGGAGGUUUAGUGGGUGGCUUGUGUUCUGGAGGUGGCUUCUCCACCGGAGGCUUAUGCUCUGGUGGUGGCUUCUCGAAGGGGGGAUGCUCAGGGUAAUCACCAAGUGAGGGGGUGGUGAGAACCACCAUGCCAAGCAACAACACUAGCAAGUAUGUAGUAGACAUCUUUGGGUUUGGACUCAGACAGUGCAAAACUACGAGAAAUCGCUAGCCCUUUAUAGCGGCUCGGACCUAAUACUGACAUAAUAUAAAAUAAAUAUUAUAUUUUAUCAAGAGAGAACAGAGUGUAAUUUUAUCAUUAAUACCGAUCGAGGCCAAAGAAAGAAGACCCAUAAUCCAUUUCCCACAAGCAUACACAAUGCAGCUGUAAUUUUAUCAUUUACUUUUAUCCCUUGGACCACUGCAUUUUUGUUGAGAGACACAAUAACACAUUUUUAUCUGUCAUUCAACAUUUACAGUAAAGAGAGGGCACAAAACGCAAUUAGAUAAAUUAUGUUUUGCCUGCUAAAAAGAGGCAAAUAACUUUAUUUGCAACAUAAUUAUUUUGGUUUCUAGUGACCCCGGGGCCUUUCGGUUGGUUUGGGAUCGGAAAAUGAACAUCAUAGGGGGGGUUGUGCCCUUAUGGGCAUAUAUAUCUGAUAGCUUCAACUGGCCUUGUUCCUAGAAAGAAAUUGCCAAAGAUAUAAACUUAUUCCAGGCUGAAAGUAGAUGAGAGUCAUAAUGAACAUCAACCUUUGUUCAGUUUGAUUCAAUGCCCCCAUAGUGUUCAUUUCACAGAUCUGAAUGAUUAUAUCCGUUGAAUACAUAAAUUAAUGAAGACAAAUAUGAAACCCAAGAUACAUCUCUGCAUAACAACCCCAACCCUGGUUGCUAUGUUUCCCUUCUUCUAUUCACAUGAGGAUACUGGUUAUAAUUGUCAAACUUGCAACAAGCCCUUUGACACCUAACGUCAAUGGACGAAUUAAAAGUCUCCUUCAAACGUCUAUUUCACAGCAUGAAGCUUAUAAAGGAUGCUGACAACCUUCAGAGUUAGCGACAAAAGAUAAUUAUCAAGGAGAGAUAGUUCCAUGAGAAUUCCAAGGAGUCUGAAUCAAAGACAAAUUGCUCACUCAAGGGUUCUUAUUUUCUUUUAGGUACAAAUCUCUUGAGUGUUGUUAAAGAAACACGUCACUGUCAUUUUGAUUUGCAUUUAACAUUUCACUUUUGUUCUGGAAGGUUUGUUCCGGAAACAUAUCAAAUGAGCAUCAUUUUCUUCUUCGGUGACACAUGGUCGCGAGUACGUGGGUCCAUUUUCAUGCCACUUAGUUGAAAAGUUGGAAAGAAAAAACAUGCCAACAAGAAGAUAGUGAGAGAAGGGGCACUUCAAGCCUUUAACAUGAACAAACAGUAAAUAAAAGAUGUUUCUCCACUCAUAAAAGUGUGUUAGAUAGCAAUAUAACGAAUCACAUCCAAAAUCUUUACUAGGCUCAAACAUAAAGAAGACUCAUUUUUAAGAAAAGAUAAAAAUGGCAUUGUCUGAUAGUAUCCAAUACACGAGAUGGCACUUAAUUUGUACAAGAUCUGUCAAUGCUGACGCACAUUUUCUGAUUAAAAAAAAACUGAUCAGUCAAAAGCAAUGAAGAGAAGUGAUGACAAUGAAUGAUGCUUCCAAUAUUUUCACCCCUUAUAGUGUUCUUCAUGAUUCAGAUAUAUAAUUGGAAAUAGAACAACCCUAUGCCAUACAUUCGUCUAAGUAUGGUGUCUAAUUUUUUGUGUCAGCGGUUGCGAAUGGAGCGUGCAAAAGUCCAAAUUGGCGUCUCUCCAUUUCCACAUAGGAAGGUGACCUUUAUUGACAAAUACCCAAUAUUUGUAGACAUUCCUUAAAUAUCAUAACUUCUUGUUGAUUUGAAAAUCAUUUUUCAACUACCAUGUUUUAAUAAAUAUUUUUUAAAAUGUAUUUUUAUCAAAGUCCACCAUGAUGGAUAAUAUUCACCAUGCAAUAAUUAAUAAAGUACAAACUAAGCGAAAUGAAAAGCAUUUUCUUUGCUUUGAGUUGAUUUUGGUUGCAUUGAGUUGAUUUUGGUUUCAUGGUUUUUUCAACUCUUAUUUUGAUUGGAAGAUGUCAAGAAAAGAAAACAUAAAGAAAAAUUAAAAGGGAAAAAAGAAGAAAAAUAAAAAAAAAUAGAUUUAAAAGUUAAUAAAUUAUUUUUUAUAUUUAUUUUAAUUCAUUUCACUUAUUUUUCUUUUACUAUAUAAAAUUUAAAUAAUUUAAAUUUUAUAAUUAAUUUAAUUACAUUUCAUUUUCUUCUAUAUUUAAAUAUUGGAAAAAUAUUUUACUUAAUAUUUUUUUCUUUAAUUUCUUUGGCAUUUUGGGAACCAAACUUAGCCUUUAAAAUAAAAAACAAAAAAAAAAUGAAAAUAAGGAGGGAAAAGUGAGAAAAGAUAAAAACAAUAUGUAAAGGAUUUGAAAAGUAUUAGUUUGUAAUUACUAUUUGGAUUUCAAUAGUAUUUUAUUUGUCUUUCUAUAUUUCAUGUAAGAGAGAAUUUAAGAUAUUCCCCAAGGCAAAGCAUUAGUUACCUGCAAUCAGUGGUGAUAAGGCUCCAAGCCAAUUUUGGGCCCCAUAUCUUAAGACAGUACAAUUUCCAUUUCAACAUUUCUGAUUUCUCAGAUGUUUCACAUACCACAGAAGAACAUUGUUUGUGAAAAUAUGCAUUUAUGUUGGAUUUUGUAUGCUGUGGGGACUGGGGCAAGGAUCAUAUGGAAGAGUGGUUGACUUUUUCUGUACUUUAACGGUUGAAAUAGGAUAAGCACGGGCAUUUGUGAGGCUUAAUUGAUUUUGAAGCCUGAAAUUGCGUUUCUGUCAUUUUGUCAAAAAAAUGGCAGAUUCCAUACUCAUAUGUUUGGCCUGUGGCCAUGUACAGAUGCCAUUUAGUGACCAGUUUGUAACUGUCAAUCGUUGCGUUUUGACUCUGCCUCAACAACAUCUGCCAUUGACGGGUUUUCAUACUUGCAAAUCAAAUAGUCUUUCGUCCCAUCAGGAAUUUCGGUUUAAAUAUUAUUAAGCAUACGUUUGGCUGACAAUCAUUAUCCAGUUCAUGAUUUGGUUUCUUACCCUUAAUCAAUGGUUUCUAAGUGAAUAUAUGUAGAAGGAAAUCCGAAGUGUAGACAGUAGUAUCGAUAACUCUCAAUAUUCUCUAUAUAAUAGAAUAAACAGCGUCAUAGUGAUCGUCGCCUACAAGCAAGGUACAAAUACCAAAACGAGUGACUCACAUAGACAUCUCCCAACAAGAUGUAGUAGUGACUGACACAUGGACACAAUUAACUCGUAGAAAAGGAUAAGACCAUUGCACAGCAGCUCUUAUUUUACAUACUACUUAUGCUAACCAAAGUCAAUUAGUUGGGAUGGGUGGGAGAUGGAGGUUUGUGCGGUGGCUUGUGGGGCGGAGUUGAUGGCUUCUUUCCAGGAGCUUCUGGCUUUUUCAUCGGAGCUGAAGGAGGCUCAAUCUUAUGAGGCGGCUUGUAUGAGUCUUCUUUACUCUCGACAGGAGGGUGGCCAGGGUUGUGAUCAUAAUGUGGUGGCUUCUCUCCCUUAGGUGGCUUGCCAACUGGGGUUGGUGGCUUGUGUUCAGGAAGUGGUUUCUCUCCCAUGGGAGGUUUAGCAAUUGGGGUUGGUGGCUUGUGUUCUGGGAGUGGCUUCUCUCCCUUGGGAGGUUUAGUAGGUGACUUGUGUUCUGGAGGUGGCUUCUCCACCGGAGGCUUGUGCUCCGGUGGUGGCUUCUUGGUUGGAGGGGGCUUGGGGUAAUCAGCAAGAGAUGGGGUGGUGAGAACCACCAGUCCAAGGAACAACACUAGCAAGUAUGUGGGAGACAUUUUUGAGUUUGGGCUGAUCAGAUGAUGCAAAACUAAAGCAUUACGUGACCUUUUAUAGCAUGUAGCUCCCAAUACCCACUAAGUAUUGUGGGGUCCAUUUGUGCCCUACGGGGUUGAAAACUUAGACAAUUGGGCAAGGACCCACCUGACUAUGGAGGACUAGUGAGGUGUGAUCAUAGCUUUAGGAUUUUUCUUCCUCUGCAGCCGUCGUGCCGUUGGCAUGAUUUUCUUAAUCUUAAAUAAAGGCAUAGUUAUAGAGUUGUUUAAUCUCUAAAUGGGAUUUUAUAUAUAUCUUCAGAUAGCCAUUAAUAUAUUUGAUGAAGAAAGAAAGACAAGUGCAUACAACAUGUAUACGACUAGCUUUCAUGGAGUUCAUUUAUGAUCAGUUUUCCUGUACAUGUAAACCAGGAUCAUAUAUAUGUUUCUGUUCCACAACUAUUUUGGAAUCUUGUUUAUCAGUUUUUAUCAUUAUAAUGUCACAUAGGCUGCCAACUUGGGCGCUAAAAGAACCAGUUGGGCUAGUUCGUUUCAGAAUUUCAAUGUGGAUUCAGGAAUUGUUUUGUAAGAUAUGCGAAAUAGUAGAGGGAUGAAUAGUGUUUCAUUAAUAAAAGUGUCCUGUAAAUUAGAAGGUGUCAUAGAAACUAUAAUCAAUAAAUAACUUUUUUUCCCCACGGGUGGUGUUUCUUGUGGGGAUCAGUGACUGGUUUAGGUUCACCCAAAAUGAGUUCAGACUAAAAUUGGUUUGAGUCAAUGCCGUGUCUCUUUUUUCCAGAAAUCAACUAUUUUAUGCAUUGAAUAAAUCAUACAAAGAAAAUAUGAACGCCCGCAAAACCUAAACCCUGGUUGCUAACUUUCUAUGUUUCAGUUCUAUUCACGCAAGAAUAUUAGUUUAAGUUUGGGAAAAAUGGCAACUUACCUAGUGAUUACUUGGUUUUGGUUUGCGACUAUUUACGCAACCAACCAUGAGUUUGACUUUAACGUCAUGGGUUGAAGCCUCCUACAGGAAGGGAGAAAGCUCCACAGCUAGCUCCAAAAGAGAAUUAUCACAUUGAUAGCUCCAGAGAUUCCCAAGGGGACUGAAUCAAAGACAAGUUCCUCACUUUUUCUUCUUUUGAGGCCAAAUAUGAACCAAGGAUCACACAACCUCAUUCAACUUCAUAAGUUUGAUUUCAUGCAGUUGAACACUGGGUGAAGGCCAUGACAAGAAUUGAUUCAAAAAUUCUAUCACUCUUUUAAGUAAUGGAAGAUUAUUAUCUCUGAUUGGCAUCACAACAGCACAUGCUCCUAGAUCUUUCUAGACACUCCAUGCAAUGAAAGCACAAUGGAUCUUGUAACGAUAGAAACUAAGCCAUGCUACAGUACUAGAUGAUGAGGUAAAACUAGUAGACACGGGUGGCAGCCUAUAUGGGAGGGACACAAGUCUAAUUGAUUUGCAUUUCAGCAUUAUAGAUAGGUAUGUUUUGGAAGAUUUGUUCUGGAAAUACCGCACCAAGUAGGAUUCUUUUUCUCUUUAGUGGGUCCACUUGCAUGCCAAUUAACGAGUUGAAAAGUAUGAGCACCUACCUCGUGCUCGUGGAACCGAAGGUCAGUGAAGUGGGGCUCCUUUUGGCCUCGUGUAAACUUGAUUCAGAAGUGAAGUUAAUAGUCUUCCAUUCAGAUGGAUACAUGGGAAUUUUUCUCUUUUAUUUAUUUAUUUAUUUUUUUUUUGUGUGUGUAUGUCAAAGGAUAAUGAAUGAAGCGCGUUAGCUUGUUUUCUGACUGGAACCGCAGAUGUCCAAAUUGGAGUUCCUUCAUUUCUUACUUAGGAUUGUUACAUGUAUAAACAAGGUAUAAGAAAUAUGCCAACGUGUCUUGAGGAGUUAUUGAUUAGAAAUAACAAGUCACCCGACUGUAGAGUUCCAAGAUUUGAAUCUUCAGACCCUAUAGCAGCCUCUGGGGUACGUGGCAUCCUAUAGCAUAUUAAUGAAGGCUUUUUCGAUUUAGACUUCACAAUACCAAUUAAUAUGUAUGCACAAAAUGGAGAUGACCCCAAAAAAAACAGAAUCGCCAUAGUUUAUGAGGUUAAGGUGAUUCUCCACUUAAUAUCUACAUUAGCUAAUUAUGUAAAUCAAAUGAACUUCUAUUUUUCCUUUUUUUUUUUGGUUUAUGUCAAAUAGUAGCCCAUAAUUAACCCAACCAUUAGCCUGUUUGAAUUGAUUUCACAUGCACAAUGUUGUAGUAGUUCAUAUUUUGAAUUUUAUUUUUACAAAGGUAGUUAAGGAAAAUGAAGUAUAAUAAUUAUAAAAGCAGACUAUAUACACUACAAUAAUUGUUAGAAUGGUAUCUCAAAUUCUAAUUUAAAAUAUUAUUUUUUGUAAAAGAAAUAUUAUAUAGAAUAUUUCCUAAUUUUAUAAAUGAUUAUAAUUAGAUCUUUAUAAAAUAAGGAAAGUUGGUAAGAAUAUCUUUAUAAAUAUUUUAGGUCAUGAGAGAAAGAAAUGGGAUAAAAAUGUGAUGAAGAGGUGAAAUAAGAGAGUUGAUUAGGAUAUAGAUGUGAAGAAGAAAGGGAUUCAAUAUAUAUAUAUCUUUCAAUUACCACAUUAAAACCCUGUGAACCUUUUAUAUGGUUUACUUUAUUUUUAUAUUCCUCCUUUAAUAUAUUUACAUUAAUGCUUCCAUUGGCACAACAAUAACGAAUUACAAAUACAAGCAACAAGUCCCAUGUUUUAUUACCAAAAGCAGGUAAAAUCCACCUAAUAUAUUACAAUAUAUUCAUCCAAUAUUUUAGACCAAUUCUUCACCAUAAAUAUCAUAAUGUGGCUUUUGUUCUUUCUUAAAUUUAAAUUGAAUUGUCUUAUAUCAAUUUGUUUGUGAUUUUUUCAUUAACUUCACUUUCAUUUGGUUAUCUUUGGUUUUUGAAAAGUAUUAAGGAAUUAAUUAACAAAAUAAUGUUAAGAAAAAUAAUUUUCUCUCUUUUGAUUUUGAUUUUGUAGUAGAAAAAUAUAAUUAAAAUUAUUUAAAAAGUAUGUAAUUUUAAAUUAUUUAAUAUUUAGAUAAAAAAAAUAAGUCUAAUGAGUUUAAAAUAACAUAUAAAAAUAAUUUAUUUAUUUUAAAUUUAUUUUUUAUUUUCCAUUAUGUUCUCUUUCUCUUUUACUUUUUCAUAUUUUUUCUUACGAAGAAUCAAACACAACCUCAUAUUAUAUGUCAAGUGUUUGUCUAUAUUUGAGCAAUGUUAGAUACGGCCAUGGAUUCAUCAAACUAAACUGAUUUUAAUAGAUACUUCACAAAUUGAUUUAUACACUAAAUCAUUGGAUAGCAAUGAUGCAUUGGAAUUAAACGUAGGAUGAAGCUCGAAGAACACUGUUUGUGUAACAACAUAUUUAUGAAAUUAUGCAAAGGAUGAGCUUCGGGGUAGUAGUACAAGGUCAUUAAUGGAGAGCCGUGUUAAACCUUGAUUGUGAUUGGAUUCCGUUAUCAGCAACAGCAACCUUGUUUGUAACCUUGAAAGUCAUUCUGUCCACAUCGAAACUCCAAUUUGACGUUUGUAAUUACCAUUCCUGGAGUGUUCCUUGAUUGAAAUUUAAAUAAUAAUUGCGGCCCACAAGGAAUAUUUUCGAUUCUGUGGGAAUUUGACAAGGUUUGUUAGAGAAGACUGGUGACAUGUUGACUUCAAUGGUUCAAAUAGGAGACGUAUGUGGAUUUGGGGGGUUUAAUUGAAACUGAGUCCCUAUGGCUUUUUAAUAUUUGCAUUGAGCAGUCUCCAUGUGACUUCCUAAUUCCCACCAACCCUCCUGUCCAUGCUGUGAAACUAAAUUGUAAUUUAUCAGCCUUUGUCAAUGGUUUCUAAAUUAAAGAUAUAGACCAUGCAUGUACUUUAAUAAAAGCAAAUCUAAAGUGUAGAUAGCAGCAAUGGUGACACCCAAUAUUCUCCAUAAAAUAGAAUUAGAAUAAGCAGUGUUACAUUGUUCAUGAUCACCUACAAGCAUACAAGAACUUCCAUGAAUAACUCAUAGCAAUUGCCAACAGGGCGUCGUAGAGACUCAUACAUAGAACACUAUCCACCCAGAGGAAAGGACAAGACCAGUGCGCUGCAGCUCUUAUUUUUCACAUGUAUACCACCACUCGUAAUAACCAAAUUCACUCAGUUGGGAUAGGUGGGAGAUGGUGGUUUGUGGGGUGGCUUGUGGGGAGGAGUUGGAGGAGGCUUUAUUUUCUGAGGCGGCUUGUAUGAGUGUGCAGGAGGAUGCCCGGGAGUGUGACCAUAAUGUGGUGGCUUCUCUCCCGUAGGUGGUUUGCCAAAUGGGCUUGGUGGCUUCUCUCCCUUAGGAGGUUUACCAAUUGGGGUUGGUGGCUUGUGUUCUGGGAGUGGUUUCUCUCCCUUGGUAGGUUUGCCAAUUGGGGUUGGCGGCUUAUGUUCUGGGAGUGGCUUCUCUCCCUUGGGAGGUUUGCUAAUUGGGGUUGGCGGCUUAUGUUCUGGGGGCGGCUUCUCUCCCUUGGGAGGUUUGCCAAUUGGAGUUGGCGGCUUAUGUUCUGGGAGUGGCUUUUCUCCCUUGGGAGGCUUGCCAAUUGGGGUUGGCGGCUUAUGUUCUGGGGGUGGCUUCUCUCCUUUAGGAGGUUUGCCAAUUGGAGUCGGCGGCUUAUGUUCUGGAAGUGGCUUUUUUCCCUUGGGAGGUUUGCCAAUUGGGGUUGGCGGCUUAUGUUCUGGGGGUGGCUUCUCUCCCUUGGGAGGUUUGCCAAUUGGAGUCGGCGGCUUAUGUUCUGGGAGUGGCUUCUCUCCCUUGGGAGGUUUUGUUGGUGGCUUGUGUUCUGGAGAUGGCUUCUCCCCUGGAGGCUUGUGCUCCGGAGGUGGCUUCUGAAAUGGCGGGGGCUUGGGGUAAUGAGCAAGAGAUGGAGUACUGGUGAGAACCACCAUUCCAAGCAACAAUACUAGCAA
rnacentral:lncRNA from 1 species